rnacentral:lncRNA from 1 species
GGAGGGAGGGAGGGAAGCCAUCCUCUGGCAGGUACCUCAACUUGGGGCACGCUCCAAUCGAUAACCAUCGGAGAGAGGAGAGACGGUUGCGGAGACCACUCGAUAGUCUUUCCGCGUUUCUCAAAUCAUAUAUCCAAAGAGAGGUUAGAGAGGAAGGAAAGAGACUCCAGGCAUCCUUAUCCUCAGAAGGAAACCACUCCUUCUCUCUCUCCCCUCCCAUGUUAAAAUCAAUGGUCAGAAUCUCGAGAGAUGUGAGCAGGUGUAAGCCCCACUCUCUCACUGGCUGCUUCAGAGCCACGAGCCCCAUAAUUUGAAGGUCUCGCAAUUUGGGAGGCAGACCUCCUUUGGGGAAGCAUUUGAUAUUUGGGCAAUAUAUAAUACUUAGCUCUUGGAGGGAGGUAAGAUGAUGCCACUUAUUUGGCAGGGACUUUAUCAUCGGACAAUCCCAAAGUUCAAGACUCUGCAGGGUGAUGGGAAGGGGUGGGAAGUCCUCUAUCUCCAAUACCGGACACUGCUGUAUUUUCAAUUUAGUGAGAUUGUUAUACUUGGCAAUGUUACAGUUGGCAAUAGACUUUAUCUUAGAACAAAGAUUAAGAACAAGACUCGAGAGGGUUACGGGAAGGGGAGGGAAGUCCUCUAUCUCCAGUGCUGGACAAUUAUAAAUAUCCAAUUGAGUGAGAUGGGAGAGCGUGUGAAGGCAUUGUGGUAAGCUUCCCAGAUUUUGACAAUUGUUAAUUGUCAUUUUUUCAAGCGAUAAUACGGCAAUCCCUUCCAACGACUCCACUCCCUCACAAUUGUCUAUAUGAAGUGCCUUCAGAGGAGCAAGUCUACCCUUGGCAAAUGAAAAGGAUAUUAGAGAAUCAUAAUGAUGUAUCUUAAGAGAUUCAAGUUGAGAAAUCGAAUUAUUGCUGCUCAGGUGACCUUGAGGAAUGUUUAGAGCCAUGAUUUUUGGACAAUGCUUAGCGUGGCAUUAGAAUUUUUGACCUCAUUGAUCAAUAGUUCGAGUAUUUGUUCUACAUCCUCCUCCCUACCAAAAAAUUGAGGCUCUGAUAGAGAAGUGGUUAUCCUUUUACUGGUGUAGUUGGAUUUGUCCACAACAUUCUCUCUCAAGUUUAGAUGAACCUUUCCAGUGACAAUCUCUUCCAACCGGUCAUUGAUCUCUUGUACCUUGGUUUCAGACAUGAGCGAGGGUGGUCGGCCAAAUACAGAGAACUUCCAUUUCCCCAAACCUUUGCUUGUGUUGGAUUCUGCCUCUGACUCAACUUGAGCAGCUUUGAUCUCAAACUCAUCGAGCAAGUCUUCCAUGUCAUAGGCCAAGUCCUUAACCUUGUCCAGCCACAGCUUCACUUGAUGGUUACCACUAAGUUCCUUGUCCUCUGCAUCAGCCAACACUGCAUUGAUUAUGACUAGCUUCUCCUUCCACACCUUAGGCAAGGUAGUACUGAUUCCUUUAUGUUGUGCAUAACCUAAUGCGGAAGAAGCCAACUUGUCGAACAGGACUUGAAAGGAUGAAGCCAAAAAGGAACCCAACACGAUCCCUCCAAUGUCCAUAGGUGAAUCAGUCACUGUAAUGAACAACAAAGGUGUUAUGGUGAAGCAAAGUGAAAAUGAACUAAUGGAGAGAGAAAACUACGAAGUCCUAGGAAGACUUAGAUGAUGACCUACGAAAAAGAUUAUAUAUAUAAAAGACCAAGACUUUCAAGGGAUGCACAUCAAAGGUUAGACAAAUCAAAAUAAAAUACUAUUUGUCCACAAGUGCUAGUUACAUCAAUUGCUCUCCUUAUUCUUCGGAUCAAGACUUUUUGGCUAUUGGACCUUUACUUUUGGCCAUCCAGAACAGAGUCUUAAUAUGACAAACUUAGAGUGUAUGCAUACUUUCUCCAUAAGUGUUAUCACUCACGAGUGUUUUGUUGGCUUUUUUAGCGUUUGUAUAUUCUUAGUAACCUCAUGAUUUCAAUGUCUUUGUUUUCUGCUUUAUUGAUGAAUGUGAGAUUAAUGAAGUCUUUUACAUGGGAAUUUCUGUGCUAAAGAUUGACAGUAAGAUGGGCAAUAAUGAUUUGCUGAAGGGUGCUGAGGUAGUGGUUGAUAAUCGGGAAUCACCUUGAUAGGAGAAUCGCGAUCCUUUGAACAUGAUUAUCAAGUUCAUUAGUGUAAUGGGUAGAGUGUGACAUCCAGUGGAUUAUAUGUUGUUAAUACUGGACUCGUUUACCAUUUACAGUAGAUAAGGAGAAUAGAAACAAGUGCUUUAGGCUAAAUAAGGAAAAGGGUCAAGCACACCGACUAAUUCAUUAAGCUACUUGCUUUAUUUUACUCUGCAAAUAGUGAAUAGUCAGAAAUCACCAAACGACAAUAUAAUCUACUGAAAAUUAUACUCUACCAAUCACACCAAUGAACAAGAAAAUCAAGUUCAAAGGACCAUGAUUCUCGCUUCAAGCGAUUCCCCAUCAUCAACUACUAACCCAUCACCUUUCAGCAGAUAUUGCCGCCCAUCUUGCUGCAACUUUUUCUUCUUUUCUUUUUUUCACAAGUGCUUGUUCUGUAAUAUUUAGAGAUUAUCCCCGUACAUAUGUAGUAUCCACGAUCAUAUACUUGUUCAUAUAAAAAAAUCAUAAACUCGGGAAGACCAAAACUUCACUGGGUAUCAUGAACUUUUUUGUCGUGAAAGUGAAGUAUAAUUGAUAAAGAGCUUAUGGGAAAGAAAAUUUAAUAAAAUCGAAGAAUACUACGACUUACGGAGAUGCAAAUUGGAUUUGCCGCUUCACUUUUCAAAUCCCUCCUCUUCCGUUCCCAUGUGAAUGUCUUUUUUACAUUACUAGUAAUUUUCCACGCGUUACAUGGAUGCCAAUUUUUUUUUUUUUUUAUGUGUGUGAUUGACAAUUAGCAAUGAUUAUUGUUCUCUUGCUCAAGUUGACAAAACUAUAAUUUUAGUCCAACUUUUGUCAUAUUUAAUCAUAUUGUGAUUAAUCAUUCAUUAAUCUCUGUUGUACUUGUCUAUUGGAAUUAUGUCUAUAUUUCAAUUUAUCUUUUCAAAUAUAAGUCUAAUAAAUGGAAAAAGAGCAAGAAGAAAAACUAAAUAAGAAAAACAGCAAAAAACUGAUGAAGAAAAAAAAAAUGCAGGAAUGGGGCGAUAAUACUCUUCGUGACUCGCGGAGAGUUCCACUUCACAUUUUUGUUUUGUUUUGUUUUUUUAUGAAGAUGCAAUCUAAAUUUAUUAAUAUGCAAGAUAAUUUUCCCAAAUUUCCCAAGUUAUAGCAUGUGAUUUGUCAAAGGAAAUGUGCAAAAGAAAGAAUUAACGAUAAUGCACUCCAAAAAGCCUAGAUGCGCAUGAUAAUGCUUAUCCAUGAAAAUUCUAAGUUUUCUAAUAUAAUUUAUGCUAAUAUGUAACGAAAAAUCAUAAAAUAAAGGUCUGAGUUUUGGCUCAAACAAUUAUGCGUGCAGAUGUAUCACCUGAUUAAAACAAAAUUAACAAAUCACCAUGAAUUAUGCAAUCAAGCUGCAACUUUAACCUGGCCAGCAAGUAUAUGGCAUCAACUUUCCCCAAUUUUGGUAUUAAACUUGCUGCAUCAGUUCAAGGGAAAAAGAGAGCAAGUACAAAGAUGUCUUUUACCUAUUCCAAGUAGACUUCCUGGAGCUGAGCAGGCGAACGGGAUAAGAUCUAAAACAGAAAUCCAGCAAGAACGAGCGCUAGGUUUGGCAGUUCACUGUGUACGCGAGCGUAGUCAGCUACGGGAAUGCGUGGUCGCUGCUUGUAACGACGAACGAUGGUAUUGAUUGAGCGACAACUAGAGAUGGUGGUGAUUGGCGACAAUCGAUAUGCAUGCAAGAAAUGAAUUGAAUGAGAGUGAAGUCCGUGGGAUAUGAUAAUGCUUGUCCAUGAAAAUUGUAAUUUUUUUAAUAUAAUUAUCCUGACACGAAUAUGAUGAAAUUCCAUCCUAAUAUGUAAUGAAAAAUCCUAAGUCUGUCCAAAUCAGCAAAUAUGAACACGCUUAAAAAUGUGAAUAUGACUUUCCCUAAAUAUGUAAAUUUAUGAUAUGCAAUUUCCUAAAUGUGCAACAUCUAAUAACUCUACACAUGGUUUUGUUAAACAUCUCCCCUAAUAUACAAUCUACAAUGCAACGAAUGUAUAUAACAUGCCGUGGAUGACUUUUAUGAAAUUUGACCCAUGUAAAUUCAUGAAAUUACACGUGAAGACGUGAUCGAGAGUGACCUAGCCAUAUGCAAUUUCAUAAACACGGAUGGCAAAAAUAUCCGACAAAUCACCAUGACGCAACUUUAAUCGGGAUAGCAAGUAUUUGACAUCAACUCCUCCUAAAAUUUUGUUAUUAAACUUGCAAUCGGGAUUAUAGACAGGCAUGAAGUCAGUGUAAGAACGAAAAUAUUGUUGCUGCUGCCACCUCUUCUUUUGCUUCAAAUAUAUAGAAAGAUUUUCAGAAAUGACUGGUGGCUGAUCUCGUGCGAUGAAGGCCUACCGGAUACUUUAGCAGUGAGGUUCUGGAUGAAUCAGUUUGAGGGAAAAAGAGAUUUACCUAUUCCGAGUAGACUUUCUGGAGCUGACCGGUGAACAAGAUUAGAUCAACAACAGCAAUCCAGCAAGGACGAGCGCCAGGUUUGGACGAGCAGGAAGAGAAAACUGCUGAGCAGGGGGGACGAGCGCUAGGUUCGACAAUUCACGGUGUAUGCGUGUGAACUCUGCUACGGCAAUGGGUGGCCACCGCUUGCAACGAUAGAAGAUAAUAUCGACGGAGCUACGACUAGGACAGGUUUGUAGGGGACUGGGCAGAUCAAAAGAGGGUGGUGUUGAAUAAUCAACAUCCUACAUUGGCCGUCAAGAAGAAAAAUCAAAGUUGGCCUCCAAAUCUCAGUCAACUUGCCCACUAAAGAAGGAAGAGAAACUAGCCGUGAAUCUUAAGUUGAGGUUCCAAGCCGUCACUUCAAGAAAACACGUUGACAAGAAGACUUGCCUUACCCAAACGUUUCCUUCUAGUAGAGAACAAAGUUGGCCUACUUGUUCAGAGCGAGCACGCAAUUUAUAUGAAAGCCAAACCCUUCCUCUAUUAUUACUAAAAGCAAAAUAGCGUUAUGCCUCGUUGAAAAUGCAAUGUGUACAUGCUAAUUAUUGUUAUUCGGGAGAAGUCACAAUCAUGCACUAUCGGAAGCUUAUAACCAAAUGAUUCAUGACUUGAAUUUAAACUAUAUAAAUGAAUUUAAACUAUAUCCAAAGGCUCGAAAUUAUGUUAAACUCCAUCUUACAUGGUAAUCGUGGCAGAGGUGCUACUAGCGAUCUUGCGCCAACAUAUGCCUCCCCAGCAGCUCCUUGAGCAUCGGGAGCCAAAACCGCGUCAAAGGAUCACCGCCAAGUGGAUGACUAGAGCAACAGAUACCAUGAAGGUCAAAGUUGCGGAGAGGAGCAGCAGGCCAGAGAAGACGAUCUGGUUCCGAGAGGGCAGAACAAUCCAACUGGCUCAAGUGAUUCCAGAUCAACACAAUACUGAGACAGAUUCAAUCGAGUUGAUAAGAUGCUGAAUUUAAAUUGCCUUCGUAAUAUUUUGGUAAAAAUAGAAAUGCCAAUAGUAAGUGCAAAGGCAGUCAGAAGAUAUUGCGAUGCUCCCAAGCGGGAUGAGUGGGUUUAAUAGCUUAUUGAACGGGAACGUGUGAUCCCUCUCCUUCGGUGUGGGCUCAUUGAAAUCCUAACCACACAUAACUUUGAGAAAUAUACUGGUUACUAGCCUAUUGAAACCGGUUAGGAGCUAACAGGAGAACACGUUACUUUAAAGAUAUGAUUACAUGUAGUAGUAUUCUCCGUUACGUGUCCAUGCAUGCUUGUUUGAUCGAGAUUGGCUCUAAAGUGUAAUAUACUCGUUGAAUGAAUCUAAAGAAAUCAAAUCACGAAAUCAAUAUAAUGAAAACAGCAUGACACAUCAAAAUGAUACUAAAGGAUGAGUAAAAAUAAAUUGUGGAAAGUAAAUCCAAAACAAGAUGAGCAAAGUAUACAUUGCUUUAUUAUUAAGUUUCAGGACAUCAACCAGUGAGCUAAUUUUCAAAAUCAAGUCAAAGUCUAAUUUUGGCAAAAGAGAAUUGCCCACAGUUUCAAUAACGAUAUUAUAGACAAGAACGUAAACGAACUAAAGUAAUAAUAACGUAAAAGCAAGUAAGAUUUUUUCAUCAUUAUUAUCAUCGUUGUCGUUGUUUUUUUAUUUAUUAUAAUUUUUAUUAUUGUUUUCUUCUCGUCCUCGCUCCCUCUCCACCAACUUCGUCUACGGCUACCAGACGCACGACCACGGCUUUCCCGAGUAGGACAGAGCAUCGAUGAGAAAAUAGGAACGCAAAAGAGGGAUUCACACAACCAUCACUAGAAAUCGACUCCAAGCAAUUUUAUAUGUCCGGUGUCCACCGCAAAUCGCCAAACGAACAUGCGAAUCCUGUCUCAGCGACAUUUGCCUUAAGAUUAGACAAUAUUGGAAGAACUAUUACACAACCCUGUCUCAGCGACAUUUCAUCGAACAGUUUACGUGCAUCGAGUGAGGAUUUAAAGGAGGCAUCGCCGAACUCGGAUUUGAGACCAAAGUCGUACAAAAUCAGUUCAGGACGUUUUCAAUUGUGGAUUGAGGCCGUGGAUUUGAAUGGGCUUUGUGGACUGGACUGGACUGAAUAGGGCCGAGGCUUUUAUUAUUUUAUUCUCCUCCUCCUCCUCCUCCUUUUGCGUCUUCUUCUUCUUUUGUUAUUUGUUAAUUUGUUUAUUUAUUUUUUGUUCUUUUUACUAUUAUUUAUCUAUUUUCAAAAAUGCAAUACUUGAUUUUUUGGAGAAAAUUCAUGUGUCAAUAGAGGCAAAUACAAAGAACCGGUAAAGCUAACUGUAAUCCACAUGUGAGGUUACCAAUCAUUCGCUCCAAUUUAUACUAAGCUGCUAUAUCUUUUGUUUAUUUAUUUUAUUAUUAUUAUUAUUAUUAUUAUUAUUAUUAUUAUUAUUAUUAUUAUUAUUAUUAUUAUUAUUUUGAUACCUAGGGAACUCCAUACAGCCGGUAGCCGGUAGUCGGCGGGUAAACCCUGGAGCGAUACUAGCGGAGGACCCACCACCUUGACGUCACACUUAAGAUCCCGUGCGGCCAGCGGGAUUCAACCUCCUCCACUUUCGUUAGUUUCAUAGGAGAGCCUUAUCCAACUGGACCACCGCAGGCGGUGGUUGUUUAUUUAUUUAUUUAUCAAGACAUGCAUUAAAUUACUUUGUAGGUUUUGGAAUAGUGAGUUAGGGAAUAUGAGUAGUUUGAGUGGAAUUUGAGAUCCAUUUUAUUGCCAGCAUAUAAAAAAGUGUUUUUUUUUUCUAAUAUCAUAGCUGAGUGAAUGUUUUUGUAGACAUUAACACCAGAAGAGAUGGGCUUUGCUUAUGACCAAGAGCAUCGGUUUUGGUGUUUAUGAUUUGACCGUCACUUUUAAAUUUGACAAUGCUAUUGUUCAUCUUUAAAUAAUGCUAAUUACUAGUAUUCCUUCUCUUUUUCUCCUAUUUUUUUUUGGUAAACUUAACAAGAUUGAUAGGUACCAUAUAUUCUACUCAAAAAAUAAUGGGAAGUGGGUUGAUGGGUGAGCAAGGCCGAAUUAUGUGUGUAACAUCCUCAAUCAUUCUUUUAUUGUGGUAUUUUAUAUUUCUGAUUUCGCCUACGUGGAGGGUAAUAGGUGAGACUCUUCAAAUCAGCAACAAGACGCUCCACUCAAAUCUCGCCACGUGUAUCAUAGGGUCCCACCUAAAAGAAAAUUUGAAAUUCCCUCUUUGUCCUCUCCCUCGCUCUCUUCCCUCUCAAUCCCAGCCUUCUCUCUAUUCCUCGGACGAACUGCGCUGCCGCCUCCACCUCUGCCUCCGCCGUCGCGGUCCGGAGCCCAUCGGCGGCUCCGAUCUGCCGUCUACCCAGCGAGCUCGAGUUUGAACCUUCCGUGCGCCCGCUUCGCUCCCAUUACAGCGAAGGUGUCUUUCUCUUCAUUCCCGACCACGUCGCCGCCUCUGCCUCAGCCUCCGCCUCCGCCUCCGCCGUCGCCUCCGGAAGCUCCACCGGCUGCUCCGGUUCGUCGUCUGCGUCCGACGAGCUCAGAUUAGGGUUUUUCCCUCUUUCGCGAUUAUAUCCUCGAGUGUUACUUUUGUGGGGAACCGGUGGAAUUGGUGGCUCUUUGGAAGAAAUUCGUUGUCUGGGAGAUUCUCUCUUUCCUGGCCGGACGUUAAGGUUAUAGAAGAUGCAUUGACUUGAUAAAUUCGUUAUUCCUGGUUUGGUGGAUUUUUUGUUUUUCUGUCAGUUUUCUGGCACUCCCGAAUUUCCGUAUUUUAACUUGUAUUGCAUGUGAGUACGAGUCUUGAGUUAUUUCUGCUGUAAGAGUAUGCUUUUUCAUCCCACUUGCUUUAGCACAUUCCCCUUUGAGAUAUAUAAUGUAACUUCGAUGCGUUUGAAUCGAUUAUGGAAAUUCAAAAAAGAGAAUUGACAGAGGAGGAUGCUGGCUUUAUUGGAGUCAAAUUCGGAGUCUGCUGCACUUGCAUCUGAAAUGGGAACCUUUUAAUGAGUUUAAAAGGGAAUUGAAGCCAGUGUAGACAACUGAAUGUCCGAUGCUGAGUAAUGCUAAACAGAUACUUGCAGCAUGAGCUCAAUUGCAUAACUAUUGAGUACUUAGGAUUUUGAAGCUUGAAGUUACCUAAGUAACAAUCUCAUUCCAAGAAAAACAAGUAUUGCUUGGUGAGCAUUACAUUUUUAAUUUAAAAAUUUCUUAUAUAUAGGAAUUUUGGCUGCGCCGAGUACAAAUUCUGUAAUCGACCAAGGGCAUUUUAUCCCUCUAUGAAGAUUGUUACUAAUGCCUGCUAUUCGAGCUGGCUUAUUAACCCUCUGGAUUGGAAUUGGGUCUGCGAAAUAGAAAUUCUUGCUUGAAUUAGCAGGGCCCUUAGCAACUUUUUAACCUUCUAGAUUGGAUUUGGGUCUGAGAAAUAGAAGUAGUAGCUUGUUCUAGCUGAGGCUUUAACAUCUAUUCAGUUGGCCUACUCAAUAGACCACAUAAUCCUGGGGCCUUAACAACAUUUUAACCCUCUAGACUGAAAUUCUUACUCACCUAGCAUGUCUCAGAGCUUGUAUACUUGACAAAUAUGGUACAAAGCUGCCUAGGUGAGAUGCCUUUCGAUUAAGAAAAGUUCUAGAGGUAUUGUGCGGGUCCUACUUUGAGGUAAAUUUUUGUUGAAUGGCAAGUUGGAUAGACCGCUCAGUCGUGAGAUAAAGUCCUUAUAGAAUCAGCAAGAUGUACGGUAAAAUGAUCUCGCAAAGUGUUAAACAUCAAUCAUGCGCUGCUGCAUCCGUCGACCGUAAAUGGGAUGUUUCCACCUUAGUGGGGGUGCAGUCAGCCUUAGUGGGGGUGCAGUCAGCGUGUGUUCGACUUGAUCAUUGUGAAUUCUGUGUAAUUCAUGUGAAAGGAUUGCGAGUUCUUCUUUGAAAAAAAAAAGAAAAAAAAGAAAAAAAAAAUCUCGGAGUUUAUCUUUGAUUAUAUCCUGAAUGGAAAAAAAUUCAGCAAGUGGUGGAGCUGUCUUCAAUUCAUAGGUUAUCAUUUCUAAUGGAAAUUCUGUCUAUGUCACUUUCAUGCAUUGCUUAGUAGCUUUAGAGUAUUGAGUAUUUCUAGAGAGAUUGCUAUGGUGUUUGUAAUUUCAUCUUAACAAUCUGAUUCCGAGAAAGAAGAUUUAUUGCUUGGCGAGCAUUAUUUUUAUAGUUGAAAGAUUUUUUAUUCGUACUUGUAUUUUCUUUGUAUUUUCAUCUUAACAAUCUGAUUAUGAUAUUAAAAAAAAAAAGUGUUAUCUUGCAGCUACGAUGUCUUCAUCCAGAGUGAAUGAGAGUACUUGCGAUGUUAUUCUAUUACGAAGGUUCCGUCAUGACAUGAGAAACAUUAAGUAUUUGCUUGAGCAUUUGAAAGAUGAACUCAAGAACAUUGAUGAAAAGGUGCAGGGAUUGAGUCAUAAGGUGCGCCAUUUAAAUCUCUUGCUAGUUCGUCUGUUUUUUGUUAUUUUAAUAGGACUACUUGUUCAGAAAAAAGUAGACAGUUGGAACUUAUAAUUUUGCUAGGCUCGAAUCAAACAUUAUGUUGUGCUGGCUUUAGUGGAUACAAUCGCAUUAUCUAAGUUAGUAUAUACCUUUUCUCAUCUCAACUCCAUUCUAAUUUAAUCAGUAUUACGAAGCGCAGGUAAUUUGCUAAACUAGCUGACCAAAGGAAGCUCGUCAUUGCGGGAAGAGCAGGUGCUGCAAACUGAGAGUAAAAUGCCAGGAAAGGAUAAUGGCAUGGGUAACAAUCGUCCUCCAAAAGUCCUACGACCAAGCAUGGAUUGCGCAUUAUAAAGAGCGAGACUAUGUAACAUAUAGUCGCCAUAACAUUCACUCUGAAUUCUCUAAUAUGUAUGCUUACUGCGCCGUCAGGAGAAAAGCAGUAUAUUUAACUGAGUAUGGUUUCAUGAUGAUCUCUCCAUCAACUGUAUCGGGGUCGAUAUGUUUGAUUUGCUGGUCUCCAUAGUGCAUCUAUUCAUGAACAUUUCCUCCGGCAUGAAGUGAGAACAUGAUGUCCAGUCCACACUGCAUUUAAUCAGGAGGAGAGAGAUACACAAAUUUAACUGUUUUGAAGUCGUUUUUGAAGGAACUGAAGGGGAGAGGCUAUUGCUUUAUGACUACCCAAAUUGCCGAAAUGACGAUCCAUGGUUUCAACAAGUAAAUGUACGAACGCCAAGACCAGAAUUGCAACUACCUUUGAUAAAAAAGAACCAGAGCGAAAGUAUCAAAUUGAUGAAUGGAGUACGCUUGUGUUACUGUACGACAAACAAUGAGUGUCAAAAUUCAAAUUUUCUACAUCUCUGUUUGAUCAAAUCUUUCUAAAGCGAGCUUAAAACCUCUUCAAGGAUAAUGUGGAUGAUGCCCUCUUCUAUCGGCUCAUGCAUCUAAAUUUUCGUGUAGAACUUUGGGAAGUAAUUGAUGAGGAUUCCUCCUAUCCAAGAAUUAUUCGUUGCUUCGGUCAAUUGGUAUAUGCUCCUUCCAUCCGAGAAUUAUGAAGGUUCCUCCCAACUAUUUAUGCUACAACCACAUAUUAUCCAUUGCUUUCGAAAUCGUUCAAUUCAUUCAUUCCAGGAUUGUUGAAACGACUUUGGUGACACCGAUAUAAUGAAAUAGCAAAUAUAUCUACAAAAGACAUAUUUUACUAACCAACAUACCUAAAUAAAUAUUUUCUCAAAAGAUGCUGAAUACUUCAAGGGAGGGAGAAAACCCAUUUUCUAGCAAGCUACCUUAUACUACCCUGCGUUUUAUUCAGUAUUUUUUAUUUAAAAAAUAUCUUUAUUCUGAUUAUUAAUGCAUUCAACAUCCAACAUAAGUACAAGUAAAUUCAUAAUAAGGUACGCUUUCAAUCUAAGUGUGACAUAAUCCUAAGACAAUAACAGGAAGGUAUGAUACAAUAUUAACGUGCUUCCUUCUAUCAUUCACAUAUUUAAACAAAGAAAAGAGAAAAUGAUCAAUUCUUUAAUGCAUACAUAGAGGAAACAAUUUUGAACACAAGAAGGUGAGAUAACAUGACUCAACCAUGGACAGGAAUUUUAAAAGAUAAAAUUUCAUCUCAAAGACGCUAUUUGGGUGGUUGUGUCGCAUUUUAAUGUAAAGUGACCCAAUUUAACUCAUUUUAAUCGAAUGGGUUGUGCGCGUCAUGCUCCGGCCAAGCUUUUUUGACCUAGUUAGGAAAUGGUUCAUGUUUGGGUUAACCAGGCACACAGUAUAAGGUACAGGUUGGGCACAUGAUAGAAAAGACCUCAAACUUUAGAAUUUAGUAUGUACUCACAGUUUUGAAAUUUUGGAACCUGGAUCCUUCUCCAACCAUUAAUAUCUAUCUGCCAAGCCGGUUAUGCAUAUUCGUAGAUUUUCUUUGAUACCUCUGGAUAUGAGAAGUUAAUUAGUUACUUGCAGCUAUCCAUAUUAAUGGUGUUUUAGAUACCGAUAAGUGGAAUUUUUGUUACAUAACUUGCAUAACCAGCUAUUUAUAAUUUUUCAGGCAAAUCAAAUUGAUAUGUCACUGUAGGAAAUAAAAAUUUACAUAUGUCCGCGGAUGUCAAAUUGGAUUUUCAAUUUCAAAAAAGAUGUAGCGAAAAAAAUCUCCUUGGGUUAUCUUUUUAUGUUUUGACUAGGCUUGGAUGGAUUAUAUGUUCCCCCGAUUGACUGCACAUUUUUUUUGAGUCCCUACUUUGUAUGUGUUGGAGAUAUAAUACUUCGUUCAGAUAUUCUCUCGUCGUUAUCAUCCUCCUAUCCGUCCACGCUACAUUCUAAUCUAUAAAAGGCUCUAACCAGGAGAAUUUUGGACAAAUUGAUCCAUGUUUUGAAUGUUUAUGAUGCGAUGACACAAAAUAAAUUUUGAGGAGUAAAUUAGUUGAAGAGACUAAUUAGUGGAAAUUUGUAGUUCUUCCCCUCGUCCUUAUACGUAAAUAAGCUUUCUGUUAUUAUACAAAACAUGAGAAAGUAGGGAUUUUUCUUUUUUCCUGUCUAGGUGCUAUUUGAGAAUUCCUUGCGUCAAAUAAUGCUUAAUGUGUAAACGUUGAAAAUAUUGCUCACUCCAGGAAUGAUUCGGUCAAAAUAAUAAAAAAUAUGUAUUAAAAAACAAGGUGAAAGCCCCCUAGUCCCCAUCAUACAUCAAUACAAUUUCAAUCAUGCCGUCAUGAGUAUCGGACACUCUUCAACUCGUCGAAUAAAAAUUGGCAUGAGAUGAAUAUAAAAAUAUUAGUAAAUUUGGGACGAGACAAUCAACUAGUCCUAAAUGAAAAUUAUCUUGCAUGCACAAUAAACAAUAGCAAGAGUGAUCAGACAAACAAAAUAAACAUCAUACCCACACGACAGCAACCAAAAAUGAACAAACAAGACAAGAACCGGGACAAUUCGCUUUCCUACUAAAUGAGUGAACCUUUUGGUUACAUUUUCUUUUUCACUGAAUAACUCUUAUAAUCAAGUUAACCUGAUUGCCGAUGAUGGUGACUUAAUGUUAUGGGCCGAUAUUCCACAGAUGGGAGGUCACGAGAUUGAAGCCAUUUGUGGUGGUCGUGCGUGUAUCUUGUUACGUGUGAUUGGCUAUAAACCUUUGGCACCUUUUUGAGUUCAAUAGUGAUGGGCUCGCCUACUUCCAAACAAUGGGUCUCGAGUGGUGCAGAAUGAUGACCUUCUUGGAAUAAGAAUAACUCAUAGGAGGCGCAAAAUCCUUAAAGUAAGCAACGGGGAUUGAUCCUCCCUCCCCUUUCCCCCCCUGCACGGGAAAACUAAUAUCUGAGAUUGCUGCAGAUGUCGUCAAGAGAUGGAUUGAGCACUUGAAUGGAAGAAAGAUUAACUUAAUUCUUUGACCAGGCAAUCAAUUUGUAAAUGGUUUUUGAUCUGCAAGGUUCAUUUAGAUUUUGGCCGCUGAUUUCGCAUAUUCAAAACCUCGGGUUUUCGAUCCAUUCAUACAUCUGUACAGUAGCUUUUAUUGGAAGAUAAGAAGCUUGUUAUUUUGAAAAUUGACCUGAACAUGUUAAAAGGAUAUUAUCUAACCAAUUUAGGUAUUUAUACGGAAUUUCAUUAUAGAUUUUUUUUUUUUUUUGGCUAGGUAAGGUCUACAUUAUAUUUAUUAAAAGCAAUUCUGUACUUAGAGUUGAAAGUAUAAAUUUUUUGUCAUGACAAAAGCAUUUUCACAAUUAAUUCUCUUAAACAAUACUAAAGGACAAAAAUGGGGAAAAUAUUUCGCACAGCUAAUUUCUCGCAAAACAAUAACUUGGUUGCCUCUGUAGUAUGCAAAUUGGAAUGGGGAAUCCAUACUCAACAUCAACAACUCCGCCUAAAAGCUGGUGAAUUAACGUAAAAACUGGUAAAUCAACGUAAAGACUUGAAGAUAAAAAGAUUUAUGGAACUAGAACCUUUAUAGGGCAGACUGCAAGUGGAAAAUUUUCUUUUCAGAAGCAUAACCGGAUUAUUUCGCGCGUCCACAUAACGAGUAUGUCUUGAAUCUCAACUGUCAAUGCCGCAUGGGAAAAGCAUGUUUCCACGGCGGUCUUGCAAAAUUCCACGAGAAAAUCUUUGCCUUAACUAUUCAUAACGAAGGAUAGAAAAAGUGACGAGAAACCGUAGAGGUUCAUCUAAAAGUUCCAUACUGGCUGUGAAUUACUCGGUUUAAGCCAUAACCGUAGCUUAUUUGACAAAUCAGUCGCUAUUGCAUCACAUGAUGCAAAUUUAAAUAAAGCUGUAAGUGCUACAGUUAAUACAGGCCAGAUCAAAGCCACGUAACCUAGUUUGCUUUUAAUUGGAAUUAAAGAAUUUUGAAUCCAUAUUGAUGUGUUUAGAGUUGGGUCCCAGAACAAUUUAAUCAAAUUAAUCCACAGAUGCUGCAUAAACUCAACCAAUUUCUACUUCAUUUCGGGAUGUUUGUCCUCCACUGUUAGUGUAGAUGAUCAACAGUAUAACCCCAGAGAUACCCUCAGGACAUCCAAACUCUUAUAAUCCUGGAAAUUCCCAUGGAAAGCCGCCACCUUGCCUUGAGAAACCACCAAUAGCUCAUCUGCGGUUCCAGGUAUUAGAUGCUCGUCGUGACUAACCUGCAAAUCAAGGCGAAGAGAGGGCUGUCAGCUGCGAAAUGAUCCAUCCUAGCAACAAGACCGGACCUUGAAUGAGCGCCUCAUCCAAAUCCUACAAUUGGGUAUAGUGGAAAAGCCAGAAUCAUAUCUAUUUCGAGACAAGAAACGAACGAUAUACAAAGAUGACACUUGAGUAGCCACUGCUCAUUAAAGCAAAACUAAGAGAUAAACAAGAAAAAGGUCCACAUUCAUUAUGCGCAAAGCCCAACACUGCCUAUAACCACAAGCAUAGGAAUCACCUGGUAUUAUAAAUUACUGUAAUACAAAAACACUGAUCAGGCUAGCAGAACCAUUCUAUUCCCAACAUUUUGCAAGUUGGAAAAACUAGAUUGGUCUCUAUUCCAUUAUAAGUUAGAAGCAUAAUGACAGAGGCUCCCUAUAGCUAUGAUCACUUAUAGGUUUUACUGUAUUUUCAAUGUAAAUACUAGAUUCCGAUAAGUUUAAUUAGUGCAAGAACAAUAACAACCUAACUGAACAAAGAAAAAUGAGUAAACUUACCAAAUGAUUGGAUGGCUUGUCAAGCAAAACUAUGCGAGGUUUCUUGAAAGUUAUCUUGGCAUAUGCAACUCUGCUUAUCUAACCACCUAUUUACAUGGUCAAAGCAUCAUGUCAUAUGUGCAAUAACAUCCAAAAAGCUUUGGAGCAAAUACACAGUGAACAACAAUUGAGGUUACAUAUUAACUAACCCCCAAUAGAGCUUCAUGAUGUAACACGAAAAUUGCUUCAAAUUUUUUUUCACGUGCAACAAUUGAAGUGCGGGAUUUCCAGUUAGACCAAAGGAACCCAAGUGAGUUCAGGAAGGAUGCCACAUAAGAAGGUAAUUUCAGAUACAAUGAAAUGAUGUAUGAUGAAUUUAAAGAACUGACAAGAUUUGCCCCAGAGGUCAACAUUGACAAUGCAAACCCACAGGUAGGCAGGAUGUCGUUACCAUCUCAACCAAAUAAGCAUGACUAUAUUGGCUAAAAAAUUUCUAGCAAUCUGUAGGUAAUAAUAGUUCCUAACUCAACAAAGAUCAAGACCCAAACAGAAGAUGGCUUAUGAACAUUGAUCCUAUCAUGAAUUUGUGUUGCAUUGAAAGCUUAGAGCCAUGAGCGCCCCAAAUAGACUGCUUAAUAAUAUGAAGGAUCAUCAUCAACAAAAAAAAGGUUCUUGAUUCUAAAGAAAACCAUAAUUUAAAAAAAAAAAUUGCAUCCUUUUUUGUCACAAUCAUAUCUCAGCUUCCACAUAACUAAUCCUGUUUUUAGAUUUUGAGAGAGAUUAUUCUUAUUUAAAUAAUGAUUGCUAGAAGAAUAUUUAGAACAUAUCAAUGCACAAAUAAAUUUAAAUGCUUCUUCCUUUCUUGUAAAUUGUAAAAAAUGACACAUAACAUUGACAACAUUAGCCCUACCUCGAUAGUUUUCACAAGUGUCCUUCCAAGAGAUUUUGCAAAUACAGAUGACAAUGGCAUCUGCAAAACAAUCAAAGUGGAUGAGCUAGGACACGAGAAAAAAAAUGUUGGGAAGAGAGCAUACAACAGAUGCUGAAAAUGCAGAGGAAUAUGAUUGUGGAACACCAUUGAUUCUUUGUGAUUCUCAUGUAUUUGAAUAGAAGGAGGAACUAUAAUCUUUGACCAAGCUACGCAAGGCCUGCAUUAUAGUUAGUAAAAGCAAUUCUAUACUUAGUGUUGAAUAUAAAGUUUUGUUGACCGUGAUAAUAUUUUCAUAAUUAAUUCUACGAAACAGUGCCAAAGAGUGAAAAUGGGGAAAAUAUAUUAAUACAGCUUUCUCACAAAAUAGAUUUCUUACAAAAUAAUUUACUGUGCUAAAAUAUUCUUUUGCAAAUGAUUAAAUCAUUUUGGUGUGCAUGGGAAAGCUGACUGUGGCGGCAAUAGAGUAUCAAAUAUCCAGGGGCACAACAAAUGAACCUAUUGCUAGACCAAUAUGUGCAAAGAAUCAUAAAUUAUACCAGGAUUGCAAUCCCAACUCAGUUCUUAAGCUAUUGUAAAUGAUGCUGCAUGCUUGAUGUAAAAAACUUAGACUCAUCAUUCCACGAGCCCUUAUCAAGGAUAAAUGACAAAUGAGGGCUGGUGUAACUGAGAGUCCAUCCUAUAUAUCGGCAACAAUCCUCUCUUCAUCCUUUUUUUGCUUUUUUUUUUUUUUUUUUUAUGUAGCCAAGCCUCAUUUUCUAUUUUGUGAGGUAAUGUGAACCAGUGAACCACUCUUAAUUGAUGUCAAUAACUAGAUUCACCUGAUUCAACAAAAACUGGAGCAUAUUCCUAUAGUCUUGGAAAUUCCCAUAGAGAUGUGCCACCUUGCCUCGUGAAACCACCCAGAUCUCAUCCAAGCUUCUAGCUAUUAGAUGCUCAUCGUGACUAACCUACAAAUCAAGGUGAAAAGAGGGCCUUAGCUAUGAAAUGAUCCAUCGUUGGUCAAAUUGAAGUAUUUUGACAAGAAAAUCAAUCUCACCAUCAGAAUUACUCCUAGGAAGAAGACCAGACCUUGAACGAGCGCCUCAGCUACAUCCAAAUCCUAUAGUUGUGGAUAGGCAAAAAAACAGAAACACUAAUCAUUAGACAAGAAAAGAACACUUUACAAAGAUAAUUCUUUAGUCAUUUGUCAUUAAAGCAAAACUUAAAGACCGAAUUUAUAAACAAAAAUGGGUCCACAUAUUUGUAUGUAAAGCCCAAUACUACCUAUAGGCACAAAGAUUAGUACCAUUUGGUGUGCUAGAUUACUCUAUUCCGAAUAUUUUCCACAUUGGAACAAUUAGAUUGGUUUCUGUUCCAUUAUUUGCUAGAUGUAUGAUGACUAGGGCUACCAGCAGCUGUGAACACUAAUUGGUUCUACUAUAUUUUUAAUGUAGAGACAAGAUCGAUAAGUUCAAUUAGUGCAAGAACAAUAACAAGCUAACUGAAAAAGUAAUCAAAGUCAAAAAAUGGAGAAAUAUGAGUAGAACUUACCAGAUGAUUGGAUGGCUUGUCAAGCAAAACCAUGCGAGGUUAAUUGAAAGUUAUCUUGUCAAAUGCAACUCUGCUUUUCUAAUCACCUAUUUACAUGGUCAAAGCACCAUGUUAUAUGUGCAAAACAUCCAAAAAAGCCUUGGAGAAAGUACACAGUGAACCACAAUUCAGAUUACAAAUGAUCUAACUUUUAAUAGAGCUUCACAAUGUCAUGAGAACAUCGCUUCAACAAAAAAAUUAUACAUGCAACACUAGCACAGAGAGAGGAGAUAUACCAAGCAAGAUACAAAUUGGUUGAAUUGCAAGAUUCCCAGUUACUCCAAAAGAACCCAUGUCAGCUCAAACAUUUUGUUCCAGAACUCCCUAUGAGAAGAAUGCCACAUGAGAAGGUAUUUUAAGAUAAAACGGCAUAAUGUUCAUAUUCCACGGUCCAGCAAACGGAAAUGCCAACCCAGAGGUCACCGUUGACGAUGCAAAUCGAGAGGCAGGCAGCCUAUCAUUACAAUCUCAACCAAACCGGCAUAAGUAUAUUUGCUAAAAAUUUCUAGCAAACUGUGAGCAACAGUUCCUAAAACACCGAAGUUCAAGACCCAACCAGAAAGCGAUUUAUGGAAUAUCAAUGAUGUCACGCAAAAUCUUGGAGCCAUGGGCUGCCUUAGAAUUUUAUCCUAGAUUGACUGCUUAAUACUAUGAAGAAUCAUCAUAAAAAAAGAAAAAAGAAAAAAAAGUUCCCAAUUCUUAAGAAAACCAUUAAAAGAAAAAGCCGCAUCCCUUUUCUUCACAAUCACAUCAUAGCUUCCACAAAACUAAUCAUCCUUUUAGAUUUUGAAAAAUAUUUGUUCUUAUUUAGAUCAUAUUCACUAGAAGGAAAAUUCAUAAUAUAGCAGUGCAACAAAUAUAUUUAAUUGCUUCUUCCUUUUUUGAUAAAUUGCAAAAAAAAAAAAAGAAUAAAUAAAAUGAAACAAGACAUUGACACUAACAGCAUUAGCCCUACCUCAGCAGGGUUAGCACGUGAUCCUUCCAAGAGAUUCUACUUAUGCAAGAUCACAAUGGUAUUUGCAAAACAACCAAAGUGAAUGAGCGUAAGGGCCCAAGAAAAAAGAUGUUGGGAAGAGAACAGACAAUAGACGCUGAAAAUGCAAAGGACUAUGAUUGUGGAAUGCUACGAUUCUUCGUGAUGGUGCGAUUUCAUUCACAAUUGGUUUGGGCAUCAAGCAUAAAUGAGGAUAUGUCAUCAACAUAGCAAAAGGCAGCACUGCGAGCCUUUCAUCCUACAGUUUAUCGCCCAACGAAACAGAGCCUCCAAUCCAACGAGAUCCCCCACCCAAACAUCAAUUUGUAUUGAGCAUCGAAUUGAGAAAGUAGAAUGGAAAAGAAUGCCUUCCAAACCAAAAAUAACUUACUCGAACCCUAAGAAAACUAACUAUAGUGUAGAUGCAUGAAUCAAUUCAUCGGAUCGACUGGUAAUCAAUCCAGAUGGCAGGGAUCUCUUCAAUGAGGGGCCAAUAGUCACCAGUGAGUUUUGCACAUCUCUCUUUUAGAAUCUCGCAUCUCUCUAUGGACAAUUGUUGGAGGGAGGGAGGGAAGCCAUCCUCUGGCAAGUACCUCAACUUGGGGCACUUAAAAAUAUAUAACAUUUGGAGAGAGGAGAGAUGGUUGCGGAGACCACUCGAUAGUCUUUUUGCGUUUCUCAAAUCAUAUAUCUCAAGAUAGGUUAGAGAGGAAGGAAAGAGACUCCAGGCAUCCUCAUCCUCCGAAGGAAACAAUUCCUUCUGUCCCUCCCCUCCCAUGUUAAACUCAACACUUAGCCUCUCGAGAGAUGGGAGCAGGUGUAAGCCCCACUCUCUCACCGGUUGCUUCAAAUUCAUGAGCCCCCAAAUUUUAAGGUCUCGCAAUUUGAGAGGCAGACCUCCUUUGGGAAAGCAUUUGAUAUUUUGGCAAUUGAUAAUUAUUAGCUUUUGAAGGGAUGUAAGAUUAUGCCACUGAUUUGGUAGGGACUUCAUCAUCGGACAACUCCAAAGUGUAAGACUCUGUAGGGUGAUGGGAAGGCGUGGGAAGUCCUCUAUCUCCAAUACUGGACAAUCAUCAAUUGUCAAUUCAGUGAGGUUGUUACAAUUGACAAUGUUACAGUUGGCAAUAGACUUUAUCUUAGAACAAUUAAAAAGAUCAAGACUUGAGAGGGUGAUGGGAAGGGGAGGGAAGUCCUCUAUCUCUAAUGCUGGACAAUUCCAAAUAGACAAUUGAGUGAGAUGGGAGAGCAUGUGAAGGCACUGUGGUAAGCUUCCCAUAGUAUGACAACCAUCAAUUUUCAUUGUUUCAAGCGAUUCUACAGCAAUCCCUUCCAACGACUCCACUCCCUUGCAGUUGAUUAUUUUAAGUGCCUUCAGAGGGGCAAGUCUACCCUUGGCAAAUGAAAAGGAUAUUGGAGAAUAAUAGUUAUACAUCAUAAGAGAUUCAAGUUGAGAAAUCGAAUUAUUGUUGCUUGGGUCACCUUGAGGAAUGUUUAGAGCCAUGAUUUUUGGACAAUUCUUAAUCACCAAAUGUCUAAGUAUGUGCAUCUUACUUGGAAGCUUUUCUAAACUUGUGCAACCCAUCAAUUCCAUCCUUUCAAGAUUACAGGGUAGCUCUAUCACUCCGUCUCCUGCCACAAAAGAUGUGAAUCGAGCACACCUUUCAAUGGUUAAUUCCUGAAGGCAAGUGAGAUUUUGCAUUUCAUUUCCAUCUUGCCACAAGCAUGUUAGCUUGUCACACUGUCCUAUAUGAAGCUUCUUUAGGUUGCCCAUGUAGCUCAUAAAGCCAUGAUCAAAGCUGACAAGCUCUAUAAUACUCUCAAUUCUAAGAAUGGUCAAAGAAGUCAGGUUGGCCAAUCUCUUUAAAAUCUCCUUGCUACAAUCCUUGAUGUAUAACUCAUUGAGAGAUGGAAGAUAAACCUCACUAAUCGGGUUAUUGAAUUGUAGGCAUGAAUGAAUUUCCAGCUUUAUAAGACAAUUAAGUUCAUAAGGCAAUGUCCCGACCAAUGAAGGACAGUUUCGGACAACAAGAUGCUGAAGACAGGAGAAUGGGACUUCUUCUUUUGGGGCCCUGGCAUAAGGAGACCAAUCCUUCCAUGUCAACAUCUCUUUGAACUUCAAAGUGAUUAAGGACAAAAAAGGCUUUUUACCUCCAUAAAAUUCAGAAUCUAUUAUUGUUACUGCAUCGAGACCUUCAAAAGAUAAUUCUCUCAAUGAAGGUAGCUGUCCAAGUGAGGGCAAUGAUCUGACAUUAGGACAGCUCAGGAAGCACAAAGACACUAUGUUUGAAUAGGAGGGACAAUUUAACCAUGGCGGGAAUUUUACACCACCAUAGUAAGAGAUAGUGAGAUUUUCAAGAUUUGUGUGAGGUUGCAAAAAAUCAAGCACCUGGACAUAGUGCUUAUCAUUCCAGAGAUUUCUAAAGUCUUUAUCCCAUUGCAAGAAUAAGUUGCUUAGGCCUUCCUUUGUUGACAAUUUAGCAUCAACACAAUCUUUGACAUCUUUCACAUUUUGCAAUUCUGAUAUGAAUAAUUCUCCUUGAAGAUGCGACAAGUUCUCUAACUCCUUUAAUCGUAGCCCUUUCUCUGUUCCUAUCACAAACUUGGACAAGAUAGUAAGAUUCUUCAAGUUACCAAUACCCAAUGGCAUCUCUUUUAGAUUUUCAGCAUCUCUAAUAUCGAGAAAUUGUAAGCUGACCAACUUUGUGGUACCUUGAGGUAGCAUUGAAAGUUCAUGACAACCUCUUAAGAUCAAAGCUUGUAAUUUGCACAAGCCCACAAUUGACUCAGGUAGCCUCUUGAUAUAAGUGUACGAGAAAUUGAGGUAUCGAAGAUGUUUUAGUUCACCAACACAAUUCGGUACCUCUACGAUGUCACAAUGACAUAAUGAGAGCACCCUCAAGUACUUCAAGUUUGAUAGCAAGUCAUGCAACACCUUGUUGGAAAUAGAGAGAGAUUCCUCACUAGAUCCAACACACGCUAAAAUUAAACUUCUCAUUACCUUCAUUUUGUGAUAUGCUGUCAAGCACUUUGAUGUCACAAACUGUGACGAGAAGAAUGAUGCAUAACGGGCUUUCUCAAUUUCAUCUUCACUAACUAUUGGCUGAGACUCUCCAAAGCUAAAGCAUGUCCCACCCUCAAUUGACUUUGCUAGAUCAUUCAAAAGAUCAUGCAUUGAAAACUUAGAUGCAUCAACACUUGAUUGUUGAAAAAAUGAUCUAGAUACUAACUCAUUGAAGUAAUUCCGUCCUAAUCUCAAUUUGUUCUCCUCUAUUUUUUGUUGAUCUAAAAAUCCCUCCACUAUCCAUAAGAGCACUAGCUCAUCCCUCUCAAUUUCAUAAUCUUUAGGAAAUACCGCACAAUAAGAAAAACAUCUCUUCAAAUAGGGAGGAAGAUGGAUGUAGCUCAAUUUCAAAAUAGGGAGAACGUCAUUCUCUAUCGUCAGAAGACCCCUUGUUAUUUUUUUUAAGGUAUCUUCCCAUUCAUUAGGUUUCUCUUUAUUACAUAGGGCGCCGCCCAACAUCUUCGCUGCCAAAGGUAAACCUUUACAUUUUUCAGCUAUUUUCCUGCCUAUUGUUUCCAAUUCUGGGUGGUUCUCAAAGUUUGCUUCUUCAAAAGCAUGAAAGGCUAAUAAGCUUGCACAAUUAUUGGGGGACAACUCCUUUAAAAAAUACGCCGAAGCUCCUUUUCUAAAAACAGUAGGAAGGUUGCGAGUCGUGACAAUGAUCUUGCUUCCCCUAGCCCCCGCUUCAAAUGGCCUUAAGAGUGUAGUCCAUCUUUCAUAGUUGUCAUUCCAGAUAUCAUCUAAAACCACAAGAAACUUCUUCCCAGAUAGACUGUUCCGCAACUUACCUUGAAGCCUGGCAAGAUCUUCGUCCUUUGAGGCCUUCUCGGUGAUUGAGUGCAAAAUAUUUUUUGUUAUGUUGAAAAUAUUAAAAACAUCUGAAACACAAACCCAUGCUUUCCUCUCAAAAUAUCUAUUCACUUUGACAUUAUUGUACAGAUGCCGAGCCAAUGCCGUCUUUCCAAUACCGCCCAUCCCAACUAUGGGGACUAUUCUUAGCGUGGCAUCAGAAUUUUCAAUGUCAUUGGUCAAUAGUUCAAGUAUAUCUGAUUCUUCCUUCUCCCUACCUAAAAACCCAAGCUCCGGCACAUAAGUGGUUGAAUCCCUUUUGCUGGUGUAGUUGGAUAUGUCCUCAACAUUCUUUCUCAAGUUUAGACUACCCGUUCCAAUGACAAUCUUUGCCAAUCUAUCAUUGAUCUCUUGUAUUUUGGUUUCAAACACAAGCGAGCGUGGUCGGCCAAAGAGAGAGAACUUCCAUUUCUCCAAAUUUCUAUUUGUGCUGGAUUCUACCCCCGACUCAACCCGAGCGACUUUGAUCUCAAACUCAUCGAGCAAGUCAUCCAUGUCAUAGGCCAAGUCUGUAACACUAUCUAGCCACAGCUUCACCUCAUGGUUACCAUCGAGUUGCUUGUUCUCUGCAUCAGCCAACCUUGCCUUGAUUUUGACCAGCUCCCCCUUCCACUCCUUAGGCAAGGUGGUGCUAAUUCCUUCCCUUUGUGCAUAAUUCAAUGCGGAAGAAGUCAACUUAUCGAAUAGGACUUGAAGGAAUGAAGCCAAAAAGGAACCCAAAAUGAUCCCUCCAAUGUCCAUAAGUGAAUCAGUCACUGUAAACAACAACAAAGAUGUUAUGAUGAAGCAAAGUGACAAUGAGCUAAUGGAGAGAGAAAACUAUGAAGUCCAAGAAGACCAAGACUUUCAAGGGAUGCACAUUAAAGGUUAGACAAAUCAAAAUGAAAAUACUAUUUGUCCACAAGUGUUUGUUACGUCAAUUGCUCUCCUUAUUCUUCGGAUCCAGACUUUUGGCUGUUAGACCUUUAUUUUUUGCCAUCCAAAAACAAAGUCUUAAUAUGACCAACUUAGAGUGCAUGCAUAUUUUUUUUUCAUAAUUGUUAUCACUCACGUGUGUUUUGUUGGCUUUUUUAGCGUUUGUAUAUUCUUAGUAACCUUAUAAUUUCAAUGUCUUUGUUUUCUACUUUCUUGGUAGAUGUGCAAUCAACGACGUCUUUUACAUGCCAGUUACUGUGCUAAAGAUUCGCAGCAAGAUGAGCAACAAUGAUUUUUGAAGGGUGUUGAGGUAGUGCUUGAUGAUCGGGAAUCGCCUCGAUGGGAGAAUCAUGGUCCUUUGAACACGAUUUUCAAGUUCAUUAGUGCGAUGAGUAAGUGCAAUAUCCGAUAGAUUAUAUAUUGUUUAUACCGGCCUUGUUUACCAUUUCCAACGUAAGAUAAAGCAACUUGCUUAAUGGAUUAGUUGCUAUGCUUAUCCCUUUUUCUUGUUUAGUGAUGAAUGAAGCUGACCAAAUUAAUAGGAUAAGCAAAUAAGCAUAUUUGUGCAACUCAGUAAAAUAAAUGCUUUUGAAACAUAACAUAUUGAGGAUCCACCCAAUAAUGGCAUCUUAUUUUCUAUUAUAUAUAUACAUGUCAUCAACACAGUUAACUUCGUCUAUCCACUAUGGAGAAUAGAAACACGUGCUUUGGGCUAAACAAGAAAAAUGAUCCAGCGCACCGAAUAAUUCCUUAAGCAACUUUCUUUAUUUUACUCUGCUAACAGUGAACAAGUCACAAAUCACGAAAUGACAGUGUAUAAUCUACUGAGAAUUAUACUCUACCCAUCACCUAUCAACAGGAAAAUUGAGUUCAAAGGACCAUGAUUCUCGCAUCAAGCAAUUCCCGAUCAUCAACUACUAAAUCAUCAUCUUUCAGCAGAUAUUGCCGCCCGUCUUGCUGCAACUUUUUUUCACAAGUGCUUGUUUAGUGAUCCUUAGAGAUUAACCCAAGGCAUUUGUAGUUUCCACAAUUAUAUACUUGUUCAUGUAAAUAAAUCAUAAACUCAGGAAGACCAAGACUUCACUGGAUAUCAUGAACUCUUUUGUCAUGAAAGUGAAGCAAAAUUGAUAAAGAGCUCAUGGGAAAGAAAAUUUAAUAAAAUCUAGGAAAACCAAGACUUAUGGAGAUGCAAAUUGGAUUUGUUGCUUCACUUUUCAAAUCCCUCCUCUUCCGUUCCCAUUCAAAUGUCUUUUUUACAUUACUAGUAGAAUUUCCAAGUGUUACGUGGGCAUUAUUUUUGUGUGUGUGUGAAUGAGAUUUUAUUUGACAAUUAGCACUGAUUAUUGUUCUCUUGCUCAAAAUUUAUAAUACUAUAAUUUUAGUCCAACAUUAAUGAAUGAUUAAUCAUAUUGUGAGUAAUCAUUAAUCUCUGUUGUACUUGUCUAUUGGAAUUAUGUCUAGAUUUCCAUUUAUCUUUUCAAAUAUGAGUUUAAUAAAUGGAAAAAGAGCAAAAAGAAAAACUAAAAAAGAAAAACAGCAAAAACUGAUAAAGAAAAAAAAAUGCAGGAGUGGGGUGAUAAUAUUCUUCACGACUCGCGGGGAGUUCCACUUCACAUUUUUGUUUUGUUUUUUUUUUUUUUUUUAGUGAAGAUGCAAUCUAAAUUUGUUAAUAUGCAAGAUAUGAUUUUCCUAGAUUUUCCAAAUAAUAACAUGUGAUUUAUGAUAGGAAACAUGUAAAAAAGAGAAUUAAUAAUAAUGCACUCCAAAAAGUCUGGAUGCGCAUGAUAAUGCUUGUCCAUGAAAAUUCUAAGUUUUCUAAUAUAAUUAUCCUGAUAUGGAUAUAAUACAAUUCUAGCCUAAUAUGUAAUGAAAAAUCAUAAAAUAGAGGUCCGAGUUUUGGCUCAAACAAUUAUGCGUGCAGAUAUAUCACCUGAUUAAAACAAAACUAAUAAAUCACCAUGAAUUAUGCAAUCAAGCUGGGUAUAUGACAUCAACUUUCCCCAAUUUUGCUAUUAAACUUGCUGCAUCAGUUCAAGGAAAAAGAGAGCAGGUAGAUAGAUGUCUUUUACCUAUUCCAAGUAGACUUCCUGGAGCCGACCAGGCGAACAAGAUAAGAUCCACAACAGCAAUCCAGCAAGCACGAGCGCUAGGUUUGGCAGUUCACUGUGUACGCAUGCGUAUUCAGCUACCGCAAUGCGUGGUCGAUGCUUGCAACGACGAACGAUGGUAUUGAUUGAGCGACGACUAGAGAUGGUGGUGAUUGGCGACAAUCGAUAUGCAUGCAAGAGAUGAAUUGAAUGAGAAUGGAGUCUGUGGGCGUGAGUUUAAUGAUGAUGAUGAUGGUGGUGGUGGUGGCGGAUGAAGAAAAAGUGAGGCGGUGUGGUUUUAAAGAAAGGAGCAGGAGAACCAAGAUGAAUUCUGCCGUAUGUGUUUUCCUCUCGGGGGUUACCGUUUUAUCUUUGCUUUUCUUUUAUUUCUUUUUUAUUUGGGGAAUAAAUUUGAAAGAACCUAAUCCUAUUUGUCGAAAUUCUGGUAUAUGCUUAUAAAAUGCUUUAAUUCCAAUAAACUUCUUCUUUGGGAGGAAAAUCUGUUCCAGUUUUCCAAAUAUAUAUGAAAAUCACUUUUGGGCAGAAGUUAGGUAUCGACAAGUUUUAACAAUUAAAUGAUUAUUGUUGAGCUAUUUAUACUUAUUUUGGCAACUUGAGAUUUCUUAAUUUUUGGAUGUGUGGAGCUGUCAGAUGAUCCUUUCCAGGUGUGGCUGUAACCGCCUGCUUAUUGCCCACGUUUCGCCUCUCUUUGUAGAGGAAUGGCUGUGGAGGUUCAAACACUAGGAUUUGUACCAGACUUCUGCUCCUUUUCAGAUUUUCCAUUAUGUUCCUCUUUUGGAUCGAAUCGAGUCAAUUCAUUUUGUUUUGCUCCAUCAAAGUAAUCUAAGGGUGUGUUUGUUUCGAAAAAACUUAAGAUUUGGAUUACAUUUUCCCAAAAAUGACGAGUUAUAUCAUUCAAAAAAAUUGACCAACACAAAAUAUUUUUCAUUGCCAACAUCAAUGUAUACCAACCUAUUUUGGUAAAUGAUGAAAAAAAUUAAUUUGUUCAUUUUUGUAAGCAAUAAAUCAAUCAGUUUUUUUAAAAUAUAUUCUAAAUCUUGAGUUUUCAAUGAAACAAAUAUAUUUUAAUUAUUUGAAGUUUUUAUGUUCCUACAUUAGACAAGGUAAAGAGUAGAAAUCAAAUCAGUUCGACUUAAAGAGUCAUGGAGAUUUUAUAAGAGUCCAAACAAAUUUCACAAUUCAAUAGAUUCGAUGGUUUUUGUUAUCCAUGCUUGUCAUGACUUCAGUUUACCCUAGGAUGAGAGUAAUAAUGGAGGCUAUGCAUAUGCUAAAAUAAUUAUUGGAUCAUGUUCACCAAUAGCGACCAAAGAUGGGUCCCAUACAUGCUAAAACAAAAUGAUGGAACUGGGAGGGCCCUACAUUAGCCUUUUUUUUUUUGUCACCAUAUCCAAUCAAGCAUAGGAUUUAGGACUUGACCCUUCGAGGAUCCCCCACCAAAAACAAAAAAACAAAAAUCUCUAAGGCACUCAUUUGUAUUUCAUCCGCCAAUUAUUAAAGGCUGAAAUGAAAAUGUUCACCAUUUUUCAUUCGAAAAAGAAGAGCAUUUAAGACUCAUAUGGUAUUACUAAUUGUUAUCAUAAAAUUAGUCCAUAGUAUUUCAAAUACUUUUAUUAAUCAUGUUUUAGAUAUUGUAGGUUCUAAGAAUUAACCAAAGGCGAGAAUCUAAAUAUGCACGAGCGGAACAUGUAAUGUGUGUGGACAUGGAAUGACUCGAGGGAUUUUGUGACAUCCUCAAUUUCAGGUUCUGAUUUCGAUCGGAUAAGUUGGGCAUUUCAUCAACGCGACUAUAGUGCUUUUCUCUUUGAUGGCCACCCAUGAGAGAACUGACCUAUCAGGUAAAGCCAUUAAGUGAUUUAAUUGCAAUAGACUUGAGAAUUCGAUCAUGAAUUGAUUACUCAAUCGUGCUAGUUUGCACGGAUUAUUAUAGCACAAUUAAAAAUUGAUUAGAGACCGGAGAUAGGUCGAUUCGACUAAGAUGUGUGAUUAAAGUGUGGGUAAUUCCACCUGGUUGCAAAAUUCUCGUCGAUCGGCACUAAACCGAUUUUUUGUCGUUUUGGAUACCUUGUGUCCAUAUUUGAAAUCUCGAGAUUUUCACGACCAUCGAGAGUCGUCAAUGUGUUGAAGAGGUAUGAAUGGUUCAAAGAAAAUCGACCACGGGUUGAUUGCACAAAAAUUUCCUAAAAGUUGUCCGGUAGGCUAAGUCACGCUAAAAUCGCAUCUGAUUGAAAUUAAACACGAAUUUGAAUUCGAUUUCAGAAAUUGAAGAUUCUAUCGUAUCACAAGUCAUUUUAGGAACGUCGACUCAUCUUUCGAAGAAUUUUUGGUGAGUUCGAGAUUUUUACUGAAAAUCUAUAUGAACGUUUCGAAAAACAAAUGGAAAUUCGGAUUGGCCAAUUUGAAGAGAUUUUUGGCAUAUGGUGUGCGGGAAUAGGUGAAAGGAAAUUUCAUGGGCUUUUUCCGCAUUAAAUCGGACCUUAAUCAGAGAAGUUUGUUCAAAAAUCGGAUUCCGAGAAAAAUGAACUAGAAUUCGGUUUCGAGGGAAAUUCGUGGGAUAGAGGGACCGUCUCAUCUUGGUCUUCAAUGAGACUUCAAAUUGUAUAAUUGGUGAAGAAAUUGGCAUUAGGAUGACCAAUUGACAAAGUGUUUUGAAGUUGAUCAAGAUUAUAAUUUUGGUUUUAAUGUAUUUUUCCUUUUUUCCCUUGGUCCUAUGCCGCUUCACGUAUACCCCCCUUGGCCACACAUUUUUCUCUUUUCUUUUCUCUCACUCUCUCUCUCUCUCGGUUCGUUGCCCCACCGACAGCCCUUCUGCAAAGUCUCAAUUUCAUUUUUUUCUCCUUUGACUUUUGGUCUAUUCUUAUCCUCUACCUUCGCACGUUUCUUUUAUUUUCUCACUCUCUCUCUUCGCUGGCUUGGACGAUUCCUUUUCCCCCUUGUAUUCUAUUUUGCUUGCAAUUCCUUUCCCAUUUGUUCUCUACCCCACCGUUGCCACAGCUUCACGUGCUGCUCCUCUUGGGUCAACGGCAGCACAUAUUCUGGACCAAGUUCGAUGCCCCAAUCGGGCCCGUCUCCACUGCAUCGAAGUCGCCCUCUCAUCCGCCUACGUCAGCCCGCCUUCGAAGCAAGUUCAACCGCCCAUUCCAACAAGUUCAGCAACCUAUUUCAGCACGUCCAGUAGCCGUAGCUCGGCCCAGUUCAUGACCGUUUCAGUCACAACCACACCCCCACCCACGGUAGUCGAUUCUAGCCCGAGCUGUGCCCAAAACAAUCGCCAUUACAGCUCUUUCAGCCCUUGAUCAGUGGCCAAAAAUAGCAAGGGUUUGUGGGCAUCGUGGCCUAUUUUUUAGCCCGUCCCAGCGUUGCUUGGCGGUCCCACUUUGGAGGUUGUCGUUCCUCGCUGCGACCCCAUCGUUUUGAUCCAGGCAGAUCAUUAAUUUAGUGAGUUUAACACACUAAUUCUCGCUUAGUAGGUUAAUGACUCUUAAGGGCUGAUUAGAUUAAGUUAAACAUGGUUUAAGUGGAUAGUUAGAUUAGAUUAGUAAAUUUAAUUAUUUGCUGAUGCAUAUUAGGUGGUUAGUUAGUGCAACUAGGGCCUAAACAAGCUCUAGUAUUUAUCUAGAGUGACUAAAAAAUUUUCUGGGUCCGUUUCGGUGUUCAAUUAGACUUUUUUGGGCCUAAGUUGAUUUAUUGGUAUUCAUUCAAUAUUUUAUGUAUUUAUUUAUUUAUUUAUUUAUUUAUUUUUCGAAAAUUAUACCGGGAUAGCUGGUGAUCGGAAUUUUAUGCUGAUUGUUGUGGUGUGGUUUGUUUAUUUAUUUGAGCUCUAAUUUGUGCUGAAUUAGUUUAAUUGUGAUUUUAGGAUUUUAUUCCUCAAUUAAUUAAUUUUGGUAAUUAAUUAGAAAAUUACUAGGCGUCGGUUCUACUGUGCCAAAAAUGUAAUUUUGGACUAUUGAAAGUAGUGUGAAGAUCAAAAGUGAAAUUAUUGUAUUUUGGCUAAGACCGACCGUGUAUCCACACACGAUAUUUUUAUCGAGUAUAAUAAAAAUGGUAAAUUGGUUGUAUGGUGGAAGUGGUAUACUAUAAUGGCCAGGGGGCCCUAAUUUAUCAGCUUUGGGCGAGCAUAUAAAUAGUAUACCAUAUUAUUAGCUUUGGGCGAGUAAUUUAUUAUCAGCUUUGGGUGAGAAUAUAUAGUAUACUAUAUUGGCCUGAGGGCCUAAAUUAUUAGUUUUGGGUGAGCAUAUAUAUAUAGUAUACUAUAUUAUCAACUUUGGGCGAGCUAUAUUAUCUAUUUUUUCAGCUUUGGGCGAGCGAUCCAGUAUUGAUAGGACAUUAUAGAUAGUAUUGAAUGUACCGACUAGGGAAAAGUCGUGGUGACAUGUAAUCGAUUGAGUCGAUUGAUCGAUGGUUUGAUCUAGUUGAAUAAUUGUUGAAUUCUAUUAUUUGACAGAAAGGAACUUGGACCAAGGUAAGUCCUCUAACCCGUAUUGUGCUUAGACAGUCCUUAAGGCGUAUUGGCUUCCUAAUUGAGUCUUAGGGGAUAGAACUCACUGAGACAUUCUCACUGGUUAUUGUAUAGCCAUUUUCAGGUCCUUAGAUGGUGUUGGUGAAGGACCGAAAGCCCUAAAGUCUGAGAAGGUGGAGAUCAAAGAAUCGGCGAACGUGUCUAACUGACAAUCCCCUUUUUGGUUAAGGCGAUACUUUUGUAAAUAGCCUAGUUUGUAAAUAAACCUGCUUGUCUAUAAAAGGUUUAUUUUGGUUAUGGAAAAUUGGUGCUACUUUCCUAUCCCAUUAUUUUAUUGUCUGAGGAUUAUUUAUAUGCUUUCGCGUACGUACUAAAAUGAAUGGGUCGGUGAUGCGUCCUAAGACGUUGCUAUUUAAUUGACCAGUGAGGGAUGGGCGCGAGCUCGAGGAUUAGGGCGUGACAUCCCCGUUUAAGUGGUAUCAGAGCAAGGUUUUUGUUUGGAGUGAUAAGGUGCGACGAGUUGUGAGAUAAUUAGUAGGAAUGACUUUUAUUUCAUGCUAGUGCAUGUCUAUGAUAGUUGAUUGGUAGAAUUGUUUAUUUGGUGUGGAUCACUCGAAUUCUAAUCUAGUAUUGGAAUCGGAAAACAUGUGUCUAUAGAAGCUUGUAGUAUGAGUGAUCAAGAGCCAAGGACUCCUAGUAAGAGGGCAGUAGCCUCUAUGACUCGGGGUAGAAUGCCGACAUGGAUUGGUGCCCGAGGUAGUUGUGGUAGAGCACUGGCUUUGGCUAGCGCGAGUGUAAGAGUACCACUGCAGGUUGGUACUCAGCACCGAACAAUCCUAGUUUCGAUGUGAUCGUUUAGGUGCUAGGGUUCCUUGGGAAAUUGUUAAGUUGGCAAGCUCAGGAUCCAAGCCGCCGUUGUUGCCGUUGUCACUACCACCCUCAGUGCCGUCACCGUUGUUGUUGCUACACCUGCCAAGGCCCAAACUAGAAUUGUGAUAAAGGAGCAAGCUACCACGUCUAAGUCAAGGUUUAGUUCAGGCAAAGAUGGAAAUUGGUUUGGAAAGGAGCCUAUGACCGAAAAAAAAAAAAAAGGUAUUUUAUUCCGCCCAUUAAGAAAGAUGGGAUAGACAAGUCAGCAUUGAAUCAGGAUGUCGUGUGUCACAGAAGACAACAUGAAUCGGCCCCAUGCCAUUUUAGGACAGGUAUAUAUUCUCACUAUGACCGACAGGGUCACUUAGCAAGAAGCUGUUUCGGAAGGUCGAUGGGACCACAAUAGCAGUUGCCGUCACCACUUAUGGGAUCACGAGUGCCAUCGCCGUCAAUGGGAUAGAUCAGCAGGAGUGCACCGUAAAGCACACCAUAAGGUUUUUGGAACAGGCCUCCAGUACCAGAAUAGUACAUGCUGUCAUCUGAUAGGAGAUAAAGGACUCAUCAAAUGGGUGCCAAAUUGUGGAAAGAAGCAUGGAUAAAUCCAGUGUCCAGGUUUGGCUAGAGCGUGCUGUGAGUGUGACCAACACGACCAUCAGGUGAAGGACUGUCAAUAAAAAGUCCAAGGGAGCAUAGAUACCGCUAUCCUAGGUAGGACGCUAAUAGGAUGGUGAAAGGGACGGGAAUAGAACUGACCCUGCACCAAUCAGAAGAAGAAUGUUCUUAGGGAGAUUUUAUCAGAGUAGCGCAGUAGAGUUUUGGUUAAAUUUAGGGAAACUCUAGUUUGUUGAAAUAAAGUAGAAGAAGAGGGAAUCUCUAGCUACAAUUGUACUUAACUAGUUACUGAGAUAUAACUUUGACGUCACAGAUGAACAGAGUUGACUCAAGGAGCCUCUCGUAGUGGUGGAUUAUUGACGUGAAAUAAUCCAGUCUAAUCCAUUUAAUAUGUGAAAGUGUUGAGUUUAUUGGGAGUCAAGAAGGACCCUCGAUUUCAUUAAUCUCGUCGCUGGAAGGCAACCUAUUUCUUAGAUGGAAGUUGCCAAAGUUACUUGGCAAUUGUUAUAGAUAAGACAAAUUGGAAAACUAAAGAUUGAGGACAUUUGAGUAGUCUAAAAACUUCUAGAUGUUUUGUCACAAGGAUUGUUAGGCCGUCGUCAGAAAAAGAGAUAGAAAUUGCAAUCGAGCUACGACCCGAGACAGAGACACUCACUAAGGCUUCUUACCAAUUUUCGUUGUCUGAGUUAAAGGAACUAAUGGUACCGAUGCGAGAAUUAUUGUAUAAGAAAUUUAUACAUACCAAUGCAUCACCUUGGGGAACAUUGGUUUCGUUUGUGAAGAAAGAUGGUUCAUUAUAAUUAUGCAUCAACCAUCAUCAACUCAAUCAAGUGAUGACCAAGGACAAGCAUUCAUGGCUGAAGAUUAACAAAUUGUGUGACCAGUUGCAAAGAGUGUUGAUAUUUUCAAAGAUCGACUUGAGAACAAAGCAUCAUCAGUUGAGGAUCAGAAAGAAGUACAUAUUGAAUUCAAUGUUUAGUGCUCGAGAUGGCCUUUACGAAAGUAUUGUAAAACCGUUUGGCCUAGUGAACACUCCAGCUGCUAUUAUGGAUUUGAUGAAUCGAGUAUUUGAGGAAUACCUAGAUCAAUUCAUGAUCAUGUUCAUCAAUAAUAUUUUGAUGUGUUCGAGGAGUGCUGAGGAGCACAAGAGUCAUCUGAGAAUGGUCACGAGAUUUCAAGCGAAGGAAUCUCUGUGAACCUGACCAAGAUUGAAGUAGUUGUUAGUGGACCAAGAUCGACAACAAUAUUAGAUAUCAGAAGCCGUAUGAAUUGGAAGAAUUUUUAGCAUCAGUAUCACUAUUGACUCAACUCCUGAAGAAAGAAGAAAAGUUCAUGGGAAUAGACAAGUGCGUGUGUAGUUUCCAAGAGCUUAAUUAGAAGAUGACUACUGCACCUGUGCUGACCGUUCCAUCCAGUCCUGGAAGAUACAAGAUCUAUAGUGACGUGUCGUUCAGAGGACCGGGUUGCGUGCUGAUGCGAUAUGGUAGAGUUGUUGCAUACGUGUCCCCUCAGUUGAGACUCAUAAAUUGAAUUACUCAACGCAUAACUUAGAACUCGCAACAAUAAUUUUUGCACUAAAGAUUUAGAGAUGUUAGUUGUGUGGAGAAAGAUUCUAGAUCGUCACUGACCAACAAAGUCUCCAGUAACUUAUUUUCUUAGAAGGAAUCAAAUGUGAGAUUGAGCUAUGAACUAGAACUUUUGCAGGAUUGAGAUGGUGAUAUUUGAUAUCACCUUGGAAGAAUGAAAGAAGUCACUGAGAAGUUGAGUUGAGAGUCUUCAAUUGUGCAUAGGCUGAUUAAAGUAUAGACCUUACUUGAAAAGGGUUCAAAAUUCGGUUUUUAAAUUUGAGGUAGGCUACAUUUUGAAGUUUAUGGCCGUCCUCAAAAUUGAACUGGAUAUGCAAGUUGGAAUCAGAUGCUUUAGUUGACAGACUGGGAUGUUCAGAAGAUCCUACAAGAGGAUACUAAUAAGAAAGAUACUAACUUUCAAGUCUAUGGGGACGAAACACUCAAGUUUCGAGAGUGAUUGGGUGUACCUGACGAUGUAGCACUCGAGUAAGAGACCUUGUCAGAAAUUCAUUGUAAUAGUUGCAAUAUUCGACCAAGCAGUACAUAGUAGGUCAAAAUCGGCGUCAACUCGAUUGGUAAAACGAUAUGAAGGUAGAUAUUGCCAGAUAGGUUGCAAGUGCCAGAUGUGUUAAUAAGUGGAAGUUCAAUAAUACAAACUGGGAUGACUUUUACAAUUACUCGGGAGUUCUAAGUGGGAAUGGAGGUAUAUUGCGAUAGACCUCAUGACGAGCUUGUAAAAAGAAUUAGAGUGGUAAUGUUUUCAAUUGGGAUAGUGGUCAACAGAUGGAUGAAGCCAACACACUUCAUUGUUGUAUGAAGGGAUUUUGAUUUGAAUAGACAUGAAGAAGUGUACGCGAGUCAAGAUAGUUCGUCUUCAUAGAGUGCCAGUAACAAAUCUAUGUCAGAUCAAGACCCAAGGAUUCCCAGUUUCAGUAGAACAGCCAAGUGAUUCCUCUUGAGAGAGGACAGAGCAGAGUGUGUUGAACGUUAGUUAUUGAGAUGAGGUCAGAGAAUGAAAGAUUACAAGCCCAGAGUUAGUUCAGCAGUCAGUGAUUGUAGUUGUCAUGAUCAGAAUCAGAUUAAGGACCGCUCAGAGCUGUCAGAAAAGUUGUAUCGUUGAGCAUCAAAAGCCCUUAGAGUUCCAAAUUGGUGAGUACAUUUUUCUGCGUUACCGCAUAAGUAGGCGGGGGUGCAUGACGUCUUUCACAUGUCGAGGUUGAUGUAUGAGCCUGACCCAACCCACGUGCUAAAUCUUGAAGAAUUGGAUGUGGACGACAGGGUGUUGUAUGUGGAAAGCCCGGUUCAGUUGGUGGUUCAAAAAGAGCAGUUUUGUGUACCAAGAUAGUCUCCUUGGUCAAAGUGGUUUGACAACACCAUGGAACCGAUAAAGCAACGUGGGAAAGUGAGACUCGAUGAGACGACGACACCCCCACCUUUUUUUUUUUUUUAUAUUAAGGAUUGGUAAAUGUUUAAAUUUCGAUGACGGAAUUUUUAUAAGAAGGGAAGAGUUGUGACAUCCUGAAUUUCAGGUUCUAAUUUCGAUCGGAUAAGUUGGGCAAUUCAUUAACACAUCUAUAGUGCUUUUUUUUUUUUAGAUGGCAACUCAUGAGAUAACUAACCUAUCAAGUAAAGCCAUUAAGGGAUUUAAUUACAAUAGACUUGAGAAUUUGACCAAGACUUGAUUACUCGACCGUGCUAGUCUGUAAGGGUUAUUAUGGCACAAUUAAAAAUCGAUUAGAAACCGGAGAUAGAUCAAUUUGGCUGAGAUGUGUGAUCAAAGUGUAGGUGAUUUCACCUGGUUGCAAAAUUAUCGUCAAUUGGCACUAAACCGAUUUUUUGUCGUUUUGCGUAUCUUGUGUCCGUAUUUGAAACCUCGAGAUUUUCACAAUCACAGAGAGUCACCAAUGUGUCGAGAGGUAUGUGUGGUUUGAAGAAAAUCGACCACGGGUCGAUUGCACCAAAAAUUCCUAAAAACUACCCGGUAGACUAGGUUAUGCUAAAACCGCAUCUGAUUGAAAUUAACCGUGAAUUUGAAUUCGAUUUCAAAAAUUGAAGGUCCUAUCGUGGGUAUCAAUUUAGGAACGUCGACUUGUCUUUUAAGGAAUUUUCGGCGAGUUCGGGAUUUUUAUGGAAAAUCGAUACGGACGUUUCAAAAAACGAACAGAAAUUCGGAUUGGCCAAUUUGAAGGGAUUUUUGGCAUAUGGUGUGAGUGAAUAGGUGAACGUGGGCUUUUUCUGCAUCAAAUCGGACCUUAAUUGGAGAAUUUUGUUCAAAAAUCAGAUUCCGAGAAAAAUGAAGUAGAAUUCGGAUUCGAGGGAAAUUCGUGGGAUAGAGGAACCGUCUCAUCUUGGUCCUCAAUGGGACUUCAAAUUGUGUAAUUGGUGAAGAAAUUGGCCUUAGGAUGACCAAUUGACAAAGUGUUUUGAAGUUGAUCAAGAUUAUAAUUUUGGUUUUAAUCUAUUUUUCCCUUUUUCGUUUGGUCCUACGCCCCUUCACAUAUACAUGCCCAUGGCUGCACGUUUUUCUCUUCUCUCUCUCUCUCUCUCUCUCUCUCUCUCUCUCUCAUUGCUCCACCGACAGCCCUUCUGCAAAGUCUCAAUUUCAUUUUUUCUCCUUUGACUUUUGGUCUAUUCUUAUCCUCUACCUUCGCACGUUUCUUUUAUUCUCACUCUCUCUCUCUCUCUCUCUCUCUCUCUCUCUCUUCGCUAGCUUGGACGCGACCCCUUUUCCCCCUUGUAUUCUUCUAUUUUUUUUGCAAUUUUCCUUUCCCAUUGUUCUCUGCCCCACUGAUGCCACAGCUUCACAUGCUGCUCCUCUUGGGUCAACGGCAGAACAUAUUCUGGACCAAGUUCACUGCCCCAAUCGGGCCCUUCUCCGUUGCAUCGAAGUCGUCCUCUCAUCCACCUACGUCGGCCCGCCUUCGAAGCAAGUUCAGCAGCCUGUUCCAGCAAGUUUAGCAGCUUGUUUUAGCAUGUCCAACAGCCGUAGCUCGGCUCGAUUCACGGCCAUUUCAGUCACGGCCGCACCGCCACCUGUGGUAGUCAAUUCUAGCUUGAGUCAUGCCCGAAACAGCCGUUGUUGCAGCUCGUUCAACCCUUGAUCAGUGGCCAAAAAUAUCAAGGGUUUGUGGGCAUCGUGGCCCGUUUUCGAGCCUGUCUUGGCCUCGCUUGGCGAUCCCACUUUGGAGGUUGUCGUUCCUCGCCGUGACCCCAUCAUUUUGAUCCGAGUGGAUCAUUAAUUGGGUGAGUUUAACUCAUUAAUCCUCGCUUAGUAGGUUAAUGAUGCUUAAAAGCUGAUUAAAUUAAGUUAAGCAUGGGUUAGGUGGAUAGUUAAAUUAGAUUAGUAAAUUUAAUUAUUUUCCGAUGCAUGUUAGGUAGUUAGUUAGUGCAAUUAGGGCCUAGACAACUCUGGUAUUUAUCUAGAGUGACUCGAAAUUUUCCGAGUCCGUUUCAGCGUUCAAUUAGGCUUUUUCGGGCCUAAGUUGAUUUAUUGGUAUUUAUUUAAUAUUUUAUGUAAUUAUUUAAUUAUCUAUUUAUUUCCGAAAAUANNNNNNNNNNNNNNNNNNNNNNNNNNNNNNNNNNNNNNNNNNNNNNNNNNNNNNNNNNNNNNNNNNNNNNNNNNNNNNNNNNNNNNNNNNNNNNNNNNNNUAUUUAUUUGAACUCUAAUUUGUGCUGAAUUAGUUUAAUUGUGAUUUUAGGAUUUUAUUCCUAAAUUAAUUAAUUUUGGUAAUAAUUAGAAAAUUACCGAGUAUCGGUCUACAACGCUAAAAAUCUAAUUUUGGACUGUUGUAACUAGUGGGAAGAUCAUAAGUGCAAUUAUUGUAUUUUGGCUAAAAUCGACCGUGGUUCCACACACAAUAUUUUUAUUGGGUAUAAUAAAAAUGAUGAAUUUGUUGUAUGGUAAGAGUGGUAUACUAUAAUGGCCAGGGGGGCCUAAUUUAUCAGCUUUGAGCGAGCAAUUUAUUAUCAAUUUUGGACGAGCAUAUAAAUAGUAUACCAUAUUAUCGGCUUGGGACAAGCAAUUUAUUAUCAGCUUUGGGUGAGCAUAUAUAAUAUACUAUAUUGACAUUGGAGCCUAAAUUAUCAGCUUUGGGCGAGCAUAUAUAUAUAGUAUACUAUAUUAUUAGCUUUGGGCGAACUAUACUAUCUAUAUUUUCAGCUUUGGGCAAGUGGUCCUGUAUUGAUAGGACAUUAUAGAUAGUAUUGAAUAUACCGACUAGGGAAAGGUCAUGGUGACAUGUAAUCGACUAAGUUGAUUGAUCGAUGGUUCAAUCUGGUUGAAUAAUUGUUGAAUUUCAUUAUCUAACAGGAAGGAACUGAGAUCAAGGUAAGUCAUUUGACCCGUGUUGUGCUUAGGUUGCCCUUAGGAUGUAUUGGCUUCCUAAUCAGGUCUUAGGGAGUAGAACUCGUUGAGACAUUGUCUCACUAGUUAUUGUAUAACUAUUUUUAGGUCCUUAGAUGGUGUUGGUGAAUGAUUGGAAGCCUUGAAGUCUGAGAAGAUGAAGAUUAAAGAAUCGGCAAACGUGUAUGACUAACAGUCCCUUUUUUGGUUAAGCUGAUACUUUUGUAGACAACCUAGUUUGUAAAUAAACCCGCUUGUCUAUAAAAGGUUUAUUUUGGUUGUGGAAAAUUGAUCCUACUGUGGCACCCGAGAAUUUCAACAAUCCUCGAAUUUACGAUGACCAUGACAAAUCAAUAGAAGUACUGUUGGAUGGUGCCAUUAGUAUUUUGCAUGAGCAUUGUUUGAUUCCAUUGUCGAACUGAUGGGCCACGUUUAGAAAUAUUUUGAUCGUCGCAUAAGGCAUAGACCCAUCCCUGUGUACUAUCACUGAUGAGACCGAGAUUGUGCCACAAGAUGGAUUGACAAGAAAUUUUCUAUACUUGGCCAUGUACCCUACGAGUAGAACCAUCCUUGUUUAUUGUUGUAGUAUCAUACAGCCAUAUGAAUAGGCCGUAUAUAACUCAUGCACAUGCGGAGAUUUAAGGCGAAUAUUUAGAAUAAAGUGUGGCUGGAUAUUAAGAGUAAUAAAGCCGCAACCCACCGACCCAAACUCCUCCAUAGUAACCAUUUAAUUAGUCGACAUAAUGGUCAACAAGAGAGAAGAGAUGUUGACCGAGACCCUGCAAAUGAUGGCCACGUCGCUAGAGAAGGAGUGACAACUGGAGUUCCGUCCAUUGCAUGGACGAGCAAACUGUUGAGUGCUCGCCCACAAGCCUCCGUGUUUCCCUGUUACAAGCUGCCACAAAGCAGCUAAUGAUUAGCAAAGAAUAAAUUUAAAAUUUAAGUGAACUUCAGAAGAAUAAAUGGACAGAGUAGUCGAGGAAGAGAGGAGAAGAGAAUCGGAAAAAAAAAAAAGGGCUUCUCCCCCCACACUCGUCUCCUCCAUAAUUACACUUGUCCUUUGACAUUAAACAAUUGUCCUUGUUGUACCUACACCUGUCCUCCAUGCAUGCAUCCACCGAAAAUGCCCCUCUUUGUUGGCUGGUUUUUAGCAAAACCAGCAGCUAAUCUGCUCGUGUAACUGAGCUAAAGGGAGUGACCGAGCAGAACCAAGAGUGAGAGAGAGGGAGAGAGUUGCUGAGAGAGAGUGAGAUGCGAGAGAGAGGGAGGCCGAGAAGGAGCCAUCGCCGCCCGCACGCCGUUCGUCCGUCGCCGGUGUGCCGUCCGUGUGGUCGUGUUUGCUCAGUCUUAGAGGCAAGUGGAGUCCUUAACUUCUCUUGCAUGUUUGUUUUGUUGGUUGCAUGUUCGAUUUAGGUGUGAUUUGUGCGAAAAACCGAGGUAAGGGUUGAUUAUUUGCAAACCGUGUGACUGUUCUUGUUCGGUUUGUGGAAGUCAGUAGCUUGUUCGAGCUUGCAUGUGUGUUUGGAGUCCCAUUUUGGCUUUGGUGUCUUCAUAAAAGUUGUAGCUAACAUCUUGUAAUAUAACAUACUGAAAUUUCGUGAAAAAUUAUGGAGAUUUGAGGGGUCAAAAGUUCUAUCAUACGGAGACCCUAGAUCUGCGAAAUCUUCACUGACCUCUUGUUUAUUUCUUGAUUGCAUGUUGAUUUCUGUUGGAGAUCUCACUUUGUUGUCUUCAUGAAAGUUGUAGGUAACAUAUUAAAAUACAACAUAAUAAAAUUUUAAGAGAAAUGAACGAGUAUAGCCUAGUGAAUCGGCUAGAUCUUGGAGAUGAUUGAUUCUGGUGAAGUGUUCCGAGACACCCGAGACUUCAUGGACUUAAAUGGUGACCAUACUUUGGUUAUUUGACCUAGAUCUCUUCAUGAAACUUGUAAAGGACACCUUGGUACAUAACAUACUCAAAUUUCAGAGGAAACGAAAGAGAAUAGAUGGGUGAAAUCUAAAAAUUUCAGAGAAGUGUAUUCUGGACGACGCGGUAGUGGUUCCAGAGGUUUCGUGGGGUUGUAUAAAUUAAUAUAAAAAGAAUUUGGCUUGGAGUUUUUCAUGAAAGUUGUGCGAAAAUGUCUUGGCUAUUACCCUGUAAAAUUUCGUAAUUUUGGAAGGCCAUAUGAGUAUUUUAAUCGAAUUUAUUUGGAAACUGUGCAAUUCUGGUCAUUAUCCGAAUAUCAUGUGCUAUUUUGUGGAAAUUGCGAAGUUAUGAGAAAUUCAAUUUGGCCAUGAAUUUUGUAUGAAAUUGUGAUCCUAUUGAUUUCUUUAGUGAUUGUUUGAAUAUUAUGAUUUUGGGAAAAUCAUAGAUAUUAAAUUUAAUAUUUAUUUAUGAAAAUAAAUAAAUAUAAUAAUAUAAUAAUAUAAUAAUAAAUUUAUAAUAAAUUAAUAAUAAAAUAAAAUGGAUUUUUAUUUUGGCCAUGGAUUCAAUUCUAUUUGUGUGGCAUAUGUGUGAUGAGGUCUUUGCGCAUGUAUUGGAUUGAGAUGUAUAUGUGAUAAAGUCUUGGUAUGCGUAUGACAUGGUCCUUGUACAUGUUGUACAUGUAUCGAAUUGAGAUGUGUAUGGCAUAAAUUUUUGGCAUGUGUAUGACAUAUGAAUUGAGAUGCAAGUGGGAAUUCCAUGUCAAGUGUGAUUUGUUUGAUACCAUGCCAAUUGCCAUGUUAAAUUGAGAUAAAGAAAUGGUAUAUGUGGAUGAUGGUAAAUGAGGAAGUGGUUGUGGUGGAUGAUGAUGCUCGGUGGCCUAGUGGCGUAAUUCCGGAGAUUCCCCAGGAGUGUCGGGAUGCCCGGUGGUAUACGGUACGUAAUUCCAGGGGAGGCCUGGUGGUAUGUCGGUACAUAAUUCCGGAAGCCUUGUCGGAGGUCUUUGCCCGAAAGUAAUGCCUCGCGAUGCCAGUAUUGGGGUGCGGGAUGCCUGGCUAGAAGGGUAAAAGUCGGAAGCCCUGUCGGAGGUUUCUGCCCGAAGGGAAUGCCUCGUGAUGCUAGUUAGGAUGUGAGAUGCCCGGAAUGUGGGGGGCCGGAAGCCUGGUGGCCAUGGGAUGGCUGGAAUGUUGGGAACCCUGUCGGAGGUCUUUGCCCGAAGGGAUGAUGAAAUUGAUGAUAUGAGAAAUGGGUGAUGUGGUGAUCAAAUUUAAAGAUAAAAGAUAAAAAUUAACCCAUGAUAUGAUAUGCAUGAUGAUAUGCAUGAUGAUAUGCAUGAUGAUAUGCAUGAUGAUGAUGAUGAUGAUAUGUGAUGUGAUAUGAUGAUCACCCAUGAUAUGAUAUGCAUGAUGAUAUGCAUGAUGAUGAUGAUGAUGAUAUGUGAUGUGAUAUGAUGAUCACCCAUGAUAUGAUAUGCAUGAUGAUAUGCAUGAUGAUGAUGAUGAUGAUGAUGAUGAUGAUAUAUGAUAUGGCAUGUGUAUUGUGGUGAUGUCAUGAUGAUGAUGACAUGUAUGAUGUAAUGAUGCCAUGAUGAUGAUGACAUGUAUGAUGUAAUGAGGCCAUGAUGAUGAUGACACGUAUGAUGUAAUGAUGUCAUGACGAUGAUGACAUGUAUGAUACGAUGAUGAUAUAACAUGUAUGUGUAUAAAUUGAUAUGAUGAUGCAUGAUAAGUAUGCGCAUGGCUUCAAGGUAAGUAACGCUGCAAUGCAUGUAUGAUCUGCUGAUGCGUUGAGUUGUNNNNNNNNNNNNNNNNNNNNNNNNNNNNNNNNNNNNNNNNNNNNNNNNNNNNNNNNNNNNNNNNNNNNNNNNNNNNNNNNNNNNNNNNNNNNNNNNNNNNNNNNNNNNNNNNNNNNNNNNNNNNNNNNNNNNNNNNNNNNNNNNNNNNNNNNNNNNNNNNNNNNNNNNNNNNNNNNNNNNNNNNNNNNNNNNNNNNNNNNNNNNNNNNNNNNNNNNNNNNNNNNNNNNNNNNNNNNNNNNNNNNNNNNNNNNNNNNNNNNNNNNNNNNNNNNNNNNNNNNNNNNNNNNNNNNNNNNNNNNNNNNNNNNNNNNNNNNNNNNNNNNNNNNNNNGGGAGUUUGCUAGAUGUGCUUCCGUAUAUGAAUUGCGUAAGGGACCUAUAAAAAAAAAAUGUGUAAACCCCCAUGGUUGUAUGGACCCGCUGUAAUUGAAAUGAUAUCAGAGUGACAUGUUAUUAGGAAAGUAAAUGGUAAGCAAACUGUGGCGACCCAAAUCGGAUCGGGGGCCGUCGAGGGGUGUCACACCUACUUUCCUAUCCCAUUGUUUUAUUGUCUAGGGAUUAUUUAUAUACUUCCGCAUGCGUACUAAAAUGAAUGGGUCGGCGAUUCGUCCUGGGACAUCGCUAUUUAAUCGACCAGUGAGGGAUGGGUGCGCGCUCGAGAAUCGUGGCGUGAUAGGUUUAACCAACUAGAGAGAGAGAGAGAGAGAGAGAGAGAGAGAGAGAGAGAGAGAGAGAGAGAGAGAGAGAGAGAGAGAGAGAGAGACAAAGAGAGACAUUGUAUUACAUUAAAUUGAAGUCUAGCAUGUAUCGCAUGAUCUUGCUUUCUUAAAGCAAAAUUCGGUUUCUUUUUUUAGUGUGGAGAAUAAGGCAACCAGUAUGGAAUAUUUUCUAAACAAUGGAUCUGAAUUGUCUAUAAUUUUAGAAUUUUGAGGAGGAUUCAACCUACUUAUUAUGAGUGAGCUCACAAAUAAGUAUUAUGCCUUUCCUCUAAUAUUACUUGAAGCGAAUUAGUAUGAUGCGUCGGUGUAUAUUCUAAUUAUAAUGAUUCCAAAGAAUUCACAAUUGUGCACCAUCAGAAGCUCGUACACAAACUAUUUGAAAUUUGAACUUAGACCGUGUAAUGAAUUUGAAGCUGUACCCCUAUCAUCGCAAGAAUUCUGCAGCUAGCCAUCUCGUGCCAACAUAUGUCUCCCCGGCAGCUCCUCAUGCAUUAUGGGGCCAAAUUGCAUCAAAGGAUCAUCAAUUGUCAAAGUUAUUGAAACCUAAAUUAUUGUGGAUAUAACCAACAAUGGCAUCUUAUUGUAUGUUAUGUAUCCACAAGUCAUCAAAGAAAGUUAGGUUUGUCUAUUUGGUAAGGUGAACAAAAUCACAUGCUCUGGGUCAAAAGAAAUGGUCCCCUAUUUUAAUCAACAUCCAAAAGUCUUGAUUUGAAGAAAAAGGAGAACAAUAUAACUCGAUGACAUAAUGUGUGUCAAAACAUAUGCUCCCUGGUCUAACUCAAACUUCUUGGCAUAUUAGAAAGACCAAGACUUUGUAGGGACUCAUCAACCUUUUUUGUGUGAAAAAUUAAGCAAAAGGAAAAAGUGAUCAUGGGAAAGAAACUAUAAUCAAUUCCAAGAAGAUCAAGACUUUGCAGGAUGCAAAUUGGCUUUAUUGCUUCACCUUUCACAUCUCUCUUUCUUCCAUCCUUAUGUUAAUGUCUCUUUUUAUAUUACUAGUAGAAUUCCACACGUUACAUGUCUUGCUUAAGAUUAACAAUACUAGAAAUAAGUAUAAGAAGGAAGCCAAGAAGGGACUCGAAAAGAUCUCUCCAAUGAUCAUGGGUUUACCAAUCAUUGAGAGAACAACAAGGGUUCUAGGUUCCAAGUUUCAGAACAAAUAGGUAGGUUCCAGGUUCUAAAAACUGAUAAACCUACUCUAACAAAAACCAUUGAGUCCUAAAAUAUUAAACAAAGACAAAGACCAAGGCUUUAAAAAAAUGAUAAUAAGUGUACGGGAAGUCCAAAAACUUAUCAUGAAAGUACAAUUGAAUAAAAUUUUCAAAAGAUACAAUUGAGUCCUAAAACUUGUCACAAAAAUAUAAUCCAAUCUUAAAACUUUCAAAAAGUGCAAUUAAUUCAUAAAAUUUGUCUUGAAAGUGCAAUUAAAUCUUAAAACAUUCAAAAAUUGCAAUCAACAAAGAACUUAAUUGGACUAAUUUGACAUGUUUUAGGAAUUAAUUGCAUUUUUUGAAAGUUUUAAGACUUAAUUGUACUACAUAACAAGCUUUAAGACUUAAGUGUGCUUUUUGAAAGUUUUAAAACUCAAUUACAUUUUCGUGAUAAGUUUUAGAAUUUAUAAUGCACUUAUCAUUUUUUUUUUUUUUUUGCAUUCGUACAUUCUUAGUUACCUUCUACUUUCAAUGUCUUUGUUUAAUGUGUUAUUGGUGAAUAUGCAAUCAAUGUAGGCUUUUAUGCAGUAGUUAUAGUGCUAAAGAUUCGCAACCAAACAUACAACAAUGAUCUACUAAAGGGUGUUGUGUUAGUGGUUGAUGAUCGAGAACCGUUUGAUAGGAGAAUCGUGGUCCUUUGGACGAUUUUCUUGUUCAUAAGUGUGAUGCCUAGAGUAUAUCUAGUGCUUUCUUAGUUGGUGAUGUCUGACCCUUUUUCUUGUCUAGCGAUGAAUGAAGCUGACCACAAUUAAUAGCAUUGACAAAUAAGCAUCUUUGUACAACUUGCACCGACUGAAAUAAAUUUUGAUAAUCCACCUAACAAUGGCAUCUUACUUUCUAUUAUAGAUCCACAAGUCAUCAAAGACAACUAACUUGAUUGUUCGAUAAGAAGAAUAGAAACAUGUGCUUUAGGCCAAACAAGAAAAAGAGUUGGGUACACCAACGAAUCCAUAAAUCAACUUGCUUAAUUUUUACUUUGGAAAUAGUACACGAUUCACAAAUCAUCAACUAAUCCAUCAAGCAAGUUGCUUUGGGCUAGCUUUUUUUGUUCGAAGGACCAUGAUUUUCCUAUCAAGUGAUUCACUAUCAUCAACAACUACUUCAGCAACCUUCAGCAGAUAAUUGCCACCCACUUUGCUACAAAUUUCUAGCACUAUAGCUGCCAUGUAAAAGCUUAUACUUAAAAAAUAAUAAAUAAAUAAAUAAACAACAACAGCAACAACAACAACAACAACAACAACAACAACAACAACAUUGUAAGUUAUAAAUUUUUUUUGAAGACAUGCAUGCCCUCUAAGUUGGUCAUGUGAAGAAAGGGCAAAGUACCAAAAAAGUCGUAAACUUAUGACAUUUGUAUCAAUUCAAUCUUAAACCUUUUAUUUAGGCCAAUUUAGUAUUAAAUCUUUUUAUAUUGGUAAUAAUUCAGUCUUUCUAGCCAAUUUUGGCUAACUGGCUAUGACAUGGUUAUUUGCGGGCUGGCGAACGUUGAUGUGGCAAUUUUUAAAAUAUUUUUUCGAUUUUUUUCCUUUUCCUUUUCUUUUUCCUCUUCUUCCUCUCAGCCUUCUUCUCCUGCAAUGCCUAGCAAGCCUUCAACAGCUCGCUAGUGGUGUGGUGAGGGCUUCAUGGCCCUCACCCAGUGGUUGGCAAGCCACCAGAGGCUUGUUUGCCACUGCAGGAGAAGAAGGCUGAGAGGAAGAAGAGGAAAAAGAAAAGGAAAACGAAAAAAAAUAAAAAAAAAAUUAUUUAAAAAUUGCCACAUCAGCGUUUGCCAACCGGCAAACAUACACAUUAGCAUUGAUCAGCCAAAAUUGGCCGAAGAACUUAAUUAAUACCAAUGUAAAAAGGUUUAGGACUAAAUUUGUUUAACUAAAAGGUUUAUAACUAAAUUAGUAUAAAUGUCAUAGGUUUAGGACUUUUUUUAUACUUUUUCCUGUGAAGAAAUAUCACCUAUUAUCCUAUAUUUUGGAUGGCCACAAGAAAAGGUCCUCUCUUUCCGAUAGCCAAAAGUCUUGAUCUGGAAAAAAAAGGAGAACAAUUGAUUUAUCCAACUCAAGGACACAAUGUCCAUCAAAACAUGGUCUCUUUUGUCUAAACUCAAAUUGUUUGGCGUGAUAGUAUAUUCAUAAAGUACUUUUCAUCAAGAAGACCAAAGCUUUACUAGAAGGACGCAAAUUGUCUUUGUUGCUUCACUUUCUACACCCCUCCUCUUCCAUCCCUAUGUAAAUGUGUCUUUUUCUAUUACUAGUAGAAUUUCCAUGUCUUGCUUAAAAUUAACAAUUCUGGAAAUUAGUAUAAGAAGAAAACCAAGAAGGAACCAAGAAACAAUGGUCAUGGGACAAUCAGUCACUGAAGAGAAAAACAAGGGUUGUGGUGAAGCUAAGUGAUAAUGUGCUAAUGGAUAGAGAAAACUAUAAAGUUCAGGAAGACCAAGACUUUCACCUACCAAAAAGAUUAAACAAAGUCCAAGACUUUUAUGCACAUCAGAGGUUAGAGAAAUCAAUAUAAAAUAUUUUUUGUCCACAAGUGCUUGUUUCACAAUAUCUAAAGAAUAUUCCCAGACACUUUGCUAGAUAUCAUGUGCUUUUUUGGCCGGAAAGUGAAGCAAAAGUAGAUAAUUUCCACCCAUUACAUAUGAAUCAAAAGUGAAGCACUUUAAGAAAAAGUGAAAAUAAAAUUAAAAAAAAAAAAAACCUUUACAUAGACCUAGACUUUGCACAAAAAAGUGAUGAUUGGAGAGAAACUUCAAUCAAUUCCAUGAAGAUCAACACCUUGCAAGAAAAAAGUGAUGAUGGGAGAGAAACUUGAAUCAUUGCGAGGAAGACCAAGACUUUGUAGGAUGCAAAUUGGCUCUGUUCCUUCAGUUUUAACAUUUCUCAUUCAUUGCUAUGUGAAUGUCUCUUUUUCUGUUACUAGUAAAAUUUUCACAUGUUACAUGUAAAAUUAACAAUACUAUAAUUUUGGUUAACUAUUAUCAUGUUUAAUCAUAUUGGGUUUUUCAUUGAUUAAUAUCUAUUAUACUUGUCUAUUAGAAUUAUCUUUGGGUUUUCAUUCAUGUUUACGAGUUUAUGCUUGAUAAAAGAAAAAAGGCAAGAAGAAAAGCGAGCAAGAAAAAAAACAGCAAAAAGCUUGAUAGGAGACCAAAAAAAAAAAAAUCAGGAAUAGGGUGACUUAGAGAGCGCCACCCAUCCAAUGGCCAUCGGCAUGCCGCUAGAGUCAGCACCUCUGUAGGAUGGCUCAUUCCAACCCUAUCGCCACUUUCGUAGUUGGCACUACUAUUUGGACUAACAUCACAACCAAUUAUCCUAAAUUACCUAUGACUAAACUAACUUAAUCUAUAGAUAUAUUCACAAUGAAAAGAAUGAACUCUAGGAUUUACAAUUUCUCAUGUGCAACGUGAAAAGUUGGGUUCAACAUGGAGUCACAUCAUUCUAUAGUGGAUGUGAGCUAGGCUCACAUGCUUUGGGUUCAUUGAAAAAUUUUCUGCCAUCCUGUGUCUAAGACUUUAACAAGAGUUGCUACCAUAAUGAAAGACUCUUUCUUUUCUUUUUUUUUUUAAGUAAAAAGAAAAGGACUUAGUCUCAAGAGACCCAAUUCAAAUUUAUUACGCCCAUGAAGCUGCAUCUUGGAAUCCCGACAGACUAACUUCCUUCAGCUUAGUUAUAGUUGUUGUAGUUGGCUUAUCAGAGAAAAGAGGAAUAAUUAAGAGGGAGAAAGAAGAAUUAAGAAAGCUGGAAAAGGGAAGCGAACCACGCGCUAGAGAGAGAAAGGACUCGGUUCAAGUUCGCAAGUGACAUCUUAACACGUUGAANNNNNNNNNNNNNNNNNNNNNNNNNNNNNNNNNNNNNNNNNNNNNNNNNNNNNNNNNNNNNNNNNNNNNNNNNNNNNNNNNNNNNNNNNNNNNNNNNNNNAUCAUCAGGUUUUAGGUGCUAGGUUUAUAGAGGUUGUUGAGCUAUGAAAUCAUGUAAUAAAUAAACUUUGGUGUGUCAUGAAACUUUGGGACUUUAAGGAAGUCAACUUAGAUUCCAACUUGGUUGGGGUGAAAUUUUGAAAUUUAUUGUACACCGUCCGAACAAUAUUCAAACUAUUGUGUUUGGCACUGGUUUUCGCCAGUUUAUGGAACUCUUUUAUAUAGAAGGUUAGUUCUCAUUUUAAGCACGGUGAGUUAGUUUUCCAAUGACUUUGGACCUACUUGAAACGGAUGUCAGUAGAGCUCGUUUCUAAAAAUUUUCACAUGAGCAGCCACAAUACAACAGACAUAAGUAAUUGUCUACUUUGGGCGAGCCUUUUGUUCGUGAAUCAGAGUUAUUUGUUACCAAAUAAGCUUAGUUUAGUCGAGUCUUAGUUAAGGUACUUAUCUACUUGAUUUUGAUAUCCGUUUCUCACUUAAUUGAUUGGAUUUCUCGUUCUUUCAUUUGAGGUAACUCUCGUAGUUUGGUUCGCAUCUUCAAGUGAAUGGUGCUCGUUUCUUCUAUGAUUUUUUAACAGGAAAAGUAUCAAAAUAGUCAUAAACCUUUUGUAUUGGUACCAAUUUAGUCCUAAACUUUUCAAUUGGACCAAUUUAGUCCUAAACUUUUUCACAUUUGCACAAAUUUAGUCAAUCCGGCUAAUUUAAGCCGAAAAUUGCUAAUGUGGCUACCAGCGGUCUUAUGUGGCGCCACGUGAACAAAUUUUAUAAUUUUUUAUAAUUUUUUUCAGAUUUUUUAAAUAUUUUUUUCUUUUUUUUUCUUUUUCUUUUCUCCUUACCCUUGGCUGGUGAGGGCACCGGCUGGCCAACCAUCGCCAACCACAGGUUGGUUGGGGCGAGGGGCCCCAGGCCCUCGCCGGCCACAAGCGAGGGCAUUAGCCCCCACCUAGAUCCAAGCGAGGACCUCUGCACCCUCAUCGGCCACAAGCGAGGGCGCGGCAGCCCUCACUCGUGGCGGGCGAGGGUGCUGUGGCCCUUGCCCAGAUCCAGGCAAGGGCUCAAUGCCCUCACUCGUGGCCAGAUUAGAAACUUCACACGCAGACGAAGAAGGUGGCUGCUUGCAAACUAAAACGACAUCUACAAAUUGGUAACCUAACUAGGAACAGCACAGUCCACCAAACCAAUUAAGGAUGUUGGGCGAGUAAGGCAUUCGCAAAAAACCCAAUUGGAGAAACCAAGGUAGCAGAUACCUCACUCAACCAAAAGCAAAGAAGAAAUCAAAUUAUGGGCAUCUUCCGGAGAAGAGGGUUUCAAAAGGACAACAAGUAAAAGAGAAGCCCAGUUAUGGGGAUAAGUACACUAAUGAUGCCAUAAGUUGUGUACGGCACUCACUUUGGUGCCAAAAGUUUCCGUCGAAUCACUUAAGUACCAAAUCGGAGGAAAAACAAUCACUUUGGUGCCACCGGCGAAAGAUUCCGGCCAAAAUGAAUACGUGGCUUUAAAAAAAAAAAUCGAUAGGCCUUUAAAUGACGUCGUUUUCGGUCCUCCUCAAGAAAACGACGUCCUACAUGGAUGGCUUCAAGGAAACGAUGCCGUUUAGCUCACAAGGGGAUUGAAAUUAGGGUUUCCGCCGCUCGGCCACCAUCGCUGCUCGGCCACCGUCACUCAGCCACCAUUGUAGUUGCUCGACCAGGUGAGCAACGAGAGACUGAGAUUGUUGCAGGAAAAAUCGAAGGCGAGGGCGGAGGAGGAGGAGGAGGAAGAAGAUGGGUCAAAGGUGUUACUGGUGCGCUGUUGCUGCUGGUGCGUUGCCGGUGUCGCUGCUGGUGUGUUGCCGGUACUGUUGCUGGUGCCGUGCUGGUGCCGUUGCUGGUGUGGGUCUUCGAGGAAGAAGAACAUGAAGACGAGCCUUCCCCCUCUCUUAAUUUGGGGAUUAGGGUUUCAAAGUUGGGGGAAAAAUGCCAAACGGCGUCGUUUUGGUGUUUGGAUGCUAACUCAACUCUCUGAUGAGCCACGUCAACUUCAAAAAAUAAUAAAAAGAAGGCCACAUCGGAUUUCCGGCCAAUUUCGUCGGCUUUGGCACCAAAGUGAGCGUUUUUCAAUUUUUUUGGCACUUAAGUGAUCCGACGGAAACUUUUGGCAUCAAAGUGAGCGCCGUUAACAACUUAUGACACCAUUAGUGUACUUAUCCCCGCAGUUAUGGGUGGAGCUCAAAUUGAGGCGGCGGCGGUCAAAACAGCCAACCCCGCGAACCCGCUUUCCCUCUUUCUAACUUUAAACACACAGACACACCAACAGAGAAAGAGAGAGAGGAGUCACGCAUCCAGGGUUUACAGCUAGGAGCUUACUAGUCGUCUCAGGCAAAGAAUCUCAACCCACAGAACAAAACAGAAAAAGGGACAGCGACCUCGCCGGCCAAGGGUAAGGAAAAAAGAAAAAAAAAAAAAGAGAGAGAGAGAGAAAAAGGAAAAAAGAAAAAAAUAAUUUAAAAAAUCUGAAAAAAUAUAUAAAAAAUUAUUAAAUUUGUCCAUGUGGUGCCACAUAAGACUGCCGGCGGCCACGUCAAUAAUUUUCGGCUUAAAUUAAUCGGAUGAACUGAAUUGGUACCAAUGUAAAAAGAUUUAGGACAAAAUUAAUCAAAUUAAAAAGUUUAUGACUGAAUUGGUAUAAAUGUAAAAGGUUUAGGACUAUUUUGGUCAAGUCUUAGUUAAGGUACUUAUCUACUUGAUUUUGAUAUCCGUUUCUCACUUAAUUGAUUGGAUUUCCCGUUCUUUCAUUUGAGGUAACUCUCAUAGUUUGGUUCGCAUCUUCAGGUGAAUGGUGCUUGUUUCUUCUUUGAUUUUUUAGCACGUGUCUUGAUAAUAACAUGAAUUAGAUAUUUGUAAGUUUUAGAAGAUGUAUUGCAUAUUGUUUAGAGCAUAUUUGUUGCAUGAAACGAGAUAAGACGAUGACUAUCCUUUUAGUAGUUGAUAUUGCAUAGCAAAGUAUCUCUUGGAAUAGUUUGGAAGUUAAUUAUUUGUGAAAUGAUUUGAGAAAUACUAUCUGAAAUGUGUCCUUCUCUAUGGAGGAAUUGUGAAAGGAUAAAUACGUCAAUUUGUAAAACUGGCUUUUAAAAUGAAUUCUGAUUUUUUUUUACAUUAGUUUUUUGUACAAAUUUGUGCAAAGCUUUGUGCCCCUGUUAUCCUAAUAUGUGGCCCAAAUACUGUUGCUACUUUUGGUGAUCUUUGAGCGUGAUCUAUUAAAAUUUGAGCACUUUUUGGACAAUUUUGGGAUGCAUGUGGCAAGAGAGCAUGUGGUUUCCAAAUCUGGUAACCAACUUUACUUCAGUAGCUGCUGGAUUGGCAAACUUUGUGACUCUGAACCCUUUUCUAAAAUUAAAAUAAAGUUUCCUGCCACAUGUAUUUGAAUCUUCCCUAAUCCUGUCACAUAAGAAGAAACUGAGACUUUCACUUGCAAGUUUAAAUGCACUGAUCACUGCAGUUCUGUUAAAUUCACCUCUGGUAGGAUGAUGGAUCAAUUGAUACAAGUUCAUGUUAUGAUUUUGGCUCUCUUUUUUACGUCAUUUAUUUCUAACAUAAGAUGCUUUUACUCAAUACCCAGCAUUUCAUAUCACUUGCUCUAUUACACAUUCUGAUCACAAUGAUCUGUAUGGAGUGAUUCAAUAAACCAUAGAAAGGCAUAUCAAUUUUUUGCACAAUUUAUUUCUGAAUCUUUUAGGUUUGAAUCCUACAAGUUUGCAUUUUCAGGGCAGAGAGAGCUUUUUGUUGUGGAUGGUGCCGGUACCGGGGGACUCUCGGAAGAGAGAAUGGGGAAAUCCGAACCCGAUGAAUGUGGCUUUUCUUGAAGACACAUAGUCGUCACUUUGCUUCGAAACAGAGUCUUGAAGAAACUAGCUUCACAAGUAUAUAUUAAUACCGGGGGACUCUUGAAAGAGAGAAUGGGGAAAUCCGAACCCGAUGAAUAUGCCUUUUCUUGAAGACAAAUAGUCGUCACUUUGCUUCGAAACAGGGUCUUGAAGAAACCAGCUUCACAAGUAUAUAUUAAUCAUUCUUAAGAUAAAUCUUUAGACGCACAGAGAGAGAGAGAGAGAGAGAGAGAGAGAGAGAGAGAGAUUGAACUUUCUAUUGUAUAAAAUAGGUUGAAGUUGGGGUUUCUUGAUAUUCUAGGCUGCUUCUGCUGCUGCUGCCACUCUUAGUAGUCUCUUUUGUUUUCACUUUCCUUCUCUCGUUAUUUUUGCUGUACAAUUGAUUACAAUGAGGUGAUGAUUUAAGAGAUUGUUAAUGCGGUGCCUUGUUUCCUUGCAAACUGGUGCUCAUAUUGAUGAUGUGGUGACUAAUUCUUUCACAUUAUCUCCCACAAAUUAGCUUAUUGCUGAUAAUAAUAUCACACCCCGAUCCUUGAGCGCACGCCCAUCCCUAAAUGAUCGAUUAUAAUUGCGACGUUCUCAGGACACAUCGCCGACCAUUUCUUUUUAUUGCACAUGCGACGAUGAAUUACUAAUCCCCUGACAUCAACAGCUUGGGAUAGAAAAGCAGAAAAUAGAUUCACACACAAAACAUGCUUUUAUAUACACAUUGAGUCAUAUACAAAAGUCAACAACCACAAGCCUACAAAAGACCAGCUCUCAAAAGAAAUUGUCCUAGCUAACCUACACUUCAGAUCCCAUCAGCUCGGCUCUAGGUUCUCCACCCUACGGUCCUGAAAAGAAUUGAGCCCACGACGAGGUGAGAUAUAAAUCUCAACCAGUUCACGCUCUAAACCCCGAUUAUAAGGGUAAUACGCCAAGAGGUGUCCUAACUACACAAUCAUACCACUACAGAGACUUACCCCGUCUCAGAUUCACCUUGCAGGUCAGCAUAGUUCAUAUACACCAUACAUAAAAUUGAUGCACGCAACAAUUGAAACGCCUCACUCAACUCAAUAAAUUAUAGGAGUUUUGAUUAUAAGGCCAAACCAUUAUGACACCACACAAUUUUGUCUUAUAAUCGGGCCCCUCUAAGGUACGGCCUACUUGAAGUUCGACGGUCUACUGGUGUAACUAGGCAUCAUCUCUUCCCUAUCAAGCACGGCUACAUCUCUCAAAGAUGGCUUUCUCGAAGGAGCAUAAGUCCAAAAUCUACUGCAACCCGAAACUUAAUGAGUGGGUAACCUAUAUAUGGUAACGUCCAUCGGAGUCAAUUCGGAGACGGGUUCUCUUAACUAACACACGACCAUUCAAUCUCGGUCCAGGACACUAUGCAUCACACUCAAAUGCCUAAAUUAAAUUAGUGAUCUCGGCAUAUUUUCUUCGUAUUAAAAUACCCGAUGAAAGUAGUCAUGUGUGGGUAUAUGGUCAACUCGACCCAGAAUAAGAGAUAUCCUCCAAUUUAAAAAUCUCACUGUUUUAUAUAGUAUAUGAAACCAUUUUCGGUGUUAAAAUCUGACACCCAGGAUUUUCUAAAUAAAUAUUGAAAUUCACUAUUUUUGGAAUAAAUUACCAAAAUUCCAAUCAGCACUCAAUUUGCACAAAUUAACACCCAAUUACAGAAAUUAACCACACCAUUGCAAUCAGCACGAAAUUCUAGUCACUGACUAUCCCGGUCUAAUUUCCAGAAAAUAAUUAAUAAUUAAAUAAUUACCAAAAUUAAAUAAAUAAAUCAAUUUAAAUACCAAAAAGGCUAACUUAAGCUGGAAUUGCCCAUUUAAAUACCGAAACGGACCCGGAAAAUUACCGAACCAAUCUAGAUAAAUAAUACAAUCUAUCUAGAUACUAAUUUAGCCAUUGUAACCACCUAACAUGCAUAAUUAACUAAUUAAAUCACUACUCUAAUCUAACUAACCACAUAAUCCCUAAUUAACUUAAACUAAACAUCCCAUAAACAUUAUUAACCUACUAAGUAGAGUUUUGUGCAUAAGCUCACUAGUUUAGCGCAAAAACCGGUUCACCGCGACAGUGGCAUGACAACGACCAAAACUUGAGCUUGUGGCGGCACCAAUGGAGCUCAGACCGGGCCAGAAAAUGGCCCAACAAAUCUCAGCCCAAGCUGAGGUUUGUUCUUGAGUUGGGCUGGACCGAAGUUGGGCUGAAGCGGGUUGGGCUUGCGGCAGAAGAUGGGCAGGCUUCAGGGCUGAACUGAGCGGGCUUCGAAUGGGCUGGAGCUUGCAGGCUUGCUGCAGGCGUGUGGGCUCGGCUGACAAAGCCACGUGAAGCUGGGCCGGGCUUGGGCCGAACGUGAGGAAGCAGGUGGGUUGGUGUCAACGCGGGGAGGCUUCGCUGGCGUCGAUUCGAUGGCAGCGAGUUGGGCAAUCCGAAGCAGCAAAAGAGGAGCUACGGGUGGGGCUUCGCUGGACAAGGGGGGCACGAAACGGUGAAGACUGAGCUGCCAAAUUCCCACUGAACGAGCUGGCGUCUUCGAAGGAAACGAAAGAAAAGCAGGGGCGUCGAAGAUGGAGUCAAUAAACCGGCUGAAGACAAAAGAUGGUGGGGGGAAACGUUGACUGAAGCUGCAACGAGAGGGACGAGUGGGAGCUUGAAGUUGCUGGUGGAGGUGGUGACCGAACGAAGGAACCGGUGGAGUGUGGGCGUUGCUUCGGUGGAAGAUGAGAUGAUGAUGAUGAUGCUGAGUGACUUCGGUGGGGUGAAUGGGCAGACGGAGAGAGAGAGAUGCGAGGGAAAAUGAAAGCGAAAACAGAAGAGAGGGGGAUCGGGGGAAAGAAAUGCUCGAAGGAGGGAGAUGAGACUGAAGCAGAAACAACGAGUGGAUGGGGGAGCCGGCCAACGUGGGAAGGAAGCCAAGGAGGGGGGCCCAAAGUCAAACAAAAUUAUCUCUUCCAUUAAAAGCUUGGUCUCCUAUUACUUUCCCCACAUUUUAAUACCAUAAAUAAUCAAAUUGAAGUCAAAUGUUGCACCCCCGAGCCUAGCUCCGAAUUCUUCAAAUUUGGACUUCAAUCUCCUCAUUAAUUCUUCAAUUGAUGUCCAAAUUUUGCUAAGGAGGAAGUCCAUAAAAUUUCUGCAAGUCCCCAUCACUAAAUAACUUGGUUUGGAAGUCAAAAAUCCUUUCGAUUUAGCCCAUAAUUUCUGUUAUAUUCGGAAUCGUCCGAAACGAUUUUCCGUAAAAAUCCCGAACUCUCUGAAAAUUCUUCGGAGGAUGAGUCGACGUUCCUAAUAUAAAUCGUGACAUGACAGAACUUUCAAUUUCUAAAAUCAAGUUCAAAUUCGCGGUUAAUUUCAAUCUGGAGCGAUUUUAGCAUGACCUAACCUACUUGGUAGCUUUUAGGAAUUUUUAGUGCAAUUGACCCAUGAUCGAUUAUUUUCAAGCCACAUCAUACAUCUUCGAUACAUUGGCAACUCUCGGUUGUCGUGAAAAUCUCGACGUUUCAAAUACGAGCAUAGGGUACCCAAAACGACAGAAAAAUCGAUCUAGUGCCAAUCGACGAAAAUUUUGCAAUCGGGUGGAAUCACCCACUCUUUGAUCACAUAUCUUAGUCGAAUUGACCUAUCUCUGAUCUUUGAUCAAUUUUGACAGUGCCGUAAUGACCAUUGCAGAUUAGCAUGAUUGAGCAGUCGAUUCUUGGUCGAAUUCUUAAAUUUAUUGCGUUUAGAUUCCUUAAUCGUUUCCCUAGAUAGUCUAGUUAUCUCAUGAGUGAUCAGCUCAGAGAAUAGCACUAUAAGCACGUGAUAAAAAGCCCGAUUCAUUCAAUUGAAAACAAAAAUGGAAAAUUAAGAUGUCACAAAUAAUCUUGGGUAUUUAAGGAUGGAUUACAUCUUUUGAUGCAGAUUCUUGCCAUUGUUUUGUCAAGCCUGUUAGGCUGUGAUCCUCGAGUCAUGAUCAUACCCCACUUUGACAAGUUUUUAUCCCCUCCAUUCAAUUUAGUAUUAGUCUAAUGCACGUUGCAUGAUCUUGAUGAUAGCUCAUUGAUGCUAGAAUGAUUGUUUAUUGAGAAAAAUAAUAAUGAGACUACCUUUGGGAAUAUUAUUAUACGGGUGGAAUAUUGAGGGACCCUUCCUUUUAAUUAUAUCAGGUAGUCACGUAUUAAGAACGCCGCCAUUUGGUGACAUAUAAUUUCAGUCCCACGUCAGAUUGUGAUGCCGACGAUAAAAUAUUAUUCAGUUUCAAAAAACUAGUUAAAUCUGACCAAGUUGAUUGUCAUAGUGGAAAUAUCCUAAAAGCUCAAUGAUUAGUUUAACAUUGAGGAUAAACUGACUGAGCUCUCGUUUGCAUGUUUAAACAAAGUAAAAAAGAAAGUAUGUUCCUUUAUAAGAUUGGUGAUUAUCAUUUUAGGAAAAAAAUAUGGGGAGUAAGGUAUUCUAAUGAUUGUAGAAUUAGGCAAAUUUAGAUCAUUACGUUCUUGCUUCUUUUUUUGUUUUUAAUAAUCCAAAACACGGUGUGGAUAUUCAACUGCCUAAAGAUCCAUUGGACAUCUUGCAAACCCCUUGAAUUGGUUUAAUACAAAAGUUUGACCUAUGCAUGUGACUCUUAUCCAGGGCGGUUAGAAUGUAGUUGAUGGGAUUCGAAUGAAUAUCAUCUAAUUUCUUGAGUUAGAAAUUUCUCAAUGCCCCAACUAAUUGUACCGAUCCUAUGUAGAUCAUUACAUUCACAAAUGUGGCAUCCUCUGUAGGGGCACAAAAUAUCAACUCUAAAUUUAAAUAAUCUCUCCUUGGAUUAGUUCAUGAUUAUAUGCUAGAGGCAAGGCACGUGCUAUGCACGUGUACGAAGCAAGAUUGCCAUGUUUUAAAAAGUAUUGAUGGUUAUUAAAGGAAGUGGAUGAAGGGGCGUAUGAUGAGAAGAAUAUGCAUUAUAGUCCCUCAAAUGACUUGCUACCUUUAUUAUUAGGUGAUCUUGUUGGCAUUUCAGUAGCUUGAAGAUAAGUUGUGUCGUUUCGGACUUUUGCACAGAUUUAUUUAUUUUUGGUAAAAACUUUUGCACAGAUUUAUUUACCCAAAAGAAAAGUGAAAAAUAUUGCUAUCCUACCCAAUUGUUUUAAAGAAAUAUUUUACGUGAAAGUACAUUAUUCAGAUCUUAUUCUACCGUGCUUGCGGUCCACAUAUCGUACCAUGCAACAUUCUAAUCUAUAAAGACAUUAUUCCAAAGGAUUUUGGGCAAUUUGAUGCGUGUUGUGAAAAUUUAAGGCGUGCUGACAUAAAAUAAAUAUUAGAAUGUAUAUGUAUAUAUUGAAAACAAAGUAAGAGCCCCAGGCUUUCUAAUUAAUUUUCUAGAUUUCGCUACUCGCCAUUAUCAUUCAUCCUACAAUAUGAAUCAUGCUCUCAUUUGUAUUGGAGACUCUUCAACUUGAAGAAUAACAUUUGACAUGAGAAGAGCAUAAGAAAAUAAAUAAAAGAAUCUGGAAAGGAAUGAUCAAUUAGGCCUGAAUAAAAAUUAUCUUCCAUGCAUAAAAAACAUCUAUGAGUGAUCAGACAAACAAAAUUAUAUAUAUAUACCCACCCGGCAGUAACCAAAAAUUAACAAACAAGACGAACUGGGAUACUUCACUUUCCUACUCUCAGAAAUUAGUGACCCUUUCUUUUGAUGAUUUCCUUUUUUCGCUUAAUAUAUAAGCCUCAAUUUCUGUUUCGUUAGGUAAUCGAACCCGGGGAACAACUCUUUUCUGAUGACAAGAACUAAACUCAUCUGAUUCUACGAGAACUGAAGUAUCUUCUCAUAAAUCCCAGAAAUCCCCAUGGAAAGGCGCCACCUUGCCUUGAGGAACAACCGGAGCUCGUCCAUGCUUAGAGAUAUUAGAUUUUCAUCGUGACUAACCUGCAAAUCAAGGUGAAAAGAGGACUAUUAGCUGUGAAGAUGAUCCAUCGUUGGUCAAAUGGAAGUAUUUUGGCAAGAAAAUCAAUCUCACCAUCAGAAUUCCUCCUCGGAACAAGACCAGACCUUGAAUGAGCACCUUAACCACAUCCAAACCCUUCAUUUGGGGAUAGCAAAAAACGCAGAGUCAUACUCUAUCUAUCCUUAGGCAAGAAACUAACAAUUUACAAAGAUAACACUUUAGUAGGUCAUCGUAGCAGAACUUAAAGCCCACAAUUAUAAACAAAGAAAUGUCCACAUUAAUUAUGUGCAAAGCCCAAUACUGGCUACAGGCACAGAUAUUUGAACUACUCGAUAUUAUAGACUACUGUAAUACAAAAACACUGAUCAGGCUUAGCAUAAAUGUUCUAUUCCCAAUAUUUUGCCAGUUGGAACAAUUAGAUUGGUUUAUGUUCCACUAUAAGCUUAGAUGUAAGAUGGCAGAGGCUCUUUGUAGCCGUGUUCACUGAUUAGUUCUACUGUAUUUUCAAUGUAAAGACUAGACUCCGAUAAGUUCAAUUGGUGCAAGAACAACAACAAGCAUAACUUGAAAAGAAAUCAAAGUCAUAAAAUGCAGAAAAAUGACUAAAACUUACUAAAUGAUUGGAUGGCUGGUCAAGCAUAACUACGUGAAGUUUCUUGAAAUUAUCUUGGCAAAUGCAACUCUACUUUUCUGACUGCCUAUUUAUGUGGUCAAAGCACCAUGUCAUAUGUGCAAUAACAUCCAAAAAGCCUUGAGAAAAGUACACAGUGAACCACAAUUCAUAUUACAAAUUAAUUAACCUCCAAUAGAGCUUCACAAUGUCAUAUGAAAAUUGCUUCAACAAAAUCUUUUUACAUAUGCAAUAGUAGCAGAGAGAGAGGAGAUGUACCAGACAAGAUACACAUUAGUUGAAGCACAAGAUUUCCAGUUACACCAAAGGAACCCAAGUGAGCUUAAAGCUUUUACUUAGAAACUCCCUUGAGGAAGAAUGCCACAUAAGAAGGUAUUUUCAAAUAAAAUGAUAUAAUGUAUGACGAAAUCAUAUUUCGUGGUGGAGUAAAACACAAAAGCAAACCCAGAGGUCACCCUUGACAAUGCAAAACCAGAGGCAAGCAGCAUAUCGUUACAAUCUCGACCAACAAGCAUAAGUAUAUAAAUUUCCAACAAGUUGCAAGCAAUAGUUCCUAAACCCCCAGAGAUCAAGACCCAAAUGGAAGGUGGUUUAUGGAAUAUCAAUACUGUCAUGAAUUGGAGUUGUAUUGAAAGCUUGGAGCCAUAACUUGCCCUAGACUUUUAUCCCAGAUUGACUGCUUAAUACUGCUAAGGAUCAUCAUCAGCAAAAAGAAGGUUUGACUCUUAACCAUAAAAAAGAACUGCAUCCUCCUUUCUUUUCAAUCAUGUCACACUUUCCACAUAACCAAUCAUGUUUAAGAUAUUGAAAAGAUUACUCUUAUAUACAUCAUAUUUACUAGAAGAAAAAUUAUAACAUAACAAUGCACCAAAUAAAAUUAGUAGCUUUUAUUUUUAUUGCAAAAAAUUACACAUAACAUUGACAGCAUUAGUCCUACCUCAAAAGUGUUUGCAAGUGGUCCUUCAAAGAAAUUUUGCCAAUACAGAUUAUAAUGGUGAAUGAGUUGGGGCACAAGAAAAAGAUUGUUGUGAAGAGAAUAUACAACAAACGCUGAAAAUGCAGAGGACAAUGAUUGUGGAAUGCUAUGAUUUAUCAGGAUGCUAAUGCAAAGCAUAGUGCAUUUGCAUUCACAAUUUGUUUGGGCAUCAAGCAGAGUUCAAGAUAUGAUAUGUCGUCCUCCAAUUUAUUGUCCAAUGAAAUAGAGCCGAUCCAACCCAAUGAGAACACCCACUCAAAUGUCAGUCUGACCUUCGGUGGCUAGUUUUUGGAAAUUUAUGGGAAACAUUUCCAUUGGAAAAAUAUCAAUUUGUAUUACACAUCGAAUUGAGGAAGCGGAAUUGAAUUCAAAACCAAAAAGUUACCUAAACCCUAGAAAACUAACCAUACAUGGAUUCACUGGAUUCAAACGUCAUCAAUGAGGAUGCUUAGGAUCUCUUGGACAAGGGGCCAAUUGUUGCCAAUGAGUUUUAAGCACCGAUCUUUCAAAAUCUCACACCCAUCUAUGCGCAAUUCUCAGAGGAAGGGAGGGAGGGAGCACAUCCUCUGGCAAGCACCUCAACUUCGGGCAAUCGUGAAGGUGUAAAAAUGUGAGAGAGGAAAGAUAGUUGUGAAGAAACCUUGAUAGUCUUCCCACGUUCCUCAUUUUAAAUAUCUAAAGACAGAGAGGAGGGAAAAAGAAGACUCCAUGCAUCCUCUUCCCUUGAAGGAAACUGUACCUUCUCUCCUUCCCCUCCCAUGCUCAAGUCAAUUAACAGAAACUUGAGGGAUGUGAGCAUGGGUAAGCCCCAAUCUCUCACUGUCUGCUUCAGAUUCUCACACGCUAAAACUGUAAGGUCCAACAAAUUGAAGCAAACCUCCUUUGGGGAAGCAUUUGAUAUUUUGGCAAUACAUAAUAUAUAGCAUAUGAAGGGAUAUAAGAUGAUGCCAUUGAUUUGGUAGAGACUUAUCUUCGGACAAUUAUAGAGAGAGAAAUAUGACAGGGUGAUGGGAAGGGAAGGGAAGACUCUAUCUCCAAUGUCAGACAAUUACUUAUUUUCAAAAGAGUGAAAUGUGAGAGCAUGUUAAGACACUGUGGUAGGCUUCCCAAAUUCAGACAGCUGUCAUAGAAUUCAACAAUUCUACAGCGAUCUCUUCCAGCAACUCCACUCCCUCACAAUGCCCAAUAAUAAGUGUCUUGAGAGCAGCAAGUUGAGGCAUCGGAUUAUUGCUAGUGGGGUCAUUUGGAGUAAUUGUUAAUAAUCCCAUGAGUUUUGGAUACUUCUCAAUUAACAAAUCUCUGAGCGUGUGCAUCUUGCUUGGAAGCUUUUCUAAACUCGCACAGUCCCUCAAUUCCAUUGUUUCGAGGUUGAAAGGCAACUCUAUCUCUCCUUCUUUUACCACAAAAGAUGUGAAUAUAGGACAACUUUAGAUGCAUAAUUCUUGGUGGCAAGUAAGAUUUCGUGUUUCAUUUCCAUCUUGCUACAAGUAUGUUAGCUUGUCAUGGCUUCUUAUAUGAAGCUCCUUUAGCUUGACCAAACAGCUCAUAAUCUCGUGAUUUAAGCAAACAACCUCUGCAAGAUUUUGAACCCUGACAAUGGUUAAAGAAGUUAGGUUGACCAAGCACUUUAAGAUCCCUCUAUUACAAUCCUUAGGGUAUAACUCGCAGAGAAAUGGAAGACAAACUACACUUGUUGAAUUAUUCAAAUGCGGGCACGAAUGGAUUUCAAGCUUUAUGAGAUGAUCAAGUUGACAAAGCAAUGUCCCAACCAACGAAGGACAACUCCAAACAACAAGAUGCUAAAGACAGGAGAAUGGUGCUUCUUCUUCUGGACCCCCAGCAUACGAGACCAAUCAUUCCACGCCAACAUCUCUCAAACUUCAAAAUUGUUAAGGAUGNNNNNNNNNNNNNNNNNNNNNNNNNNNNNNNNNNNNNNNNNNNNNNNNNNNNNNNNNNNNNNNNNNNNNNNNNNNNNNNNNNNNNNNNNNNNNNNNNNNNNNNNNNNNNNNNNNNNNNNNNNNNNNNNNNNNNNNNNNNNNNNNNNNNNNNNNNNNNNNNNNNNNNNNNNNNNNNNNNNNNNNNNNNNNNNNNNNNNNNNNNNNNNNNNNNNNNNNNNNNNNNNNNNNNNNCCAUCAAUACAUAAUUUCUUAAGUAAAGGUAGUUGUCCAAGUUGGGGUAGCGAUAUAACAUUAGGACAGCCCCAUAAGCACAAAGACACUAGCUUACAAUAGAAUGGACCAUCCAACCAUGACGGGAAUAUUGCACCACCAUAAUAUGAGAUAGUGAGAUUUUCAAGAUUAGUGCAAAGUCGCAAGGAGUGAAGCACCCGUUCUUCGUGCUUAUCUUUCCAUAGAUUUCCAAAAUCUUCACUCCAAUGCAAGAACAUGUUGCUAAGGCCUUGCUUUCCAAAAAAAAUAGCAUCAACAGCAUCUCUAGCUUCUUGCACUUUUUGCAAUUCUGAUUUAACUAAUUCUCCUUGACGAUUGGACAAAUUCUUCAACUCCUUUAAUUGUAACCCUUUCUUAGUUCCUUCAUUGAAGUUGGGCAAGACAAUAAGAUUUUUCAAAUUACCAAUACUGAAAGGCAUCUCGUUUAGACUGUGUGUAUCUCUAAUGUCAAGAAACUGUAAGCUAACCAAUUUUGUGAUACCUAGAGGCAACAUAAAAAGCUUUUGACAACCUCCUAAGAUCAAAGCUUAUUACAUAAGGCGACAAUUGAAUUAGGUAGUCUUUUGAUGUCUGUGUAUGAGAAAUUGAGAUAUCGAAGAUGUUUUAAAUCACCAACACAAUUCGGUACCUCUAUGAUGUCACAAUGACAUAUUGAGACCACCCUCAAGUACUUUAAUUCUGUUAGCAAGUCAUACAACGCCUCGUUGGAAAUGUAGAACUUGCUGCCCCCUCUAGAUCCAAUAUUAAGUAGCAUUAAACUUCUUAGUACCUUCAUUCGGUAAGAUGCUCUCAAGCAUUUUGAUGUAACAGACCAUGGCGAGAUGAACGAUGCAUAACGAGCUUUCACAAGAGAUGCAUUGUCUUCAUUUCCUACUAGCUGAGACUCCCUUGAGCUAAAGCAUGUCCCCCUUGCAAUUGACUUUGCUAGAUCAUUCAAAAUAUCAUGCAUCGAGAACUUAGAUGCAAUGACAAUUGAUUCUUGAAGAUAUGAUAUGCAUACAAACUCAUUGAAGUAAUUCCGUCCUAAUCUACAGUUAUUCUCCUUUAUUUUUUGUCCAUCUAAAAAGCCCUCUACUAUCCACAAGAGUACCAGCUCAUCCCUCUCAAUUUCGUAAUCUUUGGGAAACACCGCACAAUAAGCAAAACAUCUCUUCAAAUAAUAGGGAAGAUGGACAUAGCUCAAAUUCAAAACUAGGAGAACCUCAUCAUUUUUUCCCAUCAGAAUAUCCCACAUUCUAUUAUUUAAGAUAACUUCCCAUUCAUCAAGAUCCCCUCUAUUAUGCAGGAGACCACCUAACACCUUCACUGCCAAGGUGAAACUUUACAUUUUUCGACUAUUUUCUUGCCUAUUGUAGCUCAAAUUCAAAACUAGGAGAACCUCAUCAUUUUUUCCCAUCGGAAUAUCCCACAUUCAAUUAUUUAAGAUAACUUCCCAUUCAUCAAGAUCCCCUUUAUUAUGCAGGAGACCACCUAACACCUUCAUUGCCAAGGUGAAAGUUUACAUUUUUCAGCUAUUUUCUUGGCUAUUGUUUCAAGAUCAAGGUGCCUCUCAAAAUUUGUUGCUCUAAGAGCAUGAAAGGCUAAUAAGCUUGUACAAUUAUCAAUAGACAACUCCUUCAAAGGAUGGGGCGAAGCUCAUGUUAAGGAAACAAAUGAACUAUUGUGAGUUGGGAUGAUGAUCUUGCUUCCGUUAGCCCCUGCUUCAAAUGGCUUUAAGAAGGCAGUCCAAUCCCCAUACCCGCAUCAUCUAAAACCAUAAGAAACUUCUUCCCUGAUAAACUGUCCUUCAACUUAACUUGAAGCUAGUUGAGAUCUUUGUCCUUGCAUGACAACUCGGUGAUCAACCGCAAAAUAGCCUUUGUUAUGUUGAGAACAUCAAAAACAUCCGAAACACAAAUCCAUGCUCUUCUCUCAAAGUAGCCACUCACGUUGGCAUCAUUAUAUAGCCGUUGAGCCAAGGCCGUCUUUCCAACAUCACCCAUCCCAACUAUGGGGAUUAUGCUCAACAUGGCAUCAAAAUUUUCAACUUCACCAAUCAAUAAUUUGAGUAACUCCGCUUCUUCCUUCUUCAUGCCCAAAAAACAAGUCUCUAAUAGACAAAUGCUAUGGGGCCUUUUGUUGGUGAAGUCAAUUCUACCCACAACAUUCUCUGUCAAGCUUAGAUAAGCCAUCCUGGCAACAAUAUCCUCCAACCUGCCAUCAAUCUUCUGAACCUUAGUUUUAGACACAAGUGAGCUUGGGUUUGGAUUGGAUCUGGAAGAUUUAUGUUGGCUAAAGAAAUAGAACUUCACCUCACCUCCACUUGUGCUAGAUUUUGCCUUCGACUUGGCCUGAACGGCUUUGAUGGUAAACUCAUCAAGCAAGUCUUCCAUGUCAUAGGCCAGGUCCCUAAUAUCAUCCAACCAUAGCUUCACUAAACCAUUACCACUCAAGUGCUUGUCCUCUGCAUCAUCUAGCACUGCAUUGAUUGUGUCCAGCAUCUUCCCCCAUUUAUUGAGCAAGUCGAUGCUGAUUCCAGAGAAGGGCAAUGCUCCUUCCCUUUGCAUAUAGUCUAGUCCUGAAGAAGCUAGCUUCUUGAACAGGACCUAAAGGAAGGCACUCAAAGGAUCUCCCCAAUGGCCAUGGGUGAAUCCAUCAACUGUAGAGAACAACACAAGUUAUGGUGAAGCAAAGUGACAAUGAGCUAAUGGAGAGAUAAAAUGGGUGAAUGAGUCACUGUAUAUAAUAGCAAGGGUUAUGGAGAAGUGAAGUGAUGGCAAGCAAGACUUUCACCUCCCAAAAACAUUAAACACAGACCAAGACUUCCAAGGAUACACAUCAAUGGUUAGAGCAAUCAAGAUAAAAUACUUUUUGCCCAAAAGUGCUUCUAACUUAAUGUUUAGAGUUUAUCCCCAGAUAUCUUAUUUGAAGACAAAGACUUUUUGUUACACAUCUACAAGUCAUCAGAGGCAGCUAACUUUGUUUGUUCAAUAAGGAAAACAAAAGCACGCUUUUGCACUACAAAUCUACAAGUCAGGCACACUAACUAAUCCAUUAAGCAGCUUGGUUUAUUUUAAUCUGGAAACAGUAAAUGAGUUAAAAAAUCACCAACGAAUAACAUAUAAUCAAUUGAAUAAUAACUCUCUAAGCAUCAAAAUAAUGAACAGGAAAGUCGUGUUCAAUCCCUAUGUGGGAACGAAACUUCAGGAAGAAGAGGAUUUUGCAGUACGCCAAUUGGGUUUGUUGCUUUGCUUUUCACAUCUCUCCUCUUCCAUCCCUAAGUGAAUAUCUUCUUCUUCUUCUUUUCUACUGUUUGAUGCUAGAAAUUUAGUUGGUCUAGGAAAAUUAUUUCCACUGAGAGGAAAAGCCACGCCUCAAGAUUGAGGAGAAUAAUUUCAGAUCAUAAAAUCAAAAAUUGCUGCUUACCUCUCUCACUAUCGUAGACCAAUUUCAUCAUCAUCCGUCUCCUCUCCUCUGCGAACAUGCGCGAAUGCCACCCUCCCAUUUACCCACCAUCAUCAUCCACCGCCGCCAUCGAUCACCAAACAGACCCAAAUCGCCAACCCCAUUGAACCCUCCUCCUUCAAACCCAUUCCCAACCGCAGUAACAAGCACCACCACAGACUCGAUCACCACGACCACCACCGCCACCGUUCGCAGCCAGCAAAAAUUCAGGAAAAAAGAAAAAGAAAGCUAGGGCAGGGGAAAUUUCACUAAUCGGAUGGCCAAGUGAUCAAGAAAUGUGGGUCGAAGGUGCUUCCCGAGCUUCUCCGCCACCUAAUCGUGCUGCCAUUUGACUUUGUAUACUGUGACUACCAUGGCUGCGUUACGAAUGAACGGUGUUAUAGCUUUUCGUGGUGCCGGGCGGAGAAGAAGGGAUAAAAGAAAGUGGUAAGAAGAAGAAUAGGAGAAUGUCGGACCAAAAAUGUGAAGAUAUAUUUGGCCCAAACCACUUUCCCUACCCUUGUCAUGUAGGAGACUACCCAAGAUCUUCGCUGCCAAAGGUGAACCUUUACAUUUUUCACCUAUUUUCUUAUCUAUUGUUCCGAGAUUUGGGUACCUCUCUAAAUUUAUCGCUCCAAGAGCAUGAAAGGCUAAUAAGGUCAUACAAUUAUCAAGGGACAACUCCUCCAAUGGAUGCGACAAAGCUCCUAUUAUGGAAACAACAGUACGGUUGCAAGUCUUGAUGAUGAUCUUGCUUCUCUUAGCCCCUGCUUUAAAUGGCUUUAAGAGAGUAGUCCAUUCUCCGUAGUUUUCAUUCCAGACAUCAUCUAAAACUACAAGAAACUUCUUCCCCGAUAGACUGUCCUUCAACUUAACUUGAAGCCCAUUAAGAUCUUCACCCUCAUUGGGCAACCUGGUGAUUGACCGCAAAUAAUCUUUGUUAUGUUAAGAGCAACGAAAAAAUCUGAAACAUAAACUCAUGUUCUCUCGAAAUAGCUACUCACUCUGACAUCAUUAUACAACCGUUGAGCUAAGGUUGUCUUUCCAACACCGCCCAUCCCAAUUAUAGGGACCAUUCUUAGCGUGGUAUCAUCAUUUUCAGCUUCACCAGUCAAUAGUUCAAGUAUCUCUGCCUCUUCCUCCUCCCUGCCAAAAAAUUGAGGCUCCGGUAGAGAAGUGGAUCGGUUUUCAGCAUUCUCCAUCAAGCUUAGAUGAGCCUUUUGGUAAUGAUCUCUUCUAACCUGUCAUUGAUUUUCCGUACCUCAUUUUUGACACGAGCAAGCCUGGGUUUGGAUUUGAUGCAGAGGAUUCAUGUAGACUUAAAAAAGAAAACUUCCAUUUCACCAAACCUCUGCUUGUGUUGGAUUCUGCCUCUGACUUGGCCUGAGCAGCUACUGUCACAAUCAGAUACGUUGACAACAAACACCGACGAAGAAACAAGCACUUCCAGCAAAAAUUCUUCUUCGCAAGAAAAAAACUAUACAAGCUCAGUAGAGUUUUUCUGGGUUGACUUGUCCCCGGACAAAGUUGCAGUUGCGAUGAUUUAUGUUGUUCAAGGUGUCUUGGGCCCUUCAAGGGUCGCUGCAUUUUUAUUCGAAAGAUGAUUGGCAUCUAGAUCGAAGGUUUUCUUAAUGGAAAAUUAGAUCUAACAAUCUGUUUGCGCUGAUCAGCUUCCAUUUGCUCUGAUACUUAACAGGACUGACGAUCUGUUUGCACUGGACUAAACAGCUGUGAUAUCUGGUUCUUCUGCAUUACCAGUUACCACGGCUCAUCAAACCUCUAUACGGAAUUACCCGGUACAUUUUCUCUUUUUUUUUUUUUUAAUUAUUUACGGACGGCAAUUUUUUCACUUAAAAAAUCGCAUUUAUUUUCAUUUGUGGGGACAUUAUUCACGAACUAGAUGGCUGUUGCAGUGACUCCGUCCCACUUUUUGAUUACUGAAGAAGAUCAUUGCUUUGGUUUUACGAGGGCUUCUGGGAGCACUUUCAUGGAGCUUAAUGGCCGCCUUUGCUGAUAGCAAUGUAUAGUGCAAGCUUUCUGCAUACUGCUUCAAUCUAGAAGAGUGGAUUUCCUGUGGCCGCAUGAUCAACAAAGCAGCGGCAGACAAACAACGACCAUUACAUACUUUGCAAUCCGUUGACACGUUCUGUUCUAGAAUGGCACAUACGCUCUAAACGUCAAUGAGCUUAACAUUACCGGUUGAGUAUAAGCUGGUUACAGCAAAUCCACGCGCAACUUCUAUAAAGUGUUGAUCAGCACAGCGUGUUGAGAGACUUGACGGUUAUACAUACUUUGCAUUGAACCAACUGAUGAAAGUAAGUCGACAAGUAUGCUGAAGAAUGUGGCAGCUCAAGUACGCACUACACAAUCGGAUAUCUUAAAUGCAGAAACAGUCCUCAAACAUGCAUAUCAAUACAGUUCAGGUGUAUGAACGAGCACAUAGUAGAUUUUCCAGAAAUGAAGACCGGAGAAGCCAAAAGAAAUGGCCGAACUUGGUUCCUUUCGUGGGCUUUGGGCUGAUGGGCCUCUUGGUGUGGCUGAUGAGCGGGCUUUACGCAUUUGAUGAGUUUUGGGCCGAGUUGGGUUGCACGUAUUGGACAAGAUUUAUGAACCUCCUUUGGUGAGCUUGAGUUUUUACCAUUUUAUUUUCUCUCUCUUGUUUUUUUAUUUGUACUUAUUUAUUUUUUCUUUUACAAUAUAUAUAUAUAUAUAUAUAUAUGAAUUUUUAGACGAAUGUAUGUUAAAUUUAUUGGAGAAAAUUCAGAUGUCAGCUGAGAAAAUGGCAACAUUUUCCAAUGUUGGGCUAAAAUAUGAAAACGAACUGGAAAUUAUUUUUCAUCGUUUGAAAAGAAAAUUUUGCCUAAAGAAACAUACUCUAUUCGUGUCAUAUAAGGACUUUUCAUGCCAUAUUAUUGAAUUUUAAAUCCAUUUUUAUUGAAUUCAAUUUCCAAGGAGAUGCUAUAAGGUCCCAAAUUUGCAAGCAAAGAUUAAGGAAGCUUAGGUUUUUUUUUUUUUUAUAAGCAGUAAGACAGCUGAUUAUUAGAAUUACACAAAAAAGAUAUUGAGCAAGUUUUUUUUUUUUUUUUCUGAGCAAGUUGAAAUGAUAAACAUUAUACUCACGAUGAACGUAGUGAGGAACUUAAAUAAGCAAAGAAUUAUAGAAAAAAUGAAGGGAUAAAAUCUCACGCCUCCACUUUGUACAAAAGUGUGUGUAUAAAAGAUGAUUAUCCCAAAAGCUAUUCAACUUAAGUUUUUCUAGGACAUUCUAACGAACACCUGUGGAGCUAAUUAUAGUAAGUACUACAAAUACAUACAGCUGUGCUUUUAACCAAUCUCAUAAAACAAAUAAAAUCACCCCUAACAUCAGAAAAUAAAAAAUCACAGAGUUAGAGUUAAUUUCUCUAACAGCCAUGAUGACUCCAAAAAGGAAAAUCAUUGUCAAGUCAUUUCUUUUAGCAAUACAAAGCCGAAGGGGCUCGACCAUUGGCGCAAGAGCAAUCUGUGGUGACAUUUUUUUUUUUUUUGGGUCAGAAAAGCAACUAAUAUUAAUUAGGAAGAGUGAAUAUUACACUUAGCCGCUAGAGCAUCGGCAUACAAGAUAUCUAAGAAAGUAGAAGGAGGCGAGGAGGCCCAGUUAGAGGGAAGAGAACCGGACUUAAGAGCCUUUGCAGCCCAAUCCGCUCCAAAAUUGGCCCCUCUUUUACAAAACCUAAUUCCCAAAUUGGAGAAGCUACGAAGAAGAGCCGCAGCUUCAGCAAAUAGAGAGCGAACCUCCCAUGGCGGAUCGAGUAGGCUCAUCACCGAAUCAACAAGGAUUUUGGAGUCUGAUUCAAUCAUGAGUCGAUCAGAGGCUCGGUUCUUCUCCAUCAGGUAGCGAAGGGUUAUCGUCAGCGCCUGGAAUUCGGCUUGCAAGGCCGACGAAGUUGGAAAACGUUGGGUAAGUCCAUCGAUGAAACUCCCAUGAUGAUCCCGCAAGAUGCAGGCCAUGGUCCCUUCAGAACCUCCCAGUUAAAAUGCUCCAUCUAUGUUAACUUUUAGGGUUCCAUGUUCUGGGGGUCGCCAGAGUUCUGCUACACUGAUGUGUGAGUGAUUCGCAGUGCCGGUUGUGAUAGAGGACGACUGCGAUGUCCGAACAGUUGUAAGAGACUGAUCUACCACUCUACGUGGAUCGGGAAGGUGGUGCCGGAAGAUGAAAUUAUUCCUGGCUUUCCAUAUGUUCCACAUGAUUGCAAUGAUCACUUUGAAAUCAAGUAAGUUCUGAUUAUUUGACAGUAGAUUUCCAAGCCAAUCUCGAAGCUGAGUUAUGUGUAUUGUAGGAAUCUGGAUAUUGAUUUGGGGAUGAGACCAGAUAUCUGUUGUCCAUUGGCAAUAUAAGAAAAUAUGUGUUGUUGUUUCUGAUGUACCUGUAGAGCAGAGAGGGCAUAUACUGUCCGGAAUGAUGUGCCGAUGAAAUAGAUUAAGCUUGGUCGGUAGAGCCUCAUGGCUAAUAGACCAUAGAAAUAGGCGAAUUUUGGGAGGAAUCUGUAGCUUCCAUAUUCGUUUCCAUAACAGCUCCCGAUCAUGAGUUAAAACAGUGGGUACAUUGGGAGAAAUGCCAGUUAGGGUUGUUUGGCUCUGUCUGAUGGAUUGGUACCCCUUCUUAACACUAUAUGUUCCAUCAGUAGAUAUAGACCAGACAAGUUGAUCGGAAAUAUAGUUAGGUCUGACUGGAAUGGUCAGAAUUUCCUUCACAAUGGAAUCAUCAAAAAAUCUACAUAAUAGAGACUCAUUCCAUGUAUUGUGAUUGAAAUCCAUAUAAUCUGCUAACAACAAGGGUUCUUCUCUUUGAGCUGGACCACCUAAUAUUCCUCUUGGUAACCAAGGAUCAGUCCUCGGAUUGAUCUUGCGGCCAUCUCCUACUGCCCAUCUAAGAUUAGGUAGAAUAACAUCUCUUCCGGCUAACAGGCUUUGCCAACCCCAGGACGGUCUACAACCUUUCUGAGCUUGUGUAAAUGCACAUGAUGGAAAAUAGAGACCUUUAAAUAGUUUACUCCACAGGGAUGAAGGUUCCUGAAUUAAACGCCUCGCCUGCUUUCCAAGUAAGGCUCUAUUAAAAGCCAAAAGGUCCUUGAAGCCAAGGCCGCCAUGAUUUUUAUUUUGUUUAAGCACUUCCCAAGUCGUCCAGUGAAUACCAGGUUUAGUGCUAUUAUUUUGCCACCAGAAGCGUGCAAUUUUCCUUUCCACAGAUUUACAAAUAGAAGUAGGUAGUUUAAAUAUAGCCAUAGCAUACUGAGGAAUUGCUUGGACACAGCCUUAAUCAGAACCUCCUUACCACCCUUGGAGAUAAGCUUUUCUUUCCAACCAUUUAGCUUAGAAUCAACUUUGGCCAAAAUCCAGGCAAACAUCUCCUUUUUUGAUCUACCCCAAUCUGAUGGUAUGCCUAGGUAUUUGCCUGUUCUAAUCAUCAAGGGAACUCUAAGUUCAUUAGAUAAAUUUUCCUGUAGGCUCAUGGGGCAAUCUCUGCUAAAAAAGACUCCAGAUUUGUUUCUAUUUACUUCCUGUCCAGUGGCCAGACAAUAUUGACUGAUAAUAUUGGAUAGAUUUUGACAUUCCAUCAACUUGGCAUCUAAGAAAAAUAUAGCAUCAUCCGCAAAAAAUAAGUGAGAAAGUGUAGGGCAAAAACUGUUAAAAUGAAUUCCUUUAAGAUGCUCCAUAUUAAGUGCCUGAUGAAUAAGAGUGGACAGUGCAUUGGCCAUGAGGAUGAAUAAAUAAGGUGAAAGAGGAUCCCCCUGCCUGAGUCCGCGAGUUGGUUGGAAAUAGUUUAAAAGCUCCCCAUUAAACUUUAUACUGAAAGAGACUGUUGUCACACAUUCCAUCACCCACUUCACCCAAAGGGAAUGAAAACCAAUUUGCAGGAGAUAAUCUUUAAGAAAAUCCCAUUCCACACGAUCAUAUGCCUUUUUCAUAUCCAUUUUUAAAAUGGCCUUGAAAUCCCUUCUUCGCUUCCGUGUUCUCAACUGGUGUAGCACUUCCUGGACAAUGAGAAUGUUGUCCUGGAUUUGACGACCACUGACAAAGGCACUUUGUUCCUUGGAGAUUAAUGUCUCAAGCCACGGUUUGAGUCUAUUAGCAAGGAUCUUCGAUAUGAUCUUAUACGCAAAAUUACACAAGCUUAUAGGGCGAUAGUGAUCUAACCGUUCCGGAUUUGGAGUCUUGGGAAUGAGAGUGAUGAUCGUUUGAUUAAGCUCUUUUGGCAUGAUGCCUCUCAUGAAGAAAUCCUGGACCGCAAGAAAAAUGUCAUCCUUUAAAAUAUCCCAGUAGGAUUGAUAAAAGAGACCAUUCAAUCCAUCAGGUCCAGGGGCCUUAGUUGCUCCCAAUUGAAAUACGGCACAUUGAACUUCUUGUUGUGUGAUUGCUGCUGUUAAGUGCUCAUUCAUUUUUACUGGUACCAUGGGCAAGCAUUGCUGAAGAAUAGGCUCAUAGUUGCGAGGACCGAUGGAUUGAUAGAGGGUGGAAUAGUAGGUGACCAGCAGAUGCUUUAAAUCAUUCUCAUCACGAACCCAACUGUUGUCAUCAGAUUGUAGCAUCCUUAUUCUAUUCCGUUGGUGACGUUGGAGUGUAGUUGCAUGGAAAAAUUUAGUAUUCUUGUCGCCCCACUUUAGCCAAUUGAUACGAGAUCGCAUAGCCCAAAAUCGUUCCUCUUGCUCCCAUAACUUGUGAAUCUCUGUCUUGAGGUGCUGAAUUUGUUGCAUAGCAUUACUACAAUUGGAUUUAUUAGUUAAAGACUGGAGCUGUUGCUGGAGAUAGGAAAUUUGCUGUUUGGGAACUGAAAAGUGAGAUUUACUCCAUCUCGAGAGAGCUGCAGACACCUUAAAUAGCCGUUGAGGUAGCUUAUGCCUUGGUAAGUGUGCUGAAGUCCAAGCCUUAGAGAUAACCUCACGACAUUCUGAUUCCUGCAACCAGAACGCCUCAAAGUAAAAGGAUCGAUGACGACGUUUAGAAGGACCAUCCGUAGAUAAGACUAAUGGACUGUGAUCAGAUCCUAAUGCAGGAAGUGCUACAACCUCUGUGUCAGGAUAAAUCUCUUGCCAUUCCAAAUUACAUAGAGCUCGAUCUAGUCUCUCCUUGAUCAAUUCCUCACCAUCCCUGUGAUUCAUCCAAGUAUAUGCACAACCCUUACUAAUAAUGUUCACCAGAGAACAAUCAUAAAGUACCUCUCGAAAAGCUUGCAUUCUAUUCAGAGCGGCUAGUCGUUCUCCAUCUUUCUCCCAUGGGUAUAGUACAUCAUUAAAGUCGCCGAUGCAAAGCCAGGGCAGAGUAUUGGAUAGUGCAAGCUGUCUGAGUUCAUUCCAAAAAAGAAGCCGUGCUUGAUAAACUGAAGGGGCAUGAAGACAAGUAACAUGCAUAGAUCGUCCAGAACGAGAAUCAAUACAAAGGAAGUCAAACAUAUGCUGAUCUGAACGGUGGAAGGAAAUACUAAGAUAAGAAUGCCAAAAAAGGGCCAUACCUCCUGCAGGCCAAGAGGAUCAAGCACAAAAGAAAACUAGAAGUUAAGACGAGUUUGAAGUCGCUGAAGAACAUCAGUCCUGUUCUUAGUCUCCAUCAAAAAGAUAAGGUCAGGCUCUUCUUUAGCCACUAGGGCCUUAAGGGCACGAACUGUCAGGGCUGAGCCCAAGCCCUGGCAGUUCCAACUUAUGAGCUUCAUUUGUCGAUUGGUGGCUGUUGAGGGCCAGCCACCAAAGCCCUUUGCUGUAAUUCAUCCACUAACAUAACAGGUGUGUCCAUCAACUGCUUUUCAUAGAAAUUCUGCACUAAAGAAGAUAUCUGAUAAUGAGCAUGACGUUUCUAUUUCUUAGAAAUUGUUGCCUUGGUUGAUAGCUUGAUAUGUUUCUUCUUUUUCAGAUUGAUAUCAGUUUCUGAUGAUGGUAGAAGGGUUUGUUUCUGUGCACAGUCAGAUUCGAUAGUGUCCUGUGGUAUAGGUAAGAUGAGAUUUGCAGUGGACAGUAGAGAUAUGGUAGGUGGUAAAGUAUUAAAAGUGGAAAUAGUUGCUGAAUGAUGCUGAGAACUUGAUCCUUGCGGAGCAUACUGAAUUGCUUGUAUCUUCUUAUCCUUCUGUAUUAACAAAGAUUUAUCCUGUGCAGUUUCUGAGAUGGUUGCAGCUAGUAUAGUGGGGAUAGUAGGAUGUUGCGCCGCUGAGGAUGUACCCUCACAAGGUGGAAGCGCAGGGAGGACAGGAGAAGGAGAUGGUGUUUCAGGAACUACCUCGUCAUGCUGUGCCCCAGAAGAUUCAUAAAAGGUAACCCAAUAGGGGCUAGGAAUUUUAACCUCUGCUCGCAACCAAGGCCCAUAUGCCAUUUUCUCCUUACCUUCCAUUUUUGCUUCUGAAAAAGGAAUAUCUUUGCAGUAGGUUGCAUAGUGGCCUAUUUUUCCACAGGAAAAACAGAAAUGGGGUAACCGCUCAUACCUAAAGUCCAACCAAAAAAGUUUUCCUGCUAUGCGUAGUAGUUGUCCUGAUUUCAGUGGCUCACUUAAUCUGAAUUCCACUCUAGCCCUACCUAUUUUGAUUGUAGGAUUUUCUUUAAAGUCUAAUUUCACCUCCAACACCUUGCCUACGUGCUUAACAGCCUCGCACAACAGUUCCUCAGUGCACCAUUCCAUUGGCAGCCCAUGAACUUGCACCCACAAAUUACAAGUGGUAAACUCAUAGCAAUGAAGGGGUGUAUUUGGUUGCCAAGGCCUAAAAAGUAAUAAAUUACUAGAAAAUACCCACGGUCCGCCUUCUAAUAUUCUAUUUUUCCUCACCCUCCGACUUAAACUUCACGACAUAGAAACCAUUAUCCCAUUGAGUAAUCUCCACUUCCUCUGUUCGCCAUACUUGCUUCAAAAACUUCUGUAAAGCUGGAAAGUUGACAGAGGGAUUGGAAAUAAGUUUACCUAUCAGCAUAAGUUGACAUUCCUUUACUCUGUGCAGAGGCGGUGGUUCCUGCCAUUCUUCAAUUUCGUGGUUAGUCCAAAGGCGGCCCACGCGAUUGCACAGGGCCGCAAGUCGGGAAGCCUCAGCUUCGUCUUGGGUAUCCAUUGACAAAAUUCGCAAAGGAUAAAGCAAUCAAACGAUAGAGUGACACAGUAUUGAGGCCAUGCAAGAUACGAAAUGGACCAGAUUAGACAUAGAAUGGAGUUGAAACAUGUGCAUGAGAAGAAAAGGUUAGUAAGCAGAACGAUGGAAGGUGGAAGCUGUUGUACGGUGAAAUCGAAGCAAAUCCAUUGACAGAAUUCGCAAAGAUGGGCCUGUAGACAUGCGAUGGAAGGCUGGGAGAAUUCGACGGAGGGGAAAUAAGGGCAGAGAAGACGAGGUUGAUGAAAUUGGCGGUAAGCAGAAUGAAGACUGAUGACGAUGAAGCAAAUCUGGUCUGUAAUACCGAUAAUUCAGUACAGAUUCACAAUUAGGAAAUUAGGGUUAACAGAUGCUGACGACCAUUGAGGUCGAAAGAAGCUCUGCAUUUCGAGAGAAAAAAGAACGUACCAAAAACCAUUGAGGGUACACAAUUGUUCCUUCGGAGUCAAGCCAACUUAGGAAAGGCUGCUAAACAUCACUGAGGUGUGUUAACAUUUAUAUCAUCUCAUUAUGCAAGAAAUAUCAAUUUUUGCCACUCAAUAGAAGAAGGAUCACCUUAUCCCUAAUUCUCAAGUAGGUGAACAUUAUGCUGAUAAUCUUCUGGACGAAAACACGGUCAAAAUUGGUCAUGUCCUCACCAUCCACGCCUAGAUCAAUCUCAAGCAAACAAAAUGAUGUAAAUGCCCUUAAUUAGCAUAUGAUUUGGAUUCUCAGUGAGAGGUGUCAACCACCAAUUUAAGAUCCGUCUAAUCACUGGGGUUUACCCUAGUAGCCACUCUUCCAACUUAAAAGGGGGAGGUAGGGGUUCGAAUCCCACAUUUCCAAGGAGUUGGGGUGGAGACGCAUUAGUUUCAAGAGUGGCUUUCGACUCUCACGCCCUACAAGAAGGUAGGGCAAAAGUUUAAGAGUGAGCAUUAGAAUAUGAGUAGAGUAGAACCGAUAAAAAAAAAAAAAAAAAAUUAAGAUCUGUCUUGAUCAGUAAACAAACAAAACAUAGAGCCGUAUAGCUAAAGAAACUAGAAAAACUUCAAAGACAUUGUAUUGUAUCGUUGAAUUAUCUUCAUCGCGCUUCCUAUGUUUACAAAUGAUUUCGCGUAUGAUGAACCACUAGCAGCUUUUGUGUUAAAGAUAACGGAAUCCCAUCAAAGUCAAGCUAGAUAGAAUAGGCAAGUUCGAAAAUAGGGGAACUUCAAAUCGAUGAAAAUGAGAGAGAUAUAGGCUAAAACCAAUUCCCAAGUCACUCUGCAAAUGCUAAUUUUGCUCCUUAGGACAGAUUUAGUUGAGCAGUAUCCAGCCAGAAAAGAAACGGUUAUCGAAAUAAAAAAAUCCAGCGAACCAUUUGAAAUUCAAUUCAACGACUCAAAAAGCACAACGAAAGGGGCUUGGCCUGCAAAGCAGACGAUGUUAAGCAGGCAUGAAUCAGCUUUAUGUCCACUCAUCAAAUAAACUCAGUGAUCCUAACCAACUUGCUCCGGAAUAUAGGAUGCUAAUAGCUAAAACGAGGACUUAUCUCUCGAACUAGUUCUUCUUCGACUCAUUCAUCGACGCAAAAACAGCAGCACAUCGACACAUAAGUAAUACCACCAACAAAAAUUUAAUGAGAAGAAACCGUGAUACCUCGAGAACCGACAGCGUGCAAUCGGAAUUUGCAGGAGCUCGAUUGGAUUGAACCUCUGAACCACAAUUACCUUACACCAAGAUAAGGCAACCGGCUGGGUAAGUAAGGCCUAAAGAAAAACUAAAUGGAGCAGCAACCGAUCCAUUACUAAUCAAGAAAAAGGGUGAAAGAAACUAAAUAGUGAAACAUUAAGUCCGUCCCUUUCUGAAUAACUUAGUAGUAAAUCAUGAAAAGAUACGUACUUUGUUUAUUAAAAGAAUGAGAAAAUAUUAUUUAGACUCGACUAAAUCAAAGGAGUCCAUUUUAAAAAACAAAUUAAUUGAUAUUAGGUAGUAGUGGAGCUUCAUCGAUUUAUCAUCUAUGGUGUAACAAAUUUUGGAUGAACAAGUUACUUAACCAUAAAUGGUAGAAUCAUCUGGAAAGUCAUGUAAAAAUUGAUUCAAACGAGCAAAGUUCGGAGCAAACUUUUAUACUAUCUUUUGUAAAGAAAACAUACUCUAGUCUCGUAGCCAUAUAGCUUGAACCGACGUUCUUACUUUUCUCAAAUUAACUGAACCGACGUUGAUUUUCUCUUUCAUUCGACAUGCUUAUCCCCUACUAAUCUUAAACAAGUUGACAUGGGUUUAUUUAUGGUCAAGUUAAUUUAGUGAGUUCAAUAUCGCCUCAAACUAAUCAAUCAAAAGAUUUUAUACACAAUAACUAAAAGGAAAAUCAUUUGAGUGGUGAUCCCACUCAUGUAAAUCAAGGAAUCACGACUAUAUCGGGCGGCAACUUCUUGUAACAGCAAACCAGAGGAACUCCAUUAUUUAUUUUUAUAUUUUUUUUGCCUAAAAUAGUUCGGCUUAGACUCUUGUGUCCAUGCUAUAUUUGUACUUCGAUUUUUAAAAUAAAAAGGUUGUUUUUUCUUUUUAAUAAUUUGAUUCUAUGAUUGACCGAAGUAAUUUCCUUUGACAAGCAUUUUUUACCCCUCAAAAUAGUGAAAGAUGAAAAUAAUAAUUUUCGAUUAAAAUAUUUUUCUCCAAACAAACAAAAUCCUAGAUGAACUUUUCAAAACUCGGUCAUAAAAAUAAUCUAGGGUCAUAUCCCUCCAGAUUUUCAUUAUAUUACGGAUCAUCCUCGUAAAAUCAGAACUUUUUACGAAUUCAUAUAAGCCUCAAUCAUAUAGUUACUAUGAUUAUAUGCAAGCAUAUUAUAACUUUUCAAAUCAGAAAAAAUUUUGAUCAUUCAUUUUUCUUCUUCUUUGAUAAAAAAUUUCUGGAAACGAGUUCUAUUUGGUUCCAAGACUGGUUUACUCUUAUUUGGUCCAGGUUCCCAUAUUAUACCUCCAGAGUUUUCAAAUGGAGACAAUUACUCUCUCGAAAUAUUCAAGAACCUCCUCAUCUUUACAUGUUAGAUACUUCUAAGAGAUGAAGAUGAUUGUCCACAUGUUAGAUAACGUUCAAUAGACCGUUACAUGCUCUACUCUUAAGACAAUUGAAAAAUCAAAUGGUGCGCAAAAUUUGCCCUCAAUUUGCAAAUGAAGAAGCGUUUAUGGUUCUCUGCAAUCCUACUCGGUCAAAGUCGCAGACUACCAGAGCAAACUCAAUUUUUCCUCAACAAAAGUCAACAUCAAGCUCAACUUGCAGCAGCUUCAGAUAAAAAAAACUGCUAAAAGUAGCUCGUGAGACCAUGUCUCAAGGAGGUUCCGAUGAUAAAAUGGAAGAAAACAGCUCUUGCUCCUCGAUAUGAAAAUGAUUGUUAUGGCACAAACGUCAUGUAGCUGGCAAAACUUUUAUCAUGUAACAGAAGUUUCCAAUAAUAGAACUUAUGUAACAGCAUUCCUCAAUAUUGUAUAUCAUGAAGCCAAAGAAGCACGUUUCCUUUCCGGAUCAAAUUUCCUUCAUCUGCUCCAACUCAAGAUAUAACUUCAACAUGGGAGCUCACGAGAUUGAAACCAUUUGCAAUGGUAGUGCGCGUAUCUCUUUGCAUGUGAAUGGUUCUGGACCUUAGGAUAAUUUUGAUGGGGCUUGCCUACUUCAAGGAAUUGGUCAUUAGUGGUGCUAUGUGAUGAUAGCAGACGCAAAUCAUCAAAGUAACUUCCAGAGUUUAGCCACAGCUAUUGAUCUCCCUCCCGUUUCCCUUCCUGCACAGGAAAUAUGUAGGACCGCUAAAAAUGUUGCCAAGAGAUGGAGUGGGUAUUUAAAUAAAAGGAAAAAUGAACUUUAAUCUUUGAUCAGGCAACCAGUUUGUAUAUAGGUUUUGACCUGCACGGCUCAUUCAGAAUUUAGCUGUUAUAUUAGCAUAUUCAAAACCUCAGUUUUCAGUGCCGUUUUUCCAUGUGCAUCGUAGCAGUUGGAAGAAAGAAAGCUUCUUAUUUUGAAUAUUGACCAAAAGUUAUCUAACAAAUUCAGGUGUUUGCACAGUUUCAUUAUAGUAUUUUUUGCCUAGGCAAGGCCAACGUUAUAGUCACUAAAAGCAAUUCUGUACUUGAGUUGAAUACAGAGCUUUUAUUGACAAUGAUUAAAUUAUCGUAAUUAAUUUUCCUAAAUAGUGCCAAACAACAAAAUAUAUUAAUACAACUAAUUUCUUGGAAAAUAGACUCACUCUCCUACAAAAUAAUGUACUGAGCUAACAUGGUUCUUUGGCAAAUGUUUAAAUCAUUCUACUGUGUAUAGGAAAGCUGCCUUCUGCACGGCUAGAGUAUCAAACUUCCAGGGGGACCACAAAUGAUCCAUUGCUAGGGCAAACUGCGCAAAGGGUCAUAAAUCAUACCUGGACUGCAAUCCCAACUCAGUUCUUGAGCUAUUGCCAGAUGAUGCCGCAUGCUCAAUGUCAAAAACUUAAGACUCAUCCCUCCACGAGCCCUAAUCAAGUAUAAAUGACAAACGAGGGCUCGUGUAACUGUGAAUCCGUCCUGUAUACCAGCAGCAAUCCUCUUUUCGUCCUUUUUCCCUUUCUCUCUAUAGCUAAGCCUCAUUUUCUGUUUUGUAAGGUAAUGUGAACGCCGUGAACCAUUCUUAGUUGAUAACAAUAACUAGAUUCACCUGGUUCGACCAAAACUAAAGUAUCUUCCUAUAGUCCUCCAAAUUCCCAUGGAAAGGCACCACCUUGCCUUGAGAAACCAUCUAGACAUCAUCCGAGCUUCUAGUUGUUAGAUGCCCAUCGUGACUAACCUCCAUAUUAAGGCGCAAAGAGGGGGCUAUUAGCCAUGAAAAUGAUCCAUCAUUGGUCAAAUUGAAGUAUUUUGACGAAAAUAUCAAUCUCACCAUCAGAAUUCCUCCAUGGAACAGACCAGAGCUUGAAUGAGUGCCUCAACCGCAUCCAAAUCCUACAGUUGUGGGUGUGCAACAAUGCAGAAUCACACUCAUUCAUCCUUAGAGAAGAAACAAACAAUUUACAAAGACAAUACUGUAGCAAUCAUUGGUCAUUAAAGCAGAACUUGAAGACCACAUUUAUAAACAAAAAGAGGCACAUUAAUCAUAUGCAGAGCCCAAUAGGACCUAUAGGCAUAGAUGGCAGAACUAUUUUGUAUUAUAGAUUACUGUAAUACUAAAAAACCGAUCAGGCUAGCAUAACUGUUCUAUUCCCAAUAUUUUUCCAAGUCGGAACAAUUAGAUUGGUUUUCGUUACGUUAUAACUUAAUUUAUGAUAAGAGAGGCUCGUGGCUACGAGCACUGAUUGGUUCUAAUGUAUUUUCAAUGUAAAGACCACAUUCCACUAAGUUCAAUUAGUGCAAAAACAAGAACAAGCUAAUUGAAAAACUAAUCAAAGUCAUAAGGUGGAGAAAAAUGAGUAAAACUUACCAGAUGAUUGGAUGGCUUGUCAAGCAAAACUAUGUGAGGUUUCUUGAAAGUUAUCCUGGUAAAUGCAACUCUACUUUUCUAACCACCUAUUUAAAUGGUCAAAGCUCCAUGUUACGCGUGCAACAACAUCCAAAAGGCCUUGGAGAAAGUACAACGUGAACUACAAUUCAUAUUACAAAUUGACUAACCUCUAUUAGAGCUUCACAAUGUCAUGCGAAAAUUGCUUCAACAAAUGUUUUGGCAUAUGCCGCAGUAGCAAAGAGGGAGGAGAUCCAUCAAAUAAGGUAUACAUUGGUUGAAGCAUGAGAUUUCCAAUUACACCAAAGGAGCCCAAGUGAGCUCAAACCUUUUGUUCCAGAACUCUCCACAGGAAGAAUGCCAUACGAAGCUAUUUUCAGAUAAAAUGACAUAACUAUGAUGAAUUCAUACUCUGUGGUGGAGUAAAAGCAAACAACUGAUACUUUGAAGAACUGAACAGAUAUGCCCCAGAGGUCACUGCUGACAAUGCAAACAUAGAAGUUGGCAUCAUAUCAUUACAAUCUCAACCAAACAACACAAGUAUAUUGACUAAAAAUUUCUAGCAAGCUGGAAGUAAUAGUUGCUAACCCACCAAAGAUAAAGACCCAAAAGGAAGGAGAUUUAUGGAAUACCAAUGCUGUCGUGAGGUGGAGUUGUGUUGAAAGCUUCGAGCAAUGGGAUACCCCAGAAUUUUAUUCCAGAUCGACUGCCUGAUACUGCAAAGCAUAAUUAUUGACAAAAGGAAGGUUUUCAAUUCUAAAGAAAACCAUUAAAAAAAAACUGCAUUUCCUUUCUUCACAAUCAGAUCACAGCCUCCCAAAACUAAUCAUGCUUUUAGUUUUCACUAGAAGAACAUAUAGAACAUACUAGCGCACCAAAUAAAAUCAAACACUUCUUUUUUUUUUUUGAAUUGCAAAUGUGACACAUAACAUUGACAGCAUUAGCCCUACCUCAACAGCAUUUGCAAGUGAGCCUUCCAAGAUUUCGCCAACACAGAUCACAAUGGUAUCUGCAAAACAACCACAGUGAAUGAGCUAGGGCAAAAGAAGAAGCUGGGAAGAGAACAUACAACAAAUGCUGAAAAUGCAGGGGAAUUUGAUUGUGGAACGCUACGAUUCUUGGUGAUUUUCAUGCAAAGCAUAGUGCACUUUCAUUCACAAUUUGUUUGGUGGGUCUUUCGAGUGCAGAAUAAGCAAACUUUAUGGUCAUCAAGUUGAAUUAAAUAUACGUUGUUUAUAUAGCAAGAGGCAGCACCAUAAGCAUUUUGUCCUGCACUUUAUUAUUCAACAAAACAGAGCCGAUCCAAUCCAACGAGAACACCCAUGCUAAUGUCAGUCUUUGACCUUCAGUGGCUGGUUUUCGGAUGGGAAAAAUGUGUUCGUAUUAAGCAUUGAAUUAAGGAAGCAGAAUAGAAAUUGAUGCCUUCAAAAUCAAAAACUUACCCCAACCCUAGGAAACUUAUUGUUGAUGGAAGAAUGAAUCGCAGCAAUUAGCAAAUGAAAGCGAAAGUGGAUGGAUAUCACUUCAUUGGAUAUGAGCGUGAUCAAUGAGGAUACGAGGGAUUUCUUGGAUGAGGGGCCAAUAGUCGCUAGUGGGUUUUGAGCAUCGAUCUUUUAGAAUCUCGCAUCCUUCAAUAUACAAUUGUCGGAGGGAGGGAGGGAGGCCAUCCUCUGGCAAGUCCCUCAACUUCGGGCAAUUGGAAAUCCAUAAAUGGGUGAGAGAGGAGAGAUGGUUGCGAAGACCGCUUGAUAGUCUUUCCACCUUCCUCAUAUGACUUAAGUCAAGACCGGUUAGAGAGGAAGGAAAGAGAAGACUCCACGCAUCCUCGUCCUCUGAAGGAAAGCACACCUCCUCUCCCUCCUCUCCCAUGUUUCUUCCAUCAAUAAAUAGAGAAUUGAGGGAUGUGAGCAAGGUUAAGCCCCAUUCUCUCAGUGGCUGCUUUAGAUUCUUGCACCCUGUAAUUGAAAAGCUUCGCAAAUUGGGAGGCAAACCUCCUUCGGGCAAGCAUUUAAUAUUUUGGCAAUCACUAAUGUAUAUCGUCUCAAGGGAUGUAAGAUGAUGCCAUUGCUUUGGUAGAGAAUUUAUCUUCGGGCAGUCAAGAAGCUGAAAACGUGACAAGGAGAUGGGAAGAUGAGGGAAUUCCUCUAUCUCCAAUGCCGGACAGAAUCUUAUAUCCAAAUUGGUGAGAUGGCCUAGCCUAUCAAGGCACCGUGUUAGCCUUUUUAGAUUCAUACAUUUGAAAAAAUACAAAGAUUUCAAUUGAGAUGUUAGGUUAUUACUAUUGAGGUCAUAUAGAGGAUUGGUUAUUCUAAUGAUUUUUGGACAAUUAAUAAUCCUCAGAAUUUUGAGUGUAUUUUGCAUCUUGCUUGGAAGCCUUACUAAACUUGUGCAAUCCACCAAUUGCAUUUUUUCCAAGUUGCAGGGUAGCUCUAUCUCUUUUUCUCCUACCACAAAAGAUGUGAAUUGAUGACAGCUUUCGAUGACCACACCUUGAAGGCAAGUAAGAUUUCGCGUUUCAUUCCAUCUUGCCACAAGUAUGUUAGCUUGUCACAUUGUGCUAUAUGGAGCUCCUUUAGCUUGACCAAGCAACUCAUAGACCCAUUAUCAAAGCAAACAAACUCUGUAAGGUUCACAAUUUUGAGAGUGGUUAAAGAAGUUAGGUUGACCGAGCACUUUAAGAUUUCCUUGCUACAAUCCUCAAUGCAUAACUCACGGAGAGAUGGAAGACAAAUUGCAUUUGUUGAGUUAUUCAAUAGCGGGCAUGAGUGAAUUUCAAGCUUUAUGAGAUGAUCAAGUUGACAAGGCAAUGUCCCAAUUAACGAAGGACAACUCUGGAUUACAAGAUGCUCAAGACAAGAGAAUGUGACUUCUUGGUUGUUGGAAUAACGAGACCAAUCUUUCCAUGCCAACAUCUCUUCGAAUUUUAAAGUUGUUAAGGAUAAAAAAGGCCUUUUACUUCCAUAAAAUUCAGAGCCGAUCAUGCUUACUGCAUGUAGACCUUCAAGAUAUAAUUCUCUAAGUGAAGGGAGUUCUCCAAGUGAGGGUAGCAAUCCAACAUGAGGACAGCCUUGCAAGCACAAAGACACUAUCUUAGAAUAAGGUGGACCAUUUAACCAUGAUGGGAAUAUUGCACCACCAUAGUUGGAGAUAGUGAGAUUUUCAAGAUUAGUAUGAGGUCGCAAAGAGUGAAGCACUUGUGCUUCACGCUUAUCAUUCCGUAGAUUGCCAAAAGUUUCACCCCAGUGCAAGAAUAAGUUUCUAAGGCCUCGCUUUUCAAACAAAUUAGCAUCAAUUGCUUCCCUAACUUCUUCCACCUUUUGCAAUUCUGAUAUGGAUAAUUCUUCUUGAAGAUGUGGCAAGUUCUUUAACUCCUUUAAUUGCGACCCUUUGUCUUGUCCAACCACAAACUUGGACAAUAUAGUAAGAUUUUUCAAAUUACUAAUACCCAGUGGAAUCUCUUUUAGACUCUCUGUAUCUCUAACGUCAAGAACCUGUAAGCUGACCAGUUUUGUGAUACCUGUAGGCACUAUAGAAAGCUUUUGACAACCUUUUAAGAUCAAAGCUCGUAAUUUGCACAAGCUAACAAUUGACUCCGGCAAACUUUUAAUGUCUGUGUAUGAGAAAUUGAGGUAUCGGAGAUGUUUUAAAUCACCAACACAAUUUGGUACCUCCACGAUGGAACAAUGACAUAACAAGAACACCCUCAAGUACUUCAAUUCUGUUAGCAAGUCGUGUAGCACCUUGUUGGAAAUGUGGAACUUGUUAUGCUGACUAAAUCCAAUAUGCAGUAGCAUUAAAUUUCUUAGUACCUUCAUCCGGUGAUACACUCUCAUACUUUUUGAUGUAGCACACCGGGAAACAAAUGAUGCAUAACGAGCUUUCUCAAGAGAUGUAUCAUCUUCAUUACCUACUAGCUGAAACUCCCCAAAGCUAAAGGACAUUCCACCUGCAAUUGACUUUGCUAAAUCAUUCAAAAGAUCAUGCAUUGAAAACUUAGAUGCAUUUACACUUGAUUGUUGAAUAAAUGAUCUAGAAAGUAACUCAUUGAAUUGAGUUCGUCCAAAUUUCAAGAUAUUCUCCUUUGCUUUUAGUCCAUCUAAAAAGCCCUCCGCAAUCCACAAGACUACCAACUCAUCCCUCUCAAUUUCGUAAUCCUUGGGAAAUAUUGCACAAUAAGCAAAACAUCUCUUCAAAUAAGAGGGAAGAUGGACAUAGCUCAGUUUCAAAACUAGAAGAACCUCGUCAUUUUCUCCAGUUGGAAGAUCCCACAUUCUGUUAUUUAAGAUAGCUUCCCAUUCAUCAAAAUUCCCUUUACUACGUAGGAGACCCCCCAAAACCUUUGCGGCCAAAGGUGAACCUUUACAUUUUUCAGCUAUUUUCUUGCCAAUUAUUUCAAGAUCCGGGUGCCUCUCGAAAUUUGUUUCUCCAAGAGCAUGAAAGACUAACAAGCUUGUACAAUUAUCAAGGGACAACUCGUCUAAUAGAUACGGCAAAGCUCCUGUUAUGGAAACAACGGUACGAUUGCGAGUCGUGACAAUGAUUUUGCUUCCCUUAGCCCCCACUUCAAAUGGCUUUAAGAGGGUAGUCCAUUCUCCAUAGUUCUCAUUCCAAACAUCAUCUAAAACUAUGAGAAACUUAUUCCCAAUUAGACUGUUCUUCAACUUAACCUGAAGCCCAUUAAGAUCUUCACCCUCAUAGGACAACCCCGUAAUCGAUCGCAUAAUAGUCUUUGUUAUGUCAAGAACAUCAAAAACAUCUGAAACACAAACCCAUGCUCUCCUUUCAAAAUAGCUAUUCACUCUUGUAUCAUUAUACAAGCGUUGAGCCAAGGCCGUCUUUCCAACACCACCCAUCCCAACUAUGGGGACAAUACUCAUGGUGGUAUCAUCAUUUUUGGCAUCACCAAUCAAUAGUUCAAGUAUAUCCGCUUCUUCCUUCUUCCUGCCAAAAAAUUGAGGCUCAGGUAGAGAUGUGCUUGGUAGCCUUUUGUUGGUGUAGUCAGAUCUAUCCACAGAAUUCUCUCUCAAGCUUAAAUCAGCCUUCUUGGUGACGAUCUCUUCCAACCUAUCAUUGAUCUUCUGUACCAUUGUUUCAGACAUUAACAAGCAUGGGUUUGGAUUCAACUUAGAGGAUUUAUGUUGGCUAAAGAAAGAAAACUUCACACGAUCUGUAAUUAUGUUGGAGUUUGCCUUCAACUUGGCUUGAGUAGCUUCGAUCUCGAAUUCAUCAAGCAAGUCUUCCAUGUCAUAGGCCAAGUCCCUAACAUCAUCCAGCCAUAGUUUCACUAGACCUUUACCACUCAAUUGCUUGUCCUCUGCAUCAUCCAGCACUACAUAGAUUGUGUUUAGCAUCUUCCUCCACUUAUUGAGCAGGUUAGUGUUGAUUCCAGAGAAGGACGGUGCUCCUUCCCUUUGUGCAUAGUCCAAUCCGAGGGAAGUCAACUUUUCGAAUAAGACCUGAAGGAAUGCACUCAAAAGGAUCUCCCCGAUGGCCAUGGGUGAAUGAGUCAACUAUAGAGAACAAAAAGAAUUAUGGUGAAGUAAAGUGAUGAUGAACUAAUGGAGAGAGAAAAUGGGUGAAUCAUUUAACAAGGGUUAUGGUGAAGCAAAGCGACAAGGAGCUAAUGGAGAUGGAAAAUGAUAAAGUCCAAGAAGACCCUAUUUUGACCUACCAAAAACAUUAAACAAAGACUAGGACUUUCAAGGAUGCACAUUAGUGGUUAGAGGAAAUUAAAAAAAAAAAAAACACAAUUUUGCUUGUCUCGUAAUAUUUAGAGAUUAUCCCCUUUCUACAAUCAUAUAUUUGUUAAUAUAAAAAAAUAAAAAUAAGAAACCAUAAACUCAGGAAGCCCAGCCUUUUUGUUAUACAUCUACAACAGCUAACUUUUAAGAGCUAAUUUUUUCUGUUCCGUCCACUUUGAAGGAGGAAUCAAGGAAUAUCUUAUAUUUCCAUAAUAUAGUCAAAUUAUUUGAGUAUAUUAUUUUUCUUAAACAUAUGCGAAUUUUUAGCACAAUAACAGCCAUGUAAAAGCCUACAUUGAUGGCAUAUUCAUCAAUAAAACAGAAUGCAAAGACAUUGAAAUCAUAAACAUAUUGAGAAUAUACGGAUUGAAAAAAAAAAAAAGCCAACAAAACAAAGUAAUAAAUUUUGAGAGGAAACCGAUUAAGAGUGUAUGUAGAUUAUCUUUAAAUUUCCUACUUAAGAGUGUUUUGUCGGCUUUUUUUUUUUUUUUUGCGUAUGUAUAUUCUCAGUAUCUUUAUGAUUUCAAUGUCUUUGCUUUCUACUUUAUUGGUGAAUAUGCCAUCAAUGUACGCUUUUACAUGGCAGUUGAAGUGCUGAAAAUUAGCAGCAAGAUGGGCAGCAGUGAUCUACUGAAGAGUGUUGAGGCAGUAGUUGAUAAUUGAGAACCAAUUGAUAGGAGAAUCAUGGUCAUUUGCAUAGCUUUCCUGUUAGUGUGAUGCAUAGAGUAUAAUUUCUAGCAAAUUAUACAUUGUUAGUUGAUGAUUUUCGACUCAUUCACUAUUUACAAAGUAAAAUAAAGUAACUUGUUUAAUGAACUAGUUGGCAUAUCCAACCCCUUUGCUUGUUUAGUGAUGAAUGAAGUCAACCACAAUUAAUAGGACUGACAAAUAAGCAUCUUUGUGCAACUUUCACAGACCAAAAUAUAUGUUUUUGAAAUAUAAAAUAUUGAGGAUCCACUCAACAAUGGCAUAAAAGGCAGCUAACUUUGUCUAAUCGAUAAGGAGAAUAGAAACACUUGCUUUGAGCUGAACAAGAAAAACGGUUGGGCACACCAACCAAUCCAUUAAGCAAGUAAGUUGCUUUAUUUUACUCUGCAAAUUGAGAACAACAACGUAUAAUCUAUUGAAAAUUAUACUCUACCGAUCACACAAGUGAAUAGGAAAAUCGUGUUUGAAGGAUCACGAUUCUCCCAUCAAGCGAUUCUCGAUCAGCAGAUCUUGCCAUCCAUCUUGCUGGGAAUGUUUGUCUGCAAGUGCUUGUUUUGUAAUAUUGAUAGAUUAUCCCAAGGCGUUUGUGGUUUCCACACUCAUAUACCUGUUCAUGUAAGCAAACCAUAUACUUUGGAAGACCAAGAUUUUACUAGAUAUCAUGAACUUCUUUGUCGCGAAAGGCAAGGAAAAGAGAGAGAGCUUAUGGGAAAGAAACUUUAAUAAUAUCCGUGAAGACCAAGACUUAUGGAGACGCAGAGUGGCAUUGUUGCCUCACUUUUCCCAUCCCUAUGUCAAUGUCUUUUUUCCAUUGCUAGUAAAAUUUCCACGCAUUACAUGGGUGCUAUUUUAUUUUAUUUUUGUGCAUGAGUUAUUAUCGGACGAUUAGCAUUAAUUAUUGUUCUCUCGCUCAAAACUAACAAAAGGGAAAAAUUUCAUCCAACUUUUGUCAUUUUUAAUCGUAUUGUGAUUUUUCAUUCCUUAAUCUCUGUCUUACUUGUCUAUUGGAAUUAUGUCUAGAGUUUCUUCUAUAUUUUCAAAUUUAAGUUUAAGAAAAAAAAAAGCAAAAUAAAUAACUGAUAAAAAAAAAUUGCAGGAAUGAGGCGAUAAUACUCUUCGUGACUUGCGGAGUUUCACUUCAAAUUUUUAUUUUUAUUUUUUCAAACAAAGAUUCAAUCUAAAAUUAAAAAUAUGCAAGAUAUGAUUUUCCUAGAUUUUCCAAUUUAUAACAUUUGAUUUAUGAGAGGAAACAUGCAAAUAUGACAAUGAAUAAUAAUGCACUCUAAAUGGCCUAGAUGUGCAUGAUAAUGCUUGUCCAUGAAAAUUCUGAGUUUUCUAAUAUAAUUUUCCUGAUACUAAUAUAAUGUAAUUCUAUUCUAAUAUGUAAUGAAAAAUCAUAAAAUAGAGGUCCAAGUUUGAGCUCAAACAAGUAUGCGGGUAGAGGCAUCACCUUAUUAAAACAACUAAGCCAUAUCAACAAUCAAGUGGCAACUUUAAUCUGGCCAGCGAGUAUUGGACAUCAAAAUCCCUCGAUUUUGUUGUUAAACUUGCUGCAUCAGUUUGAGGGAAAAAGGAAAGCAAGUAGAUGGAUAUCUUUUAUCUUUUACCUAUUCCAAGUGGACUCCUGGAGCAGAUUGGUGAACUGGAUUAGAUCAACAACAGCAAUCCCGAAAGCACGAGAGCUAGGUUAAGACGAGUUGGAGGAGAACACUGUUGAGCAAGGGAAUGAGCAUGGGUUAUGGUGAAGCAAAGUGAUAAUGAGCUAGUUGAGAGAGAAAAUUCUAAACUCUAGGAAGGCCAAAACUUUCACCUACCAAAAACAUUAAACAAAGACCAAGACUUUGAAGGGUGCACACCAAUAGUUAGAGGAGUAAAAAUAAAUUUCUUUUCGUCCAAAGGUGCAUGUCUCCUCAUGUUUAGAGAUUAUCCCAAGAUAUCUUAAGUGAAGACCCAGACUUUUUUUUUUGCACAUCUACCAGUCAUCAAAGACAGCUAAUUUUGUCUGAUCAAUAAGGAAAACAAAAGCACGUUCUUUGCACCUAAACAUCUACAAGUCAUGCACACUAACUAAUCCAUAAAGCAACUUGGUUUAUUUUUCUCUGAAAACAGUAAACAAGUUAAAAAAAGCCACCAACGAAUAUUUAUAACCUACUGAAAAUAACUCUUUAAGCAUGACAUUAAUGAACUGGAAAAUCGUGUUCAAUCCCUACGUGGGAAGGAAACUUUAAUGAAACCCAGGAAGUCCAAGACUUUGCAGGAUGCAAACUGGAUUUGUUGCUUGGCUUUUCCCAUCCCUCUUCUUUCAUCCUUAUGCGAAUGUUUUUUUUUUUUUUCCAUUACCAGUAGAAUUUCCAAUCAUUACAUGGAUUCUAAGUGAUUUUUUGUUUGAAUGAAAUAUUAUUUGACAAUUAGUAUUGAUUGUUGUUCUCUUGCUUAAAAUUUACCAUACUACAAUUAUUGUCGAACUUUUUUCAUUUUUAGUCACUCUGAUUUUCCAUUCCUUAAUCUCUAUUGUACCUGUCUUUAUAGUUAUGUCUACAUUUUCGUUUAUCUUUCCAAGCUAAAUUUUAAUAAAAGAAAGAAAAAGAAAAACCUGAAAACCCAAAAAAAAAAAAAAAAUGCAAGAAUGGGGCGAGAGAGCGCGCCAUCAAUCCCAUUGUCACGGCCGCACCGUCGUGUUAGCACCACCGCCUGGGCAACUCAUCCAAUGCCGCCACUACUGUCCCUGCCGGCGCUUCUAAGCGGAGCAACCAUCACAGGCAAUUGCCUCUGAUUACCUAAUAACUAACCUAAAUUGAUCUAGAGGCGAUUUCAUAAUGUAAAGGAUUAAUUCUAGGGUUAUCAGUUUCUCACGUAAAUCGUGAAAAAUUGACUUCCACGUUGAGCUCACAUCAUUCAACAGUGAAUGUGAAUUGGGCUCACAUACUCCAGGUUAACAUUUGUUACCUUUGUCCGUUGAAUAAGGAAAAGGUAGCUUUGUAUGUUUGUACCCAUUUGAGGAACCGAGGAACUUCUUAUAUUUCCAUAACAUACUCAAGUUAUUUGAGUGUAUUAUUUUCUCAAACAUAGGCGAAUUCUUUAUACUGUAACUACCAUGUGAAAGCUUGCAUUGAUCGCAUAUUCACCAAUAAAGCAUGAAAUAAAGAUAUUAAUAACAAGGAUACUGCUAAAAGAGCCAGAAAGCCAAUAGUAAUCAACAGAUUUUUGGAGAAAUUACACGUGCACUAUAAGUUGGUCAUAUGGAAAACAAUCACCUCUUAUUUUCUGUUUUGCAUGGCCACAAGAAAAGAUCCCCUAUUUCAAACACAAGCCAAAAGUCUUGAUCCAAAACACAGGAGAAAAUGUGAUUUUUCUUCACAUGACCAACUUAGAGUGCAUGCAAAUUACCGUUAAACAUUUAUUACAAGUGUCUCAUUGGCUUAUUUUUGUUUUUUUCAUCCAUACAUUCUCAAUGACCGUAUGUUUUAAUGUCUUUGUUUUAUGCGCUAUUGGUGGAUAGGCGAUCAAUAUAGGUCUUUUCGUGGCAGUUACGCACUGAAAAUUUGCAGCAAGAUGAGCAGCAAUGAGCGGCUGAAGGGUGAUAAGCCAGUAGUUGACGAUAGGGAGCCGCUUUAUAAGACAAUCGUGAUCCUUCACAUGAUUUUCCUGUUCAUAAGUGUGAUGCGUAGAGUAUAAUUUCUAGUAAAUUAUAACUUGUUAGUUGGCAAUGCUUGACCUUUUUUUAUUAUUUAGCAAUGAAUAAAACAAACCAUUGUUGAAAGGACCAGCAAAUAAGCAUUUUGUGCAAUUGGCGUAGACUACAAUAAGCAUCUUUGUGCAACUUACACUGGGCGUGUUUGUUUGUGUUUCUGUUCAAAAAGUGUUCCAGAGAACAAGAAUAAAAAAAAAACUAUUUUUGUUCCGGGAACAAUUUUUGACCAGAAAAACACAUUUAUAGUAAACUUGUUCCAGGAAUAAAAAAAGAAUAGAAAUAUGUUUGGUAAAUUUGUGUUCAUUUUUUGUUUAUUUUAAUUUUUUCAUUUUAUUUUUCCUUUUUUUCUUUAUUUUUGCUUUUUUUCUUCUUUUGGCCGGUCACCAGCCUCGGCCAUGGCCGGCAACCGGACGACAAGGGCCAGUGGCCUCACCCAGCCAUGGCGAGGCUCGCCGGCCCCCAGCGAGGCCGAGCUUGCCCAGCCACCGGUCGCCUGGCGGUGGCUUGGCGAGGCCGAGCUUGCCCAGCCACCGGUGAGGCUCGGCGUCGCUGGACCACCGCCAGGUUAGUGUCGCCUAGCGGUGGCCCAGCCAGGCCAAGCCUCGCCGGUGGCUGCUCGAGCUCGGCCUCGCUGGAUCUGGGUGAGCCCGAGCUCGCCCAGUCAAGGCAAGGCCAAGCCUCCCCAGGGGCCAGCGACGCUCGGCCUCGCCGGGGGCCGACGACGCUCGGCCUCGCCGGGGGCCGACGACGCUCGGCCUCGCCGGGGGCCGGCUACGCUCCGGCGAGUUUGCUGGCCCUCGAUCGCUAGUCGCCGACCAUGGCCGAGGCCGGCGACCGGCCAAAGAAAAAAGAAGAAGAAAAGAAGAAGAAAAGAGAGAGAAAAUGUGUUCUUAAAAAUUGUUCCAGAAACAAGAAAUAAUUUUUUUUUUGUUUCUUGUUUAUGUUUCAAUUUUGUCCCCGGGAAUAAAAAAACAGAUUUGGAACAAAAACGCGAACAAACGCGUUUCUGUUCAUUUUUUGUUCCCGGGAACAAAAAAAUAGAAAAUCUGUUCAUGAACAAAAAAAUAAAAAUGCAACUAUGCACGCCCUAUAUUUUUGAAAGAUAAAAUAUUAAGGAUCCACACAACAAUGGCAUCUUACUCUUAAUUAUAAGUCUGCAAAUUAUUAAAAACAGCUAAGUUUGUUUGUUCAAUGAGGAGAACGGAAACACGUGUUUUGGGCUAAACAAAAAGGGUCUGGCAAACGGCUAAUCCAUCAAGCAAAUUGCUUUAUUUUAGUCCUAAAAUAAUGACAACCAGCUAAUCCAUCAAGCAAGUUGCUUUAUUUUAGUCCUGAAAUAGUCAACAAGUCAUAAAUCACCAACUAAUCCAUUAAGCAAGUUGCUUUGGGCUAACUUUGUCUGUUCAAAGGACCACAAUUCUCUUAACAAGCAAUUCAUGAUUAUCAAUUUCUUUAGCACCCUGCAACGGAUCAUUGCCGCCGAUCUUUCUGCAAUUUUUUUUAGCUCUAUAGCUGACAAGUAAAAGCCUAUAACUACACAAAAAAAAAACAAAAACAAAAAAAAUAAUAAUAAAUAACAGCUCACUUAGAAGUUAUAAAUUCUAGAUGUAGAUGUGCAUGCACCCUAAGUUCGUCAUAUGAAGGAAACUCACCUUUUAUCCUCUGUUUUGAAUGCCAAAAGAAAGGGCCCUCUUUUACAAACGACAACAAAAAGUCUUGAUAUAGAGAAAAAGGACAACAAUUGAUUUAUCUAAACUCAAGGACAUAAUAUGCAUCAAGGUCCUCUCUUCAGUCUAACUCAAACAGCUUGUCGUGAUAAUAUGCUCUAUUAAAAUACUUUUCAUCAGGAAGACCUAUACUUCGAUUGGAUAUCAGGUACGCAAGAAGAUCAGAAAGUGUUGAUCAGAAAGAAAUUUUAAUCAAUUCCAAGAAGAUCAAGAAUUUGGAGGACGCAAAUUGACAUUAUUGCUUCACUUUAUACAUCCCUCCUCUUCCAUCCCUAUGUGAGUGUCUCUUUCUCCAGUACAAAUAGCACUUUGACGUAUUAUAUGUCUUGCUUAAAGUUAACAAUACUAUAAAUUAGCAUAAGAAGGGAGCCAUGAAAGAACCAGGAACGAUCUCUCUAUAUGUUGAAUUGGUCACUGUGGAAAACGACAAGGGAUAUGGUGAGGCUAGGUGAUAAUGAGCCUAUGGAGAGAGAAACUAUAGAGUUCAAGAUGACCAAAACUUUCACCAAAUAAAAAGAUUAAACAGAGACCAAGACUCUCAAGGAUGUACUUAAAAGGUUAGACAAAUCAAAGUAAAAUAUUUUCUCUCUACAAGUGCUUAUUUCGUGAAUUGUUCGCCUUUUUCUUCAUAUCAAGAUUUUUCGCCGUCGUUUGAUACAGAGGACCUUUUUCUUUUGGGCAUCCAGAACAGAGGACAAAAGACUUUUUUUUUUCUUAAUAUGACCUAGUCCACGCAUCUUUCUUUCCUUACCUGUGUUUUGUUUGCUUUUUGGCUUUGAAUGCAUCUGGAAAUUUCUAGUAUCCUAAUGAUUUCUACAUAUCGUUGAAUAUGCAAUCAACGUGGGCUUUUUCGUGGCCGUUACAGCCCUAGAAAUUCCCAAAUGUUUAAGAAAACAAUUACCUUGAGUAUAUUAUGGAUAAAUAAGAAGGUGCUCGAUUAGUCCUUUAAUGUGGACGAACACAUAAAGUUCUUGCCAAAAGAUUAGCAAAUAUUUUAAGAUGAAUGAAGCUAACCCUCAUAAUUGGGACUGGCAAAUGAGCAUCUUUGUGCUGCUUGCACUGACUGAAUCUUCAGAUAAACAAAUGAUACACCAAGCAAUGGCAGCUUAGUUUUUGUUAUACAUCUACAAGUCAUCAUGGGCGGCUAACGCUCUGUGUUGGAUAAGGAAAAUAGAAAUAAUUGCUUAAGGCAAAACAACAAAAAAGGUUUGGCACAAUCAUUAAGGAAAAAUGCUCCAAAAGUUCUAAUCUUAUUGUAUUUUUGUCAACUCAAUUGUAAACGUUAAUAUUAUGUAAAUUUAGUUCUACAAAUCUUCACGUUUUGCCAAUUGAGUCUAUUUAGUUAGUUUUGGUCGGAAAUCGCUUAUGUGGGCAUUGGCUAUCCUACAUGACACAAUGGGUUUCGACAUGAGUAAUUAAUAUAUUAAUAUUUUUUCGAAAUUCUUUCUUAUUUUUUUCCUUUUCUCUUCUUUUCUUUUCUUUUUUUUCUUUUCCUUUCAUUGACCAUUGACGAGGCAAUGGCCAUCGAAAGGAAAAAGGGAAAAAGAAAAAAGAAAAAAAAAAAAGGUAAGGGUGGAGGGGAAAAGGGAAAAAGAAAAAAAAGGUAAAAGAGAAUAAAAUUUUAAAAAAAAUAAAGAGGGAAAAUAUAAGAAAAGAAAAAAGGAAAAAGAAAACAAAUGAAUAAAAAAGGGAAGAUUCCAAACAAUGGCUUAAGUGCUAGCAUUUUCUCAGAUAAGAGUUUGAAUUAGACUUUGGGUCAAAUAAAGAUCUAAAGUGACCAUAAUUAUUUAAAAUAUGGGCUUGAAAUAGCCAUGAUUGUUUCAAAUAAGAGUCUGACUAUGUCAAUCGUUGGUCAACUUUGUAUUUUGACCGGUUAAAGGGCGCCUUCAUCUAAAUAAAAUUUAAUUUUAAAUUAUUUUUUAUUAUCUUCUUUUUUCUUUUUUUCUUUUUGAGCAAGGAUCGCGUGACCUCUAGCGAGGGUCAACAAGGGUUAGGUGGCCCUUGCCGACGAUUGGUAAGGGCUGGUGAGGGCUUGAUGACCCUCGUCGACCUCAACUGAGGCAAGGGUCGCCUCGCCUAGGCAAGGCCAUCCCUUAUUGGCCACUAGCGAGGGCUGACCUCACCGAUGGUCGAGAGGGCUGCCUCCCCUAGGGUGAAGAUAGCCUCAUUGGCCUCGCCAAUGGCUCCAAAGGUGGUCUCUCUUAAGGGGAGGCCAUCCCUUACUUAUGGCCGGUGAGGGUGGCCCUCAUCUAGCUCUCUCUAGGCAUUGCCAAUGCCCAGCUGACCACCAACGGAGAAGAAAGAAAAACUAGAAAAAGGAAAAAAUUCAAAAAUAUAGAUGAUGAAAAUGCCAUUAAGUAAUUAAACAGUCAAGCUCUUAUUUGAAAUAGAUAUAGCCAUUUCAAGCCUUUAUUUGUGAAAACAAUGGCACUUCAAGUCUUUGUUUAAAACAAAGUCUAUUUCAAACUUUUAUUUUAGAAAAUGAAAAUACUUCAGACACUUAUUUGGAAUUUUCCCAAAAAUAUAUUAAAAUAAUAUUAAAAUUAUCCACAUCAACGCUAAUUGUCCUGCUACAUAGGACAUCUGGUGUCAAUAUUAGUGAAUUCUAAUUAAAAUUGGGCAAGUGGAUUUAAUUAACAAAAUAUGAAAAGGUUAAGGAUUUAAUUGACACAAUUUUGACCCAAAAAAUUGACUUAAUUAAAAGAUUUAUGAUUGAAUUGGUAAAAAGUGCAAUAAAUUUAGGAAUUUUGAAUCAUUUUCCCCCACCAACUAGUCCAUUGAGCAACUUGCUUUGCAAUACUGAAUAAGUCAAAAUCACCAAUUAAUACCAUAUAAUGUAUAGAAAAUUACACUACACAACAUCACACACAUAUAAUAUACUUGCCAGACCAAACAACCAUAGAUUAAUCAAAGACCAAUGACUUUCAAAGAUGUCUAUUAGAGGUUAUAGCAAACAAAAUAAAAUAUUUUUUUGUGGUCAACUGUUUGUUUUGUAAUAUUCGGGGAAUAUACCCCAAAGACUUUAUUGGAUAUCCUGUGCUAUCUUGUUUGGAAAUUUCUAUGCCUAACAUGUGAAGCAAAAGUGAAGCACUUAAAGAAAGACUACCAAUGGAAAGAAACUUUAAAAUUCCACAAAGAUCAAGAGAUUGCAUGACGCAAAUUGGCUUUGCUGCUUUACUUUUCGCAUCCCUCCUCUACCAUUUUUAUGUGACUCUUUUUCCAAUACUAGCAGAAUUUUCACGUAUUAUAUAUAAUUGACAAUACUAUUUUCAUUCAACUGUUUUCAUGUUUAAUCAUGUUGGGGUUUUUCAUUCAUUACUCUCUAUUGCACGUGUCUAUUAAAAUUAUGUCUAGGUUUCCAUUUAUGUUUACAAGUUAAAGUUUGAUCAAAUAAAAAUGGCAUAAAGAGAAACGAAGAAGACAAAACAGCAAAAACUGAAAAAAAGAAAAAAUUAGGAAUGGGGCGACCGAGAGAGCGCCACUGAUCCCACGGCCAUUGCCACGCUGUGGUCAUCAACACCACCGCUAGGACAACUUAUUCCAACGCCGUCGCACCUGGCGCUCCUAGCUAGACUAAUCAUCUCACAUUUAAUUACCCAAUUACUAACCUGACUCCAUCUAUAGGGAAAUUUGCAUUGUAAAUAAUGAAUUUCAGGUUCAUAAUUUUUCCGCUGCAUUGUGAAAGGUUAGCUUUCACAAGGAGCCCACACCAUUCGAUGGUCGAUUUGAGCCGAGCUCAAAUGCUCAGGCCGCCACCAUUCAUUAUUUUCCCCUCAUCCUGUGUCUAAGACUUUACAGGCCGCCACCAUGAAAAAAAAUGGGUUUAGGCCCAAGAGACCCAAUUGGGCCAAUUCUAAUUUUAUCCCAUGAAGCUCCAUCUUAGAAGCCCAACGGACUAACUUCCUUCAGCUUAUUUAUAAAUGUUGGAGCUUAGUUUAACGGGAGAAAGUAGAAUAGUUAUGAGAGAGAAAGAAGAAUCCAGAAAACUGGAAAAGAGUAGUAAACCCCGCGCGCGCGCGCGCGAGAGAGAGAGAGAGAGAGAGAGAGAGAGAGAGGGGGUUUAGGUCAUCUCAACGCCUCAUUCUGAACCACUCGAUAAAAAUUCAAGGACUUAAUUUAUCAAAUUGAAGAAAUUUUUUUGGAUAAGCUAUAAUUUCAACUCAAUUUAGGAUUUAGGUUGGAGUUGAUUCUAGGAGUUGUUGAGCUAUAAAUCAUGUUGCGAUGAAACUUAAUGUGUCAUCGAAUUAUGGGAUUUUAUGGAAGUAAAUUUGGGAUUACAAUUUGGUCGGGCUGAAAUUUUGAAGUUUAUUUGAGAACCAUAUAUGAACUACUUGACACCAGCUUUCACCCUUUUCUGGACCUCUUCUGGGUGGAAGGUCGGGUUAAAUUUCUAAUGACUUUGGACCCACUUGUGACAAAAUUCUUUACAGCUCAUUUUUUUAAAUAUCGCACGUGAGUUCUACUUUAGGUGAGCUUUCGGUUUGCACAUUAGACUUGUUUUGUUACUAAAUAAGCUUAGAUUAGUCGACUUUUAGUUGAGGUAGUUAAUAGUUAAUUUCAAUCUCCAUUUCUCACUUGAUUUUUCUGUUUGUAAGGUAGCUUUCAUUGUUUGGUUUCGCAUAUUUAGGUGAGCGGUGCUUAUCUAUUGUAUGAUCUAUGAACUCAUGUCCCAAAAAUAACAAAAAAUACUUAUGCCAUAAGCAAUGAAAAAGGUAACACAUGGUAUGCUCUUCAUUUAAAAGGAAAAAAAAAAGGUGGUGUUUAAAGUAUUUUUUUUUUUUUUUGCAUAAAACAUGAUCUAACAUUGAAUAUGGCAUAGCAAAGUAUCUCUUGAAAUAGUUUGAAAAUUAAUUAUUUGUGAUAUGGUUUGAGAAGGGCCAUGUGAAAUGCAUUCUUCCUGAUGGAAAGAAUUGUGCAAUGAUACAUAUAUUGAUUAGUGAACUAGUUUAUGAAAGGUGAAAUAGUUACGUGAUUGGUUGGAGGAGUUUAUGCUCUUGCAUCUAUAAUUUGAACCCAUUAAAUGGUUAUGAGUAUGUAUACAGUUCUCAAUAGACACUAGCUUAUAUAAAGUGGAGACCUACGUCAAAAGGGAAUCUUGCUAGGUCUCAUCACGGAGUGUUAAACAUGGCCAUAGUUCGAUACUAAACAUUAGAUUGAUCACAUAAACUAACUCAUUGAUGUUUGCUUUGAUAUAAUUAAUUGAAUAAGUAUUUCGGAUACAUAUAAAGUUGUGCUGAAGUGAUAUAACUUCUCUUUGAUCUUGCAUGUAUGUCAUGUAUUGAAUUUGAAAAAAAAAAAAAAAGUGCUUAUAGUACCAUUUAUAAGUGCCUAGUGUAUAACAACUCGGGCCUCACUAUGUAAUAUUGUCCACUUUUGACACUAAAUCAUCACGGCUUUAAAACGUGUUACACAUAUUAGAGGGAUCAAAGCCUUUAUAAACUAGCCCAUGACUUUCUUCUUAAGUGAUGUGGAACUAGAGAGGGAUCCCUUCCCCUUCCCUGUGCACAUCCGGGGACCGAGGUGCGAACGCAUCACCAUCCCUCCUCCCCACGCACCGUCACUUAGGCUGUCACAUGGUGGAUGCUCAAUUUGCUUUACAGUAACUUGUACUUUUCACCGAACGGUGGCUUGCUCAUAUCAUUCAUCUCAAUGGUUCAUAUCAUACAAGAAUAAUAGAGAAAAGUAUGGAAAGAAAUUCAUAAAUAAAAGAAACAAAGAAGUAGUAUGUUAUGCGUCAAAUUGCAAAUUCAAAGGAACAUAUAUCAAUUGAAAAUUCUAGAAAUUGUGUCAUUAUCAUAAGAAACAGAGGAAGAAUACGCGUAUGAAUUAGUGGAAGAUGAAGAAAUUCAAGAAUGUAAUCAUAAAGAUAAUUUCACAUGUGGAUUAGGUACUCCGAGUAUAAAUGUAAUAACGGUAGAAUAAAAAUAGAAAGCGGAAGUUCAAAAAGAAAGAAGUACUUACACAGAUUAAGAGAUUGCCUCAAAAUUCAGAAAAAUUGUACAAUUUGCAAGAAAUUUUGACAAUGACAAAAUAAUAGCGGCGCUGGUUGACUAUUCAAGAUCUCUAUAAAGAGGUAAAAAAUUUAAAGGAAGAAAACCGUAACAUUAAUAAAGAAAUAUUGAAAUCAAAACUUAGGGGCAAAUAAAUCACUGAUAAUCCACUACCAAAGAUAGAAAGUCCAAGGACAGUGGUGGAAGAAGAUUUUUGGAUGGAUCCUACUGAACAGAGAAGCACAAAUGGGGGUUUUAUAGUAAUUAUCUAUCACUAGACCACACAUUUCGUAUGCCGUUAGUAUUGGGAAUCAGUUCAUGCAUUGCCCUCGUACACCUCAGUUACAAGCGGUAAAGUGCAUUAUUAGAUUUUUAUAUGGAACCACCGAUUAUAGACUCUUCUUGAAGCNNNNNNNNNNNNNNNNNNNNNNNNNNNNNNNNNNNNNNNNNNNNNNNNNNNNNNNNNNNNNNNNNNNNNNNNNNNNNNNNNNNNNNNNNNNNNNNNNNNNNNNNNNNNNNNNNNNNNNNNNNNNNNNCAACCCACUUGCGAAAUCUGACUACAAGAGUUUCGCCGAUGGAGUUGCAGAAAAUUGGAUUUGGCAGAUUUCAGGUGAUCUUCAUAUAUUUUUACCUAAACCUUUGAAGUCAUUUGUGAUAAUGUUGGAGCCACUUAUCCAGCUGCCAAUCCGACUUUUCCAUGCUCUCACCAAGUAUAUUGACAUUAAUAUUGUUAACGCCUAAAUUUCAUUUUUUAAUUAAUUAGUUUCUUUAUUUAUAUAUCUUGCCUUUUUUUUGGAUAAAUAGAUAAUAAUAAGAGAAAACAACAAAAAAAAAAAUAAAAAACAAACCAAAGCAAAAAAGAAGCAGCCCAUUGGGCCCAGCCCCUCCCCUCUUUUCUCUCUCGCACAAGCCCUAUGGCCCGGCCCGCGCAAACCAGCCCAGCCCCUUCUCUUCUUCUUCUUCUUCUUCCUUCUUCCAUCUUCCCCUACACCUCUGCAGCUCACACGCACAGAGGACACCGACACGCGAAGGAUGGCCUACGGCCAAGGAGAGUAGGCCAAUGUCGGUCGGAAAGGAUAAUAUCUCAGGCGCCAUCAAUGCCGAGCACGCUUCGCUAGAUAAGCUUGGAUGGGACGCCGGUUCAGCCAAGGAGGACCGUUCGGUGCACGAAGACUGGCGGUCGAAGCUUCGUCGACCGGCCGCCCCCUCGCCUAUAAAUAGCAGGCCACAAGCUCCGUCAAAGGGCAAAGUGAGCUCCGAGAUCUUCCCACUGAGAGACUUCAGGGGAGGAAUCAAAGAGUAAGCGAGAGAGAAAUCGGGUCGCGAGCUCAGUCGACCUCCCACUGAGAGACUUCGGGGGAGACCNNNNNNNNNNNNNNNNNNNNNNNNNNNNNNNNNNNNNNNNNNNNNNNNNNNNNNNNNNNNNNNNNNNNNNNNNNNNNNNNNNNNNNNNNNNNNNNNNNNNGCGGCGUCGUUUAAAAAAAUAAAAAUAAAAAAGUCGGGCCCACUACACAGGCCCGUCUGCAUUUUGGGCUGGCCCGAGUUGAACACAACCCGUGGAUCCGACCCGGGUCGGUUUUCUAUUUAAAAUAUUUUUUUAAUAAAUAAAUAGUUUAUUUUCAAAAAAAUAAAAAAAAUGAUAAAAAAUAAUUUAUGUUCGAAAAAAUAUUAAUUUCCAGAAAACCAAAAAAUGUUAAAAAAUGUUUUAUUUUCCAAAAAAAUAAAAAAUAAAAAAUAUUUCAUAUUUUCCGAAAAAUGCCAAAAAUCCGAAAAAGGUCAAAAAUUCAUGAAAAAACCAAAAAUUCAUAAAAGGCAAAAAAGACUUGUAUUUUCCAAAAAAAUCCCAAAAAAAAUCCCAAAAAAUCCCUUUUGUGUCAAAAAAAUAGAAAAAGACCCAAAAAAUGUUUUUCCUCCCCAAUUUGCAUGGAAAAUCCCUCAAACAUCCAAAAAAAUUCAGGGUUUAAACAAGAUUAGGUAUCGAAAGGGCAUUAGUGAUUAACUAAUGUAAUCAAGUCCCUGAUCCUAAUUUCUCUGGUUGCGCAGUGUAAUCAAAUCCCUGAUCCUAAUUUCUCUGGUUGCGCAGGGGUGAGUAUUUCUCCCGAUACUUCGCUUGGGUUUCUAAUCAACCAACCUCAAAUCGAUUAGUGGCGACUCCAUUUUAAAAAUUGACUUACAGGUUAAAAACUUAAAAUAUUAAAGUCGUGAAUUGGUGGACUUAGGAGAGUCCGGGCAUAAUUAAUUUCAGCUGAGCCAUUAGCCUCCGCAAGGCGGCCGCCCCGAUCGGGUGCCAAAAAAGAGGUCGCAACAAAUAUCCAUUUCAUUUGGGAAUUCAGACCAUUGAUUUUUCAGUUGACAUCUUCACAAGGGAUACUGCUUCGUCUUUUGAAGAACAAUCUCUUCGAGGUGGUAUCCUGAUCAUAUUGAGGAGAGUAUUAGAGCAUCUUUAGUGCAUAUCUUUGUUCUUAUCAUAUUUUUCGUAAGUUGUUUCCAAUUCAAAAGUUCUGAUACGUAAAACCUUUUUUUUUUUAAUGAAUAAUACGUAAAACUUUUUAGUUGUAAGUUGUUUGCAAUAUUUUAUUUGUAAUCUUUCUGGUCGUCAUGUCUCCUAUCUAAAGUUCGGUUGUAACUACUUGUACUUAAGUAAAUGACAAGCACAACUCUAUUUGUUUAUUUAUUUAUUUAUUUUUGUAGAAAGAAAGAUACUAUUCAUAUAUCAAAAUAAUACUCCAGAGGUACAUAGAAGGCUUUCAAGCUUAAUAAAUCCCAAAUAAUUGUAGAACAAAUCAAAAGUCAGAAAGCAAAUAACAAAGUAUAGUUUAUAGCUAGAAGCACACUUUCAUCUCUUAAGAACAACUUUGAUACCAUAAAACACUUUCAUCUCUUAAGAACAACUUUGAUACCAUAAACGAUUGAUGGAUGGUCACUAGAUUCAAUUAUAAGUACACACCGAAAUCUCCCACUCCAUUUGCAAAGGCUUGCAGUGCGCAUCUAGGUCCAAUGUCUUCAUCACCAUUAUCUUGCAAAAUUAUCUUGCAAAGACAUCAGCAUCAAAACGUUGAAAGAACACAGACCAAGUACUUAUAAGAAGCUCACAUAUCUAUAUUUUGAUCGAGUUUAAGAGAGUAAAACCCAAAACUUCACCUAAGUCCAAAUCGAGAGAAGAAACGGCAUAACCUUGAAGAGGUUGUGAAGAGGUUGUGGAGCCACAUUACGAACACCAUCCUCGGUGGUUGUCGACUAGACGGAUGGCCAAGCUGGUCUCCACAUUCAUCCAAGAUCGGCUGCAAAAAUAUAAUCAUGCACAAACUCCUAGAACAGAUAGGGAGAAAAAGAAAGAUGGAAAACUUCAAAAAAGGGAAGAAGGGAGGGAGGGACCUCUCCCCCUCAAGGACAACACUGCAGAUAGGAGGCGGCUUCAAGGGAAAAGAAAGGAAACCAUGUAGAGAAAGAGCGGUGCCAAAGACAACUCUAUUUGAUAAGCUAAAUUACACAAUUUCCACACAUUUCAGUUUAUAAUUAAAUGACAUGAUCUUCAUUGAUGAAGUUUAGCUAGUAACAUUAAAGUAAUUCUAACGGAUCAUUACACGUAACAAUUUCUUCUAAUUCCUUUUACUUUUGUGGAUUGUAAGCACAUGUCCUAUUCCUGAUAUAUUUUGAUAGUUUCUAACUCUUUAUAUUAAACUUAGAUAGUAUGCGUCUAGAUCCUGUAGGUAUGUCAUUGCUUCCUGAGGAUUUCUUUACAAAAAAAUUAGGACUCCUUUGAGAACAUUCAAUUCGUGUGUUCCAGCAGAACGAAGAGAGAAACUCGCGUACUUAAGAAGAUUUUGUUCUCUGUUGUGGGCUUGGUUAGUCGUGACUCAGCCAAUUCAUUAGCAAAAUUACUAAGUCUGGUUUUUUUGCAUUUAAUUGCAAGGAAUAUCUUUCUAAGCAGCCGAACAGCUUCGGUUUGCUCCGACAUGGAACCUAAUGGCCACCUUUGGUGAUAUCAAGUGUAGUGCUCAACAUUACCAGUCGAGUAUAAGCUUGGCUCCAUCAGCACGACGUGUUGAGACUGACGGUCGUACAUGCAUUGAAGAAAUCGUCGAAAGUAAGUCGACAAAUAUACUGAAGAAUGUCUCGGCUCAAGCAUGCACUACACAAUUCAGCAAUGAAAAUACAGAAAAACACCUCAACCUCAAAUAUGCAUAUCAAUACAGUUCAGUUAUGUGAACGUGAUCAUCACAAAGCAAUUAGUAGAUUUUACCCAGGCAGUGGUUUGAACGCAGAGCAACUGGAAACAGAGCAUAUACGGUUCGAUUGAAUAAAGGAUGAUUACCUGUGACGAUUAACGAUCGGCCCUCAAUAAGGUGAUAAUAGAAGCAGCUUUAUGAACUGGAACCGUCGUGAGAGACGGUGGUGACCGCAGUCCGAGCACUUCAGCAAUGGUGACCGAGAACAGGGGCGCACAGAGCUUCAGCUGUUGGCCGUGGAAAUGGGAACGGUGACGACCGGCGGUGGUUGGUGGUGGCUAACAGUGUCCGGAGGGCAAUAGAGAAGAAAUUUCGAUGAAGAGGUCUCUGGAAAUUCAGAGAAAGACCGAGAAUGAAUGAAUGCUAGUCUCCCCUGUAUGGAAACCGAAGGAGGAGGCAGUGACAAAGACGAAAGAUAAUGAAGUCGUCCAGCGAGAAAGGUGCUUGGCUACGAUUGGCUAUCGUUUAAGUGAGAUGGAGAAGCUUCAAGUGAAUGCAGUAAAUUCAAGAUGAAUCGAGACCGGAACUGCAGAGCUUUCGGCGCGAACCAGAAAGAUUUUCGCCAUGGAAGUAACUGGAAGAGUUACGUCGAAGGCCGGAGAAGCCGAUGCGAGGCGGCGGAGAUGGCAGAAUACUAGAAUCGGCCAUGAAUAACCCCGGUGAAACUCGAACCGCGAGCGAUGGAGAAUCGAUCCCGUUUCCCCGAGCGCGUCUUCGUUUGAAGCUUUAGAGGGCUAGAGAGAGAAAACGGAGGAGAGAGAAAGAGAGAGGAUAAACCCAAGAUGUGGCUGGGCUUGGUUCUUUUCGCGGGCUUUGGGCUGAUGGGCCUUUUUGGCUCAGCUUAAACUCGUGACUCAGCGUGAUAAUUACUCGUUGAGAAUUUCCUGCUUGGCUGCACGUUGUUUUUGUGCUAUUACUUUGUAUGCUUAUCAUACAAAAUACUUUAUUCAGGUCUAAUUCUAUCGGGCUUGCCAUCCACAUAUCGUAUCAUACAACUGUUGUAUUACAACAUUCUAAAUCUAUAAAGAUACCAUUCCAAAGGAGUUUGGGUAAAAUGACGUCUAUUGAAAGUAUACGGUGUAAUGACAUAAAGUAAAUUUCAAGGAGUCAAUUAAUUGAAAAGACUAAUUUUCAAUGGACAAUCUAUACUUCCCCCCCUUUUUUUUAAUAUAUAGAUAAGAAAAUUUUUGUCCUGUCAUACAAAAUGUGAGGAAGUUGGCAUUUUUUUUUUUCCAUCUUGGUGCUAGUUGAGAAUUUCUUGCUUCAAUUAAUAACCAACUCCAAAAUUAUUCAGUCACAAAAAUAAAAUAAAAACUAUGUAUUGAAAAGUAAAAGCCCCAGAUUUUUCUUUAAUUCCCUGGCUUUCGCUAAUCACCAUCAUUAUUAAUCAACACAAUUCGAAUCAUGCUGUCAUUUGUAUUGGAGACUCUUCAACAAGAAGAACAACAUAUGGCGUGAGAUGAACAUAAGAAAAUAUAAAAAAUCCGAAAAGGAACAAUUAAUUAAAAUUAACUUUCAUACAUAAUAAAGAGCUAUGAGAGUGAUUAGACAAACAAAAUUAUAUGUAACGGUAAUAGAAAGGGAGGAGAUAUGCCAAACAGGGUAUGCAUUGGUUGAACCACAAAAUUUCUAGUUACACCAAAGGAGCCCAAAUCAAUAUGGCGUCAAACUUUCGACCCAAAAAAGAAAAAAAUGGUGUCAAACGAAUCAAUCAAAAGAAAAUCUGUGUAAUAACUAAAAUGAAAAUCAUUUGAGUGGUGAUCCCAACAAUGUAAAUCAAGAAAACACCACUAUAUUAUACCAGCAAAUUAGAGGGACUACUCUUUUUCCCCCUCAUUUGAGUGUUCAUCUUACAAUCUUGUGCCAAACUUUCUGAAUAUAUCAUAAAAACGAUUGCUAGUUGCUAGUUUCUUGGUUUUGCAUUUUCUGAAAUAUGCAGUGGAUGAAGGAUCGCAACAGAAUGACAGCGUCACACCUCUUUUCCCGUGUAGAUAUUCCUCCCUACUAUUUUCGUACUCAAAUUUUAAAUUAAAAAAAAUAUUUUUUUAUUUGAUUUUCUGAUUGACUAAAGUAAGUUCCUUUGACCGGUUUUUUUUUUUUUUAUCAUACUAAAUAACAAAAAAUGAAAACAACAUUUUUUUUCUGUUAAAAUGUUUCUCUCAAAACAAACAGAAUACUAGAAGAAGACCUUUUCAAAGAUCAAUCAUAAAAUAAUGCAGGGUGACAUCCCUUCGGAUAUUCAUUAUAUUACAAAUCAUCAUCUUAUAAGCAAAACUUUUUUAAGAGUUCAUUCUCGUUUAUACAAACUCUAUCGAAAUUACUCAUAACCAAUGUCAAGGAUCCUACUGAAAUACCGAGCCAAAAAUGUCAAGUCUCUAAAAAAGAAGAAUCAAGCUCCAUACACGGAGAAAAGAUCUUCUGUAACAAUUAAGAGAAUUAAGCUCCAUACACGGAGAAAUGAUUUUCUGUAACAAUUAAGCCUCUUCAAGAACCUCUUCAUCUUCACAUGUCAGAUAUUUUCAGACCUGAAAAUAAUUGUUCGCAUGUUAGAUCUUGUCCAGUAGACCGUUAGUGUCCUAUUCCCGAAAGACAAGUAAAAAAUUAAAUGGUGGGCAAAAUUUACCCCUCAAUUCGCAAAUGAAGAAGCGGUUAUGGUUCGCUGCAGAUCCUACUCGGUCAAAGCCAGAGACUACCAGGACAACCUCAAUUUUUCCUCCACAAAUGUCAACAUCAAGCUCAAUUCGCAGCAGCUCCAGAUCAAAAGUCUCUGCUAAAAGUAGUCCGUGAGACAGUGUCUCGAGCAGGGUCUGACGAUGAAGAAGUAGAAAAACAGUUUCGCUCCUCAACAUGGAAAUGAUUGUCAUGGCAAAAACCUCAUAUAGCAGGCAAUAACUUUAUAAUGUAACAGAAGUGUCCACUAAUAGAACUCAUGUAACAGUAUUCCUCAAUAGUAUAUCAUGGAAGCCAUAGCAGCACAUUUCCUUUUAGGAUCAAAUUCCCUUCAUUUGCCUGAAUUCAAGGUAUAUCUUCAACAUGUGAGCUCAAGAGAAUGAAACCAUUUGCAAUGGUAGUGCGGGUAUCUUGUCACGUGUGAAUGGUUCUGGACCUUCAGCACCUCGAUGGGGGUAAAUGUGGUGGGGCUUGCCCCCUUCAAGGAGUUAAUCAUGAGUGAUGGUAAGUGACGAUCUUCUCGGAAUCAGAAUAUCUCAUAGCAGACGCAGGUCCUCAAAGAAACAUCCAGAGGGUAGCCACGGCUAUUGAUCCUCCCUCCUGUUCCACGUCCUGCAUAGGAAAUAUAAUAAGUAGGACCGCUAAAAAUGUUGUUAAGAGAUGGAGUGAAGUGGGUAUUUGAAUAAAAUGAAAAUGAAAUUCAAUCUUUGACCAAGCAACCAGUUUACUAACAUGUUUUGACCUGCAGGCUCAUUCAGAAUUUAGCUGUCACAUUCGCUUACUCAAACCUCUGCUAUCAGUUCCGUUUGUCCAUCUGCACCGUAGCAAUUGGGAGAAAGAAAGCUUCUCAUUUUCAAUGAUGACCUGAACAUGUUAAAAGGAUAUUAUCUAACAAAUCCAGGCAUUUAUAUGGAAUUUCAUUAAAGUAUUUUUUUUGACUACGCAAGGCCUACAUUAUAAUUAGCCAACGCAAUUCUGUACUUAGAGUUGAAUAUAAAGUUUUGUUGACCGUGAUAAUAUUUUCAAAAUUAAUUCUCCUGAACAAUGCAAAGAAUGAAAAUAGAGAAAAUAUUUUCAUACAAAAAUAGAUUGUCUUACAAAAUAAUUUACUAUGCUAAAAAGAUUCUUUUGCAAAUGAUUAAAUCAUUUUACCAUGUAUGGGAAAGCUGGCUUCCACAGCGAUAGAGUAUUAAACUGAUUGGGGCACAACAAAUGAACCUAUUGCUAGACCAAAAUGUGCAAGAAAGAAUAAAUUAUACCAGUAAUACAAUCCCAACUCAGUUCUUAAGCUAUUGCAAAUGAUACUGCACACUCAAUGUCAAAACUUUGAUUCAUCCUUCCACAAGUAUGUAUGACAAACGAGGGCAAGGGUACUAGUGAUUUUAUCCUGUACAUCAGCACCAAUCCUCUCUUCAUCUUUUUUGGCUUUCUCUAUGUAGCUAAGCCUCAUUUUCACUUUUGUAAGGAAAUGGGAACCCCGUGAACCACUCUCAGUUGAUGCUAAUAACUAGAUUCACCCGACAUAACAAAAACUGGAGUACCUUCCUAUAGUCCUGAAAAUUCCCUUGGCUAGGCGCAACCUUGCCUUGUGGAAUCAUGCAGACCUCAUCUGAGCUUCCAGCUAUUAGAUGCUUAUCAUCACUAAGCUGCAAAUCAAGGUGAAAAGAGGGCUAUUAGCUGUGAAAAUGAUCAAUGGUUGGUCAAAUUGAAGUAUUUUGACAACAAAAUCAAUCUCACCAUCUCAAUUGCUCCUCAGAACAGACCAGACCUUGAAUGAGCACCUCAGCCACAUCCAAAUCCUCCAGUUGUGGAUAGGCAAAACAGCAGAGUCGCACUCACUCAUCCUUGGACAAGAAACUAACAAUUUACAAAGAUAAUACUUCAGUAGUAACUACUCAUUAAAGCAGAGCUUAAAGACCACAUUUAUAAACAGAGCCCAAUACUACCUACAGGCACAGAUUUCAGAACUCUUUGGUAUUACAGAUUACUCUAAUAUGAAAAAAAUGAUUAGGCUAACUAUUCUAUUCCAAAUAUUUUCCAAGUUGAAAUUGUUAGAUUAGUUUCUGUUCCAUUAUAAGCUAGAUAUAUGAUGACAGAACAGAGGCUCUCUAUAGCUAUUAUCACUGAUUGAUUCUCCUGUUAUUUCAAUGUAACAUCAGAUUCCGAUUAGUUCAAUUAGUGCAAGAACAACAACAAGCUAAUUGAAAAGUAUUUGAAGUCAUAAGGUGUACAAAAAGCACAGACUUACCAGAUGAUUAGAUGGCUCAUCAAGCAAAGCUACGUGAGGCUUUUUCAAAGUUAUAUUGGCAAAUGCAACUCUGCCUUUCUGAGCACCUAUUUAUAUGGUCAAAGCACCAUGUUACAUGUGCAAUAACAUCCAAAAAGCCUCAGAAUAGUACACAGUGAACUACACUUGAGAUUGCAAAUUGACUAACCUCUAUCAGGGCUUCACAAUGUCAUACAACAAUUGCUUCAAAAAAAAUUUACAUAUGCAACGGUAGCGGAGUGGGAGGCAAUGCAUCAUAAAAGGUAUACGUUGGUUGAAGUGCAAGAUUUCCAAUUACACCAAAGGAACACAAGUGAGCUCGAAGCUUUUUGAUAAAAAAAUCCCUGCAAGAAGAAUGCCACAUAAGAAGGUAUUUGCAGAUAAAACGACAUCAGGUAUAACAAAAUCAUAUUCUGCAAUGGAGUAAAUGCAAACAACCAAUACUUUAAAGACCUGAAUAGAUUUGCCUCAGAGGUCACUGCUGAUAAUGCAAACACAAAGGCAGGCAGCAUAUCAUUACAACCUCAACCAAAUAAACAUGAGUAUAUAAGCUAAAAAAUUCUAGCAAGUUGUAAACACAAACAGAAUGGUGACUAUGGAAUAUCAAUGCUGUCAUGAUGGAGUUGCAUUAAAAGCUUGGAGCAAUGAGCUGCCCCAGAAAUGUGUCCCAAAUAGAUUGCUUAAUACUACAAAGGAUCAUCAUCAAUAAAAAAAAAAAGGUUCUUGAUUCUAAAGAAAACCAUUAAAAAAAAACAAUGAAUGAGCUAGGACACAAGAAAAACAUGGUGGGAAGAGAACAUACAAGAAACGCUGAAAAUGCAAAGACAUAUGAUUGUGGGACGCUAUAAUUCUUCGUGAUAGUGCAUCUUUAUUCACAGUUUGUUUUAGCAUCAAGCAGAGUUGAAGAUAUGCCAUUGAUAUAGCAAGAGGCAACACUGAGUGAAUUUCGACCUACAGUUUAUUGUCCAACGAAACAGAGCCAAUCCAACCCAACAAGAAAUCCUGCUCAAAUAUCAGUCUUUGACUUUCAGUGGUAGAGCUCACCUACUUUUAAAGAAUGGCUUUUGUUGACCAUGAUAAUAUUCUCAUAAUUAAUUCUCCAAAAUAGUGCCAAAUAGUGAAAAUGGGGAAAAUAUAUAUUUAUAUAGCUUUCUCACACAAUAGAUUGUCUUACAAAAUAAUUUAUUGUGCUAAAAUAUUCUUUUGCAAAUGAUUAAAUCAUUUUAGUGUGCAUGAGAAAACUGACUUUGGCAGCGAUAGAGUAUCAAACUUCCAGGGCACAACAAAUGAACCUAUUGCUAGAACAAAAUGUGCAAACAAUCAUAAACUAUACCAAGACUGCAAUCCCAACUCAGUUCUUAAGCUAUUGCAAAUGAUACUGUAUGCUCGAUGUCAAAAACUUAGACUCAUUGUUCCACGAGCCCUUACCAAGUAUAAAUGACAAAUGAGGGCUAGUGUAACUGUGAGUCCGUCCUGUAUAUCAGCAGCAAUCCUCUCUUCAUCCUUUUUUGCUUUCUCUAUGUAGCUAAGCCUCCUCAUUUUCUGUUUUGUGAGGAAAUGUGAACCUAGUGAACUACUCUUAGUUGAUGGCAAUAACUAGAUUCACCUGAUUCAAUAAAAACAGGAGUACAUUCCUAUAGUCCUGAAAUUCCCAUGGAGAGGUGCCACCUUGCCUUGUGAAACCACCUAGACCUCAUCCAAGCUUCUAGCUAUUAGAUGCUCAUCUUGACCAACCUGCAAAUCAAGGUGAAAAGAGGGCUAUUGGCUGUGAAAUGAUCCAUCAUUGGUCAAAUUGAAGUAUUUUGACAAGAAAAUCAAUCUCACCAUCAAAAUUAAUCCUUGGAACAAGACCAGACCUUGAAUGAGCGCCUUAGCCACAUCCAAAUCCUACAGGUGUGUAUAGGCAAAAAAAAAAACAAAAACACUAAUCAUUAGACAAGAAGUUAACAAUUUACAAAGAUAAUUCUUUAGUCAUUAGUCAUUAAAGCAAAACUUAAAGACCGGCUUUACAAACAAAAAGGGGUCCACAUAUUUGUAUGUAAAGCCCAAUACUGCCUAUAGGCACAAAGAUUAGUACCAUUUGGUAUUGUAGAUUGCUCUAUUCAAAAUAUUUUCCAAUUGGAACAAUUAGAUUAGAUUCUGUUCCAUUAUAUGCUAGAUGUAUGAUGACAAGGGCUACCAGCAGUUGUGACCACUAAUUGGUUCUACUAAAUUUUUAAUGUAAAGACCAAAUUUUGACAAGUUCAAUUAGUGCAAGAACCAUAACAAGCUAAUUGGAAAAGUAAUCAAAGUCAUAAAAUGGAGAAAUAUGAGUAGAACUUACCAGAUAAUUGGAUGGCUCAUCAAGCAAAACCAUGUGAGGUUACUUGAAAGUUAUCUUGGCAAAUGCAACUCUGCUUUUCUAAUCACCUAUUUAUAUGGUCAAAGCACCAUGUUAUAUGUGCAAUAACAUCCAAAAAGCCUUGGAGAAAGUACAUAGUGAACCACAAUUCAGAUUACAAAUUAUCUAACUUUUAAUAGAGCUUCACAAUGUCAUGAGAACAUUGCUUCAACAAAAAUUUUAUACAUGCAACACUAGCACAGAGAGAGGAGAUAUACCAGACAAGAUACGAAUUGGUUGAAUCGCAAGAUUUCCAGUUACUCUAAAAGAGCCCAUGUCAGCUCAAACAUUUUGUUCCGGAACUCCCUAUGGGAAAAAUGCCACAUGAGAAGGUAUUUUAAGAUAAAACGGCAUAAUGUAUGAUGAAAUCAUAUUCCAUGGUCCAGCAAACGGAAAUGCCAACCCAGAGGUCACUGCUAACGAUGCAAACCGAGAGGCAGGAAGCCUAUCAUUACAAUCUCAACCAAACAAGCAUAACUAUAUUUGCUAAAAAUUUCUAGCAAGCUGUGAGCAACAGUUCCUAAACCACCAGAAUUCGAGACCCAACCAGAAAGCGAUUUAUGGAAUAUCAAUGCUGUCACGUGAAAGCUUGGAGCCAUGAGCUGCCUCGGAAUUUUAUCCCAGAUUGGCUGCUUAAUACUACAAAGAAUCAUCAUAAAAAAGGAAGAAGAAGGUUCCCAAUUCUUAAGAAAACCAUAAAAUGAAAAAACCGCAUCCAUUUUCUUCACAAUCACAUCAUAGCUUCCACAAAACUAAUCAUCCUUUUAGAUUUUGAAAAAGAUUUGUUCUUAUUUAGAUCAUAUUCACCAGAAGGAAAAUUCAGAACAUAGCAGUGCAACAAAUAUAUUUAAUUGCUUCUUCCUUUAUUGAUAAAUUGCAAAAGAAAAAAAACAUGAAGCAAGACAAUGACACCAACAGCAUUAGCCCUACCUUAGCAGCGUUUGCACGUGAUCCUUCCAAGAGAUUCUGACAAUGCAAGAUCACAAUGGUAUCUGCAAAACAACCAGAGUGAAUGAGCUUAAGGGCCCAAGAAAAAAUAUGUUGGGAAGAGAACAGACAAUAGACGCUGAAAAUGCAGAGGACUAUGAUUGUGGAAUGCUACGAUUCUUCGUGAUGGUGCGAUUUCAUUCACAAAUGGUUUGGGCAUCGAGCAGAAAUGAGGAUAUGUCGUCAACACAGCAAGAGGCAGCACUGCGAGCGUUUCAUCCUACAGUUCAUUGUCCAACGAAACAGAGCCAAUCCAACCCAACGCAAUCCCCCACCCAAACAUCAGUUCGUAUUGAGCAUUGAAUUGAGAAAGUAGAAUGGAAAAGGAUGUAGAAUGGAAAAGGAUGCCUUCAAAACCAAAAAUAACUUACUCGAACCCUAAGAAAACUCACUGUAGUGUAGAUGCACGAAUCAAUUCACCAGAUGUGAACCUCAGGGAUCUCUUCGAUGAGGGGCCAAUAGUCGCCAGUGAGUUUUGCGCAUCGCUCUUUCAGAAUCUCGCAUCCAGAUAUGAACAAUUGUUGGAGGGAGGGAGGGAAGCCAUCCUCUGGCAAGUACCUCAACUUGGGGCAAUCUAUAAUAGAAAACCAUUGAAGAGAGGAGAGAUGGUUGCGGAGACGGCUCGAUAGUCUUUCUGUGUUUCUCAAACCAUAUAUGUGAAGAGAGGUUAGAGAGGAAGGAAAGAGACUCGAAGCAUCCUUAUCCUCCAAAGGAAACCACUCCUUCUCUCCCUCCCCUCCCAUGUUAAACGCAACGGUCAGACUCUCGAGAGAUGUGAGCAGGGGUAAGCCCCACUCUCUCACUGGCUGCUUCGGAGCCACGAGCCCCAAAAUUCCAAGGUCUCGCAAUUUGGGAGGCAGACCUCCUUUGGGGAAGCAUUUGAUAUUUUGGCAAUUGAAAAUUAUUAGCUUUUGGAGGGAGGUAAGAUGAUGCCACUUAUUUGGCAGGGACUUUAUCAUCGGACAAGCCCAAAGUUCAAGACUCUGCAGGGUGAUGGGAAGGGGUGGGAAGUCCUCUAUCUCCAAUACCGGACACUCCCAUAUAACCAAUUUAGUGAGAUUGUUACAGUUGGCAAUGUUACAGUUGGCAAUAGACUUUAUCUUAGAACAAUGUUUAAGAUCAAGACUCGAGAGGGUGACGGGAAGGGGAGGGAAGUCCUCUAUCUCCAGUGCUGGACAAUUAACAAUAUCCAAUUGAGUGAGAUGGGAGAGCGUGUGAAGGCAUUGUGGUAAGCUUCCCAGAUUUUGACAAUUGUUAAUUGUCAUUGUUUCAAGCGAUUCUACGGCAAUCCCUUCCAAUGACUCCACUCCCUCACAAUUGUCUAUAUGAAGUGCCUUCAGAGGAGCAAGUCUACCCUUGGCAAAUGAAAAGGAUAUUGGAGAAUCAUAAUGAUGUAUCUUAAGAGAUUCAAGUUGAGAAAUCGAAUUAUCGCUGCUCGAGUCACCUUGAGGAAUGUUUAGAGCCAUGAUUUUUGGACAAUUUUCAAUCACCAAAUGUUUGAGUGCGUGCAUCUUGCUUGGAAGAUUUUCUAAACUUGUGCAAUCCACCAAUUCCAUCCUUUCAAGAUUACAGGGUAGCUCUAUCUCUCCGUCUCCUGCCACAAAAGAUAUGAAUUGAGGACAAUUCUUUAUUACUAAUUCCUGGAGGCAAGUGAGAUUUUGCGUUUCAUCACCAUCUUGCCACAAGCAUGUUAGCUUGUCACACUGUCCUAUAUGAAGCUUCCUUAACUUGCCCAAGCAACUCAUAAACCGAUGAUCAAAGGAAACAAGCUCUCUGAGUUUGUUAAUUUGGAGAACCGUCAAAGAAGUUAGCUUGAACAAGCUCUUCAAGAUCUCCUUACUACAAUCCUCAAGGUGUAACUCUUCGAGAGAUGGAAGACAUAACUCACUGGUUGAGUUAUUCAAUUGUUGGCAUGAACGAAUUUCAAGUCUUAUAAGACGACUAAGUUGACAAGGCAAUGUCCCGACCAACGAAGGACAUCCUCGGACAACAAGAUGCUCAAGACAGGAGAAUGAGACUUCUUCUUUUGGGCCCCCCGCAUAAGGAGACCAAUCCUUCCAUGCCAACAUCUCUUGGAACUGCAAAGUAAUUAAGGACAAAAAAGGCCUAUCACCUCCAUAAAAAUUAGAGCCUAUUAUUCUUACUGCAUCUAGACCAUUAAGAGAUAAUUCUCUCAACGAAGGUAGUUGUCCAAGUGAAGGCAACGAUGUGACAUAAGGACAGUCCCACAAGCUCAAAGACACUAUCCGAGAAUAUGAUGAACCAUCUAACCAUGACGGCAAUUUUGCACCACCAUAGUUCAAAAUAGUGAGAUUUUCAAUAUCAAUGGGAGGUCGCAAAGACUCAAGCACUCGUGAUUCAUGCUUAUCAUUCCGAAAAAUUUCAAAAACUUCAUCCCAAUGCAAGAAUAAUUUUCUAAGGUCUUGCUUUCCUAACAAAUUAGCAUCAACAGCAUCUUUAACAUCUUCCACCUUUUGUAAUUCUGAUAUGAAUAAUUCUCCUUCAAGAUGCGACAAGUUCUUUAACUCCUUUAACUGUAGGCCCUUCUUUGUUCCUACCACAAACUUGGACAAGAUAGUAAGAUUCUUCAAAUUAUUGAUACUCAAUGGCAUCUCUUUUAGACUUUUUGUAUCUCUAAUAUCAAGAAAUUGUAAGCUGACUAACUUUGUGAUACCGUGAGGCAACUUUGAAAGCUGAUGACAACCUCUUAAGAUCAAAGCUUGUAAUUUGCACAAGUCGCCAAUUGACUCAGGUAACCUUUUGAUGUUAGUGUACGAGAGAUUGAGAUAUCGAAGAUGUUUUAAUUCACCAACACAAUUCGGUACCUCUACAAUGCUACAAUGACAUAAUGAAAACACCCUCAAAUACUUCAAGUUUGUUAGCAAGUCAUGCAACACCUUGUUGGAAAUAGAGAAUUUAUAUGGGCCCGGACUAGAUCCAACACUCACUAGAAUUAAACUUCUUAAGACCUUCAAUCCAUGAUAUGCUCUUAAGCAUUUUGAUGUAACAAGCCAUGGUGAGACGAAUGAUGCAUAACGAGCUCUCCCAAGAGAUGCAUCAUCUUCAUUAACUACCACCUGAGACUCCCCAGAGCUAAAGCAUAUUGCACCCUCGAUUGACUUUGCUAGAUCAUUCAAAAGAUCAUGCAUUGAAAACUUAGAUGUGUCAACACUUGAUUGUUGAAGAAAUGAUCUAGAUACUAACUCAUUGAAGUAACUCCGUCCUAAUUUCAACUUGUUUUUAUUUUUCUUUUGUCCAUCUAAAAAUCCUUCUGCUAUCCAUAGGAGUACGAGCUCAUCCCUCUCAAUUUCAUAAUCCUUGGGAAAUAUUGCACAAUAAGAAAAACAUCUCUUCAAAUAGGAAGGAAGAUGGACAUAGCUUAAUGUCAAAAUAGGGAGAACCUCAUCAUUCUCCGCCCCUAUUAUGUUGUUUAAGGUAUCUUCCCAUUCACUGGGAUUCAUUUUAUUACGUAGGGCACCGCCAAACAUCUUCGCUGCCAAAGGUAAACCUUUACAUCUUCUAGCUAUUUUCUCGCCAAUUGUUUCAAAUUCUGGGUGGUUCUUAAAAUUUGUUGCUUCAAGAGCAUGAAAGGCUAAUAAGCUUGUACAAUCAUCAAGGGACAAUUCCUCCAAAAGAUACGGCUGAGCUCUUGUCAUUUUAACAACAGCAAGGUUGCGAGUCGUAACAAUAAUCUUGCUUCCCCUAGCACCCACUACAAAUGGCUUUAAGAGGUCAGUCCAUUUUUCGUACUUCUCAUUCCAUAUAUCGUCUAGGACCACAAGAAACUUCUUUUCGAAAAGAUUGUCCCUCAACAUAACUUGAAACUCAUUUAGAUCUUUGCCCUCACAGGGCAACCCAAUGAUUGACCGCAAAAUAGUCUUUGUUAUGUCGAGAACAUCAAAAACAUCUGAAACACAAAUCCAUGCUCUCAUCUCAAAACAUCUAUCCACUCUAGCAUCAUUAUACAACUGUUGAGCCAAGGCAGUCUUUCCGAUACCGCCCAUCCCAACUAUGGGGACUAUGCUCAGCGUGGCAUUAGAAUUUUCGCCCUCAUUGAUCAAUAGUUUGAGUAUUUGUUCUACUUCCUUCUCCCUACCAAAAAACUGAGGCUCCGAUAGAGAAGUGGUUAUCCUUUUGCCCGUGUAGUUGGAUUUAUCCACAACAUUCUCUCUCAAGUUUAGAUGAACCUUUCUAGUGACAAUCGCUUCCAAUCGGCCAUUGAUCUCUUGUACCUUGGUUUCAGACAUGAGCAAGGGUGGUCGGUCAAAGUCAAAGAACUUACAUUUCCCUAAACCUUUGUUUGUGCUAGAUUCUGCCUCUGGCUCAACUUGAGCAGCUUUUAUCGCAAACUCAUCGAGCAAGUCUUCCAUGUCAUAGGCCAAGUCCUUAACCUUGUCCAGCCAUAGCUUCACUUGAUGGUUACCACUAAGUUGCUUGUUCUCUGCAUCAGCCAACACUGCAUUGAUUGUUACCAGCAUAUCCUUCCACUCCUCAAGCGAGACGGUGUUGAUUCCAUCUCGUUGUGCACAACGUAAUGCGGACGAAGUCAACUUGUCGAAUAGGACCUGAAAGGACGAAGCCAAAAAGGAACCCAAAACGAUCUCUCCGAUGGCCAUAGGUGAAUCAGUUACUGUAAAGAACAAUAAAGGUGUUAUGGUGAAACAAAGUGAAAAUGAGCUAAUGGAAAGAAAAAACUAUGAAGUCUAGGAAGACCAAGACGACGACCUAGGAAAAAUAUUUUAAAAAAGACCCAGACUUUCAAGGGAUGCACAUCAAAGGUUAGACAAAUAAAUAAAAAAAAAACUAUUUGUCCACGAGUGCUUGUUACGUCAUUUGCUCUCCUUAUUCUUCAUAUCAAGACUUUUUUAUUGUCAGACCUUUACUUUUGGCCAUCCAAAACAGAGUCUUAAUAUGACCAACUUAGAAUGUUUGCGUAUUUUCAUUAUAAGUGUUAUCCCUCACGAGUGUUCUGUUGGCUUUUUUAGCAUAUGUAUAUUCUUAGUAACCUUAUGAUUUCAAUGUCUUUGUUUGCUUUAUUGGUGAAUGUGAGAUUGAUGAAUUCUUUUACAUGGCAAUUACUAUGCUAAGGAUUCACAUCAAGAUGGGUGACAAUGAUUUGUUGAAGGGUGCUAAGGUAGUGUCGAGAAUCGCCUUGAUAGGAGAAUCGCAGUCCUUUGAACACGAUUAUCAAGUUCAUUAGUGUAAUGGGUAGAGUGUGACAUCUAGUAGAUUAUAUAUUGUUAAUACUGGACUCAUUUACCAUUUCCAAAGUGAGAGAAAGCAACUUGCUUGAUGGAUUAGCCGGUGUGCUUAUCCCUUUUUUCUUGUUUAGCGAUGAAUGGAAACACGUGCUUUGGGCUUAAUAAGAAAAAGGGUCAAGCACACUGACUAAUUCAUUAAGCAACUUGCUUUAUUUUACUAUGCAAAUAGUGAACAAGUCACAAAUCACCAAAUGACAAUGUAUAAUCUACUAAAAAUUAUACUUUAUUCAUCACACCAAUGAACAGGAAAAUCGAGUUCAAUGAACCAUGAUUCUCUUUCUAGGCGAUUCCCCAUCAUCGGUGACUAACUCAUCACCUUUCAGCAAAUAUUUUCGCCCAUCUUGCUUCAACUUUUUCUUUCACAAGUGGUUGUUCUGUAAUAUUUAGAGAUUAUCCCCGCACAUUUAUAGUUUCCACGAUCAUAUACUCGUUCGUGUAAAUAAAUCAUAAACUCGAGAAGACCAGAACUUCAGUGGUAUCAUGAACUUUUUUGUCGUGAAAGUGAAGCAAAAUUGGUAAAGAGCUGAUUGGAAAGAAAAUUUAAUAAAAUCCAGAAAGACCAAGAUUUACGGAGAUGCAAAUUGGAUUUAUCGCUUCACUUUUGAAAUCUCUCCUCUUCCAUUCCCAUGCGAAUGUCUCUUUUACAUUACUAGUAGACUUUCCACGCAUUACGUGGGUGCCGAUUUUUUCUUUUUUUGCGUGAUUGACAAUUGGCACUGAUUAUUGUUUCUCUUGCUCAAAUUAACAAACUAUAAUUUUAGUCCAAGUUUUGUCAUUUUUAAUCACAUCGUGAUUAGUCAUUCAUUAAUCUCUAUUGUACUUGUCUAUUGGAAUUGUGUCUAGAUUUCCAUUUAUCUUUUCAGAAUAUAAGUUUAAUAAAUGGAAAAAGAGCAAAAAGAAAAACUAAAUACAAAAAACAGCAAAAAACUGAUAAAGAAAAAAAAUGCAGGAAUGGGGUGAAAAUACUCUUCGUGACUCGCAGGGAGUUCCACUUCACAUUUUUGUUUCGUUUUGUUUUUUUUUUUUUUAUGAAGAUGCAAUCUAAAUUUAUUAAUAAGCAAGAUAUGAUUUUCCUAGAUUUCCCAAAUUAUAGCAUGUGAUUUAUGAAAGGGAACGUGCAAAAAGAGAAUUAAUAAUAAUGCACUCCAGAAGCCUAGAUGUGCAUGAUAAUGCUUGUCCAUGAAAAUUCCUAGUUUUCUAAUAUAAUUGUCCUGAUACGGAUAUAAUGAAUUAUAUCCUAAUAUGUAAUGAAAAAUCAUAAAAUAGAGGUCCAAAUUUUGGCUUAAACAAUUAUGCGUGCAGAUGUAUCACCUCAUUAAAACAACUAAGCCACAUUAAGAUCAACAAAUCACCAUGAAUUAUGCAGUCAAGCUGCAACUUUAAUCUGGCCAGCAAGUAUAUGACAUCAACUUUCCCCAAUUUUGCUAUUAAACUUGCUGCAUCAGUUCAAGGAAAAAGAGAGCAAGUAGAUAGAUGUCUUUUACCUAUCCAAGUAGACUUCCUGGAGCCGACCAGGCGAACAGGAUAAGAUCCACAACAGCAAUCCAGCAAGCACGAGCGCUAGGUUUGGCAGUUCACUGUGUACGCGUGCGUAUUCGGCUUCGGCAAUGCGUGGUUCGCUGCUUGCAACGACGAACGAUGGUAUUGAUUGAGCGACGACUAGAGAUGGUGGUGAUUGGCGACAAUCGAUGUGCAUGCAAGAAAUGAAUUGAAUGAGAGUGGAGUCUGUGGGCGUGAGUUUGAUGAUGAUGGUGGUGGUGAUGGUGGUGGUGGUGGUGGUGGUGGAUGAAGAAAAAGUGAGGCGGUGUGGCUUUAAGGAAACGAGCAAGAUAACCAGGAUGGAUUUUGCCGUGUGUGUUUUUUCUCUCGGCGGUUCUCCUUUUAUCAUUCCUUUUCUUUUCUUUUUUUCUUUUGUUUUUUAUUUGGGUACUAAAAUUCGAAAGAACCUAAUCCUAUUUGUCAAAUUCUGGUAUAUGCUUAUAAAAUGCUUUAAUUCCAAUAAACUUCUUUUUUGGGAGGAAAACCGAUUCCAAUUUUCCAAAAAUAUAUGAAAACCACUUUUGGGCAAAAGUUAGGUAUCAACAAGUUUUAUCAAUCAAAUGGUUAUUUCUAAGUUAUUUAUACUUAUUUUGGUAAGUCGAGGUUUCUUAAUUUUUAAAGGUGUGGAAUGGUCUGACCAAAAAAAAAAAAAAAGGUGUGGAAUGGUCAGAUGAGCCUUCCUAGGUGUAGCCGUAACGGUCUGCUUAUUGCUCACGUUUCGCCUCUCUUUGCAGAGGAAUGGUUGUGGAGGUUCAGACACUAGGAUUUGUAUCUGACUACUGCUCCUUUUCAGAUUUUCCAUCAUGUUCCUCUUUCGGAUCGAAUUGAGCCAAUUCCUCUUGUUUGAUCUAUUAAAGUAGUUUAAGGGUGCAUUUAUUUCAAAAAAACUUAAGGUUUGGAAAAUAUUUUCCGAAAAAUGAUUAGUUUUAUCAUUUAGAAAAAUUGACCAAUGAAAAAUAUUUUUCACUGUCAACAUUAAUUUAUACCUAACUAUUUCAGUAAAUGAUGAAUUUUUUUUAUUCAUUCAUUUUUGCGAGCAAUAAAUCCAUCAUUUUUUUCGAAAUUAUUUUCCAGAUAUUGAGUUUUCAAUGAAAAAAAUACAUUCUAAUUAUUUAAAUUUUUUAUGUUCUUGCAUUAUACAAAGUAAAAAGUAGAAAUCAAGUCAGUUCAACUUGAAGAGUCACCGAGAGAUUUUACUAGAGUGCAAACAAAUUUCAUGAUUCAAAAGAUUCGAUGGUUUUUGUUAUCCAUGCUUGCCAUGACUUCACUUUACCUGAGGAUGAGAGUAAUCAUGGAGGCUAUGUAUAUGCUAAAACAAUUAUUGGACCAUGCACCGAUAGUGACCAAAGAUCGGUCCCAUAUGAUAAAACAUAAUGAUGGAACUGGGAGGGCCCUGCAUUAGCCUUUUUUGUCACCAUAUCCAAUCAAGCAUAGCAUUAAGGACUUGAUCCUCCGAGGACAACACCAAACCACCCCCCCCCACUCCCCCAAAAAAAAAGCACUAAUUUUAAUUUCAUCGGCCAAUUAUUAAAGGCUGAAAAUGAAAAUGUUCAUCAUUUUUCAUUUGAAAAGAAGAGCACUUAAGACUCAUAUGGUGUUACUGAUUGUUAUCAUAAAAUUAGUCCACAGUAUUUCAAAUACUUUUAUCAAUCAUGUUUUAGAUAUCGUAGGUUCUAAAAAUUAACAAAAGUCGAGAAUCUAAGUAUGCAAGAGAGGAACAUGUAAUGCUUGUGGACACGGAACGACUCGAGGGUUUAACAAGAGAGAGAGAGAGAGAGAGAAAGCCAUCGUGUUUCAUCAAGUUGGAGUCUAGCAUGUCUUGCAUGAUCUCGCUUUCAUAAAGCAAAAUUCGUUUUUCUUUCUUGAGUGGAGAGACCAAAUCAAUUGGUAUGGAAAAUUUUCUACACAAUGGGUCUGGAUUACCUACAAUUUUAGAAUUUUGAGAACAAUUCAACCUACUUAUUCUAAGUAGCACACGAAUUAGUAUUAUGCCUUUCCUCUAAUAUUAUUUGAAGUGAAUUAGUAUUAUGCCUUAGUGUAUAUGGUAAUUGUAGUGAUUUUGAAGGAUCACAAUCAUGCACUAUUAGAAGCCCGUGCAUAAACAAUUUGAGACUUCAAUUUAGACCAUAUAAUGAAUUUGAAGCUGGUAUAACCGAAGGCUCGAAGUUAUGUCAAUCUCCAUCAUGACAUGGUACUCGUAGCAAAGAUUCUGCAGCUAGCCAUCUCGUGCCAACAUAUGCCUUCCUAGCAGCUCCUCGUGCAUCAAGAGGCCAAAAUCGUACGAAAGGAUUGCCGCUUUGUCAAUGUAGUUGAAACCUAAAUUAUUGAGGAUACGUCUAACAAUGGCAUCUUAUUUUCUUUUGUGCAUCCACAAGUCAUCAAAGACUGCUUGGUUUGUCUGUUUGAUAAGGAAAACAAAAUCACGUGCACUGGCAAAAAAAAAAAGGUCCUUUGUGUUAAACGACAUUCAAAGUCUUGAUCUGAAGAUAGUGGAGAACAAUCUAACUCAAGGACAUAAUGUGCAUCAAAUCAACGCUCUUUGGUCUAACUCAAACUUCUUGGCAUAUUAGGAAGAACAAGACUUUAUUGGGACCCAUCAACUUUUUUGUGUAAAAAGUGAAGCAAACGGGAAAGUGAUAAUGGGAAAGAAAUGUAAUUCCAGGAAGACCAAGACUUUGUAGGACGUAAAUUGGCUUUGUUAUUUCACUUUUCACAUCCCUCCUCUUCCAUCCCUACGUGAAUGUCCCCCUUUCCAUUAAUAGUAGAGUUUCCACACGUUACAUGUCUUUCUUAAAAUUAGUAUAAGAAAGAAGCUAAGAAGGGACCUAAAAAGAUCUCUCCAAUGGUCAUGGGUUUACCAAUCAUCAACAGAACAACGGGGGUUUUAGGUUCUGGCACAUAUAAGGUAGGUUUCAGGUUCUAAAAAAUUAAGAACUUAUCCCAACGAGUAGAUUCUAGAUUGAAGGUAGAACCUCUAAAGAACCUGAAACCGCUCCUCCCUUGUUUGUACAUUGGGAUCGGUAUCAGACUUCUAAUCCUAUCCAUAUUUUCCAUUACGUCUUUCGGAUUGAACUAAGCCAAUUCCUCUUGUUCUCUAUCAAAUAGUUUAACUAUUCAGAGGUUUUAUGUUCUUGCAUUUUACUUUGUAAAGAAUAGAAACCCGUCACAGUUCAACUUGAAGAGUCAUGGAGAGAUUUUUUAAGGUUCCAACCACAUUUCAUGUCCUAAUAGAUUUGAUGGUUUCUCUUAUUCAUCCGUCGCCUUACUUCAGUCUACUCAAGGAUGUGGGGAAUCAUAGAGGCUUUGUAUGUGCUAAAACAAUCAUUAGAUCAUGUUCACCCAUAGUGACCAAAGAUCAGUCCCAUAUGUGCUAAAACAAUUGAUGGAACUGGGAGGGCCUUGCGUUAGCCUUUUUGGUCGCCAUAUUUAAUCGAACACAGCAUGAAGGACUUGACCAUCCGAGGACCCCCAUGCGAGCGAAAAGUUGGGGUCUAUCAUGUCCUGCAUGAUCUUGCUUUCUUAAAGCAAAAUUCGUUCUUCCUUUUUGAGUGGGGAGUAGGAAAAUUUUCUACACAAUGGAUCUGUAUUACCUACGAUUUUAGAAAUUUGAGAAUGAUUUAACCUACUUAUUUUGAGUGAGGGCACAAAUUAGUAUUAUGCAUUUCCUCUAAUAUUUACUUGAAGCGAAUUAGUAUUAUGCCUCGGUUAACAUGCUAAUUAUAGUGAUUCUGGAGAAUUCACAAUCAUGCACCAUCAUAAGCCCGUACACAAACAAUGUGAGACUUGAAUUUAGACCAUAUAAUGAAUUUGAAGCUUGACAUCCAUAUCCGAAGGCUAAAAAAUUAUGUCGAUCUCCAUCAUGACAUGGUACUCGUUGCAAGGAUUCUGCAUCUAGCCAUCUCGUGCCAACUUAUGCCUCCUCAGCAGCGCCUGAUGCAUCAUGGGGCCAAAAUCACAUCAAAGGAUUGCCGCUUUGUCAAUGUAAUUGGAACCUAAAUAAUUGAGGAUACAGCCAACAAUGGCAUUUUAUUUUCUGUUAUGCAUCCACAAGUCAUCAAAGACUACAAGGUUUGUCUGUUUGAUAAGGAAAACAAAAUCACGUGCUUUGGUAAAAGAAAUGGUCCUAUGUUUCAAACGACAUCCAAAAGUCUUGAUAUGGAGAAAAAGGAAUCUUACUCGAGGACAUAAUGUGCAUCAAAACAUACGCUCUCUGGUCUAACUCAAACUUCUUGGCGUAUUGGGAAGACGAAGACUUUACUAGGACUCGUCAACUUUUUUGUGUAAAAAGUGAAGUAAAAGGGAAAAAAGUGAUAAUGGGACAGAAACUUUAAUCAAUUCCAGGAAGAUCAAGACAUUGUAGGACCUAAAUUGGCUUUGUUGCUCCACUUUUGACAUCUCCCCUCUUCCAUUGCUACAUGAGUGUCUCUUUUUCCAUUACUAGUAGAAUUUCCACAUGCUACAUGUCUUGCUUAAAAUUAACAAUACCAGAAAUUAGUAUAAGAAGGGAGCCAAGAAGGCCCCCAAAAAGAUCUCUCCAAUACUCAUGGAUUUACCAAUCAUUGAAGUGAACAAUAAGGGUUGUGGUGAAGCUAAGUGAUAAUGAGCCGAUGGAGAGAGAAAACUAUGAAUUUUAGGAAUACCAAGACUUUCACCUAUCAAAAACAUUAAACAAAGACCAAGACUUUCAAAGAUGCUCAUAGGAGAUUAGAGAAAUCAAUAUAAAAUAUUCUUUUGUCCACAAGUGCUUGUUUGCAAUAUUUAGAGAAUAUCCCCCAUAGAUUUUGCUGGAUAUCAUGUGCCUUUUUGUCUGAAAAGUGAAGCAAAAGUAGAUAAUUUCCACGCAUUACAUGGGAAGCAAUAGUGAAGCACUUUAAGAAAAAGCAAUAACGGGUGAGAAACUUUAAUCAAUUCUAGACAAAGACUUUGCAAAAAAAGUGAUGAUGGAAGAGAAACUUUAAUCAAUUCUAGACAAAAAGUGAUGAUGGGAGAGAAACUUUAAUCAAUUCCACAAAGAGCAAGACUUUGUGAAAAAAGAAGAAGUGAUGAUUAGAGAAAAACUUUAAUCAUUUCCAGGAAGACCAAGACUUUGCUGGAUGCAAAUUGGCUUUGUUCCUUCACUUUUCACGUUUCUCUUUCGUCACUAUGUGAAUGUCUAUUUUUCCAUUGCUAGUGAAAUUUUCACGCGUUACAUGUAAAAUUAACAAUACUAUAAUUUUCAGUUAAUUAGUUUCAUGUUUAAUUAUAUUGGGGUUUUUCAUUCAUUAAUCUCUAUUGUACUUGUCUAUUAGAAUUAUCUCUAGGUGUUCAUUCAUGUUUACAAGUUUAAGUUUGAUAAAAGAAAAAGGCAAAAAAAAAAAAAGCAAAAAAUUGAAAAAGAAAAAAAAAAUCAGGAAUAGGGCGACAUAGAGAGUGCCAGCCAUCCAACGGCCAUUGGCAUGUCGCUGUUGUCAGCACCUCCGUAGGAUGAUUCAUUCCAACCCUAUCGCCACCGUUGCAGUUGGCGCUACUAGCCGGACUAACCAUCACAACCAGUCACCUUAAAUUACCUAACGACUAAACUGACUUAAUCUAUAAAUGCAUUCACAAUUGAAAAUAUGAAUUCUAAAAUUUACAAUUUCUUACAUGCGCCGUGAAAAAUUAGAUUCAACGUGGAGCUCACUUCAUUCAAUAGUGGAUGUGACCUGGGCUUACAUGCGCUGGGUUCAUUCAAAAUUUUUCCCCCAUUCCGUGUCUAAGACUUUGACAAGAGUUGCUACCAAAACGAAGGAGUCUCUACCAAAACGAAGGAGUCUUUCUUGAAAAAGAAAAAGAAAAAAGGGCUUAGUCUCAAGAGACCCAAUUCUCAUUUAUUACGCCCAUGAAGCUGCAGCUUUGAAGCCCAACAGACUAAAUUCCUUCAGCUUAGUUAUAAUUGUUGCAGUUGGCUUAUCAGAGAAAAGAGGAAUAGUUAAGAGGGAGAAACAAGAAACAAGAAAGCUGGAAAAGUGAAGUGAAAAGCGCGCUAGAGAGAAAAAGAAGUCGGUUCAAGUUUGCUGGGAACAUCUUAACACGUUGGAUUAAUGUCGUACAAGCAGCGCUUGAUAAGAAUUCAAAGACUUAAUUCACCUAAUUGAUGAAAUUUUUCUAGAUCAAGCUGUAAUUUCAAUUCCAUUCGAGUUUUAGGUUGCUAGGUUGAUUAUAGAAGUUAUUGAGCUAUGAAAUCAUGUAGUGAUGAAACUUUGGUGUGUCAUGAAACCAUGGGAUUUUAUGGAAGUCAACUUAGGAUUACGGUUUCAUUGGGGUGAAAUUUUGAAAUUUAUUGCGCACUGUCGGAACCAUAUUCAGGCCAUUGUGUUUGGCACUGGUUUUUUGCCAAUUUAUGGACCUCUUUUGGGUCGAAGGUGAGUUCUCCUUUUAAGCAUGUUGAGUUAGUUUUCCAAUGACUUUGGACCUACUUGAAACAUAUGUCAGUAGAGUUCUUUUUAAAUUUUGCACAUGAGUUGCCGCAGUACAACGGACAACAGUAAUUGUCUACUUUGGGCAAGCCUUUUGUUGGUGCAUUAGAGUUAUUUGUUACCAAAUAAGCUUAGUUUAGUCGAGUCUUAGUUAAGGUAUUUAUCUACUUGAUUUUGAUAUCCGUUUCUCACUUAAUUGAUUGGAUUUCACGUUCCUUCAUUUGAGGUAAGUUUUGUAGUUUGGUUCGUACUUUCAAGUGAAUGGUGCUUGUUUCUUCUAAGAUUUUGAACUCAUGUCUUGAUAAUAACGUAAAUUAGAUAUGUUAUAAGUUAUGGAACAUGUAUUGCAUAUUGUUUAGAUAUGCAUAUUUGUAGCAUGAAGGUGGAUCGGACAUUGACUAUUCUUUUAGUAGUUGAAAUGGCAUAGUAGAGUAUCUCUUGAAAUAGUUUUUUUUUAUCGGAUGUCUCCAAAGAGACCUCUUGAAGUAGUUUGGGAGUUGGUUUUUUGUGAAAUGAUUUGGGAAAUACUACGUGAAAUGUAUCCUUCUUGAUAGAGGAAUUGUGAAAGGAUACAUAUGUCAAUUUGUAAAACUGAUUUAUGAAAUGAAUUCUGAAAUUUUUUGACAUUCCUUACUCGUACACAAUUGUGCAGGGUAACCACAUUUUUGUGCCCCUGAUAUCCUAAUAUAUAGCCCAGAUACAGUUGCAACUUUUGAGGAUCUUUGAGUAUGAUCUAUUGAAAUUUGAGCACUUUUUGACUGUAGCAAGAGAGCAUGUGGAACUGAGGCCCUUUUCCAAAUCUGGUAAUUAACUAUACUUCAUGUGGCUGCCGGAUUGACCAACUUUGUGACUCUGAAACCUUUUUUAAAUUAAAAUAAAGUUUCCUGCCACAUGAAUUAGAAUCUUCCCUAAUCCUGUCAUAUAAGAAGAAACUGAGACUUUCAAUUGCAAGUUUAAAUGCAUUGAUCACUGCAGUUCUAUUAAAUUCACCUCUGUUAGAAAGAUGUAUCAAUUUCUACAAGUUCAUGUUGUGAUUUUGGCUCUCUUUUAUGUCAUGUAUUUCUAAGAUAAGAUGGUUUUAGUCAAUACCCAGGAUUUCAUAUCACUUGCUCUGUUACACAUUCUAAUCACAAUUAUCUGUGUGGAGUGAUUCAAUAAGCCAUAGAAAGGCACAUCAAUUUUUUGCACCAUUUAUUUCUGAAUCCUUCAGCUUUGAAUCCCACAAGUUUGCAUUUCCACGAUUUUCAGAGAGAAAGCAUUUUGCUGUGGAUGGCACCUGUUCCUGGAGACUCGCUUGAAUGAGAGCAUGGGGAAAUCAGAACCAGAUGAAUAUGGCUUUUCUUGAAAACAGAUAGUCAUCACUUUGCUUCAAAAGAGAGCCUUGAAGAAACCGGCUUCACAGGGAUAUAUUAAUCAUUCUUAACAUGAAUCCUUAGAGGCACAGAGAGAGAGAGAGAGAGAGAGAGAGAGAGAGAGAGAGAGAGAGAGGGAGAGAGAGAGAGAAUGAACUUUCUAUUGCAAAAAAUAGGUUGAGGUUGGGUUUUCUUGAUAUUCUAGGCUGCGUCUGCUACUGCUGCUGCUCUUAGCAAUCUCUUUUGUUUUCAUUUUCCUUUUUUUUCUCUCUCAUAAUUUUUGCUGUACAAUUGAUUCCAAUGAAUUGACGACUUAAGAGAUUGUUAAUCUAGUGCUUUGGUUCAAAAAAGCCUUUCCUGUUUGCGAAGUGGUGCUCAUACUGAUGAUGUGGUGACUGAAAUCUUUCGCCUUAUCUCCCCCAAAUUAGCUUCUUGCUGAUAAUAAUCCCGGGCACAUAAGGACGGAUUACAUCACUUGAUGUGCCAUUGUUUCGCCAAGCCUAUGAGGCUGCGAUCCUCCUGAGUCCUGAUCAUACUCCACUUUGACAAGUUUUGUUCCCUUCAAUCCAUUUAGUAUUAGUCUAAUGCAUGUUGCAUGAUCUUGAUGAUAGCUCAUUGAUGCUAGAAUGAUUGUUUAUUGAGAAAAAAAAAAUGAGACUUGCUUUGGGGAAUAUUAUUAUGUGACUGGAAUAUUGAGGGACCUUUUUUUUAAUUAUGUCGGGUAGUCACGUAUUGAGAGCAUCACCUUUUGGUAAUAUAUAAUUUCAUUGAGACUUGCUUUGGGGAAUAUUAUUAUAUGGCUGGAAUCUUGAGAGACCUUUUUUUUUUUUUAAUUAUAGGAGGUGGUCACGUAUUGAAAACACCGCCAUUUGGUAAUAUAUAAUUUCAUUGAGACUUGCUUCAGGGAAUAUUAUUACAUGGCUGGAAUCUUGAGGGACCUUAUUUUUUUUCCAAUUCUAUUAGAUAGUCACGUUUUGAGAACACCACCAUUUGGUAAUAUAUAAUUUCAGUCCCACGUCAGAUUGUGAUGCUAUACAUUCUUUGAAAUAGCCAACAAUAAAACUAGUUUAACCUGACCAAGUUGGUUGUCAUAGUGGAACUACCCCAAAAGCUCGAUGAUUAGUUUAAAAUUGGGGAUAAAGUGAUUGAGCACUAGUUUGCAUGUUUAGACAAAGUGAAAAGGAAAGUAUAUUCUUUUAUAAGAUUGGUGAUUAUCAUUUUAGGAAAAAAAAUUGGGGAGUAAGGUAUUCUAACGAUUGUAGAACUAGGCAAAUUUAGAUCAUUAUAUUCUUGCUUCUUCCUCUCUCUCUUUUUUUCAAAUAAUCCAAGACAUGAGUGUGGAAAUCCAACUGCUAGAGACCCAUUGGACAAUCUUGCAAGCCCCAUGAACUGGUUUAAUAUAGAUGUUUGACCUAUGCAUGUAACUCUUAUCUAGAGCAAUUAGAACGUAAUUGAUGGGAUUCAAAUGAAUGUCAUCCAGUUUCUUGAGUUGGAAAUUUCCUAGUACCCCAACUGAUUGUAUCAACCCAACGUAGAUCAUUACAUUCACAAAUGUGGCAUCCUCUCUAAAGGCACAAAAUAUCAACUCUAAAUUUAAAGAAUCUCUAUUCAGAUUCGUUCAUAAUUAUAAGCUAGAGGCAAGGAAGUGGAUGAACGGGUGUGUGAUGAGAAGAAUAUGCAUUAUAGUCCCUCAAAUGACUUACUACCUUUAUUAUUAGGUGAUCUAUUCGGUAUUUAAGUGCCUCAAAAAUUAGUUGUCAUUUCGGACUUUUGCAUAGAUUCAUUUACCCAAAAGAAAAGGUAAAAAUAUUGUUUUUCUAUCCAACUAUUUUGAGAAAAUAUCUGAAGUGAAAAUGCUUUGUUCAGAUCUAAUUCUACCGCGAUCCACAUAUCGUACCUUACAACAUUCUAAUCUAUAAAGACACCAUCGCAAAAGAUUUUGGGCAAUUUGAUGCAUAUUAUGAAAGUUUAUGGCGUGAUGACAUGAAAUAAAUUUUGAGGAGCAAAUCAAUGAAAGAGAGUGAUUUUUAACAGCAAUUUAUAUCCAUUACUCUUGUCUUUAUAUCCAAAUAAGCAUUUCAUAUCAUACUGAACUAAGAAAGUUGGUUUUAUAUAUAUAGAUGUUAGCUGAGAAUUUCUUACUUCAAGUAACAACAAACUCCAAAAUGAUCCUGUCAUAAAUAUAAUUCUACCACACACACAUAUAUUUAUAUGUGUGUCUAUGCACGCGGGCGUAAUGAAAACAAAGUAAAAGCCCCAGGCUUUUUUGUCAAUUCCCUCCCUUUCGCCACUCGCCAUUUUUGAAUCAUGUUGUCAUUUGUAUUGGAGACCCUUCAACUUGAAGAGUAACAUAUGGCUUGAGAAGAGCAUAAGAAAAAUAAAUUAAAAAAUCUGGAAAGUAAUGAUCAAUUAGGCCUGAAUAAAAAUUAUCUUUCAUGAAUAAUAAACAUAUCUAUGAGAGUGAUCAGACAAACAAAAUUAUAUGAAUACCCACCCGGUAGUAACCAAAAAUGAACAAACAAGACAAGCACUGGGAUAUUUCACUUUCCUACUCCCAGAAAUCAGCGACCCUUUCUUUUGAUGAUUUUUUUUUUUUUUUUGGCUGAAUAUAUCCUAUGAUUAAGUGACAAACGAGAGCUGAUGCAACUAUAAGUACGUCCUGUAUAUGAGGAGACAGGAUCUUAGUCUUUUUCUGCUUUAUCUCUGUAGCUAAGCCUCAAUUUCUGUUUUUUUAGGUAACUCGACCAUGGAGAACAGCUCUUUCCUGAUGUUAAGAACAGAACUCACUUGAUUCUACACGAGCUGGAGUGUCUUCUUAUAAAUCCUCAAAAUCCCCAUGGAAAAGCACCACCUUGCCUUGAGGAACCACCGCUUGCAUAUAUUAGAUGUUCAUCGUGACUAGCCUGCAAAGCAAGGUGAAAAGAGGGCUAUUAGCUAUGAAGACAGUCCAUCGUUGGUCAAAUGGAAGAAUUUUGGCAAGAAAAUCAAUCUCACCAUCAGAAUUCCUCCUUGGAACAAGACCAGACCUUGAAUGAGCACCUCAACCACAUCCAAAUCCUACAGUUGGGGAUAGCAGAAAACGCAGUCAUACUCUAUCUAUCCUUAGACAAGAAACUAAAAGUUUACAAAGAUAACACUUCCGUAGGUCAUCAGAGUAAAACUUAAAGGCCACGUAUAUAAACAAAGAAAUGUCCAAAUUCAUUAUGUGCAAAGCCCAAAACUGCCUAUAGGCACAGAUAUCUGAACUACUUGGUAUCAUAGACUACUGUAAUACAAAAACACUGAUCAGGCUUAGCAUAAAUGUUCCGUUCCCUAUAUUUUGCCAGUUGGAACAAUUAGAUUGGUUUAUGUUCCACUAUAAGCUAGAUGUAAGAUGGUAGAGACUCUUUGUAGUUGUGUUUACUGAUUGGUUCUACUGUAUUUUCAAUGUAAAGACCAGAUUCCAACAAGUUCAAUUGGUGCAGGAACAACAACAAGCACAACUGAAAAAGUAAUCAAAGUCAAAAAAUUGAGAAAAAUGACUAAAACUCACCAAAUGAUUGGAUGGCUGGUCAAGCAUAACUACGUGAGGUUUCUUGAAAGUUAUCUUGGCAAACGCAUCUCUACCUUUCUGACCACCUAUUUAUAUGGUCAAAGCACCAUGUUAUGUGUGCAAUAACAUCCAAAAAGCCUUGAGAAAAGUACGCAGUGAACCAAAAUUCAUAUUACAAAUUAACUAAUCUCCAAUAGAGCUUCACAAUGUCAUAUGAAAAUUGCAACAACAAAAAAUUUACAUAUGCAACAGUAGCAAAGAGAAAGAUGNNNNNNNNNNNNNNNNNNNNNNNNNNNNNNNNNNNNNNNNNNNNNNNNNNNNNNNNNNNNNNNNNNNNNNNNNNNNNNNNNNNNNNNNNNNNNNNNNNNNNNNNNNNNNNNNNNNNNNNNNNNNNNNNNNNNNNNNNNNNNNNNNNNNNNNNNNNNNNNNNNNNNNNNNNNNNNNNNNNNNNNNNNNNNNNNNNNNNNNNNNNNNNNNNNNNNNNNNNNNNNNNNNNNNNNNNNNNNNNNNNNNNNNNNNNNNNNNNNNNNNNNNNNNNNNNNNNNNNNNNNNNNNNNNNNNNNNNNNNNNNNNNNNNNNNNNNNNNNNNNNNNNNNNNNNNNNNNNNNNNNNNNNNNNNNNNNNNNNNNNNNNNNNNNNNNNNNNNNNNNNNNNNNNNNNNNNNNNNNNNNNNNNNNNNNNNNNNNNNNNNNNNNNNNNNNNNNNNNNNNNNNNNNNNNNNNNNNNNNNNNNNNNNNNNNNNNNNNNNNNNNNNNNNNNNNNNNNNNNNNNNNNNNNNNNNNNNNNNNNNNNNNNNNNNNNNNNNNNNNNNNNNNNNNNNNNNNNNNNNNNNNNNNNNGCAAUAGUUCCUAAACUGCCAGAGAUCAAGACCCAAAGGGAAGGUGAUUUAUGGAAUAUCAAUGCUGUCAUGAAUUGGAGUUGUAUUGAAAGCUUGAAGCCAUGAACUGCCCUAGAAUUUUAUCCCAGAUUGACUGCUUAAUACUGUGAAGGAUCAUCAUCAACAAAAAGAAGGUUCAGAUUCUUAAGAAAACCAUAAAAAAGAAUUGGAUCCUCCUUUCUUGAUAAACCUAUCACAGGUUCGACAUAACUAAUCAUGUUUUAAUAUAUUGAAAAGAUUAUCCUUAUAUAGAUCAUAUUUACUAGAAGGAAAAUUAGAACAUACCAGUGCACCAAAUAAAAUUAGUCGCUUCUUUUCCUUUUUCUUUUUAAUUGCAAAAAAUGGCACAAAAUUGACAGCAUUAGUCCUACCUCAAAAGCAUUCGCAAGUGAUUGUUCAAAGAGAUUUUGCCAAUACAUAUUACAAUGGUGAAUGAGCCAGGGCACAAGAAAAAGAUUGUUGGGAAGAGAACAUACAAGAAACGCCAAAAAUGCAGAGGAAUAUGAUUGUGGAAUGUUAUGAUUCACCGGGAUUCUCAUGCAAAGCAUAGUGUAUUUUCAUUCACAAUUUGUUUGGGCAUCAAGCAGAGUUCAAGAUAUGUCAUUCUCUAGUUUAUUGUCCAACGAAACAGAGCUGAACCAACCUAACAAGAACACCCACUCAAAUGUCAAUCUUUGACCUACAGUGGUUGGUUUUUGGAAAUUCAUGGGAAACAUUUCCAUGGGAAAAUAUCAAUUUGUAUUACUCAUUGAAUUGAGGAAGCGGAAUUGAAAUCAAAACCAAAAACUUACUCGAACCCUAAGAAACUGACUGUACAUGGAAGAAUCAAUCCACUGGAUUCGAAUGUCAUCAAUGAGGAUGCUCAGGAUCUCUUGGAUGAGGGGCCAAUAGUUGCCAGUGAAUUUUGAUCAUCGAUCUUUCAGAAUCUCGCACCCAUCUAUGCACAAUUCUCAGAGGGAGGGAGGGAGGGAGCCCAUCCUCUGGCAAGUACCUCAACUUCAGGCAAUCGUAAAGGUGUAAAAAUGUGAGAGGAGAAAGAUAGUUGUGAAGAAAGCUUGAAAGCCUUCCCACGUUCCUCAUUUUAAAUAUCCAAAGACAUGUCAGAGAGGAAGGAAAGAGAAGACUCCACGCAUCAUCAUCCUCCGAAGGAAACCAUACCUUCUCUACUUCCCCUCCCAUGCUCAAGUCAAUUAACAGAAACUUGAGGGAUGUGAGCAUGGGUAAGCCCCACUCUCUCACUAUACGCUUCAGAUUCUCACAUGCUAAAACUGUAGGUCCAGCAAAUUGAGGCAAACCUCCUUUGGGGAAGCAUUUGAUAUUUUGGCAACACAUAAUAUAUAGCAUAUGAAGGGAUAUAAGAUGAUGCCACUGAUUUGGUAGAGGCUUUAUCUUCGGACAGUUAUAGAAAAAGAAAUAUGACAAGGUGAUGGGAAGGGAAGGGAAGUACUCUAUCUCCAAUGUCGGACAGUUACUUAUAUCAAAAGAGUGAAAUGGGAGAGCGUGUGAAGACACUGUGGUAGGCUUCCCAAAUUCAGACAGCUGUCAAUAGUCAUAGAAUUGCUGAAUUAUAUGGCGAUCUCUUCUGGCAAAUUCACUCCCUCGCAAUGCCCAAUAAUAAGCGUCUUGAGAGCAGCAAGUUGAGGCAUCAGGUUAUUGCUAGUGGGGUCAUUUGGAGUAAUUGUUAAUAAUCCCAUGAGUUUUGGACACUUCUCAAUUAACAAAUCUCUGAGAGUGUGCAUCUUGCUUGGAAGCUUUUCUAAACCCACACAGUCCCUCAAUUCCAUUGUUUUGAGGUUGAAAGGCAGCUCUAUCUCUCCUUCUCCUGCCACAAAAGACAUGAAUUUAGGACAACUUUGGAUGGAUUUUUUUUUUUUUUUUUGGUGAAAAACUUUGGAUGGAUAAUUCCUAGUGGCAAGUAAGAUUUCGUGUUUUAUUUCCAUCUUGCCACAAGUAUGUUAGCUUGUCACAGCUUCUUAUAUGAAGCUCCUUUAGCUUGACCAAACAGCUCAUAAUCUCAUGAUUAAAGCCAACAAGCUCUGCAAGAUUUUGAACCCUGAGAAUGGUUAAAGAAGUUAGGUUGACCAAGUACUUUAAGAUCCCUUUGUUAUAAUCCUCAAGGUAUAACUUGCAAAUAAAUGGAAGACAAACCACACUGAUUGAAUUAUUCAAAUGUGGGCACAAAUGGAUUUCAAGCUUUAUGAGACGAUUAAGUUGACAAGGCAAUGUCCAAACCAACAAAGGACAACUCUGAACAACAAGAUGCUAAAGACAGGAGAAUAGUACUUCUUCUUCUGGACUCCCAGCAUAACAAGAUCAAUCAUUCCAUCCCAACAUCUCUUCAAACUUCAAAGUUGUUAAGGAUGAGAAAGGCCUUUUACCUCCGUAAAAUUCAGAGCCUAUCAUUCUUACUGCAUGUAGACCAUUCAGACAUAAUUUCUUAAGUAAAGGUAGUUUUCCAAGUUGAGGCAGUGAUAUAACAUUAGGACAACCCCGUAAGCACAAAGACACUAGCUUACAAUAGGAUGGACCAUCCAACCAAGAUGGGAAUAUCGCACCACCAUAAUAUGAGAUAGUAAGAUUUUCAAGAUCAGUGCAAGGUCGCAAAUAGUGAAGCACUUGUGCUUCAUGCUUAUCAUUCCAUAGAUUUCCAAAAUCUUCACCCCAAUGCAAGAACAUGUUGCUAAGGCCUUGCUUUCCAAACAAAUUAGCAUCAACAGCAUCUCUAGCUUCUUGCACUUUUUGCAAUUCUGAUAUAACUAAUUCUCCUUGAAGAUAGGACAAAUUCUUCGACUCCUUUAACUGUAACCCUUUCUUAAUUCCUACAUCAAAGUUGGGCAAGACAAUAAGAUUUUUCAAAUUACCAAUACCCAAGGGCAUCUUGUUUAGACUAUGUGUAUCUCUAAUGUCAUGAAACUGUAAGCUCACCAAUUUUGUGAUACCUAGAGACAACAUAAAAAGCUUUUGACAACCUCUUAAGAUCAAAGCUUGUAAUUUGCAUAAGGCGACAAUUGAAUUAGGUAGUCUUUUGAUGUCUAUGUAUGAGAAAUUGAGAUAUUGAAGAUGUUUUAAAUCACCAACACAAUUCAGUACCUCUAUGAUGUCACAAUGACAUAAUGAGACCACCCUCAAGUAGUUUAAUUCUAUUAGCAAGUCAUACAAUGCCUUGUUGGAAAUGUUGAACUUGCUGCCCCCACUGGAUUCAAUAUGAAGUAAAAUUAAAUUUCUUAGUACCUUCAUUCGGUAAGAUGCUCUCAAGCAUUUUGAUGUAACAGACCAUGACAAGAUGAAUGAUGCAUAAUGAGUUUUCACAAGAGAUGCAUCGUCUUCAUUUCGUACUAGCUGAGACUCCCCUGAGUUUAAGCAUGUCCCACCUGCAAUUGACUUUGCUAGAUCAUUCAAAAAACCAUGCAUUGAGAACUUAGAUGCAAUGACACUUGAUUGUUGAAGAAAUGAUUUGGAUACUAACUCAUCGAAGUAAUUCCGUCCUAAUCUCAAGUUAUUCUCCUUUCUUUUUUGUCCAUCUAAAAAGCCCUCCACUAUCCACAAGAGUACCAGCUCAUCCCUCUCAAUUUUGUAAUCCUUGGGAAACACCACACAAUAAGCAAAACAUCUCUUCAAAUAAGAAGGAAGAUGGACAUAGCUCAAAUUCAAAAAUAGGAGAACCCCAUCAUUUUUUCCCGUUGGAAUAUCCCACAUUCUAUUAUUUAAGAUAGCUUCCCAUUCAUCGAGAUCCCAUUUAUUAUGCAGGAGACCACCUAACACCUUCACUGCCAAAGGUGAAACUUUACAUUUUUCAGCUAUUUUCUUGCCUAUUGUUUCAAGAUCAAUGUGCCUCUCAAAAUUUGUUGCUCUAAGAGCAUGAAAGUUAAUAAGUUUGUACAAUUAUCAAUGGACAACUCCUUCAAAGGAUGAGGCGAAACUCAUGUUAAGGAAACAACCAAACUAUUGUGAGUUGGGAUGAUGAUCUCGCUUCUCUUAGCCCCUGCUUCAAAUGACUUUAAGAGGGCAGUCCAUUCCCUGUGCCCAGACAUCAUCUAAAACCACAAGAAACUUCUUCACUGAUAGACUAUCCUUCAACUUAACUUGAAGAUAGUUGAGAUCUUUGUCCUUGCAUGACAACUCGGUGAUCGACCGCAAAAUAGUCUUUGUUAUGUUGAGAACAUCAAAAACAUCUGAAACACAAACCCAUGCUCUUCUCUCGAAGCAACUGCUCACGUUGGCAUCAUUAUAUAGCUGUUGAGCCAAGGCCAUCUUUCCAACACCACCCAUCCUAACUAUGGGGAUUAUGCUCAACGUGGCAUCAGAAUUUUCAGCUUCACCAAUCAAUAAUUUGAGUAUCUCCACUUCUUCUUUCACCAUGCCAAUGAGUCUCUGAUAGACAAAUGCUAUGGGGCCUUUUGUUGGUGAAGUUAGUUCUACCCACAACAUUCUCUGUCAAGCUUAGAUAAGCCUUCCUGGCAACAAUAUCCUCCAACCUGCCAUCAAUCUUCUGAACCUUAGUUUUAGACACGAGCGAGCUCAGGUUUGGAUUGGAUCUGGAAGAUUUAUAUUGGCUAAAGAAAUAGAACUUUCACCUCCCCACCUCCACUUGUGCUAGAUUCUGCGCUGACUUGGCCUGAGCGGCUUCGAUGGCAAACUCAUCAAGCAAGUCUUCCAUGUCAUAGGCCAGGUCCCCAACAUCAUCCAACCAUAGCUUCACUAGAUAGUUACCACUCAAGUGCUUGUCCUCUGCAUCAUCCAGCAUCGCAUUGAUUGUGUCCAGCAUCUUCCCCCAUUUAUUGAGCAAGUCGAUGCUGAUUCCAGAGAAGGGCAGUGCUCCUUCCCUUUGCACAUAGUAUAGUCCCAAAGAAGCCAGCUUCUCGAAAACGACCUAAAGGAAGGCACUCAAAAGGAUCUCCUCAAUGGCCAUGGGUGAAUCCGUCAACUAUAGAGAACAACACAGGUUAUGGUGAAGCAAAGUGACAAUGAGCUAAUGGAGAGAGAAAAUGGGUGAAUGAGUCAUUGUAUACAACAGCAAGGGUUAUGGUGAAGUGAAGUGAUGGCGAGCAAGACUUUCACCUCCCAAAAACAUUAAACAAAGACCAAGACUUCCAAGGAUACACAUCAAUGGUUAGAGAAAUCAAGAUAAAAUACUUUUUGCCCAAAAGUGCUCCUCUCUUAAUGUUUAGAGUUUAUCCCCAGAUAUCUUAUUUGAAGAAUUAGACUUUUUGCUACACUUCUACAAGUUAUCAGAGGCAGCUAACUUUGUCUGUUCGAUAAGGAAAACAAAAGCACGCUCUUUGCACUACAAAAUCUACAAGUCAGGCAUACCAACUAAUCCAUUAAGCAGCUUGGUUUAUUUUAAUCUGGAAACAGUAAAUGAGUUAAAAAUCACCAACGAAUAACAUAUAAUCAAUUGAAUAAUAACUCUCUAAGCAUCACAUUAAUGAACAGGAAAGUCGUGUUCAAUCCCUCUGUGGGAAACAAAACUUCAAUGAAAUCCAGGAAGACCAGGACUUUGUAGUACGCCAAUUGGGUUUGUUGCUUUGCUUUUCACAUCUCUCCUCUUCCAUCCCUAAGUGAAUAUCUUCUUCUUCUUUUUUUCUACUGUUUGAUGCUAGAAAUUUAGUUGGUCUAGGAAAAUUAUUUCCACUGAGAGGAAAAGCCACGCCUCAAGAUUGAGGAGAAUAAUUUCAGAUCAUAAAAUCUAAAGUUGCUGCUUACCCCUCUCACUAUCGCAGACCGAUUUCAUCAUCAUCCCUCUCUCCUCUCCUCUGCAAACAUGCGCGAAUGCCACCCUCCCAUUUACCCACCAUCGUCAUCUACCACCAACAUCGGUUACCCAACAGAACCAAAUCGCCAACCCCAUUGAGCCAUCCUUCUUCAAAACCAUUCCCAACCGCAGUAACAAGCACCACCUCAGACUCGAUCACCACGACCACCACCGCCACCAUUCACAGCCAGCAAAAAUUCAGGGGGAGAUAAAAAUAAAAAAGAAAGCCAGGGAGGAGGAAAUUUCACCAAUCGGAUGGCCAAGUAAUAAAAAAAUGUGGGUCGGAGGGGCUUCCCGAGCUCUUCCGCACCUGGUCGCUACCAUUUGACUUUGUAUUCUGUGACUACCAUGGCUGCAGUGUGCAUGAACGGUGUUUAGCUUUUCACGGUGCCGGGCGGAGAAGAAGGGAUAAAAGAAAGUGGUAAGAAGAGGAAAAAGGAGAAUGUUCGACCAAAAAGGUAAAGUAUUUGGCCCAAACCACUUUCCCUGCCCAUAUUAGAGAAUGAGAUCUAAUUUUCUAUCCAAAUAGCAUAAAUUAUUUUUUUUUUCAUUUUCAAAUUUCUACCAAACGCCAAAAAAAAUCAUUUACUCAAAAAUUAAUUCUAAGAAACCAUUUUUUUUUUUUUUGUCGGUAAGAAACCAAUUGAAAAUACUAAAUUUUCAGUUAAUCAAGUAGAGCCCUUGUUAGUUGAUGAUUGCUUUCUUCAAGUAAUAUCAAUGUUAUGCUUGGAGGCGUAUAUAUGAAAAAUAAACUAAAGACUACUUUAUACCACUCGAAAUAAUAAUUAGGCCCUAGAAUUUUUUUUUAAUUCCCUUUUUUCGCCAAUUGCGAUCAUCAAUACAAAAAUUUCAUAUCAAUCACGAUCAUUUUGGACUCUUUAAGUUCCACCUAAAGCUUGUUAGUGAGAAGAAAAUGAGAAUAAAUAAAGAAUCUGUGAUGAGAAAAUCAAGUGGCCCCCAUUAAAAAUAAUUUUGUCAUGUAAAUAAACAAUUAUAAGAGUAAUUGGACAAACAAAUUGUAUUCAUACUCACGUGAAAGGAACCAAAAACCUACGAACAAGACAUAUCGGGGUACAAAUGGGUGACCCUUCGAUCAUUUUGUUUUUUUGUUUUUUUCUUGAAUGGCCCUUUUGAUUGUAUAAUGUAGAAUUAUGGGAGACUAUAGAUCCCCAUUAUUGUUGACCUAAUGGUAUAACACGAUCAUUUCAUAAAUGCCAGGUUACAAAGAUAACCCCCUAACGAGGAUAGUGAUAUGUAUCUUAUCUUGCCUGCCACAAGACCUCACUUGAUUUGGUGUGCUUCUUGUAACUGGACUUGUCUAUGCAAGAUAAAUCUGUAGCAAGUGGUGUUGGAUGACAACCUUCUCACAAUUCUAUAUCGGAAACCUUAUGAUAGGGGUGAGCUUUUUUAUGACAACUCAAUAGAGCAAUAACGUAUUUAAAAAAAAAAAAAAAACAGGGAAAUAAAGCAUGGUCACCUUGAAUGCUACUCUCCACCCUCCCUUUACAACAAAGAAAAAGAAAAUGUGGGACUGGGAUCGAUAAAACCGUUGGUAUGAGAUUAUGUGGAAAUUUUAAAUGGAUUAUAAUCUUCAGGCUUACUUCAAAUUUAGCUGUUAGAUUCACCAACUCGAGAGUCCCUGUUUUCGCAUCUUUAAAGUAGCUGCUGUUUUUUUUUUUUUUUUUAAAAGAGCUGCUGUUAUUAGAGGUAAGAGAGGUUCUUAGAUUGGCUUUGAACACCAUCAUACAGAUUAAUCUUAAUUAGAGCACGUUACCACUAUUGAUGUAAGUAAUCAUACAGUGGAGAGAAAUUUUCUCAUGAGAUCCAAACUCAAUCAAUUUUAAUGAGUGUGAUUUCUUGGAUGAGAUACUAAUAAUCUCCGGUUAGUUUUCAAGUAUUGAUAUUUUGGAAUCUUACUCAAUAUGGAAUACUUAAUGGGGGAGGUAGGGGAGCCAUCCUCUCACUUAGAUCUCUAUCUUAAUUUAUGAUGGAGGUAUCGAUUUUAAGUUUUUGAAAUCUGAACUUAUCUCACGAACAUUUUGAACUUGCCUAAAAUCUCUCGGUUUCAUGAGUUUCAAGCUACCCUACGCUAUCGCGUUGAAAAUGGAUGCUGAAUUUAAAUUGCCUUCGUAAUGUUUUGGUAAAAAUAGAAAUGCCGAUAGUAAGUGCAAAGGCAGUCAGAGGCUAUUGCGAUGCUCCCGAGCGGGAUGAGUGGGUUUAAUAGCUUAUUGAACGGGAACGUGCGAUCCCUCUCCUUCGGUGUGGGCUCUUUGAAAUCCUAACCGCACAUAGCAUAUACUUGUUACUAGCCUAUUGGAACCGGUUAGGAGCUAACGUGAGAACAUGUUACCUUACAUAAGCUAGAGAAUUCAAAAAUAUGAUUACACUUAGUAGUAUUCUCCACAACAUGUCCAUUCAUGCUUGUUUGAUUGAGAUUGACUCUAAAGUGUAAUAUACUCAUUGAAUGAAUCUAAAGAAAUCAAAUCACGAAAUCAAUAUAAUGAAAACAGCAUGACACAUCAAAAUGAUACUAAAGGAUGAGUAAAAAUAAAGAGUGGAAAGUAAAUCCGAAACUAGACGAGCAAAGUAUACAUUGCUUUAUUAUUAAGUUUCGGGACAUCAACCAGUGAGCUAAUUUUCAAAAUCAAUCAAAGUCUAAUUUUGGCAAAGGAGAAUUGCCUACGGUUUCAAUAACGAUAUUAAAGACGAGAACAUAAACGAACUAAAGUAAUACUAACGUAAACGCUAGUAAGAUUUUUUCAUCAUCGUCAUCGUCAUCGUCAUCGUCGUUUUUUAAUUUAUUAUAAUUUUUUUUAUUGUUUUCUUCUUGUUCUCGGUCCCUCUUGACCAACUUCAUGUACGGCCACCAGACGCAUGACCACGGCUUUCCCGAGUAAACACAGAGCAUGGAUGAGAAAAUAGGAACGCAACAGAGAGAUUCACACAACCACCGCUAGAAAUAGACUCCAAGCAAUUUUAUAUCUCCGGUGUCCACCGCAAAUCGCCAAACGAACAUGCGAAACGCAGAACAAAUGAAACGCAGGUUACGUGUCUAACAAAUCAUGCCUAAUUGCUAAAAAAAAAAAACAAAAACAAAAAAUAUCAUGUAAACUAUGUCAAUUUGCCUUAAGAUUAGACAAUUUUGGAAGAACUAUUACACCACCCUGUCUCAGCGACAUUUCAUCGAACAGUUUACGUGCAUCGAGUGAGGAUUUAAAGGAGCCUUCGCUGAACUCGGAUUUGAGACCAAAGUCGUACAAAAUCAGUUCAGGACGUUUUCAAUCAACGAAUAGGCUGAUGGAUUGAGGCCGUUGAUUUGAAUGGGCUUUGUGGACUGGACUGGACUGAAUAGGGCCGAGGCUUUAUUAUUUUAUCCUCCUCCUCCUCCUCCUUCUGCGUCUUCUUCUUCUUUUGUUAUUUGUUAAUUUGUUUAUUUAUUUUUUGUUCUUUUUGAAAAAUGCAAUACUUGAUUUUUUUGGAGAAAAUUCAUGUGUCAACAGAGGCAAAUACAAAGAACUGGUAAAGCUAACUGUAAUCCACAUGUAAGGUUACCAAUCAUUCGCUUCAAUUCAUACUAAGCGGUUAUGUCUUUGGUUUAUUUAUUUAAUUAUCAAGACAUGCAUUAAGUUAAUUUGUAGGUUUUGGAAUAGUGACUUAGGGAAUAUGAGUAGUUUGAGCAGAAUUUGAGAUCCCUUUUAUUGCCGGCAUAUAAAAUGUGGUAUUUUUUUUUUAAAUAUCAUAACUGUGUGAAUGUUAUUUGUAGUCAUUAACAUGAGAAGAGAGGGGCUUGCUUAUGACCAAGACCAUCGGUUUGGUGUUAUGAUUGACCGUCACUUUUAAAUUUGACAAUGCUAUUGUUCAUCUUUAAAUAAUGCUAAUUACUAGUAUUCCUUCUCUUUUUUUCUUUUUUCUUUUUUUUGUAAACUUAACAAGAUUGAUGGGUACCAAAUAUUCUACUCGAAAAAUAAUGGGAAGUGAGUUGAUGGGUGAGCAAGGCCGAAUUAUGUGUGUGACACCCUUAAUCAUUCUUUUAUUGUGGUAUUUUAUAUUUCUGAUUUUUUUUCUCUAACUUUAAUUAUGUGAUCAGGAAAAGAUGUCGGACAUUCACACGGAGACGAUUCCAGUUUUCUUGGAUCUUUAUAAUAAAGCCAGACCCACCAGAAAAUAUUGCGUGGGUGAAAGUCGCCAAAUCAGCAACAGGACGCUCCACUCAUCUCUCGCCACGUGUAUAGCAGGGUCCCACCAAAAAGAUAUUUUGAAAUUCCCUCUCAAUCCCAGCCUUCUCUCUAUUCCUUGGACGAACUGCGCCGCCGCCUCCGCCUCCGCCGUCGCCUUCAGAAGCUCCACUGGCGGCUCCGGUUCGUUGUCUACGUCCGACGAGCUCAGGUUAGGGUUUUUCCCUCUUUCGCGAUUAUAUCCUCCAGUGUUACUUUUGUUGGGAAUCGAUGGAAUUGGUGGCUCUUCGGAAGAAAUUCGUUGUCUGGGAGAUUCUCUCUUUCCUGGCCGGACAUUAAGGUUAUAGAAGAUGCAUCGACUUGAUAAAUUCGUUAUUCCUGGUUUGAUGGAUUUUUUGUUUUUCUGUCAGCUUUCUGGCACUCCCAAAUUUCCAUAGUUUAACUUGUAUUGCAUGUGAGUAUGAGUCUUGAGUUAUAUCUGCUGUAAGAGUAUGCUUUUUCAUCCCCCUUGCUUUAGCGCAUUCCCCUUUGAGAUAUAUAACGUAACGUCAAUGCGUUUGAAUCGAUUAUGGAAAUUCAAAACGGAGAAUUGACAGAGGAGGAUGCUGGCUUUAUUGGAGUCAAAUUCAGAGUCUGUUGUGCAUGCAUCUGAAAUGGGAACCUCUAAAAUGAGUUUAAAAGGGAACCGAAGUCAGUGUAGACAACUGAAUGUCCAAUGCUGAAUAAUGCUAAACAGAUACUGGCAGCAUGAGCUCAAUUACUUAGCUAUUGAGUACUUAGGAUUUUGAAGCUUGAAGUUACCCAAGUAACAAUCUCAUUCCGAGAAAAACAAGUAUUGCUUGGCGAGCAUUACAUUUUUAAUUCAAAGAUUUCUUAUAUAUAGGAAUUUUGUCCACGCCGAGUAUGAGUUCUGUAAUCGUUCAUGAGCAUUUUUUCCCUCAAUGAAGAUGAUUACUAAUGCCUGCUAUUUGAGCUGGCUUAUUAACCCUCUGGAUUGGAAUUGGGUCUGCGAAAUAGAAAUUCUUGCUCGAAUUAGCAGGGCCCUUAGCAACUUUUUAACCUUCUAGAUUGAAUUUGGGUCUGAGAAAUAGAAGUGGUUGCUUGUUCUAGCUGGGGCUUAUACUUUUACGCAGUCGGCCUACUAAAUAGACCACAUAGGCUGCGUUUGUUUUCGUUUCUUUUUUUUUGUUUUUAAACAACUUUUGUGUUUUUUCUGUUCCUGGGAACAAAAAAGGAACAGAAACGCGUUUGUUUGCGUUUUUGUUCCAAAACUAUUUUUUUGUUCCCAGAAAACACAUUUGAAACAGAACAAGGAAACAAAAAAAAAGUUGUUUCUUAUUUCUGAACAAAUCUAGAAACACUUUUCUUUUUUCUUUCUUUUUUCUUUGNNNNNNNNNNNNNNNNNNNNNNNNNNNNNNNNNNNNNNNNNNNNNNNNNNNNNNNNNNNNNNNNNNNNNNNNNNNNNNNNNNNNNNNNNNNNNNNNNNNNAUUUUAAACAGAAAUGUUACCAAACGCGCCCAUAGUAGCUGGGGCCUGGCAACUUUUUAACCCUCAGGACUGAAAUUCUUACUCACCUUGCUUGUGUUAGAGUUUGUAUCUGCUAACUUGACACGUACGGGAAAAAGCCAUUUGCGAGAGAUGCAUUUUGAUUAAGAGGAGUUCUAGAGAUAUGUCACUUUAGGAAAUAAAACAUUACAUAUGUCCGCAGAUGUCAAAUUGGAUCUUCAAUUUCAAAAAAGAUGUAGCGAAAAAAUCUAGAAAAGCAAAUUGAAAGUUCUGUUUUAGAAAUAACUUCGCCACUGGAUUUCAGCAUCUAGAAAGAAGAGGAAAAUUGUGAUAACGGUGAGGAAGCCUCGGGUUAUCUUUUUAUGCUGUGACUAGGCUUGGAUGGAUUAUAUGUUCCUCGAUUGACUGCACAUUGUUUUGAGCCCCUACUUUGUAUGCGUUGGAGAUAUAAAACUUCGUUCAGAUAUACUCUCGUCGUUGUCAUCCUCCUAUCUGUCCACGCUACAUUCUAAUCUAUAAAAGGCUCAAUCCCAAAGAAUUUUUGGGCAAAUUGAUGCAUGUUGUGAAUAUUUAUGAUGCGAUGACACAAAAUAAUUUUUGAGGAGUAAAUUAGUUGAAGAGACUAAUUAGUGGAAAUUUGUGGUUCUUCCCCUCGUCCUUAUACGUAAAUAAGCUUUCAGUUCAGUCAUGACUAUUCUCCACCGUCGGAGAACGAAAGUGAUAGAAACCGAAGGUGGAGGCAGUGACAAAAACGAACGAUAAUGAAGUCGUCAAGGGAGGCAUUUGGCUACGAUUGGCACCAAUUUAAGUGAGAUUGAGAAACUUCAACUGAAUAAAGUAAAUUCAAGACGAAUUGAGACCGGAACCGCAGAGCUAUUGGCGAGACUCAAAAAGCAUUUCGCCAUGGAAGGAACUGGAAGAGUUACGUUUGAAGGCAGAAGAAGCCGAUGCGAGGUGGCGGAGAUGGCGGAAUACUAGAAUCGGCCAUGGAUAACCUCCGGUGAAACUCGAACCGCGGAGAUGGAGCUUCGGGCGGGAAAGGGAGAAUCGAUGCCGUUACCCCUUUCCUCCUCCGCGUGACCUCGACUUUCUCCAGAUUUCCUUCCUUCUUUCCCUGGUUUCCCCGAGCGCGUCUUCGUUUGAAGCUUUAGAGCGCUAGAGAGAGAAAACGUAAGAGAGAGAAAGAGAGAGGAUAAACCCAAGAUGUCGCUGGGCUUGCGAUCCGCAUAUUGUAUCAUACAACAUUCUAAAUAAUGAUGACUAUUGCAAAAGUUUAUUGUGUAAUGAUAUAAAAUAAAUUUCAAGGAGCCAAUUAAUUGAAAAGACUAAUUUUCAAUGGACAAUCUAUGCUUCCUCGUCUCUAGAUAAGAGAAUUUUUAUCAUAUCAUAGAAAAUGCGAGGAAGUUGGCAAUUUUUUUUUUUUUUUUUUUUUUUGCAUUUUGGUGCUAGAUGAGAAUUUCUUGCUUCAAUUAAUAACCAACUCCAAAAUUAUUAAGUUACAAAUAUAAAAUAUAAAAUAUGUAUUGAAAAAGAAAGUAAAAGCCCCAAAUUUUUCUUUAAUUCCCUGGCUUUUGCUAAUUGCCAUCAUUAUCAACCAACACAAUUUGAAUCAUGCUGUCAUUUGUAUCCGAGACUCUUCAACAAGAAGAACAACAUAAGGUGCGAGAUGAACAUAAGAAAAUUUUAAAAAUCCAAAAAGGAACAAUUAAUUAAAACUAUCUUUCAUACAUAAUAAACAACUAUAAAAGUUAUCAGAGAAACAAAAUUAUAUGUAACGAUAAUAGAAAGGGAGGAGAUAUGCCAAACAGGGUAUGCAUUGGUUGAAUUACAAAAUUUCUAGUUACACCAAAGGAGCCCAAAUCAAUAUGGCGUCAAACUUUCAACCCAAAAAAAAAAAAAAAAAUUGGUGUCAAACUAAUCAAUCAAAGAAAAUCUGUGUAAUAACUAAAAUGAAAAUCAUUUGAGUGGUGAUCCCAACAAUGUAAAUCAAGAAAACACCACUAUAUUGUACCAGCAAAUUAGAGGGACCACUCAUUUUUCCCCCUCAAAUAGUUCAUCUUACAAUGUCAUGCCAAACUUUUUUAAUAUAUCAUAAAAACGAUUGCUAGUUGCUAAUUUCUUGGUUUUGCAUUUUUCGAAAUAUGUGGUGGAUGAAGGACCGUAGCAGAACGACACCAUCACACCUCUUUUCCUGUGUAGAUAUUCCUCCAUACUAGUAGGAAAAUGGGCUUGAGCAGGUCCUUAAACUGCUCAAGGAGGAAACAGAUGGGAAAACCAUCCUGGGGUGGGAGACCCCAUGUUGUCCUCCGUAUUCCCUCUCUGUCGGGAAAACAAAGAUAGACAGGGGAUUUGGGGGCCUCACGGUGGGGAAGGUAGACUCCACGUCAGAGAAAACUCUAGCUACCACCGGGUAGGCAGGUAUAGUAUUUUCGUACUUAACUUUUUAAAUUAAAAAAAUAAUUUUAUUUUUUAUUUGAUUUUCUGAUUGACUAAAGUAAGUUCCUUUGACAAGCUUUUUUUAUCAUACUAAAUAGCGAAAAAUGAAAACAACAUUUUUUUUAUUAAAAUGUUUCUCUCAAAACAAACAGAAUACUAGAAGAAGACCUUUUCAAAGAUCAAUCAUAAAAUAAUGUGGGGUGACAUCCCUCCGGAUAUUCAUUAUAUUGCAAAUCAUCAUCUUAUAACCAAAACUUUUUUAAGAGUUCAUUCUCGUUUAUACAAACUCUAUCGAAAUUACCCAUAACCAAUGUCAAGGAUCCUAAUGAAGUACCGAGCCAAAAAUGUCAAGGUUCUAAAAAAGAAGAAUAAAGCUCCAUACACGGAGAAAAGAUCUUCUGUAACAAUUAAGAGAAUCAAGCUCCAUACACGGAGAAAUGAUUUUCUGCAACAAUUAAGCCUCUUCAAGAACCUCUUCAUCUUCACAUGUCAGAUAUUUUCAGACCUGAAAAUAAUUGUUCGCAUGUUAGAUCUUGUCCAGUAGACCGUUAGUGUCCUAUUCCCGAAAGACAACUAAAAAAUUAAAUGGUGGGCAAAAUUUACCCCUCAAUUCGCAAAUGAAGAAGCGGUUAUGGUUUGCUGCAGAACCUACUCGGUCAAAGCCACAGACUACCAGAACAACCUCAAUUUUUCCUCCACAAAUGUCAACAUCAAGCUCAAUUCGCAGCAGCUCCUGAUCAAAAGUCUCUGCUAAAAGUAGUCCGUGAGACCGUGUCUCAAGCAGGGUCUGACGAUGAAGAAGUAGAAAAACAGUUUCGCUCCUCAACAUGGAAAUGAUUGUCAUGGCAAAAACCUCAUAUAGCAGGCAAUAUCUUUAUAAUGUAACAGAAGUGUCCACUAAUAGAACUCUUGUAACAGUAUUCCUCAAUAUUGUAUAUCAUGGAAGCCAUAGCAACACAUUUCCCUUUUGGAUCAAAUUCCCUUCAUUUGCCUGAAUUCAAGGCAUAUCUUCAACAUAUGAGCUCACGAGAUUGAGACCAUUUGCAAUGGUAGUGCGUGUAUCUUGUCACGUGUGAAUGGUACUGGAUCUUCAGCACCUCGAUGGGGGUAAAUGUGGUGGGCCUUGCCCCCUUCAAGGAGUUAAUCAUGAGUGGUGCUAAGUGACGAUCUUCUGGGAAUCAGAAUAUCUCAUAGCGGAUGCAAGUCCUCAAAAAAACAUCCAGAGGGUAGAGGGUAGCCACGGCUAUUGAUCCUCCCUCCUGUUCCCCGUCCUGCACAGGAAAUAUAAUAUGUAGGACCACUAAAAAUGUUGUCAAGAGAUGGGAGUGGAGUGGGUAUUUGAAUAAAAUGAAAAUGAAAUUCAAUCUUUGACCAGGCAACCAGUUUACUAACAUGUUUUGACCUGUAGGGCUCAUUCAGAAUUUAGCUGUCACAUUCGCUUACUCAAACCUCUGCUAUUAGUUCCGUUUGUCCAUCUGCACUGUAGCAAUUGGGAGAAAGAAAGCUUCUCAUUUUCAAUGAUGACCUGAACAUGUUAAAAGGAUAUUAUCUAACAAAUCCAGGUAUUUAUAUGGAAUUUCAUUAUAGUAUUUUUUGGCUACGCAAGGGCUACAUUAUAAUUAGUCAACGCAAUUCUGUACUUAGAGUUGAACAUAAAGUUUUGUUGACCGUGAUAAUAUUUUCAUAAUUAAUUCUCCUGAACAGUGCAAAGAAUGAAAAUAGGGAAAAUAUAUUCAUAUAAAAAUAGAUUGUCCUACAAAAUAAUUUAUUUUGCUAAAAAGAUUCUUUUGCAAAUGAUUAAAUCAUUUUACUAUGUAUGGGAAAGCUGACUUCCACGGCGAGAAAGUGUCAAACUUCUAGGGGCACAACAAAUGAACCUAUUGCUAGAACAAAAUGUGCAAGAAAGCAUAAAUUAUACCAGGAAUACAAUCCCAACCCAGUUCUUACGCUAUUGCAAAUGAUACUGCACACUUAAUUUCAAAACUUCAAUUCAUCCUUCCACGAGUCCUUAUCAAGUAUGUAUGACAAACGUGGGCCAGGGUAGCAGUGAGUCUAUCCUAUACAUUAGCAACAAUCCUCUCUUCAUCUUUUUUGGCUUUCUCUAUGUAGCUAAGCCUCAUUUUCAGUUUUGUAAGGUAAUGGGAACCCAAUGAACCACUCUCAGUUGAUGUUAAUAACUAUAUUCACUUGAUAUAACAAAAACUGGAGUACCUUCCUAUAGUCGUGAAAAUUCCCAUGGAUAGGCGCCACCUUGCCUUGUGGAAUCAUCCAGACCUCAUCUGACCUUCCAGCUAUUAGAUGCUUAUCGUGACUAAGCUGCUCAAGGUGAAAGGAGGGCUAUUAGCUGUGAAAAUGAUCCAUGGCUGGUCAAAAAUUGAAGUAUUUUGACAACAAAAUCAAUCUUACCAUCUCAAUUGCUCCUUAGAACAAGACCGGACCUUGAAUGAGCACCUCAGCCACAUCCAAAUCCUCCAGUUGUGGAUAGGCAAAACAGCAGAGUCGCACUCACUCAUCCUUGGACAAGAAACUAACAGUUUACAAAGAUAAUUCUUCAGUAGUCACUACUCAUUAAAGCAGAGCUUAAAGACCACAUUUAUAAACAGAGCCCAAUACUACCUACAGGCACAGAUAUCAUAACUCUUUGGUAUUACGGAUUACUCCAAUACGAAAAAACUGAUCAGGCUAACUAUUCUAUUCCAAAUAUUUUCCAAGUUGAAAUGAUUAGAUUGGUUUCUGUUCCAUUAUAAGUUAGAUAUAUGAUGACAGAACAGAGACUCUCUAUAGUUGUUAUCACUAAUUGAUUCUCUUGUAUUUUCAAAGUAACAUCAGAUUCCGAUAAGAACAACAACAGGCUAACUGAAAAAUAUUUUUAAGUCAUAAGGUGGACAAAAAGAGCAGACUUACCAGAUGAUUGGAUGGCUCAUCAAGCAAAACUAUGUGAGGCUUUUUCAAAGUUAUCUUGGCAAAUGCAACUUUGCCUUUCUAAGCACCUAUUUAUAUGGUCAAAGCACCAUGUUACAUGUGCAAUAACAUCCAAAAAGCCUCAGAGUAGUACACAGUGAACUACACUUGAGAUUGCAAAUUGACAUUGGUUGAAGUGCAAGAAGAAUGCCACAUAAGAAGGUAUUUGCAAAUAAAACGACAUGAUGUAUAACAAAAUCAUAUUAUGUAGUGUAGUAAAAGCAAACAACCGAUACUUUAAAGACUUGAAUAGAUUUGCCCUAGAGGUCACUGCUAAUAAUGCAAGCACAAAGGCAGGCAACAUAUCGUUACAAUCUCAACCAAAUAAGCACGAGUAUAUAGGCUAAAAAUUUCUAGCAAGCUGUAAACACAAAUAGAAUGGUGAUCUAUGGAAUAUCAAAGCUAUCAUGAUGGAGUUUUAUUAAAAGCUUGGAGCAAUAAGCUGCCCCAGAAAUGUGUCCCAAAUAGAUUACUUAAUACUACAAAGGAUCAUCAUCAAUAUAAAAAAAAAGGUUCUCGAUUCUAAAGAAAACCAUUAAAAAAACAAUGAAUGAGCUAGGACACAAGAAAAAGAUGGUGGGAAGAGAACAUACAAGAAACGCUGAAAAUGCAAAGACAUAUGAUUCUGGAACGCUAUAAUUCUUCGUGAUAGUGCAUCUUUCUUCACAGUUUGUUUAAGCAUCAAGCAGAGUUGAAGAUAUGCCAUCAAUAUAGCAAGAGGCAGCACUGAGUGAAUUUCGGCCUACAGUUUAUUGUCCAAUGAAACAGAGCCGAUCCAACCCAACAAGAAUGGUUUUUGUUGACCAUGAUAAUAUUUUCAUAAUUAAUUCUCCAAAAUAGUGCCAAAUAGUGAAAAUGGGGAAAAUAUAUUAAUAUAGCUUUCUCACAAAAUAGAUUUGUCUUACAAAAUAAUUUACUGUGCUAAAAUAUUCUUUUGCAAAUGAUUAAAUCAUUUUAGUGUGCAUGCGAAAACUAACUUCGGCGGCAAUAGAGUAUCAAACUUCUAGGGGCACAACAAAUGAACCUAUUGCUAGAACAAAAUGUGCAAAGAAUCAUAAAUUAUACCAAGACUGCAAUCACAACUCAGUUCUUAAGCUAUUGCAAAUGAUACUGUAUGCUCGAUGUCAAAAACUUAGACUCAUCGUUCCACAAGCCCUUGUCAAGUAUAAAUGAUAAAUAAGGGCUGGUGUAACUGUGAGUCCGUCCUGUAUAUCAGCAGCAAUCCUCUCUUCAUCCUUUUUUGCUUUCUCUAUGUAGCUAAGCCUCAUUUUCUGUUUUGUGAGGUAAUGUGAACCCACUGAACCACUCUUAGUUGAUGGCAAUAACUAGAUUCACCUGAUUCAAUAAAAAUAGGAGUACAUUCCUAUAGUCCUAGAAAUUCCCAUGGAGAGGUGCCACCUUGCCUUGUGAAACCACCCAUACCUCAUCCAAGCUUCUAGCUAUUAGAUGCUCAUCGUGACCAACCUGCAAAUCAAGGUGAAAAGAGGGCUAUUAGCUGUGAAAUGAUCCAUCAUUGGUCAAAUUGAAGUAUUUUGACAAGGAAAUCAAUCUCACCAUCAGAAUUAAUCCUUGGAACAAGACCAGACCUUGAAUGAGCGCCUCAGCCACAUCCAAAUCCUACAGGUGUGGAUAGGCAAAAAAAAAAAACAAAAACACUAAUUAUUAGACAAGAAACUAACAAUUUACAAAGACAAUUCUUUAGUCACUGGUCAUUAAAGCAAAACGUAAAGACUGGAUUUACAAACAAAAAGGGGUCCACAUAUUUGUAUGUAAAGCCCAAUACUGCCUAUAGGCACAAAGAUCAGUACCAUUUGGUAUUGUAGAUUGCUCUAUUCCGAAUAUUUUCCACAUUGGAACAAUUAGAUUGGUUUCUGUUUCAUUAUUUGCUAGUGUAUGAUGACAAGGGCUACUAGCAGCCGUGACCACCAUUUGGUUCUACUAUAUUUUUAAUGUAAAAACCAGAUUCUGACAAGUUCAAUUAGUGCAAGAACAAUAACAAGCUAACUGAAAAAGUAAUCAAAGUCAUAAAAUGGAGAAAUAUGAGUAGAACUUACCAAAUGAUAGGAUGGGUCGUCAAGCAAAACUAUGUGAGGUUGCUUGAAAGUUAUCUUGGCAAAUGCAACUUUGCUUUUCUAACCACCUAUUUAUAUGGUCAAAGCACCAUGUUAUAUGUGCAAUAACAUCCAAAAAGCCUUGGAGAAAGUACACAGUGAACUACAAUUCAGAUUACAAAUUAUCUAACUUUUAAUAGAGCUUCACAAUGUCAUAAGAACAUUGCUUCAACAAAAAAUUUAUACAUGCAACACUAGCACAGAGAGAGGAGAUUUACCAUGCAAGAUACAAAUUGGUUGAAAGGUUGAAUCGCAAGAUUUCCAGUUACUCCAAAGGAACCCAUGUCAGCUCGAACAUUUUGUUCUGGAACUCCUUUUGGGAAGAAUGCCACAUGAGAAGGUAUUUUAAGAUACAAUGGCACAAUGUAUGAUGAAAUCAUAUUAGCGAUCAAGUAAAUGGAAAUGCCAACCCAGAGGUCACUGGUGAUAAUGCAAACCCAGAGGCAAGCAGCCUAUCAUCACAAUCUCAACCAAAUAGGCAUAAGUAUAUUUGUUAAAAAUUUCUAGCAAGCUGUGAGCAACAGUUCCUAAACCACUAGAAUUCAAGACCCAACCAGCGAUUUAUGGAAUAUCAAUGCUGUCACGCGAAAGCUUGGAGCCAUGAGCUGCCUCAGAAUUUUAUCCCAGAUUGACUACUUAAUACUAUGAAGAAUCAUCAUAAAAAGAAAAGAAGAAGAAGGUUCCCAAUUCUUAAGAAUACCAUAAAAAUAAAAAACCGUAUCCAUUUUCUUCACAAUCACAUCAUAGCUUCCACAAAACUAAUCAUCCUUUUACAUUUUGAAAAAGAUUUUUUCUUAUUUAGAUCAUCUUCACCAGAAGGAAAAUUCAGAACAUAGCAAUAAAACAAAUAUAUUUAAUUGCUUCUUCCUUUAUUGAUAAAUUGCCAAAAAAAAAAAAAAAUGAAGCAAGACAAUGACACCAACAGCAUUAGCCCUACCUUAGCAACGUUCGCACGUGAUCAUUCCAAGAGAUUCUGCCAAUGCAAGAUCACAAUGGUAUCUGCAAAACAACCAGAGUGAAUGAGCUUAAGGGCCCAAGAAAAAAUAUGUUGGGAAGAGAACAGACAAUAGACGCUGAAGAUGCAGAGGACUAUAAUUGUGGAAUGCUACGAUUCUUCGUGAUGAUGCGAUUUCAUUCACAAAUGGUUUGGGCAUCGAGCAGAAAUGAGGAUAUGUCGUCAACAUAGCAAGAGGCAGCACUGCGAGCGUUUCAUCCUACAGUUCAUCGUCCAAUGAAACAGAGCCAAUCCAACCCAACGCAAUCCCCCACCCAAACAUCAGUUCGUAUUGAGCAUCGAAUUGAGAAAGUAGAAUGGAAAAGGAUGCCUUCAAAACCAAAAAUAACUUACUCAAACCCUAAGAAAACUCACUGUAGUGUAGAUGCACGAAUCAAUUUACUAGAUGUGAACGUCAGGGAUCUCUUCGAUGAGGGGCCAAUAGUCGCCAGUGAGUUUUGCACAUCGCUCUUUCAGAAUCUCGCAUCCAAGUAUCCACAAUCGUUGGAGGGAGGGAGGGAAGCCAUCCUUUGGCAAGUACCUCAACUUGGGGCAAUCUCCAAUCAAUAAACAUCGGAGAGAGGAGAGAUGGUUGCGGAGACCGCUCGAUAGUCUUUCUGUGUUUCUCAAAUCAUAUAUCGAAAGAGAGGUUAGAGAGGAAGGAAAGAGACUCCAAGCAUCCUUAUCCUCCAAAGGAAACCACUCCUUCUCUCCCUCCCCUCCCAUGUUAAACGCAACGGCUAGACUCUCGAGAGAUGUGAGCAUGGGUAAGCCCCACUCUUUCACUGGCUGCUUCAGACCCACGAGCCCCAUAAUUCCAAGGUCUCGCAAUUUGGGAGGCAGACCUCCUUUGGGGAAGGAUUUGAUAUUUUGGCAAUAGAAAAUUGUUAGCUCUUGGAGGGAGGUAAGAUGAUGCCACUUAUUUGGCAGGGACUUUAUCAUCGGACAAGCACUAAGUUUAAGACUCUGCAGGGUGAUGGGAAGGGGUGGGAAGUCCUCUAUCUCCAAUACCGGACACUGCCGUAUUUUCAAUUUAGUGAGAUUGUUACACUUGGCAAUGUUACAGUUGGCAAUAGACUUUAUCUUAGAACAAUGAUUAAGAACAAGACUCGAGAGGGUUACGGGAAGGGGAGGGAAGUCCUCUAUCUCCAGUGCUGGACAAUUAUAAAUAUCCAAUUGAGUGAGAUGGGAGAGCGUGUGAAGGCAUUGUGGUAAGCUUCCCAGAUUUUGACAAUCGUUAAUUGUCAUUGUUUCAAGCGAUUCUACGGCAAUCCCUUCCAACGAUUCCACUCCCUCACAAUUGUCUAUAUGAAGUGCCUUUAGAGGAGCAAGUCUACCCUUGGCAAAUGAAAAGGAUAUUGGAGAAUCAUAAUGAUGUAUCUUAAGAGAUUCAAGUUGAGAAAUCGAAUUAUUGCUACUCAGGUCACCUUGAGGAAUGUUUAGAGCCAUGAUUUUUGGACAAUUCUUAAUCACCAAAUGUUUAAGUGUGUGCAUCUUGCUUGGAAGCUUUUCUAAACUUGUGCAAUUCACCAAUUCCAUCAUUUCAAGAUUACAAGGUAGCUCUAUCUCUCCUUCUCCUACCACAAAAGAUAUGAAUUGAGGACAAUUUUUGAUUACUAAUUCCUGGAGGCAAGUGAGAUUUUGUGUUUCAUCUCCAUCUUGCCACAAGCAUGUUAGUUUGUCACACAGUCCUAUAUGAAGCUUCCUUAGCUUGCCCAAGCAACUCAUAAACCGAUGAUCAAAGGAAACAAGCUCUAUGAGUUUGUUAAUUUUGAGAACUGUCAAAGAAGUUAGCUUGAACAAGCUCUUUAAGAUCUCCUUACUACAAUCCUCAAGGUAUAACUUAUCGAGAGAUGGAAGACAUAACUCACUGGUUGAGUUAUUCAAUUGUUGGCAUGAAUGAAUUUCAAGCUUUAUAAGAUGAUCAAGUUGACAAGGCAAUGUCUCGACCAACAAAGGACAGCUCCGGACAACAAGAUGCUUAAGACAGGAGAAUGGGACUUCUUUUUUUGGGCCCCCCGCAUAAGGAGACCAAUCCUUCCAUGCCAACAUCUCUUCGAACUGCAAAGUAAUUAACGACGAAAAAGGACUAUCACCUCCGUAAAAAUUAGAGCCUAUUAUUCUUACUGCAUUUAGACCUUUAAGAGAUAAUUCUCUCAAUGAAGGUAGUUGUCCAAGUGAAGGCAACAAUGUGACAUAAGGACAGUCCCACAAGCUCAAAGACACUAUCCGAAAAUAGGAUGAACCAUCUAACCAUGAUGGGAAUAUUGCACCGCCAUAGUUCAAAAUAGUGAGAUUUUCAAUAUCAAUGGGAGGUCGCAAAGACUCAAGCACCCAUGAUUCGAGCUUAUCAUUUCGAAGAAUUCCAAAAUCUUUAUCCCAAUCCAAGAAUAAUUUUCUUAGGCCUUGCUUUCCUUCCAAAUUAGCAUCAACAGCAUCUCUAACAUCUUCCACCUUUUGUAAUUUUGAUAUGCAUAAUUCUCCUUGAAGACGUGAUAGGGCCUUUAACUCCUUUAACUUUAGCCAUUUCUCUGUUCCUACCAUAAACUUGGACAAUAUAGUAAGAUUCUUCAAAUUACCGAUACCUAGUGGCAUCUCUUUUAGACUUUGUGUAUCUCUAACAUCAAGAAACUGUAAGCUGACCAACUUUGUGAUACUGUUGGGCAACAUUGAAAGUUUAUGACAAUCUCUUAAGAUCAAAGCUUGUAAUUUGCACAAGUUGCCAAUAGUCUCAGGUAGCCUUUCGAUAUAAGUGUUCGAGAAAUUGAGAUAUCGAAGAUGUUUUAAUUCAUGAACACAAUUUGGUACCUCUACGAUUUUACAAUGACAUAAUGAAAAAACCCUUAGAAACUUCAAGUUUGUUAGCAACUCAUGUAGCACCUUGUCGGAUAUAAGGAGAGAGUUCCCACUAGAUCCAAUACGCACCAAAAUUAAACUUCUUAAUACCUUCAUAUCAUGAUAUGCCCACAAGCAUUUUGAUGUAACAAACCGCGACCAGAUGAAUGAUGCAUAACGAGCUCUCUCCAAAGAUGCAUAAUCUUCAUUAAUUGCCGGUUGAGACUCCCUAGAGCUAAAGCAUAUCCCACCCUCAAUUGACUUUGCUAGAUCAUUCAAAAGAUCAUGCAUUGAAAACUUAGAUGUGUCAACACUUGAUUUUUGAAGAAAUGAUCUUGAUACUAAUUCAUCGAAGUAAUUCCAUCCUAAUUCCAACUUAUUUUUCUUUGUUUUUUGUCCAUCUAAAAAUCCCUCCGCUAUCCAUAAGAGUACUAGCUCAUCCCUCUCAAUUUCGUAAUCCUUAGGAAAUACUGCACAAUAAGAAAAGCAUCUCUUCAAAUAGGAAGGAAGAUGGACGUAGCUCAAUUUCAAAAUAGGGAGAACCUCAUCAUUCUUUGUCGUUGGAAGAUCCCAUAUUAUGUUAUUUAAGGUAUCUUCCCAUUCACUGGGAUUCAUUUUAUGACGUAGGACACCGCUAAACAUCUUCGCUGCCAAAGGUAAACCUUUACAUCUUUUAGCUAUUUUCUUGCCUAUUGUUUCAAAUUCCGGGUGGCUCUUAAAAUUUGUUGCUUCAAGAGCAUGAAAGGCCAAUAAGCUUGUACAAUCAUUGAGGGACAAUUCCUUCAAAGGAAUUGGCGGUGCUUUUGUUACUGAAACAACAGCAUGGUUGCGAGUCGUAAUAAUAAUCUUGCUUCCCCUAGCACCCACUACAAAUGGCUUCAAGAGAUCAGUCCAUUUUUCGUACUUCUCAUUCCAAAUAUCGUCUAGAACCACAAGAAACUUCUUUCCGAAAAGAUUGUCCCUCAACUUAACUUGAAACUCGUUUAGAUCUUUGCCCUCACAGGGCAACCUAGUGAUUGACCGUAAAAUAGUCUUUGUUAUGUCGAGAACAUCAAAAACAUCUGAAACACAAACCCAUGCUCUCAUCUCAAAACAUCUAUUCACUCUUGCAUCAUUAUACAGCUGUUGAGCCAAGGCAGUCUUUCCAAUACCGCCCAUCCCAACUAUGGGGACUAUGCUUAGCGUGGCAUUAGAAUUUUUGACCUCAUUGAUCAAUAGUUCGAGUAUUUGUUCUACAUCCUCCUCCCUACCAAAAAAUUGAGGCUCUGAUAGAGAAGUGGUUAUCCUUUUACUGGUGUAGUUGGAUUUGUCCACAGCAUUCUCUCUCAAGUUUAAAUGAACUUUUCCAGAGACAAUCUCUUCCAACCGGUCAUUGAUCUCUUGUACCUUGGUUUCAGACAUGAGCGAGGGUGGUCGGCCAAAUACAGAGAACUUCCAUUUCCCCAAACAUUUGCUUGUGCUAGAUUCUGCCUCUGACUCAACUUGAGCAGCUUUGAUCUCAAACUCAUCGAGCAAGUCUUCUAUGUCGUAGGCCAAGUCCUUAACCUUGUCCAGCCACAGCUUCACUUGAUGGUUACCACUAAGUUCCUUGUCCUCUACAUCAGCCAACACUGCAUUGAUUAUGACUAGCUUCUCCUUCCACACCUUAGGCAAGGUAGUGCUGAUUCCUUUAUGUUGUGCAUAACCUAAUGUGGAAGAAGCCAACUUGUCGAACAGGACCUGAAAGGAUGAAGCCAAAAAGGAACCCAACACGAUCCCUCCAAUGUCCAUAGGUGAAUCAGUCACUGUAAUGAACAACAAAGGUGUUAUGGUGAAGCAAAGUGAAAAUGAACUAAUGGAGAGAGAAAACUAUGAAGUCCUAGGAACACUGAGAUGAUGACCUACGAAGAAGAUUAUAAAAAAAAAAAAAAAAAGACCAAGACUUUCAAGGGAUGCACAUCAAAAGUUAGACAAAUCAAAAUAAAUACUAUUUGUCCACAAGUGCUAGAUACAUCAAUUACUCUCUUUAUUCUUCGGAUCAAGACUUUUUGGCUAUUGGAUCUUUACUUUUGGCCAUCCAAAACAGAGUCUUAAUAUGACCAACUUAGAGUGUAUGCAUAUUUUUGCCAUAAGUGUUAUCACUCACGAGUGUUUUGUUGACUUCUUUAGCGUUUGUAUAUUCUUAGUAACCUCAUGAUUUCAAUAUAUUUGUUUUCUGCUUUAUUGGUGAAUAUGAGAUUAAUGAAGUCUUUUACAUGGGAGUUUCUAUGCGAAAGAUUCAUAGCAAGAUGGGUGAUAAUGAUUUGUUGAAGUGUGUUGAGGUAGUGGUUGAUAAUCAGGAAUCACCUUGAUAGGAGAAUCGUGAUCCUUUGAACACGAUUAUCAAGUUCAUUAGUGUAAUGGGUAGAGUGUGACAUCCAGUGGAUUAUAUGUUGAUAAUACUGGACUUGUUUACCGUUUACAGAGAAAGCAACUUGCUUGAUGGAUUAGUCGGUGUGCUUAUCCCUUUUUUCUUAUUUAGCGAUGUAUGAAGUUGACCAAGUUAAUAGGAUCAGCAAAUAAGCAUAUUUGUGCAACUUAGUAAAAUAAAUGCUUUUGAAACAUAACAUACUGAGGAUUCGCCCAAUAAUGGCAUCUUAUUUUCUGUUAUACUUAUACAUGUUAUCAAAGACAAUUAACUUUGUCUAUCCACUAAGGAGAAUAGAAACACGUGCUUUAGGCUAAAUAAGGAAAAGGGUCAAGCACACCGACUAAUUAAUUAAGCAACUUGCUUUAUUUUACUCUGCAAAUAAUGAAUAGUCAGAAAUCACCAAAUGACAAUGUAUAAUCUACUGAAAAUUAUACUCUACCAAUGACACCAAUGAACAAGAAAAUCGAGUUCAAAGGACCAUGAUUCUCGCUUCAAGCGAUUCCCCAUCAUCAACUACUAACCCAUCACCUUUCAGCAGAUAUUGCCGCCCAUCUUGCUGCAACUUUUUCUUCUUUUUCUUUUUCUUCACAAGUGCUUGUUCUGUAAUAUUUAGAGAUUAUCCCCAUACAUAUGUAGUAUCCACGAUCAUAUACUUGUUCAUAUAAAAAAAAUCAUAAACUCGGGAAGACCAAAACUUCACUGGGUAUCAUGAACUUUUUUGUCAUGAAAGUGAAGUAUAAAUGAUAAAGAGCUUAUGGGAAAGAAAAUUUAAUAAAAUCGAAGAAGACUAAGACUUACGGAGAUGCAAAUUGGAUUUGUUGCUUCACUUUUCAAAUCCCUCCUCUUCCGUUCCCAUGUGAAUGUCUUUUUUACAUUACUAGUAGUUUUCCACGCGUUACAUCGAUGCCAAUUUUUAUUUUUAUUUGUUUAUGUGUGUGUGAUUGACAAUUAGCAGUGAUUAUUGUUCUCUUGCUCAAAUUGACAAAACUAUAAUUUUAUUCCAACUUUUGUCAUUUUUAAUCAUAUUGUGAUUAAUCAUUCAUUAAUCUCUGUUGUACUUGUCUAUUGGAAUUAUGUCUAGAUUUCCAUUUAUCUUUUCAAAUAUAAGUCUAAUAAAUGGAUAAAUAGCAAGAAGAAAAACUAAAUAAGAAAAACAGCAAAAAACUGAUGAAGAAAAAAAAAAUGCAGGAAUGGGGCGAUAAUACUCUUCGUGACUCAUGGAGAGUUCCACUUCACAUUUUUGUUUUUGUUUUGUUUUUUUAUGAAGAUGCAAUCUAAAUUUAUUAAUAUGCAAGAUAUGAUUUUCCCAAAUUUCCCAAGUUAUAGCAUGUGAUUUAUCAAAGGAAAUGUGCAAAAAAGAGAAUUAACAAUAAUGCACUCCAAAAAGCCUAGAUGCGCAUGAUAAAUGCUUAUCCAUGAAAAUUCUAAGUUUUCUAAUAUAAUUGUCCUGAUACGGAUAUAAUGCAAUUCUAUGCUAAUAUGUAACGAAAAAUCAAAAAAUAAAGGUCUGAGUUUUGGCUGAAAUAAUUAUGCGUGCAGAUGUAUCACCUGAUUAAAACAAAAUUAACAAAUCACCAUUCAUUAUGCAAUCAAGCUGCAACUUUAACCUGACCAGCAAGUAUAUGGCAUCAACUUUGCUAUUAAACUUGCUGCGUCAGUUCAAGGGAAAAAGAGAGCAAGUAGAUAGAUGUCUUUUACCUAUUCCAAGUAGACUUCCUGGAGCUGACCAGGCAAACGAGAUUAGAUCCACAACAGCAAUCCAGCAAGCACGAGCGCUAGGUUUGGCAGUUCACUGUGUACGCGUGCGUAUUCAGCUACGGCAAUGCGUGGUUCGCUGCUUGCAACGACGAACGAUGGUAUUGAUUGAGCGACGACUGGAGAUGGUGGUGAUUGGCGACAAUCGAUAUGCAUGCAAGAAAGAAUUGAAUGAGAGUGGAGUCUGUGGGCGUGAGUUUGAUGAUGAUGGUGGUGGUGGGUGGUGGUGGAUGAAGAAAAAGUGAGGCGGUGCGGUUUUAAAGAAAGAGGCAAGGAGAAUCAAGGAUGAAUUCUGCCGUGUGUGUUUUUCUCUCGGAGGUUCCCAUUUAAUCUUUGCUUUUCUUUUCUUUUUCUUUUUUUUUAUUUGGGGAAUAAAUUCGAACGAACCUAGUCCUAUUUGUCGAAAUUCUGGUAUAGGCUUAUAAAAUGCUUUAAUUCCAAUAAACUUCUUCUUUGGGAGGAAAAUCGGUUCCAGUUUUCCAAAAAUAUAUGAAAACCACUUUUGGGCAGAAGUUAGGUAUUGACAAGUUUUAACAAUUAAAUGAUUAUUCCUAAGCUAUUCAUACUUAUUUUGCGGUAACUCGAGAUUUCUUGCUCUAAUUAGGGCAUGUUUGAUAACGAUUCUGAUUCCGGAAAUAAUUUUUGAUCAGAAAUGGUUUUUUUUUUUUAAUUUCUGUUCCUAAGAACAAUUUCUAAAUACAAGAACGUGCUUGGUAAUUGCACAAAAUUUCCAUUCUUAGGAAAGAAAUGCGUUUGGUGGAAUUGUAUAAUUUUGUUGUUUCUUUUCAUUUUUUAAUAUUUUUAUUAUAUUUUUCCUUUUUUUUCUUCUUCUUUUUUUUUUUUUUUACAAUUCCUCCUUUGUGGCCGGUUGUCAGUGGCCGGCAACUAGCUAGGCAAGGUCCGGCGAGCUCGCCGAAGCCUUGCCAAACCAAGGCGAGGGCCGACGAGCUUGCCGGAGGCUCGCUUGGCCACUGUGAGGCUCGAUCUCACCUUGGCUGGCCGAGCUCAAGCUUGCCCAAAUCUUGUGAGGCUGAGCAUCGCCAUGGCUUGGUGUCGUUGGGGGCUAGCGAUGCUCCAGUGAGAUCGCUGGCCCUCAUUGGCCGGUUGCUGGCCAUGGCCAAGGUUGGCAACCGGCCAAAAGGAAGAAGAAGGAAAUGAAAGAGAAGAAGAGAAAAAAAAAAAUAUUCCCAAGAGCAAGAAGCUAUUUUUUUCUACUUCUUGUUUCUGUUCCAAAUCUAUUCUCGGGAACAAAAAUUUUACCAAACACGUUUCUAUUUUUUUCUGUUCCCUAGAACAAAAGAACAAAAAUAGUUGUUAUGGGGGAAUAGAAACAAUUUUUACCAAACAGGUCCUAAGUUGCUAGAAGAAAGAACCCACCUCGCUAAUAGUAGGCUGACUGACAGUUGACCUACAAAAGCAAGCCCAAAACCCACGAGAUGGCGAGAGAAGGAGAUGAGACGGUUUUGGCGAGACCAAGACAGAGAAGAGACACAACGGCAUCCACGGGAUAGAAAAAAGAGAAAAUUUGAGAGUGCCAUUGGAGAAAGACGAAUGACUAGAGAGACAAAGAGAGAGGGGCCAAAUCUGAGAGUGAGAACUAGAAAAGAAAGCAGAGCUUAAAUAGACAAGAUUUAGGAUUGGUUUUGACCCGGCUCAAAACCAGUUUUCCCCGAGAAUUACCUUUGCAAGGCCGGCUCAUGGGUGUUACAACCAGUUCAUAUUAUGAAACCAAGAAGUGAACCGAUGAAGGCCGAUUCAAAGAAGUUCUAUUUGGAACUAAACUGGCCCCCAUGUGAACGGCCUCAAAAUUAGUCGUGUUCCAUUCAUUUCCCAUAUUGAAUAGGUCCAGUUACUCACCUUUUAUAAAAUGUCAUAAAUGAAGUCUAACGGUAAACAUUGUAAAAUUAAUCAAUUGAUUAGCAGAAUGGGAAGGACCAUCACAAAGCAUAGAGUUCUUUUGAUCUAAAUAAAGUAGAUAUCCCCAUUCCAAGCAAAGCUCUAAUAGGAUUUCGAAAAAAAUAUUUAAAAAUAAGAGAUUUAACAUUUUAAGAUAAAAAGCCUUGUCACCUUUGAAGAUCAUGAGGUCAUUACCUCAAACCUUACCCCACAUCAACUAGUGUUUACGUGUUGAAUCGAAAAAUCAAAAUCGCGGUUAUUUAGUGGAAAAUUUUCAAGCCUUGGUAUGUUCAACAGUUUAUAGUGGAGUCAGAAAGAAAAUGUCCAUCACACAAUGCUGUAUGUCUCUUCUCAGCCUACUCAAAUCCAAUCUAUUUGGACCCCUUAGAGGUUCUAAUUGAGGAGCAGGCAGAAUCAUUCUCCUUGAACAAUGUCAGAAAAAAUGCUCUCAUCUGAUGUGGAUGCCUAACUAACCUUCUUAAUGGUGCAAAUUUUUUAUAUAAUUUGGCCAGGGCAGUUUGUGUUUGAAAUUCGAAGAGAGAAAAAGAAAAAAGAGAGGCGCUUUAAGGUUCUUUUGUGAAGAUGAUCCGUAUGAUUUUACUUGUUCAACUUUUUAUUGUUAGUUUAUGUCACUCACAUCCCGGCUGAAUCGUGGUCCCAACUCCUAACUUCAGCUUUUACAAAAUCCCCCGGAUGUGUAAAAGAGUACAUCCAAUUUAAUAAGUCAGCAAGUUGACAGUGACAAUAUUUUUGUAGAAAAAUUAUAUUAGAUUAAAUUAGAUGAUUAAUUUUUUUUCCAACUUUAUUGUAAAUUUAUAUGGACAAUUAAUGGAAUGGGAAGUGGGAGGGAAUUGAGUUUUGUGAUGACGUGGCCCAUCCAUUAAGUUCCAUUCUUCUUAACUUUCUAUUGUUUAUGUGUGUGGUUUCACCAACGAGACGUUACAAAAUAGAACGAAAAAAGGUAAUCACGAUGGCUCGAAUCAGCUAAAUUGUAUGUAAAUUACUUAUCAAUACUUACGUAUUAUAAAAGAUUCAUAUGUUUCAAGUCAAAAUAUGUAAAAAUGUGUCGGAGACAAGACUAGAAUAAAUAAAAUGUAAAACUCUAUCCAGACAAACUUUCAGGUAUUUUGUUGACAUAUAUGCAAGCGAAGAGCUUGAAAUCCGCUAGAGAUGGUGAAACAUAUCAUUGUCCAUCGAUUUUGGUGUGUUUUCUUCCCCCUUUUCCCCCUUUCCUUACUUUUCAGUUUUCCCUUUCCUGAAGGCGACCAGAAAACACAAAUUUUCCACACUUGCCCUUUCAUAUAAGCUGGACUUAAUCAUAAACUAAAGCAUGCAAAUAUAUAAUGGAGAAGCAAAUAAGGAAUUGAAAAAAAUUGAAGUCAAGAUCUCCUACUUUAAUAUCAUAUAAAAUUUAGUCUCACUAUUGUCAAAACUAAGCUUUCAAAAGUAGAUAUAGUGACGACCAUUUGAAAUUAAGUCCAAAUUUAUGAGUAUUGUCAUGAGCUUCUCUUGUUCAACAUGAGACUAAAGAUUAUGCAAAACAUUUGGCAAGAUGCUUGACCUCAAUUAGCUGUUGGAUCUCAUAACUUCCCUUCCACGUUAGUUGCAUGUCUAACAUUUCUAUGGGUAUCAAUUUAAUUAUAUGUCAUUCCAUUUCUUUCUAACCCUUCCUUGCUCCACUAGGAUUUCGGAAGGAAUUAUGUAACAUAUAAGUACAUAUGUGCCUAAUGAUUCUUCAUAAGAUUAGUAACUUUCUACAAGAAAUUCAACUUUAAUCCAUGACUACUUACUAACUUGAUUACAUUCGUAGUGUUUUGUAGAAAAGAUAACUUUUCUAUGCUGAUUCUUAUCUAUCAACAUAUAAUAAUAAAAAGAAAAGAUAAAUUUUGAACAUAACUGAUGAUAUCUGCUUAACUUUUCUAUGCUGAUUCUUAUCUAUAUUUUCAAAUUUAAGUUUAAGAAAAAAGAGCAAAAAUAAAUAACUGAUAAAAAAAAAUUGCAGGAAUGAGGCGAUGAUACUCUUUGUGACUUGCGGAGUUUCACUUCGAAUUUUUAUUUUAAUUCUUUUAAACAAAGAUUCGAUCUAAAAUUAAAAAUAUGCAAGAUAUACUUUUCCUAGAUUUUCCAAUUUAUAACAUUUGAUUUAUGAGAGGAAACAUGCAAAUAUGACAAUUAAUAAUAAUGUACUCUAAAUGGCCUAGAUGUGCAUGAUAAUGCUUGUCCAUGAAAAUUCUGAGUUUCUAAUAUAAUUGUCCUGAUACUAAUAUAAUGCAAUUCUAUUCAAUAUGUAAUGAAAAAUCAUAAAAUAGAGGUCCAAGUUUGGGCUCAAACAAGUAUGCGUGUAGAGGCAUCACCUUAUUAAAACAACUCAGCCAUAUCAACAAUCAAGCGGCAACUUUAAUCUGGCCAGCAAGUAUUUGACAUCAAAAUCCCUCGAUUUUGUUGUUAAACUUGCUGCAUCAGUUUGAGGGGAAAAGAAAGCAAGUAGAUGGAUAUCUCUUACCUAAUCCAAGUGGACUUCCUGGAGCAGAUUGGUGAACUGGAUUAGAUCGACAACAGCAAUCCAGGAAGCGCGAGAGCUAGGUUCAGACGAGUUGGAGGAGAACACUGUUGAGCAAGGGAACGAGCAUGGGUUAUGGUGAAGCAAAGUGAUAAUGAGCUAGUUGAGAGAGAAUAUUAUAAAGUCUAGGAAGGCCAAAACUUUCACUUACCAAAAACAUUAAACAAAGACCAAGACUUUGAAGGGCACACACCAAUAGUUAGAGGAAUAAAAAUAAAUUUAUUUUUUUUCCAUAGGUGCUUGUCUCCUCAUGUCUAGAGAUUAUCCCAAGAUAUCUUAAAUGAAGACCCAGACUUUUUGUUGCCCAUCUACCAGUCAUCAGAGACAGCUAAUUUUGUCUGAUCAAUAAGGAAAACAUAAGCACGUUCUUUGCACCUAAACAUCUACAAGUCAUGCACACUAACUAAUCCAUAAAGCAACUUGAUUUAUUUUUCUCUGAAAACAGUAAACAAGUUAAAAAAAGCCACCAACGAAUAUUUAUAACCUACUGAAAAUAACUCUUUAAGCAUGACAUUAAUGAACUGGAAAAUCGUGUUCAAUCCCUACGUGGGAAGGAAACUUUAAUGAAACCCAGGAAGUCCAAGACUUUGCAGGAUGCAAACUGGAUUUGUUGCUUGGCUUUUCCCAUCCCUCUUCUUCCAUCCCUAUGUGAAUGUUUUUUUUUUUCCAUUACCAGUAGAAUUUCCAAUCACAUGGAUUCUAAGUGAUUUUUUGUUUGAAUGAAAUAUUAUUUGACAAUUAGUAUUGAUUGUUGUUCUCUUGCUUAAAAUUUACCAUACUACAAUUAUUGUCGAACUUUCUUCAUUUUUAGUCACUCUGAUUUUCCCUUCCUUAAUCUCUAUUGUACCUGUCUUUAUAGUUAUGUCUACAUUUUCGUUUAUCUUUCCAAGCUAAAGUUUAAUAAAAGAAAGAAAAAGAAAAACCUGAAAACCCCCAAAAAAAAAAAAAUGCAAGAAUGGGGCGAGAGAGCGCGCCAUCAAUCCCAUUGUCACGGCCGCACCGUCGUGUUAGCACCACCGCCUGGGCAACUCAUCCAAUGCCGCCACUACUGUCACUGCUGGCGCUUCUAAGCGGAGCAACCAUCACAGGCAAUUGCCUCUGAUUACCUAAUAACUAACCUAAAUAGAUCUAGAGGCGAUUUCAUAAUGUAAAGGAUUAAUUCUAGGGUUAUCAGUUUCUCACGUGCAUCGUGAAAAAUUGGGUUGCACGUGGAGCUCACAUCAUUCAACAGUGAACGUGAAAUGGGCUCACAUACUCCAGGUUAACAUUUGUUACCUUUGUCCGUUGAAUAAGGAAAAGGUAACUUUGUAUGUUCGUGCCCAUUUGAGGAACCGAGGAACUUCUUGUAUUUCCAUAACAUACUCAAGUUAUUUGAUUGUAUUAUUUUCUCAAACGUACGCGAAUUAUUUAUACUGUAGCUAUCAUGUGAAAGCUUGCAUUGAUCACAUAUUCACCAAUAAAGCAUGAAAUAAAGAUAUUGGAACAAGGAUACUGACGAUAUAUGACUACUAAAAGAGCCAGAAAGCCAAUAGUAAUCAACAGAUUUUUGGAGAAAAUACACGUGCACUAUAAGUUGGUCAUAUGGAAAACAAUCACCUCUUAUUUUCUGUUUUGCAUGGCCACAAGAAAAGAUCCCCUAUUUCAAACACAGGCCAAAAGUCUUGAUCCAAAACAGAGGAGAAAAUGUGAUUUUUCUUUACAUGACCAAUUUAGAGUGCAUACGGAUUAUCGUUAAACAUUUAUUACAAGUGUCUCAUUGGCUUUUUUUUUUUUCAUCCAUACAUUCUCGAUGGCCGUAUGUGUUAAUGUCUUUGCUUUAAGCACUAUUGGUGGAUAGGCGAUCAAUAUAGGUCUUUACGUGGCAGUUGCGCGCUGAAAAUUUGCAGCAAUAUGAGCAGCAAUGAUCGGCUGAAGGGGGAUAAGCCAGUAGUGGACGAUAGGGAACCGCUUGAUAAGACAAUUUUGAUCCUUCACAUGAUUUUCCUGGUCAUUAGUGUGAUGCGUAGAGUAUAAUCUCUAGUAGAUUAUACCUUGUUAGUUGGCAAUACUUGACCCUUUUUUAUUUAGCAAUGAAUAAAGCAGACCAUUGUUUAAAGGACCAGCAAAUAAGCAUUUUGUGCAACUGGCGUAGACUACAAUAAGCAUCUUCGGUCAACUUGCAUGGACUAAAAUAAAUAUUUUUGAAAGAUAAAAUAUUAAGGAUCCACAAAACAAUGAAAUCUUACUCUUUAUUAUAAGUCUGCAAAUUACCAAAAACAGCUAAUUUUGUCUGUUCGAUGAGGAGAACGGAAACACAUGUUUUGGGCUAAACAAAAAGGGUUUGGCACACCAGCUAAUCCCUCAAGCAAUAUUUUAGUCCUAAAAUAAUGACAGCCAGCUAAUAUAUCAAGCAAGUUGCUUUAUUUUAGUCCUGAAAUGGUGAACAAGUCGUAAAUCAUCAACUAAUUCAUUAAGCAAGUUACUUUGGGCCAACUUUGUCUGUUCAAAGGACCACAAUUCUUUUAACAAGCAAUUCAUGAUUAUCAACUUCUUUAGCACCCUGCAACGGAUCAUUGCUGCCGAUCUUUCUGCAAUUUUUUUAGCUCUAUAGCUGACAUGUAAGAGCCUAUAACUACAAAAAUAAAUAAUAAUAAUAAUAAUAAUAAUAAUAAUAAUAAUAAUAAUAAUAAUAAUAAUAAUAAUAAUAAUAAUAAUAAUAAUAAUAAUAAUACUAAUAAUAAUAAAAUAACAGCACACUUAGAAGUUAUACUCUUACAAACGAUAGCCAAAAGUCUUGAUAUAGAGAAAAAGGACAAAAUUGAUUUAUCUAACUCAAGGACAUAAUGUGCAUCAAGGUCCUCUCUUCGGUCUAACUCAAACAGCUUGUCGUGAUAAUAUGCUCUAUUAAAAUACUUUUCAUCAGGAAGACCUAGACUUUGAUCGGAUAUCAUGUACAUUAUUAUUUAGAAAGUGAAGCAAAAAUCAGAAAGUGUUGAUCAAAAAGAAAUUUUAAUCAAUUCCAAGAAGAUCAAUAAUUUGGAGGACGCAAAUUGGCAUUAUUGCUUCACUUUUCACAUCCCUCCUCUUGCAUCCCUACGCGAAUGUCUCUUUUUCCAGUACAAAUAGCACUUUCAGGUAUUAUAUGUCUUUCUUAAAGUUAACAAUACUAUAAAUUAGCAUAAGAAGGAAGCCAUGAAAGAACCCGGAACGAUCUCUCUAUAUGUUGUAUUGGUCACUGUUGACACCUAAAUUUUGACGAUUUAGUUUAUUUAUUUAUUACAUAGGAAAUUAGGGGUUAAUUUUAUUAAUUGCAUAGCAUAUAGAUUUAUAUUUGCAUUUAUUUUGUUAUUUGCAUUUUAUCUAUUAGACCGGUGGCGGAUAUAUUCAAAUUAGAUGAAUCUUUUUUGGAUAGGGCAGAUGGAUAAAAAAUAUUGCGAUUUGUCUUUAAAAAAUUUGGAUUUAGAAAAAAUCUCAUCUUGAUCUUGAAUUCUUAUCAAUAUGAGAUGAAUUUUGUUAAAAAGAUUUGCAAGGUUGAUUCGAUGAAGAAUUUGAAAAUCCAAUUCCCUCCCCUAUAAAAGGCCGUGCGUGCGAGGGGUUUUGGGGGGUUCGUUUCUUGCUUUCGAGGGGCUUCUUUAAAAAAUUCAGAAAAAAAGUCAAGAGAGGAGCAAAAAAAGGAAAAAGCUUCUGCAGAAAGGGGGAGAAAAGAGAAGUACAGAGAGAAAGUGACGUGAGAGGAGACAGGAGGAGAGAGAAAGAAAUAAAAAAAGGGGAAGAAAGCACUGUUCUUCUUCUCCGGUGGGCUCGACUGCUGCCCGCGCUCGCUGCUCCUGCUCCGUUCGCCUCGCCCCACCUCCGCCGCACCUCCGAAGCCCGCAACCUGCAGGUCUCUCGCUCGCCAUCACCGAGCACCACCGACGCUGCUCCUGCUCCGUUCGCCUCUGCUCCCGCCGCCGCCGCCGCUUGAAGCCACCGCCGUGCUGCCUCUGGUCCAACGCCUAGCGUUCCCCUCUAUCCGGAGCAAGACCCAAACAGAUCUGUAACCACACAGACCCGAGUCCUCCGCCCGGGCGCCUUUGUUCCACGGGUCCUUGCUGCUCAAGCGCCGCUGCUGCUCCUUCGACGAGCCGCGCCUCCUGGCCCGAGCUGCUGCUUCGCCUACCAACCCAACGACCCACGAUCCACGCUCCAGCUCCGUCGCCCCUGCGAAACUGCUGCUGCCUUGCCGAUCCGCUCCACCGGCCAGACAAAGCCCUUCGCGCCUCAGCCAAUCUCUGUCCCCGAUCUGCCGUGCCGGAGCUGCUGCCCGACGCCGCUGCUCGCCCCCCUCGCCGGUGCCCGAACGUCGGCUGCUUCGCCCGAGCACCCCUGCAACGCUGCUGCCCCUCGCCGGACCUUCGCCGGAGCCGGUGGCCAGCCGCACGGACGUGAAGUUUGAAAGAAAAGAAGAAAAACAGAAAAAGAAAAAGAAAAUCUGAUUAGGUGGUUUUUCCUUCUCUUUUAUUUUACCUUUUUUUUUUAAUAUUCUGUUUUAGUGGAAUUGUUCCUUGAUAUAUUAUUGAUAUCCCAAUAUGAAAUAGUCUAUCAAGCACUAUCAAGCUAGGGAUUGACAGUCCGAUUUUCGCGCCCGAAAUCCGACUCGCAAUCCCUUAUAAAAAUCGACAAUCCAAUCUCAAGCCCGAGAUUUGAUUCGCGAUUUAAAAUUAAAAUUGGUCUACCCGAUCUCAUGCGCGAGAUAUGGUUCGCCAAUUUUUGGAUAUCAAUCUUAUCUUUUAUUUGAUUUGCUAUCGUCAAGUUUGGUUGAGUCAAAUCUUAUUUUCAUAAAAAUAAAAAAUCAAAAAAAUCUUAAUUAGGAUUAGGUUUGUUGUCAUCUUGCAUAUUUAGGAUUGCAAUCUUAUUAUGAAUUUUUUAAAUAAAAAAAUCAAAAAAAAGAAAGUACAAUCAUUUAGGUUGUUAGUUUUUUUAUUUGAAUUGCAUGUUAAUUAUGUGAAAACUUUAAUUUCGAAAUUAAUUAAAAAAAACCCAUAAAAAAUCAUUGUGCAUAUUAGAUUAGAAUUGCAUGCUUCAUUUUAAAUUUAGAUCAUCUUUUUUAAGAUAAAUGGCAUUUUAGAUUUAGAUAAUAUCUUAGUUUAAAUUAGGAUUUAAUAUGACUUAAUCCCUAGUUUAAAUUAGAUAGAAUCUUAAUUUAGCUAGAUCAUUUGAAAUUUCAUAAAAUUUGUCUUAGGAUAAAUUAGUUGCAAUUUCUAAGAUAGAUUGCAUUUUUUAAUAAAAAAUGUCAUAUGCAUAUGUCAUGUAGAAUUAGAGCAUUCUUUGCACGUCAUUGCAUGCUAAGAUUACAUAUUAUAGGUUUAGAUAAUUUCUCCUAAAUAGAUUGCAUGCUUAUUAGGAAAAUAAAAAUCAUGUGCACGUCAUAUAAAAUUAGUCUCAUACAAUGCACGUCAUUUAGUGAUUUUUGUUAAGUGCAUUUAAUUAGAAAUUGCCCGUCAUUAGAAUUAGGUCAUUAGAUUAAUUUAGAUUGCAUAUUUAAAUGUUGCAUUUCUUUAAUUUCAAAUCUCAUAGAAAAUAAAAAAAAUAUAUUUUGAAUAAAUCAUCUCAUGCUUAGGAUAGAUCACAUGCUUAAUUAUGUCAUAUUGCUUAAGUCAUAUAGCUAAGUCAUGUUGCCAUGUCAUAUCAUUUCAUGUUAAAUUAGUGGCAUGCAUUGCAUAUUGCAUGAUUUUCAUUAAUUAAGUGAAAACAAAAAUUAAGUAAUUGCUUGUUAAUUAGAAACCAUAUCUAGGAUUGUUGAUAUGGAUUUUAAUUUAACACUGCAGAUGCUUUCGUUGCUUUGAGGUAAGUUCUGCAUCAUUUAUUUGCUUUAUUGGAUGUUAAAUUGGUGGUUUGCGCACCCGCAUGGUCGCCUCACAUGUUAGGGAAUUAAAAUCAAUUCAAACUGCUUGCCAAACAUUUUUGAAAAUAAAAAGAAUGGUACCGAAAGGGCAUUAGAGAAAUCUAAUGUAAUCAAGUCCCCGUACCCAUAAUCUCUGGUUCGUAGAAGUAAAAUAAUUCUCUCAUUAUUUUACUUAGGUGUCUAAUCGACCUACCAAAAAUAGAUUAGUGGCGGCUCCUAAUUGAAAAUCAAUUGCAUGUUAUAAACUUGAACCUAAGUCGCGAAUUGGUAUGGGCUUGGGAGAGCCCGAGUUAAGUCUAGGCUUAACAAUCCAUUAGCCAAACCCUAGGUGGUUCGUAACCCAAAAAAAAUUUGGUCGCGACAGUCACUGAAGAAAACGACAAGGUAUAUGGUGAAGGUAGGUGAUAAUGAGCCUAUGGAGAGAGAAAACUAUAGAGUGCAAGAUGACCAAAACUUUUACCGACCAAAAAGAUUAAAAAGAGACCAAGACUUUCAAGGACGUACAUAAGAGGUUAGACAAAUCGAAGUAAAAUAUUUUCUCUCCACAAGUGCUUAUUUCAUGAAUUGUUCGCCUUUUUCUUCAUAUCAAGAUUUUUUUUUUGUUUUUUUUAAUAUGACCAAGUCCACGCAUGUUUUCUUUCCUAACCUGUGUUUUGUUGGCUUUUUGGCUUUGAAUGCAUCUGUAAAUUUCUAGCAUCCUAAUGAUUUCUACAUAUCGUUGAAUAUGCAAUCAACGUGGGCUUUUUCGUGGCCGUUACAGCCCUAAAAAGUCCCAAAUGUUUAAGAAAACAAUUACCUUGAGUAUAUUAUGGAUAAAUAAGAAGGUGCUCGAUUAGUCCUUUAAUGUGGACGAACAUGUAAAGUUCUUGCCGAAAGAUUAGCAAAUAUUUUAGCGGUGAAGGAAGCCAACCAUCAUAAUUGGGACUGGCAAAUGAGCAUCUUUGUACUGAUUGCACUAACUGAAUCUUCAGAUAAACAUUUUGAAAGAUACGCCAAGCAAUGGCAGCUUAGUUUUUGUUAUACAUCUACAAGUCAUCAUGGGCGGUUAACGUUGUGUGUUGGAUAAGGAAAAUAGAAAUAAUUGCUUAAGGAAAAGUAAACAUUAAAAUAACAUAAAUUUAGUUCUACAGAUCUUCACAUUUUGUCAAUUGAGUUUAUCUAGUCAAUUUUGGUCGGAAAUCGCUUAUGUGGAUAUCGGUUGUCCUACAUGACAUGACGGGUUUUGAUGUAGGUAAUUAAUAUAUUAAUAUUUUUUGAAAGUCUUUUUUAUUUUUUUUCCUUUUCUCUUCUUUUUUUUUUCGUUUUUUUUCCCUUUCAUUGACCAUCAAUGAGGCGAUGGCCGGCUAAUGGAAAAAGGGAAAAAGAAAAAAAAAGAAAAAAAAAGGUAAAAGAGAAGAAAAUAAAAAAAAUAAAGAAGGAAAAUAUAAGAGAAGAAAAAAGGAAAAAGAAAACAAAUGAAUAAAAAAGGGAAAAUUCCAAACAAUGGCCUAAAGUGCUAACAGUUUCUCAAAUAAGAGUUUAAAAUGGAUUUUGUGUCAAAUAAAAACCUGAAGUGACCAUAAUUGUUUCAAAUAUGGGCUUGAAAUAGCCAUGAUUAUUUUAAAUAAGGGUCUGACCAUGUCAAUUGCUAGCCAGCUUUGUAUUUUGACCGAUUAAAGGGCGCAUUCAUCUAAAAAUUUUACUUUAAAUUAUUCUUAUUCUCUUAUUUUUCUUUUUCUUUUUUCUUUUUAUAUUUUCAAACAAGGGCCGCACGACCGCUAACGAGGGUCAGCGAGGGUUACAUGGCCCUUAGCGACAGCUUGUAAGGGCUGGUGAGGGCUUGACGAGCCUUGUCGACCUCACUUGAGGCAAGGGUCGCCUCACCUAGGCAAGGCCAUCCCUCAUUGGCCACUAGUGAGGGCUGACCUUGUCAACAGUUGCCCUUGCCUAUGGUCGGUGAGGGUGGCCCUCAUCUAGCUCUCUCCAAGCAUUGCUAGUGCCUGGCCGGCCACCAACGAAGAAGAAAGAAAAACUAGAAAAAGGAAAAAAAAAUAAGGAAAAAAUUCAAAAAAUAUAGAUGAUGAAAAUGCCUUUAAGUAACUAAACAGUGAAGCUCUUAUUUGAAAUAGAUAUAGCCAUUUCAUGCCCUUAUUUGAGAAAACGAUGGCGCUUCAAGUCUUUGUUUGAAACAAAGUUCACUUCAGACUCUUAUUUGAGAAAAUGAAGGUAUUUCAGGCCCUUAUUUAGAAUUUUCCCAAAAAUAUAUUAAAUAAUAUUAAAAUUGAUUGCGUCAAUGCUAAUUGUCUUGCCACAUAAGACAGCUGGUGUCAAUAUCUAUGAUUUCAGAUUAAAAUUGGGAAGAUGGAUUUAAUUAACAAAAUGUGAAAAGAUUAAUGAUUCAAUUGACACAAUUUUGACAAAAAAGAAUUGACUUAAUCAAAAAAAUUAUAAUUGAAUUGGGAAAAAGUACAAUAAAUUUAGGAAUUUGAAUAAUUUUCCCCCACCAACUAAUCCAUUGAGCAACUUGCUUUGCAAUACUGAAUGAGUUAAAAAUCACCAACUAAUACCAUAUAAUAUAUAGAAAGUUACACUACACAUCACACACAUAUAAUAUACCUGCCACACCAAACGACCAUAGAUUAAACAAAGCAAACAAAAUAAAAUACUUUCUGUGCACAACUGUUUGUUAUGUAAUAUUCGGAGAAUAUCCCCCAAAGACUUUAUUGGAUAUCCUGUGCUAUCUUGUCUGGAAAUUUCUACGCCUAACAUGUGAAGCAAAAGUGAAGCACUUAAAGAAAGACUAACAAUUGGCUCAAAAAAAAAAAGAAAAAAAGAAAGAAAGAAAGACUACCAAUUGAAAAGAAACUUUAAUCAAUUCCACAAAGAUCAAGAGAUUGCAUGAUGCUGCUUUACUUUUCGCAUCCCUUCUUUACCAUUCCUAUGUGAAUGUCUCUUUUUCCAAUACUAGCAGAAUUUUCACGUAUUACAUAUAAUUAACAAUACUAUUUCCAUGAGACUCUUUCCGUGUUUAAUCACGUUGGGGUUUUUUAUUCAUUACUCUCUAUUGUGCAUGUCUAUUGAAAUUAUGUCUAGGUUUCCAUAAGUUCGAUAAAAUAAAAAUGGCAUAAAGAGAAACGAAGAAGACAAAACAGCAAAAACUUUGAAAAAAAAUAUUAGGAAUGGGGCGACCGAGAGAGCGCCACCGAUCCCACGGCCAUUGCCACGCUGUGGUCAUCAACACCACCGCCAGGACAACUUAUUCCAACACCGUUGCUGCUGGCACUACUAGCUGGACUAAUCAUCUCACAUUUAAUUUAAUUACCCAAUUACUAACCUGACUCCAUCUAUAGGGAAAUUUUCAUUGUAAAUAAUGAAUUUUAGGUUCAUGAUUUUUCCGCUGCACUUUGAAAAGUUAGCUUUCACAAGGAGCCCACACCAUCCGAUGGUCGAUUUGAGCCGAGCUCAAAUGCUCAGGGUUCAUUCAUUAGUUUCCCCUCAUCCCGCGUCUAAGACUUUACAGGCCGCCACCAUGAAAAAAAAAAAUGGGUUUAGGCCCAAGAGACCCAAUUGGGCCAAUUCUCAUUUUAUCCCAUGAAGCUCCAUCUUAGAAGCCCAACGGACUAACUUCCUCCAGCUUAUUUAUAAAUGUUGGAGCUAGCUUAACAGGAGAAAGUAGAAUAGUUAUGAGAGAGAGAAGAAUCCAGAAAACUGGAAAAGAGAAGUAAACCCCGCGCGCGCGCGCGAGUGAGAGAGGGUUUAGGUAAUCUUUUUUGGGCUUUCUCUAUGUAGCUAAGCCUCAUUUUCAGUUUUGUAAAGGAUAUGGGAACCCAAUGAACCACUCUCAGUUGAUGGUAAUAACUAGAUUCACCUGAUAUAACAAAACUUGUAGUACCUUCCUAUAGUCCUGAAAAUUCCCAUGGAUAGGUGCCACCUUGCCUUGUGGAAUCAGCCAGACCUCAUCUGAGGUUCCAGCUAUUAGAUGCUUAUUGUGAAUAAGCUGCAAAUCAAGGUGAAAGAAGGGCUAUUAGUUGUGAAAAUGAUCCAUGGUUGGUCAAAUUGAAGUAUUUUGACCACAAAAUCAAUCUCACCAUCUCAAUUGCUCCUUAGAACAAGACCAGACCUUGAAUGAGCACCUCAGCCACAUCCAAAUCCUCCAGUUGUGGAUAGGCAAAACAGCAGAGUCGCACUCAAUCAUCCUUGGACAAGAAACUAACAAUUUACAAAGAUAAUUCUUCAGUAGUCACUACUCAUUAAAGCAGAGCUUAAAGACCACAUUUAUAAACAAAGCCCAAUACUACCUACAGGCACAGAUAUCAGAACUCUUUGGUAUUACAGAUUACUCCAAUACGAAAAAACUGAUCAGGCUAACUAUUCUAGUCCAAAUAUUUUCCAAGUUGAAAUGAUUAGAUUGGUUUCUGUUCCAUUAUAAGUUAGAUAUAUGAUGACAGAAUAGACGCUCUCUAUAGUUGUUAUCACUAAUUGAUUCUCUUGUAUUUUCAAUGUAACAUUAGAUUCCAAUAAGUUCAAUUAGUGCAAGAACAACAACAGGCUAAAUGAAAAGUAUUUGGAGUCAUAAGGUGGACAACAAGAGCAGACUUACCAGAUGAUUGGAUGGCUCAUCAAGCAAAACUAUGUGAGGCUUUUUCAAAGUUAUCUUGGCAAAUGCAACUUUGCCUUUCUGUGCACCUAUUUAUAUGGUCAAAGCACCAUGUUACAUAUGCAAUAACAUCCAAAAAGCCUCAGAGUAGUACACAGUGAACUACUUGCAAAUUGACUAACCUCUAUUAGGGCUUCACAAUGUCAUAAAACAAUUGCUUCAAAAAUAAUUUACAUAUGCAACUGUAGCGGAGAGGGAGGCAAUGUAUCAUAAAGGUAUACAUUGGUUGAAGUGCAAGAUGUCCAAUUACACCAAAGGAACGCAAGUGAGCUCGAAGCUUUUCAAUUGAAAAUCCCUGCAAGAAGAAUGCUACAUAAGAAGGCAUUUGCAGAUAAAACGACAUGAUGUAUAACAAAAUCAUAUUCCGCAAUGGAGUAAAUGCAAACAACCAAUACUUUAAAGACCUGAACAGAUUUGCCCCAGAGGUCACUACUAAUAAUGCAAACACAAAGGCAGGCAACAUAUCGUUACAAUCUCAACCAAAUAAGCACGAGUAUAUAGGCUAAAAAUUUCUAGCAAGCUGUAAACACAAACAGAAUGGUGAUCUAUGGAAUAUCAAUACUAUCAUGAUGGAGUUGUAUUAAAAGCUUGGAGCAAUAAGCUGCCCCAGAAAUGUGUCCCAAAUAGAUUGCUUAAUACUACAAAGGAUCAUCAUCAAUAAAAAUAAAAAAAUAAAAAAGGGUUCUCGAUUCUAAAGAAAACCAUUGAAAAAAAAAACAAUGAAUGAGCUAGGACACAAGAAAAAGAUGGUGGGAAGAGAACAUACAAGAAACGCUGAAAAUGCAAAGACAUAUGAUUGUGGAACGCUAUAAUUCUUCGUGAUAGUGCAUCUUUCUUCACAGUUUUUUUAAGCAUCAAGUAGAGUUGAAGAUAUUCCAUCAAUAUAGCAAGAGGCAGCACUGAGUGAAUUUCGACCUAAAGUUUAUUGUCCAACGAAACAGAACUGAUCCAACCCAACAAGAAAUCCCACUCAAAUGUCAGUCUUUGACUUUCAGUGGUAGAGCUUGCCUACAUCCUAAGAAUGGGUUUUGUUGGCCAUGAUAAUAUUUUCAUAAUUAAUUCUCCAAAAUAGUGCCGAAUAGUGAAAAUGGGGAAAUAUAUUGAUAUAGCUUUCUCACAAAAUAGAUUUGUCUUACAAAAUAAUUUACUGUGCUAAAAUAUUCUUUUGCAAAUGAUUAAAUCAUUUUAGUGUGCAUGAGAAAACUGACUUCGGUGGCAAUAGAGUAUCAAACUUCCAGGGGCACAACAAAUGUACCUAUUGCUAUAACAAAAUGUGCAAAGAAUCAUAAAUUAUACCAAGAUUACAAUCACAACUCAGUUCUUAAGCUAUUGCAAAUGAUACUGUAUGCUGUCAAAAACUUAGACUCAUCGUUCCACAAGCCCUUGUCAAGUAUAAAUGACAAAUGAGGGCUGGUGUAACUGUGAGUCUGUCCUGUAUAUCAGUAGCAAUCCUCUCUUCAUCCUUUUUUGCUUUCUCUAUGUAGCUAAGCCUCAUUUUUUGUUUUGUGAGGUAAUGUGAACCCACUAAACCACUCUUAGUCGAUGGCAAUAACUAGAUUCACCUGAUUCAAUAAAAAUAGGAGUACAUUCCUAUAGUCCUAGAAAUUCCCAUGGAGAGGUGCCACCUUGCCUUGUGAAACCACCCAGACCUCAUCCAAGAUUCUAGCUAUUAGAUGCUCAUCAUGACCAACCUGCAAAUCAAGGUGAAAAGAGGGCUAUUAGCUGUGAAAUGAUCCAUCAUUGGUCAAAUUGAAGUAUUUUGACAAGGAAAUCAAUCUCACCAUCAGAAUUAAUCCUUGGAACAAGACCAGACCUUGAAUGAGUGCAGAAUUAAUCCUUGGAAUCNNNNNNNNNNNNNNNNNNNNNNNNNNNNNNNNNNNNNNNNNNNNNNNNNNNNNNNNNNNNNNNNNNNNNNNNNNNNNNNNNNNNNNNNNNNNNNNNNNNNGAAUUGGAAAAAAAAAAAAACAAAACACUAUCAUUAGACAGAACUACAAUUACCAAGAUAAUUCUUUAGUCACUGGUCAUUAAAGCAAACUUAAAGACCAGAUUUACAAACAAAAAGGGGUCCAGAUAUUUGUAUGUAAAGCCCAAUACUGCCUAUAGGCAUAAAGAUCAGUACCAUUUGGUAUUGUAGAUUGCUCUAUUCUGAAUAUUUUCCACAUUGGAACAAUUAGAUUGGUGUCUGUUCCAUUAUUUGCUAGAUGUAUGAUGACGAGGGCUACCAGCAGCUAUGACCACCAUUUGGUUCUACUAUAUUUUUAAUGUAAAACCCAGAUUCCGACAAGUUCAAUUAGUGCAAGAACAAUAACAAGCUAACUGAAAAAGUAAUCAAAGUCAUAAAAUGGAGAAAUAUGAGUAGAACUUACCAAAUGAUAGGAUGGGUCGUCAAGCAAAACUAUGUGAGGUUGCUUGAAAGUUAUCUUGGCAAAUGCAACUUUGCUUUUCUAACCACCUAUUUAUGUGGUCAAAGCACCAUGUUAUAUGUGCAAUAACAUCCAAAAAGCCUUGGAGAAAGUACACAGUGAACCACAAUUCAGAUUACAAAUUAUCUAACUUUUAACAGAGCUUCACAAUGUCAUAAGAACAUUGCUUCAACAAAAAAUUUAUACAUGCAACACUAGCACAGAGAGAGGAGAUAUACCAGGCAAGAUACAAAUUGGUUGAAUCACAAGAUUUCCAGUUACUCCAAAGGAACCCAUGUCAGCUCAAACAUUUUGUUAUGGAACUCCUUUUGGGAAGAAUGCCACAUGGUCACCGCUGAUGAUGGAAACCCGAAGGUAGGCAGCCUAUCAUAACAAUCUCAACCAAACAAGCAUAAGUAUAUUUGCUAAAAAUUUCUAGCAAGCUGUGAGCAACAGUUCCUAAACCACCAGAAUUCGAGACCCAACCAGAAAGCGAUUUAUGGAAUAUCAAUGCUGUCACGUGAAAGCUUGGAGCCAUGAGCUGCCUCGGAAUUUUAUCCCAGAUUGACUGCUUAAUACUACAAAGAAUCAUCAUAAAAAAGGAAGAAGAAGGUUCCUAUUCUUAAGAAAUCCAUAAAAUGAAAAAACCGCAUCCAUUUUCUUCACAAUCACAUCAUAGCUUCCACAAAACUAAUCAUCCUUUUAGAUUUUGAAAAAGAUCUGUUCUUAUUUAGAUCAUAUUCACCAGAAGGAAAAUUCAGAACGUAGCAGUGCAACAAAUAUAUUUAAUUGCUUCUUCCUUUAUUGAUAAAUUGCAAAAGAGAAAAAAAAAAACGAAGCAAGACAAUGACACCAACAGCAUUAGCCCUACCUUAGCAGCGUUCGCACGUGAUCCUUCCAAGAGAUUCUGCCAAUGCAAGAUCACAAUGGUAUCUGCAAAACAAGCAGAGUGAAUGAGCUUAAGGGCCCAAGAAAAAAUAUGUUGGGAAGAGAACAGACAAUAGACGCAGAAAAUGCAGAGGACUAUGAUUGUGGAAUGCUACGAUUCUUCGUGAUGGUGCGAUUUCAUUCACAAAUGGUUUGGGCAUCGAGCAGAAAUGAGGAUAUGUCGUCAACAUAGCAAGAGGCAGCACUGCGAGCGUUUCAUCCUACAGUUCAUCGUCCAACGAAACAGAGCCAAUCCAACCCAACGCAAUCCCCCACCCAAACAUCAGUUCGUAUUGAGCAUCGAAUUGAGAAAGUAGAAUGGAAAAGGAUGCCUUCAAAACCAAAAAUAACUUACUCGGACCCUAAGAAAACUCACUGUAGUGUAGAUGCACGAAUCAAUUCACCGGAUGUGAACGUGAGGGAUCUCUUCGAUGAGGGGCCAAUAGUCGCCAGUGAGUUUUGCGCAUCGCUCUUUCAGAAUCUCGCAUCUAGGUAAGUACAAUCGUUGGAGGGAGGGAGGGAAGCCAUCCUCUGGCAAGUACCUCAACUUGGGGCAAUCUGUAAUAAAAAACAAUCGAAGAGAGGAGAGAUGGUUGCAGAGACCGCUCGAUAGUCUUUCUGUGUUUCUCAAACCAUAUAUGAGAAGAGAGGUUAGAGAGGAAGGAAAGAGACUCCAAGCAUCCUUAUCCUCCGAAGGAAACCACUCCUUCUCUCUCUCCCCUUCCAUGUUAAAAUCAAUGGUCAGACUCUCGAGAGAUGUGAACAGGUGUAAGCCCCACUCUCUCACUGGCUGCUUCAGAGCCACGGGCACCAUAAUUCCAAGGUCUCGCAAUUUGGGAGGCAGACCUCCUUUGGGGAAGAAUUUGAUAUUUUGGCAAUAGAAAAUUCUUAGCUCUUGGAGGGAGGUAAGAUGAUGCCACUUAUUUGGCAGGGACUUUAUCAUCGGACAAUCCCAAAGUUCAAGACUCUGCAAGGUGAUGGGAAGGGGUGGGAAGUCCUCUAUCUCCAAUACCAGACACUGCCAUAUUUUCAAUUUAGUGAGAUUGUUACACUUGGCAAUGUUACAGUUGGCAAUAGACUUUAUCUUAGAACAAUGAUUAAGAGCAAGACUCGAGAGGGUUACGGGAAGGGGAGGGAAGUCCUCUAUCUCCAAUGCUGGACAAUUAUCAAUAUCCAAUCGAGUGAGAUGGGAGAGCGUGUGAAGGCACUGUGGUAAGCUUCCCAAAUUUUGACAAUUGUUAAUUGUCAUUGUUUCAAGCGAUUCUACGGCAAUCCCUUCCAAUGACUCCACUCCCUCACAAUUGUCUAUAUGAAGUGCCUUCAGAGGAGCAAGUCUACCCUUGGCAAAUGAAAAGGAUAUCGGAGAAUCACAGCAACAUAUCUUAAGAGAUUCAAGUUGAGAAAUCGAAUUAUUGCUACUCGAGUCACCUUGAGGAAUGUUUAGAGCCAUGAUUUUUGGACAAUUUUCAAUCACCAAAUGUUUGAGUGCGUGCAUCUUGCUUGGAAGAUUUUCUAAACUUGUGCAAUCAACCAAUUCCAUCAUUUCAAGAUUACAGGGUAGCUCUAUCUCUCCGUCUCCUGCCACAAAAGAUAUGAAUUGAGGACAAUUCUUUAUUACUAAUUCCUGGAGGCAAGUGAGAUUUUGUGUUUCAUCUCCAUCUUGCCACAAGCAUGUUAGCUUGUCACACAGUCCUAUAUGAAGCUUCCUUAGCUUGCCCAAGCAACUCAUAAACCGAUGAUCAAAGGAAACAAGCUCUAUGAGUUUGUUAAUUUUGAGAACUGUCAAAGAAGUUAGCUUGAACAAGCUCUUUAAGAUCUCCUUACUACAAUCCUCAAGGUAUAACUCAUCGAGAGAUGGAAGACAUAACUCACUGGUUGAGUUAUUCAAUUGUUGGCAUGAAUGAAUUUCAAGCUUUAUAAGAUGAUCAAGUUGACAAGGUAAUGUCUCGACCAGCGAAGGACAGNNNNNNNNNNNNNNNNNNNNNNNNNNNNNNNNNNNNNNNNNNNNNNNNNNNNNNNNNNNNNNNNNNNNNNNNNNNNNNNNNNNNNNNNNNNNNNNNNNNNNNNNNNNNNNNNNNNNNNNNNNNNNNNNNNNNNNNNNNNNNNNNNNNNNNNNNNNNNNNNNNNNNNNNNNNNNNNNNNNNNNNNNNNNNNNNNNNNNNNNNNNNNNNNNNNNNNNNNNNNNNNNNNNNNNNNNNNNNNNNNNNNNNNNNNNNNNNNNNNNNNNNNNNNNNNNNNNNNNNNNNNNNNNNNNNNNNNNNNNNNNNNNNNNNNNNNNNNNNNNNNNNNNNNNNNNNNNNNNNNNNNNNNNNNNNNNNNNNNNNNNNNNNNNNNNNNNNNNNNNNNNNNNNNNNNNNNNNNNNNNNNNNNNNNNNNNNNNNNNNNNNNNNNNNNNNNNNNNNNNNNNNNNNNNNNNNNNNNNNNNNNNNNNNNNNNNNNNNNNNNNNNNNNNNNNNNNNNNNNNNNNNNNNNNNNNNNNNNNNNNNNNNNNNNNNNNNNNNNNNNNNNNNNNNNNNNNNNNNNNNNNNNNNNNNNNNNNNNNNNNNNNNNNNNNNNNNNNNNNNNNNNNNNNNNNNNNNNNNNNNNNNNNNNNNNNNNNNNNNNNNNNNNNNNNNNNNNNNNNNNNNNNNNNNNNNNNNNNNNNNNNNNNNNNNNNNNNNNNNNNNNNNNNNNNNNNNNNNNNNNNNNNNNNNNNNNNNNNNNNNNNNNNNNNNNNNNNNNNNNNNNNNNNNNNNNNNNNNNNNNNNNNNNNNNNNNNNNNNNNNNNNNNNNNNNNNNNNNNNNNNNNNNNNNNNNNNNNNNNNNNNNNNNNNNNNNNNNNNNNNNNNNNNNNNNNNNNNNNNNNNNNAAACUUCAGUUUGUCAGCAACUCAUGCAGCACCUUGUCGGAUAUAAGGAGAGAGUUCCCACUAGAUCCAAUACGCACCAAAAUUAAACUUCUUAAUACCUUCAUAUCAUGAUAUGCCCUCAAGCAUUUUGAUGUAACAAACAGCGACCAAAUGAAUGAUGCAUACCGAGCUCUCUCCAGAGAUGCAUAGUCUUCAUUAAUUGCCGGUUGAGACUCCCCAGAGCUAAAGCAUAUCCCACCCUCAAUUGACUUUGCUAGAUCAUUCAAAAGAUCAUGCAUUGAAAAUUUAGAUGUGUCAACACUUGAUUUUUGAAGAAAUGAUCUUGAUACUAAUUCAUCGAAGUAAUUCCAUCCUAAUUCCAACUUAUUUUUCUUUGUUUUUUGUCCAUCUAAAAAUCCCUCCGCUAUCCAUAAGAGUACUAGCUCAUCCCUCUCAAUUUCGUAAUCCUUAGGAAAUACUGCACAAUAAGAAAAGCAUCUCUUCAAAUAGGAAGGAAGAUGGACGUAGCUCAAUUUCAAAAUAGGGAGAACCUCAUCAUUCUUUGUCGUUGGAAGAUCCCAUAUUAUGUUAUUUAAGGUAUCUUCCCAUUCACUGGGAUUCAUUUUAUGACGUAGGACACCGCUAAACAUCUUCGCUGCCAAAGGUAAACCUUUACAUCUUUUAGCUAUUUUCUUGCCUAUUGUUUCAAAUUCCGGGUGGCUCUUAAAAUUUGUUGCUUCAAGAGCAUGAAAGGCCAAUAAGCUUGUACAAUCAUUGAGGGACAAUUCCUUCAAGGAAUUGGCGGUGCUUUUGUUACUGAAACAACAGCAUGGUUGCGAGUCGUAAUAAUAAUCUUGCUUUCCCUAACACCCACUACAAAUGGCUUCCAGAGAUCAGUCCAUUUUUCGUACUUCUCAUUCCAAAUAUCCGUCUAGAACCCCAAAAAACUUCUUUUCGAAAAGAUUGUCCCUCAACUUAACUUGAAAACUCGUUUAAAAUCUUUGCCCUCACAGGGCAACCAAUUGAUUGACCGUAAAAUAAUCUUUGUUAUGUCGAGAANNNNNNNNNNNNNNNNNNNNNNNNNNNNNNNNNNNNNNNNNNNNNNNNNNNNNNNNNNNNNNNNNNNNNNNNNNNNNNNNNNNNNNNNNNNNNNNNNNNNUUUCCAAUACCGCCCAUCCCAACUAUGGGGACUAUGCUUAACGUGGCAUUAGAAUUUUUGACCUCAUUGAUCAAUAGUUCGAGUAUUUGUUCUACAUCCUCCUCCCUACCAAAAAAUUGAGGCUCUGAUAGAGAAGUGGUUAUCCUUUUACUGGUGUAGUUGGAUUUGUCCACAACAUUCUCUCUCAAGUUUAAACGAACCUUUCCAGUGACAAUCUCUUCCAACCGGUCAUUGAUCUCUUGUACCUUGGUUUCAGACAUGAGCGAGGGUGGUCGGCCAAAUACAGAGAACUUCCAUUUCCCCAAACCUUUGCUUGUGCUGGAUUCUGCCUCUGACUCAACUUGGGCAGCUUUGAUCUCAAACUCAUCGAGCAAGUCUUCCAUGUCAUAGGCCAAGUCCUUAACCUUGUCCAGCCACAGCUUCACUUGAUGGUUACCACUAAGUUCCUUGUCCUCCGCAUCAGCCAACACUGCAUUGAUUAUGACUAGCUUCUCCUUCCACACCUUAGGCAAGGUAGUGCUGAUUCCUUUAUGUUGUGCAUAACUUAAUGCGGAAGAAGCCAACUUGUCGAACAGGACCUGAAAGGAUGAAGCCAAAAAGGAACCCAACACGAUCCCUCCAAUGUCCAUAGGUGAAUCAGUCACUGUAAUGAACAAGAAAGGUGUUAUGGUGAAGCAAAGUGAAAAUGAACUAAUGGAGAGAGAAAACUAUGAAGUCCUAGGAACACUAAGAUGAUGACCUACGAAAAAGAUUUUAAAAAAAAAGACCAAGACUUUCAAGGGAUGCACAUCAAAGGUUAGACAAAUCAAAAUAAAUACUAUUUGUCCACAAGUGCUAGUUACAUCAAUUACUCUCUUUAUUCUUCGGAUCAAGACUUUUUGGCUAUUGGAUCUUUACUUUUGGCCAUCCAAAACAGUCUUAAUAUGACCAACUUAGAGCCAACUUAGAGUGUAUGCAUAUUUUCGCCAUAAGUGUUAUCACUCACGAGUGUUUUGUUGGCUUUUUUAGCGUUUGUAUAUUCUUAGUAACCUCAUGAUUUCAAUGUCAUUGUUUUCUGCUUUAUUGGUGAAUAUGAGAUUAAUGAAGUCUUUUACAUGGGAGUUUCUAUGUGAAAGAUUCAUAGCAAGAUGGGUGAUAAUGAUUUGUUGAAGUGUGUUGAGGUAGUGGUUGAUAAUUAGGAAUCACCUUGAUAGGAGAAUCGCGAUCCUUUGAACACGAUUAUCAAGUUCAUUAGUGUAAUGGGUAGAGUGUGACAUCCAGUGGAUUAUAUGUUGUUAAUACUGGACUCAUUUACCAUUUACAGAGAAAGCAACUUGCUUGAUGGAUUAGUUGGUGUGCUUAUCCCUUUUUUUCUUAUUUAGCGAUGUAUAAAGUUGACCAAGUUAAUAGGAUCAGCAAAUAAGCAUAUUUGUGCAACUUAGUAAAAUAAAUGCUUUUGAAACAUAACAUACUGAGGAUUCGCCCAAUAAUGGCAUCUUAGUUUCUGUUACACAUAUACAUGUUAUCAAAGACAAUUAACUUUGUCUAUCCACUAAGGAGAAUAGAAACACGUGCUUUAGGCUAAAUAAGGAAAAGGGUCAAGCACACCGACUAAUUCAUUAAGCAACUUGCUUUAUUUUACUCUGCAAAUAAUGAAUAGUCAGAAAUCACCAAAUGACAAUGUAUAAUCUACUGAAAAUUAUACUCUUCCAAUCACACCAAUGAACAAGAAAAUCGAGUUCAAAGGACCAUGAUUCUCGUUUCAAGCGAUUCCCCAUCAUCAACUACUAACCCAUCACCUUUCAGCAGAUAUUGCCGCCCAUCUUGCUGCAACUUUUUCUUCUUUUUCUUUUCUUCACAAGUGCUUGUUCUGUAAUAUUUAGAGAUUAUCCCCAUACAUAUGUAGUAUCCACGAUCAUAUACUUGUUCAUAUAAAAAAAUCAUAAACUCGGGAAGACCAAAAUUUCACUGGGUAUCAUGAUCUUUUUUGUCAUGAAAGUGAAGUAUAACUGAUAAAGAGCUUAUGGGAAAGAAAAUUUAAUAAAAUCGAAGAAGACUAAGACUUACGGUGAUGCAAAUUGGAUUUGUUGCUUCACUUUUCAAAUUCCUCGUCGUCCGUUCCCAUGUGAAUGUCUUUUUUACAUUACUAGUAGUUUUCCACGAGUUACACGGAUGCCAAUUUUUAUUUUUAUUUGUUUAUGUGUGUGAUUGACAAUUGGCAGUGAUUAUUGUUCUCUUGCUCAAAUUGACAAAACUAUAAUUUUAGUCCAACUUUUGUCAUUUUUAAUCAUAUUGUGAUUAAUCAUUCAUUAAUCUCUGUUGUACUUGUCUAUUGGAAUUAUGUCUAGAUUUCCAUUUAUCUUUUCAAAUAUAAGUCUAAUAAAUGGAAAAAAAAAGCAAGAAGAAAAACUAAAUAAGAAAAACAGCCAAAAACUGAUGAAGAAAAAAAAAUGCAGGAAUGGGGCGAUAAUACUCUUCGUGACUCGCGGAGAGUUCCAUUUCACAUUUUUGUUUUGUUUUGUUUUUUAUGAAGAUGCAAUCUAAAUUUAUUAAUAUGCAAGAUAUGAUUUUCCCAAAUUUCCCAAGUUAUUAUAGCAUGUGAUUUAUCAAAGGAAAUGUGCAAAAAAGAGAAUUAACAAUAAUGCACUCCAAAAAGCCUAGAUGCGCAUGAUAAUGCUUUUCCAUGAAAAUUCUAAGUUUUCUGAUAUAAUUGUCCUGAUAUGGAUAUAAUGCAAUUCUAUGCUAAUAUGUAAUGAAAAAUCAAAAAAUAAAGGUCUGAGUUUUGGCUCAAACAAUUAUGUGUGCAGAUGUAUCACCUGAUUAAAACAAAAUUAACAAAUCACCAUGAAUUAUGCAAUCAAGCUGCAACUUUAACCUGGCCAGCAAGUAUAUGGCAUCAACUUUCCCCAAUUUUGCUAUUAAACUUGCUGCAUCAGUUCAAGGGAAAAAGAGAGCAAGUAGAAAGAUGUCUUUUACCUAUUCCAAGUAGACUUCCUGGAGCUGACCAGGCGAAUGGGAUAAGAUCCACAACAGCAAUCCAGCAAGCACGAGCGCUAGGUUUGGCAGUUCACUGUACGCGUGCGUAUUCAGCUACGGCAAUGCGUGGUCGCCGCUUGCAACGACGAACGAUGGUAUUGACUGAGCGACGACUAGAGAUGGUGGUGAUUGGCGACAAUCGAUGUGCAUGCAAGAAAUGAAUUGAACGAGAGUGGAGUCUGUGGGCGUGAGUUUGAUGAUGAUGGUGGUGGUGGUGGUGGAUGAAGAAAAAGUGAGGCGGUGUGGUUUCAAAGAAAGGAGCAGGAGAACCAAGAUGAAUUCUGCCGUGUGUGUUUUUCUCUCGGGGGUUCCCAUUUUAUCUUUGCUUUUCUUUUCUUUUUUCUUUCUUUUUUAUUUGGGGAAUAAAUUCGAAAGAACCUAAUCCUAUUUGUCGAAAUUCUGGUAAAUGCUUAUAAAAUGCUUUAAUUCCUAUAAACUUCUUCUGUGAGAGGAAAAUCUGUUCCAGUUUUCCAAAAGUUUAUGAAAACCACUUUUGGACAGAAGUUAGGUAUCGACAAAUUUUAACAAUUAAAUGAUUAUUUUUGAGCUAUUUAUACUUAUUUUGGUAACUCGAGAUUUCUUAAUUUUUGGAUGUGUGGAGCUGUCAGAAGAUCCUUUCCAGGUGUGGCUGUAACCACCUGCUUAUUGCUCACGUUUCGCCUCUUUGUAGAGGAAUGGUUUUGGAGGUUUUUUUUUUUUUGGUCUGAGAAUGGUUUUGGAGGUUCAAACACUAGGAUUUGUACCUGACUUCUGCUCCUUUUCAGAUUUUCCAUUAUGUUCCUCUUUUGGAUCGAACCGAGUCAAUUCCUCUUAUUUUGCUCCAUGAAAGUAAUUUAAGGAUGUGUUUGUUUCGAAAAAAACUUAAGAUUUGAAUAACAUUUUCCGAAAAAUGACUAGUUAUGUCAUUCAAAAAAAUUGACCAACACAGAGUAUUUUUCAUUGCCAACAUCAAUUUAUACCUGCAUAUUUCGGUAAAUGAUGAAAAAUUUUGAUUUGUUCAUUUUUGUGAGCAAUAAAUCAAUCAGUUUUUUGAAAAUAUUUUCUAAAUCUUGAGUUUUCAAUUAAACAAAUGUAUUUUAAUUAUUUGAAGUUUUUAUGUUCCUGCAUUAUACAAGGUAAAGAGUAGAAAUCAAAUCAGUUCAACUUAAAGAGUCAUGGAGAGAUUUUAUAAGAGUCCAAACAAAUUUCAUGAUUCAAUAGAUUCGAUGGUUUUUGUUAUUCAUGCUUGCCAUGACUUCAGUUUACCCAAGGAUGAGAGUAAUCAUGGAGGCUAUGCAUAUGCUAAAACAAUUAUUGGAUCAUGUUCACCAAUAGUGACCAAAGAUGGGUCCCAUACAUGCUAAAACAAAAUGAUGGAAUUGGGAGGGCCCUGCAUUAUUAGCCUUUUUUGUCACCAUGUCCAAUCAAGCAUAGCAUUAAGGACUUGACCCUCCGAAGAAUCCCCCCCCCCCCGGCGAAAAAAAAAAAGAAAAAUCUCUAAGGCACUCAUUUGUAUUUCGUCUGCCAAUUAUUAAAGGCUGAAAUGAAAUGUUCACCAUUUUUCAUUUGAAAAGAGAGCAUUUAAGACUCAUAUGGUAUUACUGAUUGUAUCAUAAAUAGUCAUCGUAUUCAAAUACUUUUUNNNNNNNNNNNNNNNNNNNNNNNNNNNNNNNNNNNNNNNNNNNNNNNNNNNNNNNNNNNNNNNNNNNNNNNNNNNNNNNNNNNNNNNNNNNNNNNNNNNNAUGUAAUGGAAUGACUCGAGGGGUUUACCCAACCUAGAGAGAGAGAGAGAGAGAGAGCCAUUAUAUUACGUUAAAUUGAAGUCUAGCAUGUAUCGCAUGAUCUUGCGUUUUUAAAGCAAAAUUCGUUUUCUUUCUUUAGUGUGGAGAAUAAGCCAACUAGUAUGGAAUACUUUCUAAACAAUGGAUCUAGAUUGUCUAAAAUUUUAGAAUUUUGAGGACAAUUCAAUCUACUUAUUAUGAGUGAGCUCCAAAUUAGUAUUAUGCCUUUCCUCCAAUAUUACUUGAAGCGAAUUAGUAUCAUUUGUCGGUGUAUAUACUAAUUAUAAUGAUUCCAGAGAAUUCACAAUUGUGCACCAUCAGAAGCCCGUACACAAACUAUUUGAAAUUUGAACUUAGACCAUGUAAUGAAUUAGAAGGUGUACAUCUAUUGUCGCAAGAAUUCUGUAGCUAGCCAUCUCGUGGCAACAUAUGUCUCCCCGGCAGCUCCUCGUGCAUCAUGGGGCCAAAAUCACAUCAAAGGAUCGUUGCUUUGUCAAAGUUAUUGAAACCUAAAUUAUUGAGGAUAUAACCAACAAUAGCAUCUUAUUGUAUGUUAUGUAUCCACAAGUCAUCAAAGAAAGUUAGGUUUGUCUGUUUGGUAAGGAAAACAAAAUCACAUGCUCUGGGUCAAAAGAAAUGGUCCCCUAUUUUAAUCGACAUCCAAAAGUCUUGAUUUGAAGAAAAAGGAUAACAAUAUAACUCAAUGACAUAAUGUGCGUCAAAACAUAUGCUCUCCAAUCUAACUCAAACUUCUUGGCGUAUUAGAAAGACCAAGACUUUGUUGGGACCCAUCAACUUUUUUGUGUGAAAAAUUAAGCGAAAGGGAAAAAGUGAUAGUGGGAAAGAAACUUUAAUCAAUUCCAGGAAGAUCAAGACUUUGCAAGAUGCAAAUUGGCUUUAUUGCUUCACUUUUCACAUCCCUCUUCUUCCAUCCUUAUGUGAAUGUCUCUUUUUACAUUACUAGUAGAAUUCCACACGUUACAUGCCUUGCUUAAGAUUAACAAUACUAGAAAUAAGUAUAAGAAGGAAGCCAAGAAGGGACUCGAAAAGAUCUCUCCAAUGAUCAUGGGUUUACCAAUCAUUGAGAGAACAACAACGGUUCUAGGUUCCAAGUUCCAGAACAUAUAGGGUAGGUUCCAGGUUCUAAGAAAUGAGAAACCUACUCUAACAAAAACCAUUGAGUCCUAAAACUUUAGACAAAGAAAAGGACCAAGGCUUUUUUAAAAUAAUAAUAAUAAUAAGUGCACGGGAAGUCCGAAAACUUAUCAUGAAAGUAUAAUUGAAUUAAAAAAAUUUCAAAAGAAACGAUUGAGUCAUAAAACUUGUCACAAAAGUAUAAUCCGGUACUAAAACUUUCAAAAAGGGCAAUUAAUUCCUAAAAUAUGUCUUGAAAGUGCAAUUAAAUCUUAAAACUUUCGAAAAUUGCAAUCAACGAAGAACUUAAUUGGACUAAUUUGACAUGUUUUAGGACUUAAUUGCAUUUUUUGAAAGUUUUAAGACUUAAUUGUACUUCAUAACAAGCUUUAAGACUUAAUUGUGCUUUUUGAAAGUUUUAAAACUUAAUUACAUUUUCAUGAUAAGUUUUAGAAUUUAUAAUGCACUUAUCCCUUUUUUUGCAUCCGUACAUUCUUAGUAACCUUAUAAUUUCAAUGUCUUUAUUUAAUGUGUUAUUGGUGAAUAUGCAAUCAAUGUAGGCUUUUAUGCGGUAGUUAGAGUGCUAUAGAUUCGCAACCAAACAAGCAACAAUGAUCUACUGAAGGGUGUUGUGUUAGUGGUUAAUGUUGGAGAACCGUUUGAUAGGAGAAUCGUGGUCCUUUGCACGAUUUUCCUAUUCAUAAGUGUGAUGCCUAGAGUAUAUCUAGUACUUUCUUAGUUGGUGAUGCCUGACCCUUUUUCUUGUCUAGCGAUGAAUGAAGUUGACCACAAUUAAUAGGACUGACAAAUAAGCAUCUUUGUACAACUUGCACCGAUUGAAAUAAAUGUUGACAAUCCACUUAACAAUGGCAUCUUACUUUCUAUUAUAGAUCCGCAAAUCAUCAAAGACAACUAACUUUGACUGUUCGAUAAGAAGAACAGAAACACGUGCUUUGGGCCAAACAAGAAAAAAAGUCGGGUACACCAAUGAAUCCAUGAAUCAACUUGCUUAAUUUUUACUUUGGAAAUAGUACAUGAUUCACAAAUCAUCAACUAAUCCAUCAAGCAAGUUGCUUUGGGCUAGCUUUUUUUGUUCAAAGGACCAUGAUUUUCCUAUCAAGUGAUUCACUAUCAUCAACAACUACUUCAGCACCCUUCAACAGAUAAUUGCCGCCCACUUUGUUGCAAAUUUCUAGCACUAUAGCUGCCAUGUAAAAGCCUAUACUAAAAAAAAAAAAAAAAAAGCAACAACAACAACAAAACAUUGUAAGUUAUACAUUUUUUAUGAAGACAUGCAUGCCCUCUAAGUUGGUCAUGUGAAGAAAGGGCAAAGUACCAAAAAAGUCCUAAACCUAUGAUAUUUGUACAAAUUUAAUCCUAAACCUUUCAGUUAAGCCAAUUUAGUAUUAAAUCUUUUUAUAUUGGUACUAAUUCAGUCCUUCUGGCCAAUUUUGGCUGGUUGGCUAGCUAUGACAUGGACAUUUGCGGGCUAGCAAACGCUGAUGUGACAAUUUUCAAAAUAUUUUUUUGAUUUAUUUAUUAUUUUUCCUUUUUUUUUUUCCUUUUCCUUUUCUUUUUCCUCUUCUUCCUCUCAACCUUCUUCUCCCGCAAUGCCUAGCAAGCCUUUGAUAGCUCGCCAGUGGUGUGGUGAGGGCUUCAUGGCCCUCGCCUAGUGGCUGGCAAGCCGCCAGAGGCUCGUUGGCCACUACAGGAGAAGAAGGCCUAGAGGAAUAAGAGGAAAAGGAAAAGGAAAAGGAAAAAAAAAAUUAAAAAUUCGAAAUAAAUUAUUUAAAAAUUGCCACAUUAGCGUUUGCCAACCGGCAAACAUUUAUGUUAGCAUUGGUCAGCCAAAAUUGGCCGAAAAGGAUUGAAUUAGUACCACUGUAAAAAGGUUUAGGACUAAAUUGGUUCAACUAGAAGGUUUGGGACUGAAUUGGUAUAAGUGUCACAGGUUUAUGACUUUUUUGGUACUUUUUCCUGUGAAGAAAUAUCACCUAUUAUACUAUAUUUUGGAUGACCACAAGAAAAGGUCCUCUUUUUCAAACGAUAGCCAAAGGUCUUGAUCCGGAAAAAAAAAAAAAAAGGAGAACGAUUGAUUUAUCUAACUCAAGGACACAAUGUGCAUUAAAACGUGGUCUCUUUGGUCUAAACUCAAAUUGCUUGGCGUGAUAGUAUACUCAUAAAGUACCUUUCAUCAAGAAGACCAAAAAUUUACUAGAAGGACACAAAUUGUCUUUGUUGCUUCACUUUCUACACCCCUCCUCUUCCAUCCCUAUGUGAAUGGGUCUUUUUCCAUUACUAGUAGAAUUUCCAUGUCUUGCUUAAAAUUAACAAUUCUAGAAUUUCCAUGGCAGAGGCUCUUUGUAGCCGUGUUCACUGAUUAGUUCUACUGUAUUUUCAAUGUCAAGACCAGACUCCGAUAAGUUCAAUUGGAUGGGAAGAAGGGGAAAUUAUGCAGAGCCCUUCCCUUUGGGUGUGAAAGGAGAACGGGGCAUUUAGGUCAAAGGGGACAGGAUAUAGAGAGAGGAAGGAGAGAGAGAGAAGGAUUGUAUCUUGAUGCCCUUGUGGAUUUGGGUUUUCAAAAUUUGAUUUUUGGAAUGGACUCUUUUGGGCCUUUCUGGUUGUGCGUUCUUGGUUUUGGACCUCCUAUUCUUUAUUUGGGGGAAGUUUUGUGUAAGUGGGAAAUUGGGGGGUUGGACUAUGUUUGUCCCUCCUUAAAACCUCAUGAUUUCCUCCUUAUUCUCUCUCUUUUUCCUCCUAUAUUAACAAUUAGUGGGGUAGCAUGUACCAUGCAUAAGAUAAUGGCAAAGUUGAUUAAACUUUUUCAGGUCAUGCGAGCCGCCACCAGUAGAGCAUAAGGAUGGACACCGAGCAGGUGCAAGGUCGAGAAUCCCGUUUCCCAUUCCCCAACUCGUGAAGCAGCACUUUGCCCCAAAAAAACAUAUUAAAAAUAUAUAAUCAAUCUAAUUAUGAGUUAUUUUAUGAGUCAGAAUGCAGAAAAAAAGACUAAAACUUACUGAAUGAUUGGAUGGCUGGUCAAGCAUAACUACGUGAAGUUUCUUGAAAUUAUCUUGGCAAAUGCAACUCUACUUUUCUGACCGCCUAUUUAUAUGGUCAAAGCACCAUGUUAUAUGUGCAAUAACAUCCAAAAAGCCUCGAGAAAAGUACACAGUGAACCACAAUUCAUAUUACAAAUUAACUAACCUCCAAUAGAGCUUCACAAUGUCAUAUGAAAAUUGCUUCAACAAAAAAUUUACAUAUGCAACAGUAGCAGAGAGAGAGGAGAUGUACCGGACAAGAUACACAUUAGUCGAAGCACGAGAUUUCCAGUUACACCAAAGGAACCCAAGUGAGCUUAAAGCUUUUGCUUAGAAACUCCCUGAAGGAAGAAUGCCACAUAAGAAGGUAUUUUCAAAUGAAAUGAUAUAAUGUAUGACGAAAUCAUAUUUCGUGGUGGAGUAAAACACAAAAGCAAACCCAGAGGUCACCAUUGACAAUGCAAAACCAGAGGCAAGCAGCAUAUCAUUACAAUCUCGACCAAACAAGCAUAAGUAUAUUGGCUAAAAAUUUCCAACAAGCUGCAAGCAAUAGUUCCUAAACCCCCAGAGAUCAAGACCUAAACGGAAGGUGGUUUAUGGAAUAUCAAUGCUGUCAUGAAUUGGAGUUGUAUUGAAAGCUUGGAGCCAUAAGCUGCCCUAGUAUUUUAUCCCAGAUUAACUACUUAAUACUGCUAAGGAUCAUCAUCAGCAAAAAGAAGGUUUUGACUCUUAACCAUAAAAAAGAACUGCAUCCUCCUUUCUUUUCAAUCAUGUCACUUUUUUCCACAUAACCAAUCAUGUUUAAGAUAUCGAAAAGAUUACCCGUAUAUACAUCAUAUUUACUAGAAGAAAAAUUAUAACAUACCAGUGCACCAAAUAAAAUUAGUAGCUUCUUCUUCUUCUUCUUUAUUGCAAAAAAUGACACAUAACAUUAACAGCAUUAGUCCUACCUCAAAAGUGUUUGCAAGUGGUCCUUCAAGAAAUUUUGCCAAUACAAAUUACAAUGGCGAAUGAGUUGGGGCACAAGAAAAAGAUUGUUGUGAAGAGAAUAUACAACAGACGCUGAAAAUGCAGAGGACAAUGAUUGCGGAAUGCUAUGAUUCAUAGGGAUUCUAAUGUAAAGCAUAGUGCAUUUGCAUUCACAAUUUGUUUGGGCAUCAAGCAGAGUUCAAGAUAUGGUAUGUUGUCCUACAGUUUAUUGUUCAAUGAAACAGAGCCGAUCCAACCCAAUGAGAACACCCACUCAAUUUUCAGUCUCACCUUCAGUGGCUAGUUUUUGGAAAUUCAUGGGAAACAUUUCCAUCGGAAAAAUAUCAAUUUGUAUCACACAUCAAAUUGAGGAAGCGGAAUUGAAAUCAAAACCAAAAACUUACCUGAAUCCUAGAAAACUGACCAUAUAUGGAUUCACUGGAUUCAAACAUCAUCAAUGAGGAUGCUCGGGAUCUCUUGGAUGAGGGGCCAAUAGUCGCCAGUGAAUUUUAAGCAUCAAUCUAUCAGAAUCUCACACCCAUCUAUGCGCAAUUCUCAGAGGGAGGGAGGGAGGGAGGGAGCCCAUCCUCUGGCAAGCACCUCAACUUCAGGCAAUCGUGAACGUGUAAAAUUGUGAGAGAGGAAAGAUAGUUGCGAAGAAAGCUUGAUAGUCUUCCCACGUUCCUCAUUUUAAAUAUCCAAAGACAGGUUAGAGAGGAAGGAAAGAGAAGACUACACGCAUCCUCAUCCUCCGAAGGAAACCAUACCUUCUCUCCUUCCCCUCCCAUGCUCAAGUCAAAUAACAGAAACUUGAGGGAUGUGAGCAUGGGUAAGCCCCACUCUCUCACCAUCUGCUUCGGAUUCUCGCACACUAAAAUUGUAAGGUCCAGCAAAUUGAGGCAAAGCUCCUUUGGGGAAGCAUUUGAUAUUUUGGCAAUACAUAAUAUAUAGCAUAUGAAGGGAUAUAAGAUGAUGCCACUGAUUUGGUAGAGCCUUUAUCUUCGGACAGUUACAGAGAAAGAAAUAUGACAAGGUGAUGGGAAGGGAAGGGAAGUACUCUAUCUCCAAUGUUGGAUAGUUACUUAUUUUCAAAAGAGUGAAAUGGGAGAGCGUGUUAAGACACUGUGGUAGGCUUCCCAAAUUUAUACAGCUGUCAUAGAAUUCAGCAAUUCUACAGCAAUCUCUUCCAGCAACUCCACUCUCUUGCAAUGCCCAAUAAUAAGUGUCUUGAGAGAAGCAACUUGAGGCAUCGGAUUAUUGCUAGUGGGGUCAUUUGGAGUAAAUUGUUAAUAAUCCCAUGAGUUUUGGGUACUUCUCAAUUAACAAAUCUAUGAGCGUGUGCAUCUUGCUUGGAAGCUUUUCUAAACUCGCAGUCCCUCAAUUCCAUUGUUUCGAGGUUGAAAGGCAACUCUAUCUCUCCUUCUUCUGCCACAAAAGACGUGAAUUUAGGACAACUUUGGAUGGAUAAUUCCUGGUGGCAAGUAAGAUCUUGUGUUUCAUUUCCAUCUUGCCACAAGUAUGUUAGCUUGUCACAGCUUCUUAUAUGAAGCUCCUUUAGCUUGACCAAACAGCUCAUAAUCUCAUGAUUAAAGCAAACAAGCUCUGCAAGAUUUUGAACCCUGACAAUAGUUAAAGAAGUUAGGUUGACCAAGCACUUUAAGGUCCCUCUAUUACAAUCCUUAAGGUAUAACUCACAGAGAAAUGGAAGACAAACUGCACUAGUUGAAUUAUUCAAAUGCCGGCACGAAUGGAUUUCAAGUUUUAUGAGACAAUCAAGUUGACAAGGCAAUGUCCCAACCAACGAAGGACAACUCCGGACAACAAGAUGCUAAAGACAUGAUAAUGGUACUUCUUCUUCUAGACCCCCGGCAUAACGAGACCAAUCAUUCCAUGCCAACAUCUCUUCAAACUUCAAAGUUGUUAAGGAUGAGAAAGGCCCUUUACCUCCAUAAAAUUCAGAGCCUACCAUUCUUACUACAUGUAGACCAUUAAGACAUAAUUUCUUAAGUAAAGGUAGUUGUCCAAGUUGGGGUAGCGAUAUAACAUUAGGACAGCCCUGUAAGCACAAAGACACUAGCUUACAACAGAAUAGACCAUCCAACCAUGACGGGAAUAUUGCACCACCAUAAUAUGAGAUAGUGAGAUUUUCAAGAUCACUGCGAGGUCACAAAGAGUGAAGCACCUAUGCUUCGUGCUUAUAUUUCCAUAGAUUUCCAAAAUCUUCACUCCAAUGCAAGAACAUGUUGCUAAGGCCUUGCUUUCCAAAAGAAUUAGCAUCAACAGCAUCUCUAGCUUCUUGCACCUUUUGCAAUUCUGAUAUAGCUAAUUCUCCUUGACGAUAGGACAAAUUCUUCAACUCCUUUAACUGUAACCCUUUCUUAGUUCCUACAUCGAAGUUAGGCAAAACAAUAAGAUUUCAAAUUACCAAUACCCAAAGGCAUCGUGUUUAGAUUGUGUGUUUCUCUAAUGUCAAGAAACUGUAAGCUCACCAAUUUUGUGAUACCUAGAGGCAACAUAAAAAGCUUUUGACAACCUCCUAAGAUCAAAGCUUGUAUUUACACAAGGCGACAAUUGAAUUAGCUAGUCUUUUGAUGUCUGUGUAUGAGAAAUUGAGAUAUCAAAGAUGUUUUAAAUCACCACCACAAAUUCAGUACCUCUAUGAUGUCACAAUGACAUAAUGAGACCACCCUCAAGUACUUUACUUCUGUUAGCAAGUCAUACAACGCCUCGUUGGAAAUGUGGAACUUGCUGCCCCCUCUAGAUCCAAUAUGAAGUAGCAUUGAACUUCUUAGUACCUUCAUUCAGUAAGAUGCUCUCAAGCAUUUUGAUGUAACAGACCAUGACGAGAUGAAUGAUGUAUAAGGAGCUUUCACAAGAGAUGCAUGAUCUUCAUUUCCUACUAGCUGAGACUCCCCUGAGCUAAAGCAUGUCCCACCUACAAUUGACUUUGCUAGAUCAUUCAAAAAAUCAUGCAUUGAGAACUUAGAUGCAAUGACACUUGAUUGUUGAAGAAAUUAUCUAGAUACUAACUCAUUGAAGUAAUUCCGUCCUAAUCUCAAGUUAUUCUCCUUUUUAUUUUGUCCAUCUACAAAGCCCUCCUCUAUCCACAAGAGUACCAGCUCAUCCCUCUCAAUUUCGUAAUCCUUGGGAAACACCGCACAAUAAACAAAACAUCUCUUCAAAUAAGAAGGAAGAUUGACAUAGCUCAAAUUCAAAACUAGGAGAACCUCAACAUUUUUUCCCUUCAAAAUAUCCCACAUUCUAUUAUUUAAGAUAACUUUCCAUUCAUCGAGAUCCCCUUUAUUAUGCAGGAGACCACCUAACACCUUCAUCACCAAGGUGAAACUUUACAUUUUUUAGCUAUUUUCUUGCCUAUAGUUUCAAGAUCAAGGUGCCUCUCAAAAUUUGUUGCUCUAAGAGCAUGAAAGGCUAAUAAGCUUGUACAAUUAUCAAUAGACAACUCCUUCAAAGGAUGGGGCAAAGCUCAUGUUAAGGAAACAACCGAACUAUUGCGAGUUGGGAUGAUGAUCUUGCUUCCCUUAGCCCCUGCUUCAAAUGGCUUUAAGAGGGCAGUCCAUUCCCCAUACCCAGACAUCAUCUAAAACCACAAGAAACUUCUUUCUUGAUAGAUUGUCCUUCAACUUAACUUGAAGCUAGUUGAGAUCUUUGUCCUUGCAUGACAACUCAGUGAUCAACCGCAAAAUAGCCUUUGUCAUGUUGAGAAUAUCAAAAACAUCUUAAACACAAACCCAUGCUCUUCUCUCGAAGCAGCUGCUCACGUUGGCAUAACUAUACAGCCGUUAAGCCAAGGCCGUCUUUCCAACACUGCCCAUCCCAACUAUGGGGACUAUGCUCACCAUAGCAUCGGAAUUUUCAGCUUCACCAGUCAAUAAUUUGAGUAUCUCCGCUUCUUCUUUCACCAUGCCAAUGAGUCUCUGAUAGACAAAUGCUAUGGGGCCUUUUGUUGGUGAAGUUAGUUCUACCCACAACUUUCUCUGUCAAGCUUAGAUAAGCCUUCCUGGCAACAAUAUCCUCCAACCUACCAUCAAUCUUCUGAACCUUAGUUUUAGACACAUGUGAGCUCGGGUUUGGAUUGGAUCUGGAAGAUUUAUGUUGGCUAAAGAAAUAGAACUUCACCUCACCUCCACUUGCGCUAGAUUCCGCCUCCGAUUUGGCCGGAGUGGCUUUGAUGGCAAACUCAUCAAGCAAGUCUUCCAUGUCAUAGGCCAGGUCCCCAACAUCAUCCAACCAUAGCUUCACUAGACCAUUAUCACUCAAGUGCUUGUCCUCUGCAUCAUCCAGCACCGCAUUGAUUGUGUCCAACAUCUUCCCCCAUUUAUUGAGCAAGUCGAUGCUGAUUCCGGAGAAGGGCAAUGCUCCUUCCCUUUGCAUAUAGUCUAGUCCCAAAGAAGCCAGCUUCUUGAACAGGACCUAAAGGAAGGCACUCAAAAGGAUCUCCCCAAUGGCCAUGGGGAAAUCCGUCAACUGUAGAGAACAACAGAGGUUAUGGUGAAGAAAAGUGACAAUGAGCUAAUGGGGAGAUAAAACGGGUGAAUGAGUCACUGUAUAUAACAACAAGGGUUAUGGUGAAGUGAAGUGAUGGCAAGCAAGACUUUCACUUCCCAAAAACAUUAAACACAGACCAAGACUUCCAAGGAUACACAUCAAUGUUUAGAGAAAUCAAGAUAAAAUACUUUUUGCCCAAAAGUGCUUCUCUCUUAAUGUUUAGAGUUUAUCCCUAGAUAUCUUAUUUAAAGACAAUGACUUUUUGUUACACAUCUACAAGUUAUCAGAGGCAGCUAACUUUGUAUAUUCAACAACGAAAACAAAACCACGCUCUUUGCACUACAAAUGUACAAGUCAGGCACACCAACUAAUCCAUUAAGCAACUUGGUUUAUUUUAAUCUGGAAACGGUAAAUGAGUUAAAAAAUCACAACGAAUAACGUAUAGUCAAUUGAAUAAUAACUCUCUAAGCAUCACAUUGAUGAACAGGAAAGUCGCGUUCAAUCCCUAUGUGGGAAGGAAACUUCAAUGAAAUCUAGGAAGACCAGGACUUUGCAAUACGCCAAUUGGGUUUGUUGCUUUACUUUUCACAUCCCUCCUUUUCCAUCCCUAUGUGAAUAUCUUCUUCUUCUUUUUUUCUACUGUUUGAUGCUAGAAAUUUAGUUGGUCCAGGAAAAUUAUUUCCACUGAGAGGAAAAGCCACGCCUCAAGAUUGAGGAGAAUAAUUUCAGAUCAUAAAAUCUAAAAUUGCUACUUACCCCUCUCACUAUCGCAGACCAAUUUCAUCAUCAUCCCUCUCCUCUCCUCUGCAAACAUGCGCGAAUGCCACCCUCCCAUUUACCCACCAUCGUCAUCUACCACCAACAUCGAUUACCCAACAGAACCAAAUCGCCAACCCCAUUGAGCCAUCCUUCUUCAAAACUAUUCCCAACCGCAGUAACAAGCACCACCACAGACUCGAUCACCACGACCACCACCGCCACCAUUCACAGCCAGCAAAAAUUCAGGGGGAGAUAAAAAGAAAAAAGAAAGCCAGGGAGGAGGAAAUUUCACCAAUCGGAUGGCCAAGUAAUAAAAAAAAUGUGGGUCGGAGGGGCUUCUCGUGCUCUUCCGCACCUGGUCGCUACCAUUUGACUUUGUAUUCUGUGACUACCAUGGCUGCAGUGUGAAUGAACGGUGUUUAGCUUUUCACGGUGCCGGGCGGAGAAGAAGGGAUAAAAGAAAGUGGUAAGAAGAAGAAAAAGGAGAAUGUUCGACCAAAAAAGUGAUGUAUUUGGCCCAAACCACUUUCCCUGCCCAUAUUAGAGAAUGAGAUCUAAUUUUAUAUCCAAAUAGCAUAAAUUAAUUUUUUUUUUUCAUUUUCAAAUUUCUACCAAACGCCAAAAAAGAAUCAUUUACUCAAAAAUUAAUUCUAAGAAACCAGUUUUUUUUUUUUUUUUGGUUGGUAAGAAACCAAUUGAAAAUACUAAAUUUUCAGUUAAUCAAGUAGAGCCCUUGUUAGUUGAUAAUUGCUUUCUUCAAGUAAUAUCAAUGUUAUGCUUAGAGGCGUAUAUAUGAAAAAUAAACUAAAGACUACUUUAUACCACUCGAAAUAAUAAUUAGGCCCUAGAAUUUUUUUUUUAAUUCCCUUUUUUCGCCAAUUGCGAUCAUCAAUACAAAAAUUUCAUAUCAAUCACAAUCAUUUUGGACUCUUUAAGUUCCACCUAAAGCUUGUUAGUGAGAAAAAAAUGAGAAUAAAUAAAGAAUCUGUGAUGAGAAAAUCAAGUUGCUCCUGUUAAAAAUUAUUUUGUCAUGUAAAUAAACAAUUAUAAGAGUAAUUGGACAAACAAAUUGUAUUCAUACUCACAUGAAAGGAACCAAAAACCUACUAACAAGACAUAUCGGGGUACUUCCUAUUUCAAGUCUCAUAAAUGAGUGACCCUUCAAUCACUUUGUUUUUUUUGUUUUUCUUGAAUGGCCCUUUUGAUUGUGUAAUGUAGAAUUAUGGGAGACUAUAGAUCCCCAUUAUUGCUGACCUAAUGGUAUAACAUGAUCAUUUCAUAAAUGCCAGGUCACAAAGAUAACCCCCUAACGAGGAUAGCGAUGUGUAUCUUAUCUUGCCUGCCACAAGACCUCACUUGAUUUGGUGUGCUUCUUGUAAUUGGACUUGUCUAUGCAAAAUAAAUCUGUAGCAAGUGGUAUUGGAUGACAACCUUCUCACAAUUCUAUAUCGGAAUACCUUAUGGUAGGGGUGAGCUUUUUUAUGACAACUCAAUAGAGCAAUAACGCAUUUAAAAAAAAAAAAAAAAAAGAGGGAAAUAAAGCAUGGCCACCUUGAAUGCUACUCUCCACCCUCCCUUUACAACAAAGAAAAAGAAAAUGCGGGACUGGGAUCGAUAAAACCGUUGGUAUGAGAUUAUGUGGAAAAUUUAAAUGGGUUAUAAUCUUCAGGCUUACUUUGAAUUUAGCUGUUAGAUUCACCAACUCGAGAGUCCCUGUUUUCGCAUCUUUAAAAGUAGCUGCUGUUUAAAAAAAAAAAAAAUCGCUGCCGAGAGGUUCUUCGAUUGGCUUUGAACACCAUCAUACAGAUUAAUCUUAAUUAGAGCACGUUACCGCCAUUGAUGUAAGUAAUCAAACAGUGGAGAGAAAUUUUCUCAUGAGAUCCAAACUCAAUCAAUUUCAUUGAGUGUGAUUUCUUGGAUGAGAUACCAAUAAUCUCCGGUUAAUUUUCAAGUAUUGAUAUUUUGGAAUCUUACUCAAUGUGGAAUACUUAAAGGGGCAGGUAGGGGAGCCAUCCUCUCACUUAGAUCUCUAUCUUAAUUUAUGAUGGAGGUAUCAUAUUUAAGUUUUCGAAAUCUGAACUUAUCUCACGAACAUUUUGAACUUGCCUAAAGUCUCUCGGUUUCAUGAGUUUCAAGCUACCCUAUGCUACCGCAUUGAAAAUGGAUGGUAAAAUGGAUUUUCAAUUAAGUAAGCUAGAACUCAAAGUUUUGUUUUAUUCUAAAUAAUUUCACCACUGGUUUUGAGCAUCUACAAAAAGAGAAGAUAUAUAUCCUUUUAUAUUUGUGGGCAGUUGGGACACAUAAAUUAAACUAGAUUUGCAUUAUACUCUCUUUUUUUUUUACUAGAUUUGCAUGGAUUCAAAAUCAUAAAUGCUAAGAUUAUAUCUCGAAUUUGACCUCAAAAAAGAAAUCUAAUUCAAAUAAACUUUCUGAUUUGAGUGGAUUUAAUAAAAGGGAAAUAAUUUUUAUGUACAAAGUGGGUCUUCUUCAUGAAAAGUAUCCAACACUAGCUUUUCCUACGUUCAAUUAAGUAUUACGUUCCUAAGGAAUUACAAAGAGUACUGAAGCAAAUUAAUUUUGUGGUAAGAUCUGUGCAUAACAUCACCAGAGGAGGAGGAGGACACUUCACUCCAAUUCCAACCAACCAAAACCCCCACGAAACUGGGAGACAACAAAAUAAAAUAAAAACAGAAGCCAUCGGAAUUUUCGAGGAAAUUAAAGUUGAAACCUUUUAUCUCUAUUUUAAUGGCAAUCCUUACAACCCUCUCCUUCUCCGAACUGCCCUCCCCGAAGAUCCCACCUUUCUCCUCCAUCUCCCACUCCCCUGCUUGACGUGACGGUGGUGAUGAAGUUGUUGUGGGUUUAACUGGUUAAGUGGCGAUGGGUAUAAUUUAAUUCAUGCCGCAGUAGAUUGGUCCUCUUGGCCGAUCGUCUUUGCUCGUACUCAUCUGUGAUUUAAGUUGAGCUGAUCUGUCACCUGUCCGGUCUAGUUGAAGUUGCACAAGUAGAGAUAUGAAUGUUCUUCGAGCAUUGUAAAAUACCGUUCGAGUGAAGUGAAACCUGCUGAAAUAUUCAUUUGAUGGGCAAAUAUGUGCUGCUUCUUGGUUGUGUGGAGUAAAUGCAAGCGCAUCAUCUCAACUGCUCAAUCUUUUCGAACAUGAAAAAUGUGUGGGCCUGUGAAGUGAUGGAGCUUAACAACUUACGUCGGAAGUGGACUCCUCAUUGAAGGGUCACUGACCUGAAGUGGCUUUUUUCUCUGUUAUUCAUUUUGGCAGCUGUCGAAUUCUAGUCAGGAACAUGAUUUAGCUUGUUACGAUCAUUUCUCGAACAUUAUCCAUAAAACCGAUGCUGCUUCCCUAAUGCCACUACUGCUCUGAUGCCGUUUUUCCUUUUAUCUGUUUUCGUUGAUAAUCCAGGGGCAGGAAAUGGCAAUACGUUGACAGAAAACAAUGACAGAGAAACAAGCACUUCCAGUAAAAAUGUUCUUCGCAAGGAAAAAAGCUAUACAAGUUCAAUAAGUUUUUUGGGGUCGACUUGUCCCCAGACAAUAUUGCAGUUGCGAUGGUCUAUUUUGUUCAAGGUGUCUUGGGCCUUUCAAGACUCGGCUGCAUUUUUAUUCGAAAGAUGAUUGACAUCUAGAUCGAUCCUUCAGAGGUAUGUCGUUGUAUUUGAAGGAUUUUUAAUGAAAAAUCAGAUCUCCUUUGAGAGCAUUCAAUUUGUAUGUUCCAGCAGUCUGAAGAUAGAAACUCGUGCCCUUUCCCUCUGAUAGUUUUUAUGCCUCUUUACUUUCCUUAAUACUUGAGAAGAUUCUUGUAUCUAUUUUUUAUUUCUAGGGGUAUUAUUCACGAACUAGAUGGUCGUUGCUGCAACUCCGUUCCACUUUCUGGUUACCGAAGAAGAUCAUUACUUGGUUUUAUCAAUGAGCUGUUCAGUUGUAAUUAAACAAACCCAACACCAUAUCAAUGAGCUAAAUAUUAUCGGUCGUGUAUAAGCUGGUUGCAGCAAAUCCAAGCGCAGCUUCUAUAAAGCGUUUGAUCAGCACAACAUGUUGAGAUUUGACAAAAGUAAGUCGACAAACAUACUGUAAAAUGUCUCAGAUCAAGCACGCACUACAAAAUCAGAUAUGAAAAUCAAAUAUGCAUGUCAAUACGGUACAUGUAUGUGAACGAGAUCAUCACAAAGCAACGUAGCAAGUUCAAAACAGUCACACAGGCUCAGUCAUAAUUGAUUUUUACCCAGGCAGUGGUUUGUACGUAGAACACCAGGAAACAGAGCAUAUGUGAUUCGAUUGGAUAGAGGAUGAUUACCUGUGGCUAUUCUAUUCAUGAUCGGACCUUAGUAAGGUGAUCGUGGAAGCAGCUUUGUGAACUGGAAUCGUCAAGAGAGACAUGCUGACUGCAGUUCGAGCACUUCAGCAAUGAUGACCGAGAACAGGGGCGAACAGAGCUUCGGACAGCGACGGCCGGUGUGUGCCCACGGUGUCCGGAGGGCGAUAGUGAGGGAAAGUCGAUAAGGAAGCCACUGGAGAUACAGAAAAGGGCCGAGAAUAGAUGCUGUUGCUUGAAUUGAAAAAUGAAAUCCAGAGAAUGAGAGAGAACUUAUCUUCAAUAUUGUAGCAGUAACCGAAUGAUGAAGAGCUCGAAGUGAAGAAUCCGAGUUCUAUCUGUCACGACUAUUCUCCUCCGUCGGAGAACGAAAGUGAUAGAAACCGAAGGUGGAGGCAGUGACAAAAACGAACGAUAAUGAAAUCGUCAAGGGAGGCAUUUUUUUUUUGUCAUCUUGGUGCUAGAUGCAAAUUUCUUGCUUCAAUUAGUAACCAACUCCAAAAUUAUUCAGUCACAAAAAUAAAAUAUAAAAUAUGUAUUGAAAAAGAAAGUAAAAGCCCCAGAUUUUUCUUUAAUUCCCUGGCUUUCGCUAAUCGCCAUCAUUAUCAAUCAACACAAUUUGAAUCAUGCUGUCAUUUGUAUCGGAGACUCUUCAACAAGAAGAACAACCUAUGGCACGAGAUGAACAUAAGAAAAUUUAAAAAAUCCGAAAAGGAACAAUUAAUUAAAAUUAUCUUUCAUACAUAAUAAAGAGCUAUGAGAGUGAUCAGACAAACAAAAUUAUAUGUAACGGUAAUAGAAAGGGAGGAGAUAUGCCAAAUAGGGUAUGCAUUGGUUGAACCACAAAAUUUCUAGUUACACCAAAGGAGCCCAAAUCAAUAUGGCGUCAAACUUUCGACCCAAAAAAAGAAAAAAAAAAUGGUGUCAAACUAAUCAAUCAAAAGAAAAUCUGUGUAAUAACUAAAAUAAAAAUCAUUUGGGUGGUGAUCCCAACAAUGUAAAUCAAGAAAACACCACUAUAUUGUACCAGCAAAUUAGAGGGACUACUCUUCUUUCCCCCUCAAAUAGUUCAUCUUACAAUCUUGUGCCAAACUUUCUGAGUAUAUCAUAAAAACGAUUGCUAGUUGCUAGUUUCUUGGUUUUGCAUUUUUUGAAAUAUGUGGUGGAUGAAGGACCGCAGCAAAACGACACCGGCACACCUCUUUUCCCGUGUAGAUAUUCCUCCAUACUAUUUUCAUACUCAACUUUUUAAAUUAAAAAGAAUUAUUUUCUUUUUUAUUUGAUUUUCUGAUUGACUAAAGUAAGUUCCUUUGACAAGCUUUUUUUAUCAUACUAAAUAGCGAAAAAUGAAAACAACAUUUUUUUUUUAUUAAAAUGUUUCUCUCAAAACAAACAGAAUACUAGAAGAAGACCAUUUCAAAGAUCGAUCAUAAAAUAAUGCCGGGUGACAUCCCUCCCGAUAUUUGUUAUAUUGCAUAUCAUCAUCUUAUAACCAAAACUUUUUUAAGAAUUCAUUCUCGUUUAUACAAAUUCUAUCAAAAUUACUCAUAACCAAUGUAAAGGAUCCUAAUAAAACACUGAGCCAAAAAUGUCAAGUCUCUAAAAAAGAAGAAUCAAGCUCCAUACACGGAGAAAAGAUUUUCUGUAACAAUUAAGAAAAUCAAGCUCAUACACGGAGAAAUGAUUUUCUGUAACAAUUAAGCCUCUUCAAGAAUCUCUUCAUCUUCAAAUGUCAGAUAUUUUCAGACCUGAAAAUAAUUGUUCGCAUGUUAGAUCUUGUCCAGUAGACCGUGAGUGUCCUAUUCCCGAAAGACAACUAAAAAAUUAAAUGGUGGGCAAAAUUUACCCCUCAAUUCGCAAAUGAAGAAGCGGUUAUGGUUCGCUGCAGAUCCUACUCGGUCAAAGCCACAGACUACCAGGACAACCUCAAUUUUUCCUCCACAAAUGUCAACAUCAACCUCAAUUCGCAGCAGCUCCAGAUCAAAAGUCUCUGCUAAUAGUAGUUCGUGAGACAGUGUCUCAAGCAGGGUCUGACGAUGAAGAAGUAGAAAAACAGUUUCGCUCCUCAACAUGGAAAUGAUUGUCAUGGCAAAAACCUCAUAAUGCAGGCAAUAACUUUGUAAUGUAACAUAAGUGUCCAAUAAUAGAACUCAUGUAACAGUAUUCCUCAAUAUUGUAUAUCAUGGAAGCCUUUUGGAUCAAAUUCCCUUCAUUUGCCUGAAUUCAAGGUAUAUCUUCAACAUGUGAGCUCACAAGAUUGAAACCAUUUGCAACGGUAGUGCGUUUAUCUUGUCACGUCUGAAUGGUUCUGGACCUUCAGCACCUCGAUGGGGGUAAAUCUGGUGGGACUUGCCCACUUCAAGGAGUUAAUCAUGAGUGGUGCUAAGUGACGAUCUUCUUGGAAUCAGAAUAUCUCAUAGCAGAUGUAAGUCCUCAAAGAAACAUCCAGAGGGUAGCCAUGGCUAUCGAUCCUCCCUCCCAUUCCCCGUCCUGCAUAGGAAAUAUAAUAUGUAGGACCGCUAAAAAUGUUGCAAAGAGAUGGGAGUGGAGUGGGUAUUUGAAUAAAAGAAAAAUGAAAUUUAGUCUUGACCAGGCAACCAGUUUACUAACAUGUUUUGACCUGCAGGGCUCAUUCAGCAUUUAGCUGUCACAUUCGCUUGCUCAAACCUCUGAUUUCAGUUCUGUUUGUCCAUCUGCACCGUAGCAGUUGGGAGAAAGAAAGCUUCUUAUUUUCAAUGAUGAUCUGAACAUGGUAAAAGGAUAUUAUCUAACAAAUCCAGAUAUUUAUAUGGAAUUUCAUUAUGGUAUUUUUUUUACUACGCAAGGCCUACAUUAUAAUUAGUCAACGCAAUUCUGUACUUAGAGUUGAAUAUAAAGUUUUGUUGACCGUGAUAAUAUUUUCAUAAUUAAUUCUCCUGAAUAGUGCAAAGAAUGAAAAUAGGAAAAAUAUAUUCAUACAAAAAUAGAUUGUCUUGCAAAAUAAUUUACCAUGCUAAAAAGAUUCUUUUGCAAAUGAUUAAAUCAUUUUACUAUGUAUGGGAAAGCUGACUUCCACGGCGACAGAGUGUCAAACUUCUAGGGGCACAACAAAUGAACCUAUUGCUAGAACAAAAUGUGCAAGAAAGCAUAAAUUAUACCAGGAAUACAGUCCCAACCGAGUUCUUAAGCUAUUGCGAAUGAUACUGCACACUUAAUGUCAAAACUUCAAUUCAUCCUUCCACGAGUCCUUAUCAAGUAUGUAUGACAAACGCGGGCCAGGGUAAUAGUGAGUCUAUCCUAUACAUUAGCAGCAAUCCUCUCUUCAUCUUUUUUGGCUUUCUCUAUGUAGCUAAGCCUCAUUUUCAGUUUUGUAAGGUAAUGGGAACCCAAUGAACCACUCUCAGUUGAUGCUAAUAACUAGAUUCACUUGAUAUAACAAAAACUGGAGUACCUUCCUAUUGUCCUGAAAAUUCCCAUGGAUAGGUGCCACCUUGCCUUGUGGAAUCACCCAGACCUCAUCUGACCUUCCAGCCAUUAGAUGCUUAUCGUGACUAAGCUACUCAAGGUGAAAGGAGGGCUAUUAGCUGUGAAAAUGAUCCAUGGUUGGUCAAAUUGAAGUAUUUUGACAACAAAAUCAAUCUCACCAUCUCAAUUGCUCCUUAGAACAAGACCAGACCUUGAAUGAGCACCUCAGCCACAUCCAAAUCCUCCAGUUGUGGAUAGGCAAAACAACAGAGUUGCACUCACUCAUCCUUGGACAACAAACUAACAAUUUACAAAGAUAAUUCUUUAGUAGUCACUACUCAUUAAAGCAGAGUUUAAAGACCACAUUUAUAAACAGAGCCCAAUACAAACUACAGGCACAGAUAUCAGAACUCUUUGGUAUUACAGAUUAGUCCAAUACGAAAAAACUGAUCAGGCUAACUAUUCAAUUCCAAAUAUUUUCCAAGUUGAAAUGAUUAGAUUGGUUUCUGUUCCAUUAUAAGUUAGAUAUAUGAUGACAGAGAGGCUCUCUAUAGUUGUUAUCAUUAAUUGAUUCUCUUGUAUUUUCAAUGUAACAUUAGAUUCCGAUAAGUUCAAAUUAGUACAAGAACAACAAUAGGCUAACUGAAAAGUAUUUGAAGUCAUAAAGUGGACAAAAAGAGCAGACUUACCAGAUGAUUGGAUGGCUCAUCAAGCAAAACUAUGUGAGGCUUUUUCAAAGUUAUCUUGGCAAAUGCAACUCUGCCUUUCUGAGCACCUAUUUAUAUGGUCAAAGCACCAUGUUACAUGUGCAAUAACAUCCAAAAAGCCUCAGAGUAGUACAUAGUGAACUACACUUGAGAUUGCAAAUUGACUAACCUCUAUUAGGGCUUCACAAUGUCAUAAAACAAUUGCUUCAAAAAUAAUUUACAUAUGCAACGGUAGCGGAGAGGGAGGCAAUGUAUCAUAAAGGUAUACAUUGGUUGAAGUGCAAGAUGUCCAAUUACACCAAAGGAACACAAGUGAGCUCGAAGCUUUUCGAUCGAAAAUCCCUGCAAGAAGAAUGCUACAUAAGAAGGCAUUUGCAGAUAAAACGACAUGAUGUAUAACAAAAUCAUAUUCCGCGAUGGAGUAAAUGCAAACAACCAAUACUUUAAAGACCUGAAUAGAUUUGCCCCAGAGGUCACUGCUAAUAAUGCAAACACAAAGGCAGGCAACAUAUCGUUACAAUCUCAACCAAAUAAGCACGAGUAUAUAGGCUAAAAAUUUCUAGCAAGCUGUAAACACAAACAGAAUGGUGAUCUAUGGAAUAUCAAUGCUAUCAUGAUGGAGUUGUAUUAAAAGCUCGGAGCAAUAAGCUACCCCAGAAAUGUGUCCCAAAUAGAUUGCUUAAUACUACAAAGGAUCAUCAUAAAUAAAAAUAAAAAAAUAAAAAAGGGUUCUCGAUUCUAAAGAAAACCAUUGAAAAAAAAAACAAUGAAUGAGCUAGGACACAAGAAAAAGAUGGUGGGAAGAGAACAUACAAGAAACGCUGAAAAUGCAAAGACAUAUGAUUGUGGAAUGCUAUAAUUCUUCGUGAUAGUGCAUCUUUCUUCACAGUUUGUUUAAGCAUCAAGUAGAGUUGAAGGUAUGCCAUCAAUAUAGCAAGAGGCAGCACUGAGUGAAUUUCGACCUAAAGUUUAUUGUCCAACGAAACAGAGCUGAUCCAACCCAACAAGAAAUCCCGCUCAAAUGUCAGUCUUUGACUUUCAGUGGUAGAGCUUGCCUACAUCCUAAGAAUGGGUUUUGUCGGCCAUGAUAAUAUUUUCAUAAUUAAUUCUCCAAAAUAGUGCCAAAUAGUGAAAAUGGGGAAAAUAUAUUGAUAUAGCUUUCUCACAAAAUAGAUUUGUCUUACAAAAUAAUUUACUGUGCUAAAAUAUUCUUUUGCAAAUGAUUAAAUCUUUUUAGUGUGCAUGAGAAAACUGACUUCGGUGGCAAUAGAGUGUCAAACUUCCAGGGGCACAGCAAAUGAACCUAUUGCUAUAACAAAAUGUGCAAAGAAUCAUAAAUUAUACCAAGAUUACAAUCACAACUCAGUUCUUAAGCUAUUGCAAAUGAUACUGUAUGCUGUCAAAAACUUAGACUCAUCGUUCCACAAGCCCUUGUCAAGUAUAAAUGACAAAUGAGGGCUGGUGUAAUUGUGAGUCCGUCCUGUAUAUCAGCAGCAAUCCUCUCUUCAUCCUUUUUUGCUUUCUCUAUGUAGCUAAGCCUCAUUUUUUGUUUUGUGAGGUAAUGUGAACCCACUGAACCACUCUUAGUCGAUGGCAAUAACUAGAUUCACCUGAUUCAAUAAAAAUAGGAGUACAUUCCUAUAGUCCUAGAAAUUCCCAUGGAGAGGUGCCACCUUGCCUUGUGAAACCACCCAGACCUCAUCCAAGCUUCUAGCUAUUAGAUGCUCAUCAUGACCAACCUGAAAAUCAAGGUGAAAAGAGGGCUAUUAGCUGUGAAAUGAUCCAUCAUUGGUCAAAUUGAGGUAUUUUGACAAGGAAAUCAAUCUCACCAUCAGAAUUAAUCCUUGGAACAAGACCAGACCUUGAAUGAGCGCCUCAGCCACAUCCAAAUCCUACAGGUGUGGAUAGGGAAAAAAAAAACAAAAACACUAAUCAUUAGACAAGAAACUAACAAUUUACAAAGAUAAUUCUUUAGUCACUGGUCAUUAAAGCAAAACUUAAAGACCAGAUUUACAAACAAAAAGGGGUCCACAUAUUUGUAUGUAAAGCCCAAUACUGCCUAUAGGCAUAAAGAUCAGUACCAUUUGGUAUUGUAGAUUGCUCUCUUCUGAAUAUUUUCCACAUUGGAACAAUUAGAUUGGUGUCUGUUCCAUUAUUUGCUAGAUGUAUGAUGACGAGGGUUACCAGCAGCUAUGACCACCAUUUGGUUCUACUAUAUUUUUAAUGUAAAAACCAUAUUCCGACAAGUUCAAUUAGUGCAAGAACAAUAACAAGCUAACUGAAAAAGUAAUCAAAGUCAUAAAAUGGAGAAAUAUGAGUAGAACUUACCAAAUGAUAGGAUGGGUCGUCAAGCAAAACUAUGUGAGGUUGCUUGAAAGUUAUCUUGGCAAAUGCAACUUUGCUUUUCUAACCACCUAUUUAUGUGGUCAAAGCACCAUGUUAUAUGUGCAAUAACAUCCAAAAAGCCUUGGAGAAAGUACACGGUGAACCACAAUUCAGAUUACAAAUUAUCUAACUUUUAACAGAGCUUCACAAUGUCAUAAGAACAUUGCUUCAACAAAAAAUUUAUACAUGCAAUACUAGCACAGAGAGAGGAGAUAUACCAGGCAAGAUACAAAUUGGUUGAAUCACAAGAUUUCCAGUUACUCCAAAGGAACCCAUGUCAGCUCGAACAUUUUGUUAUGGAACUCCUUUUGGGAAGAAUGCCACAUGGUCACCGCUGAUGAUGGAAACCCGAAGGUAGGCAGCCUAUCAUAACAAUCUCAACCCAACAAGCAUAAGUAUAUUUGCUAAAAAUUUCUAGCAAGCUGUGAGCAAUAGUUCCUAAACCACCAGAAUUCGAGACCCAACCAGAAAGCGAUUUAUGGAAUAUCAAUGCUGUCACGUGAAAGCUUGGAGCCAUGAGCUGCCUCGGAAUUUUAUCCCAGAUUGACUAUUUAAUACUACAAAGAAUCAUCAUAAAAAAGGAAGAAGAAGGUUCCUAUUCUUAAGAAAUCCAUAAAAUGAAAAAACCGCAUCCAUUUUCUUCACAAUCACAUCAUAGCUUCCACAAAAUUAAUCAUCCUUUUAGAUUUUGAAAAAGAUUUGUUCUUAUUUAGAUCAUAUUCACCAGAAGGAAAAUUCAGAACAUAGCAGUGCAAUAAAUAUAUUUAAUUGCUUCUUCCUUUAUUGAUAAAUUGCAAAAGAAAAAAAAAUGAAGCAAGACAAUGACACCAACAGCAUUAGCCCUACCUUAGCAGCGUUCGCACGUGAUCAUUCCAAGAGAUUCUGCCAAUGCAAGAUCAAAAUGGUAUCUGCAAAACAACCAGAGUGAAUGAGCUUAAGGGCCCAAGAAAAAAUAUGUUGGGAAGAGAACAGACAAUAGACGCUGAAAAUGCAGAGGACUAUGAUUGUGGAAUGCUACGAUUCUUCGUGACGGUGCGAUUUCAUUCACAAAUGGUUUGGGCAUCGAGCAGAAAUGAGGAUAUGUCGUCAACAUAGCAAGAGGCAGCACUGCGAGCGUUUCAUCCUACAGUUCAUCGUCCAACGAAACAGAGCCAAUCCAACCCAACGCAAUCCCCCACCCAAACAUCAAUUCGUAUUGAGCAUCGAAUUGAGAAAGUAGAAUGGAAAAGGAUGCCUUCAAAACCAAAAAUAACUUACUCGAACCCUAAGAAAACUCACUGUAGUGUAGAUGCACGAAUCAAUUCAUUGGAUCCGUUUUUUAUCAAUGCUGAUGUAAGGGAUCUCUUCGAUGAGGGGCCAAUAGUCGCCAGUGAGUUUUGCGCAUCGAUCUUUCAGAAUCUCGCAUCCAAAUAUCCACAAUUGUUGGAGAGAGGGAGGGAAGCCAUCCUCUGGCAAGUACCUCAACUUGGGGCACUCUCUAAUAAAAAACCAUUGAAGAGAGGAGAGAUGGUUGCGGAGACCGCUCGAUAGUCUUUCUGUGUUUCUCAAAUGAUUUAUUGAAAGAGAGGUUAGAGAGGAAGGAAAGAGACUCCAAGCAUCCUUAUCCUCCGAAGGAAACCACUCCUUCUCUCUCUCCCCUCCCAUGUUAAAAUCAAUGGUCAGACUCUCGAGAGAUGUGAGCAGGUGUAAGCCCCACUCUCUCACUGGCUGCUUCAGAUCCACGAGCCCCAUAAUUCCAAGGACUCGCAAUUUGGGAGGCAGACCUCCU